AGCUAUGCUUAGUAACUGCGAAUCUCUACUUGUUAUAAUAAUCCUACUUCCACCACCAAAGGAAUGUUGCUCUCCAAGUAAAGCUUCAAUUUGUUCUAAUUUGUCCACAUCAUCAACAACAAUAAGAACUUUUCUCUGACCAAGGCUUUUUAACAUCACCUGGAAACCUUUACUCAAUAUGUCAGAAAUCCCCACCUUGUUGUCUGAGAUACUAGAUAGAAGUAGUGUCUGCAUAUGUAGUUCACCCUGCUUCAUGAAACCCUCCUUGACAUUUUUAAGAAAGCAACCAGCUUCAAAUCGACAAGAGAUUUCAUCAUAAACAGUUCUAGCGAUGGUUGUUUUGCCUAAACCACCCAUACCCCAUAUUCCAACAACGCGAACAUUAUUCGUUUCACCUCCGGGAGGAUAUAAUAAUAAAUGCAUUUCAUGCAUGUGAGAAUCCAUGUCAACCAAGCCAUUAUCUUUGCUUGAUGUUGAUGAGAUGUCUAUCAAUUUCCUAUAAACAUCUUCUACAAUUUCCUCAAUAAGCACCACAUCAUUCCUGUCAAAUUUAAAAAACAUAUAAUAACAACAUCAAAUAAUAAUUAAUGGGUCUUUUUCAUCUGUUAGUUAAAAAAAAAUAGAAAUUAAAACUAAAACUAAAAUCUAAACGUUACAAAAAUCCCAAAAAUUAAAAGGAAACUAAAACAAAUUAGAAUUUACUCAUAGUUUCGCGAAUCCCAGCCGGAUAAACAGGUGGCAGUUGUAAGAGUAGAUCUCCAACUCCGAACCUCUUCCAUUUCGGCGUUAGAAUCGCGAUCGUGCUCAGAAAAGCUUGUGCGAAACUUUUCUUGAGCUUACGAACAUGAGACGGAUCAACUUCAUAGAAAAUGGGGAGUACAAUCUGGUUAUUGGUAUCCUUGCAUUCCAGGAUUUGCACGAGUUCUUUCAAGCACCAAGUGGAAGAAGCAUAGUUUUGAGAGAAAACUACAAGCGAAAGCCUUGACCCUCGAAUCGCUGUCAGGAGCUCGGAAAGGUGGUCGCCUUUUCUGAGCUUUUCCGCAUCAAUGAAGGCGUUGAUUGGUUUCUUAACCAGAGCGUUGUAGAGAUGGCUGACGAAGCCCCUGCGAGUGUCUUCCCCUCUGAAAUUGAUGAACACAUCGUAUUUCCAACCAAGGUUAGAAGCAGCAGCCAUUAAUCGAUCGCACCUGGUCAGCGAUGAUCGAGCAGCUAAGACUAAGAAUAAUGUAAGAACAGAAAUACUCGAUUGAUCUAUAAAUUGAAUCACUGAAGAAACUGGUCUGAUCGAUACGAAGUCAACGAAGACAAAGAAAAUAAUGCUUUAUGUGUUUUCACAUCUUCUUCCGGGAAAUUUAACGAAAAUAAUUUUCCUUUAGGCAAAAUUGACUUCAAAAUAUAAAAAUAUUCUUUCAAUUAUGGACAUAUGACAUUUCGGUGUGAAACGAAUAUGCUUAUUUGGUUUGGUUUGGACCCAAGAAAGGACAAAGAUUGUCUGCCCUCCUACUUCCGGUGCCCUUCCAUGCCCUUCUGUUUGUGUAGUCACGGUUAAGCCACGUCAACAUUUUAUAUUACUAUUUAUUUUUGUCUUAUUAUCUCUAUAAAUAAGCAAUAUAAAAUAUUAACGUGGCAUAAUCGUGACCACAGAAAACAAGAGUUGGCACCAAAAAUAGGAGGACAAACAACCCUUGUCCCCCAAGAAAAUGCUAAGAAAGGAUGGUUUAGCAGCUGUGCAUGAGGGGACUGGGUCAAAGUACCCUGUUGAAUCCACUCUUGCCUACCCAACAACUUAUUUAGUUAUUUGUAAGCCCGAAAUAUAUCCCGAUCUUUCUAUUCACACCAAAAGUAAGUAGAGUGAUAAGAAAUAUUUCCGGUUAAGUAUAAGCAUGUCAGUCUGCAGCAGCAUAGCCACGUUAAGGGCUACCGUGGGCUGUAGUCUAUGUAAUUUUCAGUGAAAAAUAAAAUUUUACAUGUAAUUUUUAUUGAUUUUCAAAUAUACUUCUUCAUAUAUACAGUCUUUAAUCUGAAUUAUCUCAUUUUAAUUAUAUAAUUAUAUAAUACAGUUUACAAACUGUCUCUUUUUCUUACAUCAUUUUUCUCACCGCUUCUUGCACAUGUACAAGUUUGGAUUUUGUUUGAAUUUUAACACGUAUUUGUUUAAAAACGAAAAUCCUUGGCUUACAUAGUGAAAAUUUUCUUAAGUUAGCUGAUACUUUGAAAAAUACAGGAUCAAGUUUCUUUGUUUAUAAAGAUUUAAAUCUUUAAGCUAGCCCACCCGGUGAAAAAUUCCUAACUCCGUCAUGCAUUUUACAUAUAAUUUUUAUUGAUUUUCAAAUGUAGUCCAUCAUAUAUACCGUCUUUAAUCUGAAUUCUCUUGGUUUAAUUAUAUAAAAUUAUAUAAUACAGUUUACAAACCGUCUCUUUUCUUACAUCCUUUUUCUCACUGCUUCUUAUACAUGUACAAGUUUUGAUUUGUUUGAAUUUUAACACGUAUUUGUUUAAUAACGAAAAUCAUUGGCUUACAUAGUGAAAAUUUUCUUAAGUUAGCUGAUACUCUGAAAAAUACAAGAUCAAGCUUCUUUGUUUAUAAAGAUUUAAAUCUUUAAGCUAGCCCCCUGGUGAAAAAUUCCUAGCUUCGCCAUUGAGCAUGUGGUAUAUCCUAUGAUAUCAUGGACGGCAAACGAGCGAUUAAUGGUUGUUUGGCAUUUAAUUUGAUGUCACGGUAGUAACGGUACUCUAAAAUCUUUGAUAUACUUGCUUUCAGCUACAAAACUACUAGAACUCCGAAAAUUGCUUAUGAAAAUAAAAAUAUUGACUAGAUUUGAACUUGUAUAAUCUAUGUCUUCACUACACAUUGUUGUGUUCGCUCGUGUUCUAAAGUUGACGCUAGCUAGAAGGUCACAGCAAGAAGCAGAGGAGGCUAACUAUUGCAGAAAUUUGUUUAUUCAAAAGCAUUUGUAAAAACACAUAUUGAAAUUAAUUCACGCCAAAAAUAAAUAAUACAGUGGUGGCAGGCACACUACAACAAUAGGGUUUUAACCCUAUGCAUUUUUAUAUUGGCUUUUGUGUUAUCAGUUGCGACCGCUCGGUGGAGAGAGCAUUUUAUGUUAUGAAUAAAAAUACCACUGCGUAACAAAAUAGAAGAUUAAUGGUUGAGUGAUAGCUGGUUUGUUUGCAAUGAGAGAGAUGUUUUUGCUUUUAUUGAUAAUGAAUCUAUAUACGCGAUGUUUUCAUAGCAUAAAACAUCGCCGACAACAAUUGUAACUUUUUGUGUUGAUAAAUUAGGAAAGACAUUAAUAUUUUCUAAUAUCUAAAAGAAUUUGGAUGUCUACAUUUUUUUGGAAAACUUUUUACCCUUCUAAAUUUCGCGCCUCUCCCGACAAUUCCUAGCUUCGCCACUGCUAUAGUCAACUCCAAGUCUUGUCCAUGAUAUCAAUAUCCCUACUGUAAACGGUGACUUCAAUAUAAGCUAACAAAAAGUUUGUAUAGAGAAGAUAUAUGCAUGAAAAAAUGGCAGUGUUUGUGUUGCCGAACGGAUGAUACUGAAAUACCUAAACCCAAGUCAAGCUCCUUUAGUCCACAAAAACAAAAGUUUAGAAUACAAUAAUGUUUGCAUAUAGAUUGGAGAAACGACAUACCACCGGCCAGGAAGGUGCAGUGAAAGAGAGAGGAAAAGAGGAAAGAAACAAAUACGAAAUGACAAAGACUAUCAAAUAGAUUAUAACAAUGACUUCUUAGCGGUGAUCACAACUAUUCAACUAUCGAUGAUGCUUUAUUUUAGAUUGAGAUGUGGAAGCAUCUGAGAAGUAGCAUGUCAACAACCAUUACACAAUAAUAUUGUCUAAUAUCUAAAAGAACUUGGAUAUCUACAUUUUUUUAGAAUCUUUUACCCUUAUAAAUUUCGCACCUCUUCAGACAAUUUCUAGCGUUGCCGCUGCUUCAGUCAACUCCAAGUCCUAGUGGUUCUUGUCUAUGAUAUCAAUAUACCCAUUGUAAAUGGUGAUUUCAAUAUACAUAGAGUGUGUACAGGGGAGAUAUAUGUAUGAAAAAAUGGCAGUUGUUGUAUCUGUGUUGACGAACGGAUGGUACUGGAAUACCUAAACCCAAGUCAAGCUUCUUCAGUCCACAAAAACAAAAUGUUUAUUAUAUAAUAAUGUUUGCAUAUGGACUUGCGAAACAACAUACCGCCGGUUGGGAAGGUGCAAUGAAAGAGAGAGGAAAGGGGGAAAUAAACGAACAAGAAAUGACAAAGGCUAUCCAAUAUAUUAUAAAAUGACUUCUUGGCAGUGAUUAAGCUAUUCAAUUAUCAAUAAUGCAUUAUUCUUAAAGUUUAUAAUAUAAUAAUGUUUGCAUAUGCACUUGCGAAACGACAUAUCGUCGACUGGGAAGGUGCAAUGAAAGAGAGAGGAAAGGAGGAAAUAAACGAACAAGAAAUGACAAAGACUAUCCAAUAUAUUAUAAAAUGACUUCUUGGCAGUGCUUAAGGUGUUCAACUAUCAAUAAUGCAUUAUUCUUAGGUUGAAAUGUGGAAGCAUCCGAGAAAUAGCAUGGUAACAACCACACAAUAAACAAAAGUGAUUAGAGAAAAGAACCAAAUGUGAAAGGAUAAUUAAAAACAGUUAUUCAAGAUCGGCGGUAAAUCAUUCAGCUAUUUACAAGAUUUGAACUUAGAACCGCAAUCUACUAGAUUGUUGUAUCAACUAUUAAGUGGUGUUCUAAUAUAAUUCUUAGGAAUUUCAAGGAGGCAUAUGGGGGUGGAUCAUUUUUUUUCUAAAUUCGACAGUACAAAGAAGAAUUUAAUUGAUAACGGAAAAAAUAAGUUACAUAUAGAGCUGGAGCAUAUAAUAGACCCAAAUUGACCAUUUUUAGGCUCCACUGCUAAGAACUAUUGCAAAAUGCUCAUUAGGAUUACCCUGUGAACUCCGUCCUUCCACACCAAGCCUCCAAACUCAGUCCGAUAUGUUGCAGCUAGUUUAGAUACUUGUCCCCUGCAUGUUACAGAAUCACAAGAGCAAGCUUACAAAACUGCAGUUUUUACUCAUAGUUAUUGCAAAUGAAAAUACAGGUUGGUGCCAGCAAUUAUCAGUGUAAUUCUCUAUCCGACGGUAUUUCUCUCGCCUUCUCUUGAUAAUUUCGGAUGUGACAUGUUUAAGAUAACUCUUCCAAACACGUUGCUUAUGCCUAAUUUUUAAUACCACCAUAUCAUAUCAUAGUAAAUCCAAAUAACUAUCGAAUGGCAUUUAGGCAUCUAGAAUAUCAAAUGCAUUACUUUACAUUGAAAAUUCAUUUAUUCAAUAGCAUUAAUACACUAGUAAAAAAAACACUUUGCACGACGUAGGUCCUUCGUCGCGCAAAGUCAAAACAUGUCGCGCAAAACUUUGCCCAACGAACCUUCGUCACGCGCAAACCGUCGCAGCAAGGCAGUGACAUAAGGCUUUGCACGACGAAGGGUUACAUGCAUCGCGCAAAGCCACUUUGCGCGACGCAUGUAACCCUUCGUCGCGCAAAGCCAUUUUGUGUGAUGCAGGCUGCGUCGCUCAAAGUGGCGUCACGCGAAGAUGCUUUGCGCGACACAUGUCAUUGAGUUGCACAAAAUGACUUUGCGCAACGUAACCUACGUUGCGCAAAGUGUAUUUUUGGUUUUGGUCAAAAAUAUUAUUUUCUUAAUUUUUAAUAAUGUUGUAAUUAAAUUCUAAACAAUAAUUAAUUAACCAAAAAAAGUAUUUAAUUAUAAAAUAUAUGGAAAUGUACAUACAAGAUGUCCGAAUAAAAAAGAAAAAACUACAAGUAGUCUUCUAGGUGAAGUGGCUACUGGGUAUCAACAUGGUGAAGUGGCUUCUAGGUGAAGUAACAUUUCGAUGACGUGAAAAAGUUUCAAUUGGUCAUCUACAAGUGUCAAACCUAACACAUUUUACUUAAAAAAGAAAAAGGUAAUAACAUAACUCAAAACGAAAAGCAAAAGGGAAAAAAAAAAACUUUGCGCGACAUAAGUACAUAUGCAUCUCGCAAAGUUUUUUUUUCCCCCUAUUGCAGAUACAAAUAACAUCAUCCUUUUGCAAGAAUCAGUCUCUGCCCUCUCGCCCUCCCUCUCCCGCUCCCUCUCCUUCUCCUUCUCCCCUGUGUAGUUGUUGGUUGUGUUGUACGAAGUCGUCCCUCUCCCUCUCCCAUGUGUUGUUGUUCGUUGCACAAAGUAUUUUGCCCGAUGCAGGUGUACCUACGUCCCGUAAAGAUUUUUUUUUUUGCCCUUUUGCUUAUGAGUACAAAAUAAAUAAAUUAAAAUCUACUUACUAAAUCAACUAUGGAGCUUUUGACUUGUGUUAGAACACUGGAAAGAAAGACAAAAAGAGACAUUUUCAUGUUGACUUUGCACGACGCAUAGUACAUCAUGCGUCGCGCAAAGCUGUUUUGAGUGACGUAGUGUACCUGCGUCGUGCAAAGUUGGAAAAAAAACGGUAAAACAUUCUUGGUUUGGCCCCAAAAUCUUGCGCGGCGCACAAAACGUCGUGCAAGUGGUCUUUAUGCGACCAUACUUUGCGCAACGAAGGAGUGCGUCGCGCAAAACAGUUUUGAACGACAUAGAUGUACCUUCGUCGCGCAAAACAAUUUUGUGCGACCCACUCCUUCGUCGCACAAAGACCACUUGUGCGACAUCUUGUGUUUAGCGUUGCACAAAGUAUGUUUGCGCGACGAAAUUUGCUACGUCACGCAAACAUGUUUUUGUACUAGUGAUAACACACACAUUGAAUCUCCACUUGCCCACCCAAAAACUUCUUUGUAAACUAGAAAUAUAUUCCAAUCUCCCUAUUCACAUGAAGAGUGAGUUAGAGUGAUUGGAAAUAUCUUUGAUUACGUGUACGCACACCACAUAUGUGCCAUAUCCAACGGUAUUGCGGACAUAAAGCAAGCAAGUAAUGGUUGUUUGGCUUCUAAUCUGAUGUCACGGUAGUGACGGUACUACUUUGAAAUCUUUGAUGUAUAUGUUUUUAACUACAAACUACUAGAACUUCACAAAUUGCUUAAAUACAAGUUCAAGCAAUAAUAAGAAUAUUUCCAAUAGAACACCUUUCAUAGGGCCGGUCCAGAAAUUUUUGAGGCCCGGGACGACGUAAAAAAAAGUGCCCUAACUUCAUGUAAGAAAAUUAUUUAUUUUCACACGUAAGACAUCGAUAAAAUUAUACUUAGAAAAACACUUCAAACUUAAUAAUUUAAAAACACAUAAAGACUAAUUUAUUUUGUAUUGAGAGAGGGAAACAACAAAACUUCGGGCUUACAAGUAGAUAGAUGAUGAGUUUUGUUUUCCAUCUGAACUUUGAAUGUGUUUUUGAAUAAAUCAUGAGGUGUUUUUUUCUUAUUUACUAAUCUUGUCAAUAUGGGACUAUAAAAAAAUGAUGUUUUCGAGUCUUUAAUUGAUAUGUAUUAUUAAUGAAUUGGCACUAAAUUAAACAUUUUGAUGACAUGUCAUAUAAUUUGCAAAUUUGGUCUACGUAUUAUUCUUUGUUGAAGAUUAGACUUGAAUUAAAACGAAUAUUUAAAAAUAACAACCCACAUAUCUACUAGAUAGUAACUAAAAAUAAAUUAACAACCAAACAAAAAUUUGUAAAAAUUGAAAAGAAUAAACAUGCACAUAGCACUUCAAACAAAAAUCAUUGUUUCUAAGGGGGGUGUAUUCAAUUGAGAAUGUGAAAGAUUUUAAUGGAUUUAUAAAUCCAUGGAUUUUUAUGGAGUUUAAUUGAUUUGUAGAGAUUCCAUAUAAAAUUUUGAUUCAAUUCCUUCGAAAUCUCAUGGGAAGAGGUGAGAUUUGUGGAUACUUAAAAUACACUACGAAAUCUCUCCAAUUCCCUCUAAUUCUUUAACUUUCUCAAAUUCUUUAAAAUCAAUUUCUAAUUGAAUACACUUGGAAUGUUAUAAACUUCUUUAAAAUCUUAAUUGAAUACACCUGGAUUUCUAAGGAUUUUAAUAAACUAUUUUGAAAUUCUAAUUGAAUACACCUAGAAUUUCAGAGAAUCACUUAAAAUCCUAAUUGAAUACCCCUGGAAUUAUUAAUUCCCUGAAACUCUCUCAGAAUCCUAAUUGAAUACACCCCUCUAAGUAGACUUCUUGAUCCUUUUACCAAAUUUUAUAAAUUUAUUCUCUUAUGAAAAGAAAUUUGUAAAAAAUGAAAUGUAAAUAAGCACACAUGGUGUUUUGAACCCAAUACCUCCUCAUUAUUUUCAAAUGACAAACCACCACUUCUAGUUAAAUUUCUAUGUCUUUGAACCAAAUUUUAUAAAUUUAUACUCUUAUAAAAACAUACAUAAAUUGACACACCCCAUCCCGAAGGAGGGCAUGCUGGCCGUCACGUGAGAGUGACGUAACCAUUUGCACAGUACGGAAGCUUUAAGAUACAAUUUAUAAGUUGAUACACCCGAAGGUGAGUCCUAAUUUUGUCCAAUCUGUCAGAACACCGUCGAAUUCCUCGUAGUCACCACACCUUUGUGAUUCUUGAACCUGGAGGGGCGCAAAACCAAAAUUGAGUGGGUCAGUAAAACAAUUCUUUUCCAAAUCCAAACAUUUCUCAAAACGUUGUAACCCCUCUCCGUAAAACCUGUAUACUUUCCCAGAAAUGUAAAAUAUAAAUAUACAUAUAUAUUCUCAAAACUUCAUUUUUACUAUCUCAACAUUUUUCUUUAUCAAUCAUGCCAUGCCAUGUCUAAUUCAACAGUUAAAUAUGGAUGCAUCAACAAUAAUCAUAUCAGGUGCAAGAAAGUAAUCAACCGGAGGCCCUCUAAUAGCCCUGUACGGUUGAACCUAGAGCUCAAAAUCUAUCACUAUCACUCUACCGGAGUCACCUCUGUGACCCGUCCGGCCUUCUGCACACAAGUUAUGCUCUAGUGCUUUCUCAUCAAUCAUCUGUGCACAUAAUCUAAGGUCACCCACCAGUCGGAAUCUCACUAACACUCUCGCGACUGGCCUGUCGUACCCACUCCGCGUGGACUGUACGACUAGCAUCUACUUGGAUCCAAGGCGAGCGUGCGAUGCGGUGAAUACUAUAAGCACUAAACCAUUGGUGCAGGAUUUGAGCUCAAUAUAUAUCAACAUCAUCAUAACAGUAAUUAAAUACUCACCUGAUACUCACCUGUGCGUCCGCCGCACCAUUCAUUCAUAUGCAUCAUAUCUCAAUUCAUACUUUUCAUAUCAUUUCAUGCAUGGCAAUUCGAUUCACAUUUCUAUAUACUUUUCAUAUACUUUUAUGCAUGGCAUUUCAACUAAUAUAUCUCAUAUACUUUUAUACAUUUUCAUUAAAAACAUAAUUUCAUGCAUUUUCAAUUUCUGGGAAACGGCAAGUAUAUAUGUAUACGGAAAACAAAACUGCCCACUCACCUGGAGUUCGCCCUACAACUCCCUAGCACAAUACGCCAAGGCGUCAUGACGAUCGGCGCCUAAAAACAAUAAUUAAUUCCAACCUCAGAAUUCAUAGUGAUAGAAUAUAUAACUUAUAUAAAAUACGUCACUACGUAGUUCGAUCCGGAAGAUCUGCCACUCAGAUUUUAAAUCCAUAACUUCCAGAGGUCCACAAUAUACCUCUAGGACAACUUCCUAAAAUUUCAUUACCAUCCAACGGUCGGAUCUCCGUCAAUUUCCAAAACUAAGUGACGGUUAACAUUUUAUUUUAUGAACUUACAAUUCCAAUUCCGGAAGAUCCGUAACUCGGAUUCCCAAUCCGUAAGUUCCAAUAAUCCUCAAAUAUUACGUAUUACAACGUAUCAAAGUUUGGUAACGAUCCAACGGUCGGAUCGUCAAUUCACAUUUUCACCAAAACUAUAAAACGUUAUUCGAACACCUAACCAACAAUCCUUAAUAACUUUCUCAUACGGUGCUCAAAUUGGGUAUAUGAAUAUACCACGGUGAUCUACUCGACGUCACGGACGUCGACAUAUUUUUAAAAUAAUUUUAUUUAUUUAUUUUUUUUAACUGUAGCACCUUCUUCUUCCUUGGGUCGCCGGACUGGUUUUUCCGGCGGCCGUUUUCCGGGCAGUUUUUCAAAUUGUCAUAACUUUGUCAUUUCUCAACGAAAUCAAGUGAUUCAAAAACGAAAGUUGUAGCCCUUGAAGAGACAAAGAGAAUGGUACCUUGCACAACACCUAGUUCGCCGUGGUUUGGCCGGAAACUGCCUCGAAAGCCUCGGAGGUCGCCGGAAACUGGGUAUUUUUCAAAUGAGUAUAACUUCUUCAAUACUCAACGAAAUUGAGUGAAACAAAAAGGAAAGUUGUAGUACUUGACGAGACGAAGAGAUUGAUACCUACCUCGACUCCUAACUCGCCGGGGAUUCGCCGGAAAAUGCCUCGAAGCUCCGGCCAAACUUUGAACUUGUCGAUCUCCGUGUUCUUACGUCCAAAAACUUCCAACGAAGCACUCCGAGCUUCCUUGGAACCUCACUAAGCUCACUGUGAGCUUGGAUUGUCCUAAAACAAAGUCAAUUCGAAGAUCAUGAACAGUGCACUUUCACGGGGAGUUUAGAAUCUAGGUUUUUCCGAAGUAAAACUUACCUGAAAUUGGUGUCUACGUGAUCGUGGAGUCUCCAGGAGUUCGAUGGUGGUCUUAACUCCGUCGUUGGUAUAGAUUUAGGGUGGUUUUGGAGCUCGUCUGUGUGAGUUUGAAGGAGAGGGAGAGAGACAGAGAAUGAGAGAUUGUGAGGGAGGAGAGAGAGACAGGGUACGGGAAAUAGGGAGGGAUUUGAGGUGUGUGGUCCUACCUAACCCCAAAUCAUAAAAUUCCAUCUCCAAAUAACUUAGAAACAUAUAUUUCACCAAUAUAUGAUUCACAUAUCUUAAUCACGUUUAAGGGAAAUUCCGUCAAUUUACAAUCACGAGUGUAAAACUUUGGGACGGGCUGUGACAUAAAUAUAUCACCCUAAUAAUUUUGGUGCCCCUAAUUUUUCUGGGCCCUGGACGGUCGCCCUGCCUACACUGGGCCUAGGCCGACCCCCUUUCACAAUCCCUGGAGAGCUAGUUCAUUAAUAGACCGAGGAAUAAGUAAAUUGACUCAUUCAUAUAUUUAGAUCAUGAAUGUUUGGAAUCCAUAUUAUGUAAGGAGACAUUGCUUUUGCUAUUAUGAAAUUUAAAAAAAAAAAUGACUAGAUUAGAACUUGCAUAAUCUACGUUUUAUUCAUGGCAUGCGAUUAUUAAUGAUUAAAGCUAAGCUUAAUACUAUGGGAGGUAAAGUAGUGGAAAGCAAAUCCUUGGCACUCAUGGCACUUAUGGAGAAGAUGAAGAAAAGAAACCUAGGUCGUAUUUAUAUACAAACAUGUGACUAAAUUACAGAAAUGAUAACGAGAGAGCAUGUGAUUGUUGACAACCAGUGACAUGAGAAACACACUCUGGGAUCAUAUCCAUCAGAAGCCCAAUUCCAUCCUGUGUAAGAAAGAGAGCAUGAGAACACGAACAUGAAAAAUGAAAGAAUUGUAUUCAGCAUUUUGUCAAGCUAUCAAUUGGUACACAAGCAUUAUGAUGUAAUAAUCAUGUUAAAAUAAAAUAUAAAUAGUAAAACUACACGUCCAAGCUUUAAUCCAAAGAAUUCUCACUUAGUAGUCCAAAGCUAAUUGAUUACCAUUCGGUUGAUCCAGAAACACUCAACCUAUCCAACUAUUUUGCGACGUUACCAAAAACUACUACUACUUUCCAGGUGAAACAUGAAGGGUGAAAAAGCAAACAUGAAUCACUAGAUUUACUACAAAUGAUAUACCGAACAAUCUAACAGUAAAUAUCAACAAGACCAAUCCAACGUUAUCACAAAGCAUAUAUCAAUAAGAAAAAUAUAAAAAUAUUGUUACCUUACUGAAAGCUCCAAUAUUCGGUAAGGUAACAUUGGAGGUCACUAUCAUCUUUCCCGCGAUCAGUGAAUAAAAGCCAAAGAUCUGACUCUUGGAUUCGAGUCAUGGGUUUGGGUCGCAAUUCUCUCGUCGCAUGUUUGAAUACCAAGUUCAUCUUAACAGACUUGGUUUUUUUUAUCAAACAUCUUAACAUAUUUAGGGGUGUGUUCAAUUGGGGAUUUAAGAGAUUUUAAUAGAUUUAUAAAUUUAUAGAUUUAUAUGGAGUUUAAUUGAUUUGUAGAGAUUUCAUGUAAAAUUUUGAUUCAAUUCCCUCGAAAUCUCAUAAGGAGAUGUGAGACUUGAGGAUGUUUAAAAUACACUACGAAAUCUCUCCAAUUGAAUUCCUCAACUUUUUCAAAUUCUUUAAAAUUAAUUUCUAAUUAAAUUCAAUUGAAUGUUGUAAAAUUCUUUAAAAUCGUAAUUGAAUGCAUCCAGAUUUCUAAAUAUUUUAAUAAACUAUCUUAAAAUUCUUAUUUAAUACAUUGAAUUUUAGACAAUUACUUAAAAUUCUUAUUGAAUACCUUUAGAUUCAUUAAAAAAUUUAAAAUUUUUCAAAAUCCCAUUUGAAUACAUCACCCUUAAUAAAUUGUACAUUACAUUAUAUCCCAUUUGAGCACAUUAGCUUAUGCCUCCGGAUUCUGCAUAUCGGGUCGGGUUCCGAAGUUCGAGCUCACAUUUGAUAAUCAAAUUCAUCACAUUUGAUCCAACGGUGGUAAUUGGCAAACCCACCUCGGAGUCAAAAGAUGCGGCCCACGCUCCCUCUCUUUUCCAAAACCCUAGCAAAACCUCGGCCCUAUAAAUACCUUCCACAUCCGCCGCAGGAGGCACCCAAAUGCCCCUUUCUCUUCCCUUUCACACACUAAUCCCUCGCAGAGGCGAUGGGAUUCCCAGUUGCUUCUCCGUCGGAGAAACCUUUCCAACUGCUCCAUCUCUUUGCACCAUCGCCUCUGUUUCUUUUUUAUUUAUUUACUUAAUUAUUUGAGCAAUUUCCUUUAUCCUUGCCAUUCAUAUUUCAGAUUUUCAGCUUGUUUUUUUUUAUCCGAAAAAUAAAAUCGAAGUUGUAUGAGUUUUUUGCAAUUUUGUUGGGUGAGGCCGGUGAUGAUCGAAACAUAUUUUGCCUACAUUGCUUGAUUAUCUUAUUUUAUUGAGAUAAUGAUAAAAUCCGAUGUAUCUGAGGCCUUCCCGGAAGAACGAGCUUUAUUUUAUUUUUUAUUUUUUGGGUAAAAUGUAUUAUUUCAAAUCUUAAUAUUUCAAAAAACUGAAUUUUUAAAUUUCGACUAAAAUGAUGAGUUUUGUUGAUAUUUGCGAUAUAUCACUUAAAUAGUGAAGAAAUUCUUAAUUUCGUCUUAUUAAAUAUGUCAGAUUUUGUUUGAUAUUUUCUCGAUGUCAGAAGUCGAACUUAGAACUCUUAACCAUAAGAAUUGAAUUGAGCUACACUGGAUGCGUUGGAGAAAAUAUUAAUAACUGAAGGAGGAUUUAUGUUAUAACAAAAAUAAAAUAAAAAUGGUAUUCCGGUGCCAGGAUUCGAACCUGGAUGAAAACUCUUAACCAAUAAGACUUUUUGUGGUGAGCUUCACCGGACGACUUGAUAAAUCAUGGCGAAAUAAACUAUUUAAAUGUACUCCUUACGUUGUGCCGUAGAUAAACAAUUAGUGCACAUAAUGUAGUUAUCUGAUUUGUGGGGAAUGGUGAUGCUCACCGCUUAAUGUCGUCGUUGGAUCAGUUUAAGUUUUGAGAUCUGUGAAAUGAAUAAAUACAAAUUUAAAAAUUUAAAUUUAUUUAAUAAUAAUAAGUAUGGUAAUGAGAAAAAAAUGCAUCUUAUGGUUCAGAAACACACUCUCAAAUUUAAAUAACAAUUUUCAUGCUUUCCAACAACACAAAAAUUUUAUAACUAAGAAUCAAUCAAAACAUAAUGAUUGAAUGAGCGAGGAUUUCUUUUAUUUUUUCCAAAUUUUCUGAAGGUUUUUUCUAUAAAAUUUAUGGUGUCAUGAUUGCCUUAAAAGAAUCGUAAAUGUGUUCCUUGAAAAAUAAUAUGAAACCGUAUUUUGAGUUCUUAUGUUUAUUGUUUUAAUUCGAUCUAUCGUUUGAAGCCGCCUCCACCAAAAUAAAUUCAUAUCUAUAUUUUUUCUAUAACGAGUGAUUAAUAAAUCCAACCGUUUUUCAGCACCACAAAAUAAGUUACAACCCGAACACUAACGAGCGAUUAAUGGGUCCAACCGUUUUGCCACAUAUAUAUUUUCUUUUUAUCAAAACAUGCAAAUAUCUUCUUUACCAACUUGAAUCUCCCAUCGUUUGUUUUCUCUUCAUCCACAGAUUUGAUCUGUCUUUUUUGGUGAUCAAACCAAAAUUUUCUUGGACAUGAUUGUACAUACAACCAUUAAUAAACUAUCUCCAACAAAAGCCUAAACAUAGCCUCGUCCAAAAUUAUAGUCUUGCAAAAAAAUAUUUUUUUAAUAAACGAUGUCAAACUAUACUCAUGUACUAUCUUUAACCUGUAUGAAACCUUAAAAUGUAGUGAGCUUCAUCAGUUCAUGUUUAGUGCAAUUAUAUAGAACAAAAUGGUUGUAUUUCAUUUAGGAUUAGGACUUAUAUGUGUGACUUGUAAGGGAUUUAGAGCCACAAAGGAGGGAAACUUGAAGUUACAAUUAUUUGAAUUUGGCGACAGUUAAUCGAAGGAAAUUGCUUGUAACUGCAUCCUUGAUGGGAGGAUGAGUUGCGGAACGUACAUAUAUAUAUAUAUAUAUAUAUAUAUAUAUAUAUCACUUUGAUCUCUCUUCUUAGGUGUGUGUGAUCCCUCACGUAGAAAUAGUCCCAUUGAGUGUUCUUGGAUCAAUUUUGUGACCAAAGGAAGAGAAGAUAUCACAUCCUGGCCCGGGACGGACCACUUCCCGGGCCCACUCCACCACCGUAGCACGAUAUUGUCCGCUUUAGGCCCCGAUUAAGCCUUCACGGUUUUGUUUCUGGAAACUCACGAGCAACUUCUUAGUGGAUCACCCAUCAUGGGAGUGCUCUGCCCACCUUCUCACUUAACUUCGGAGUUCAGACAAAACCCGAAGCCAAUGAUCUCCCAAAAUGGCUCGUGCUAGCUAGGGAUGAGAAUAUACAUUUAAGGAUCACUCCCUUGGACGAUAUGGGAUGUUACAGAAGACAAAUGAUCAAACUUGUUGUCAAUGUCUUCUUCUACAAGUAAGUAAAUUCUCAUUACUUGUUAUAAUCGCUGCAUGCAUAAUGACACAAUAAAUGCAACAAUUAUCAUUCAAUGUUAAGAUUUCUGAACUAGGAUCAUGGUUUAAUUGUUAAUGAUAUAUAUAUCCAAGCAUAACCGAAAUAGCUAAACAUAGCCCCAUAAUAAUUUAUUAUUUUAAACCUUAUACUUUAAAUUAAUUAAUUAAUUUAAUUUAAUUAUCAUUGUAUGUUUUCAAAUUUAGCCGUUUAAUUUGAAUUAAUUGUUGCAACUGAGGAGCUGGAUCCCCAAAAAGGGCUAAGAGGGGUUCUAUAUUUGACCAACUUGAUACCCCUUAGGCUAAUAAUCAUCUGGUGGGCUCCAUAAAAUUAUAGUCUAGUCAUCGGUUGGAAAUAAAUUUUUAGAUAAAUCAAGGUCAUUUUUAGUUUUUAAACCUUUAGUCAUCUCAAUUGAAAAUGACCUUAUGUCUUUAUACGAUGUGCCUCCUAUUUCCAGCUUCAACUCCAACUGAAGGAUGUAAACGUAAUUAUCAUCUAUAGAGAUUCAUCAGAAUUUGAGGGGUUAGAUGACCCCUACUUGCCUCUUAAUGGAUUGGCCUAGGGGUGGGCAAACGGGUAUAGGAACCGCGGGUCGGGGCGGGUACGGACCGGUUCUUAUUUUGUAAAAAUAAAAAUGAGGCGAGGUAGGGCGGGCUUUUGAAAUUUUCGGUUCGGGCUGGUUCCUGAAGUAUGGUAGCGUUUGGUACGUGGGACGGGACGGGACGGAACGGGACGAGCCGUUCCGUCCCACGUUUAGUGCGCCUAAAAACUGUGGAACAGGUUGUUCCAUGGGACAAAAUUUGGCUGAUUUUUCGUUCCACCUCUUCCCCCUGGAACGACCCGUUCCACAUCUGUGGAACACAAAUUUAUAACAUUUUAUGACAAAAUUUCUCCUUAUCUUUUUCAAUAUUUACAUCAUCUGUUCCGUCCUGUUCCAUCUCGUCCCGUCCAGUCCUGUUCCGUCCCGUUCUGUCCCAUCUGCGUACCAAACGGUACCUAUAGGAACCGCGGUUACCCGGACCUGCCCGUUUGUAGUUAGAAUGGACGUAUAAGAUUGAAGAGAUCAUCUCUCCAUCCAAUCUGAAUCGUUGGUUUUAGGUUUGCUCAUCCUCAAACUUAUCGAAUUCAACUGUCACUCUUACUCUGUUGAUCGAGUCUCUCUCGCCGUCUCCAGUGCGUCGUCUCCUUCCCUCCACCACCCCGACAACACGACGGCCCAGACGACCACCAUCUUCUCGAUUUGUCACCUCUCUCUCACCUCUCUCUCGCCAUCUCGAUUUGACAUCCCAAGGACCCAGACUUACAUAACCCAGCCACCCCACCACCCAUCUUCUCGAUUUGUCACCUCUCAUUUGCCGUCUCGAGUGUGUCUUCCCCUCCUUCACCGAGGAGGACGAGAUUCAAAUCCUGCUGGUUUACUCCAAGGAGAUUAACAAGCGCAUGCUCGACACCGUCAAGUCCAGGAACGCCAUUGCUUCCGCUGCUCAAAACGGCGCCAUGGAGUCCGAGACUGUGAGCUCUGCGGUGGAAUGUACCGCUGUUGCCGCCAAUGAAGAUGCUAAGGCUGAAGAGCACAGAUCUCUCCAUGUGUGUUAGGUCACUCUUAGCUUCAUAUUAGCCUAUUAGAGCUUUCAUAUCGAGAUCUGUUCAUAUUUAUCAUGGAUUUCUUGUGAUGCCUAUAUACCUAAUGACCUGUUAAAUAUUUAAACUUUGUUAAUUUCGCUAUGCGCUUCAAUUUUCUGUGGAUUAUAUUAUCUGGGUUUCUGUUGUGAGUAUUGAUCUACUGAGUCUUGAUCUGCUUUGUUCAGAGAUGUUUAUGUUGAAGAUUUUAUAAGGAAGUGGGUGCAUUUGGAAUUGGAAAAUUAUCGAAAUCUUUCCUCUUGCAUUAUUUAGGUUUCCUAUUGCAUAAUCUGCUGCAUUAGUGAAUCUGUGCAAAUUCCAAUUUUUUUUUUUCUAAACAAAAAGAAAACCAAGAACCCGUGGACCCGGCCUGAACCGGCCCAUUUCAACCAGGCCGAGUAAGGUCCAAUUCCUAUAUAAGAAAAUGUAAUCCCCAACUCGGUCCGGCCCAUCUCCUUUGCACCUGGAUCCACCAGUGGCCAUAUGCUAUUGCCCUUUUAUUUUCUUUUUUCUCCUGCCAUGGGCGCAGUCAUGGGUAAGUAGGUAAGUUUGAUUACGCAAUUAAUUGGGCACUCUAGGAGACGCGUAGUGUUAGUGCAGGCUCAAAAGUCAAAAGGUUAAUGAGGAGUGUGGAUGGAAAGCCUGCCCUAAAUACGUUUGUAUUCCUUUGCUGAGUUACUGUACUCUGCCCUUUUCUCCUCUCUUCCUGGAAAAUUCACUCUAUUGAUCUCUGGCCGUGUUUUGCGUGGCAUGAAACAAAACGGUCAAGUAGUGUAUAACAAUUUCAAAAAAAAAGGUCAAAUAGUGUAUAACAAUUUAUCAUAUAGAAAGUUGAUGGUGCUGCAGAUGAUUAAUGAGAGUUUUAACGAAAAACUCACAGCACUGUUUACUUUAACGAAAAGCCACAUUUUUACAUUAAAAAGUCAAACCUAGUACUAUUCAUUUUAUCCUUUAUUUUGUCUUUAACAUUAAAACUCAAAGUUUUCAAACAUUUUUCAUUAGUUUUCCUAUGAUUAAUUGGUGUCCGUAGAAAUUACAUGAUAUCACUCAGACUUUAUCCAACAUAUUAGGCCAUCUCCAACAAAAGUCUAAACAUAGCCCCAUCUAAAAUUAUAUUCUUGUAAAAAAUUAUCUUUUAAUGAAUGAUGUUAGACCAUACUCAUAUAUCAUCUUUAACCGAAAUGGUUAAACACGGCCACUUAAUAAUUUAUUAUUUUAAACCUUAUACUUUAAAUUUAUUGGUUAAUUUAAUUAAACUACCAUUGCAUGUUUUCAAAUUUAGUUGUUUAAUUUGAAUCAAUUAUUGCAACUGAGGAGCUAGAUCCCCAAAAAGGGCUAAGAGAGGGUCUAUAUUUGGUAAGCCUGAUACACUUUUGGCCAAUAAUCGUCUAGUGGGCUCCACAGAAUUAUAAUCUAGUCAUCGGUUGGAGAUGAAUUUUUGAAUAAAUCAGGUAAUUUUUAGUUUUUAAUCCUUUAGUCCUCUUAGUUGAAGAUGACCUUAUGUCUUGCUUUAUAUGAUGUGCCUCCUAUUCCCAGCUUCAACUCCAACUGAAAGAUGUAAACGUAAUUGUCAGCAAAGAGUUAGAAACAUACCCGAAUCCACGUUUUAUAAGCAGAAACUACACUUAUUUGACAUGUUUCCUCAUUUUUUUUACUUGCAAAUUCAAAACCGUCUUGUCGGACCAGUAUAACAAAAUAAUGUUUACGAACAACUGUUAAAACUAAUCACAACAAGUUAAUGCAUAAAGAACUUACGGAUACGGAGGGUGCUAUGAGGCCACCGAAAAGGGUAAACCCCGCAAUAAAUGAAUUCACCUUGUGAUUAAUACUUUGCACAACUUUUUAUGAACCGACAAAAGGCUACAACAAAUUAUGGCUAAAACAGGUCGGGGAUAUGAAAAUAAAUGUCUUCACAGGGUCAGCAGCUUACCAGGGGAGGCAAAAAUGGAAUGAAUGAUGGAAAACUUGAUCUUCAUUUACCGCUCCAAGCUCUGCGCGUUUAAUCCGCUGUUGUAUCCUCAGCCUGCGAACCUACGCAUAUCGAAGCUCAUUCUUAAAGAACACAUUUCUAAUGGCAAUUGGAGAGUAAUUUAAAACAUGCUAAACUGAGAAAGUGGUAGCAACAAGCAAUUGCUCUCACCUCCUCCAUAUGCAAGAAAAUUUUGUUGCGACGACUCCGAAUAUUAUCUUGAAUUUCCUGCAGCUCCAUUGUCGCAAGGUCCUGCACUGUUUCAGGCCCCUCUAUGAUACAAAAUCUGCACAAUUAAGCAUGUAAAAACAAAAAUUUACAGGCUACAAAGCAAUUUCCAUAAUUUUUGGGUUAAUUAACAUCAACAGCAGAUAAAUCACAUGGGUUUUUCACAUAAAGUUACAAACUUUCAAAGACCAGUAAGCUGUCUGCAAUCUCAUAAAUUUCACAGUGCAAAGUAACAAUCCAAAGCUUGGAAAAUUUUCAUUUUCUGUUAAUUUCCUAGAGAGAGAGAGGGGGGAGUACCCGGCGGGGUUUGUAUCGGCGGCGGGAUUGGGAUCAGAAUCGACAGACGGAGCGAAAGAGGAGGAGUCGGGCUCCGAAGCCAUGGCCAGGGAUCACCAUCUGGAGCUGCUUGUUGAUAUGGGGCUUCUUGGGUAGCUGAAUUUGGAGCAGCCGGAGCUACGCAGUUUGUACGGACAGCACCGAUUUACGGGGAAAGAAACGGCAAAAAGUCUGCCGGAGCAGAGCAUCUCUCUCUCUCAAACCAGAAGGCAGAGCUUUCUGUUUCUCUACAGGUUUCUUUCACUGGUAAAUUCCGGAGAAGCAGAGAAGAAGGGUCAAAGGGCCAUGUAUAGUUUUAUAGUCAUACAAAAAAUUAUAUUUUAAUAAAAAAUGUAAGGCCAUAUUUUAUUAGGAAAAUUAAUGAAAAGGCUUGAAAACUUUGAGUUUUAAUGAUAAGGACAAAAUAAAGGGUAAAGUGAAUAGUACCAUGAUUGACUUUUUAGUGUAAAAAUGUGGUUUUUGGUUAAAGUAAACAGUACCAGGUGCUUUUCGUUAAAGUUCCCUAUUUUAUUCCAUAUCCAACUUAGUGGGCCAAUGGACCGUAGGCCAAACAUAGUCAUUUGACAAAAAUCUUAUCUCUAACCGAGAGAGCUAAAGGACCGUAGGCCGAAUAUAACUCCUUAAUAAUUUACUUUUAACGAGUGACUCAAUUAACUAUUUUCAUUUCUUACACGUUCAAAAUUAGACAAAUUCUUUGCAUACAUAAAAAAAAUAUAUAUAUAUUAAGGAGAGAGUAUUAAACUAUUACAUUACGGGUUUCGAACUCGCGAGAACCCUAAUGCCUCUCCACUAGGAUAUUAGACCAGUAAAUUAAAAAGAAAUAUUUAUAGAGGGCUGGAACCAGUCGAAGCUGGGGGGCUAGGCCCUCACGCCCAUAUUAUAUUACUUGAAAAAAAAACAUACAACAAGGAGGACAUAGUACUGAAACCCUGACAAUCAAAAGCAAAAUCAUAUACGACCACUCCAAGCAGUCAACAUAACCAUCACAUAUUGAAUCCAAAAGGUUGACGACCCAUUCGCUGCAUAUAAUGUACAGAAGAUAACAAAUUUUGAAGUGAUGCUCCAAGUAUGAUAUUGGGCAGAAAAGAGCGGCGGCUUCAACCACUUCUUCAGCUAUAUCCGGCUGGGUGAGAGCAGCUAAAGACAUGAUUGUUCCCUAAGAACAUGAAUACAUUGAGUAAACACCAAAAGUAACUGCUAGGGAAGGAGAUUUGAAGUAGAUUAAGAGGUUUAAUACCUGUGAAUGUCCAACAACAAAGACGUUGGAGCUUGUUGAAUACAUGCAGCGCAUCAUUUCUGAUAGAUCAAAUCGAGCCAAUUCCUGCCAACUCCAAUCCCAAAAAUCCUACAGUAAAGCAUAAAUCUUGUUCUUUUCUGAUAAAGAUGUGUCCCUGACUCCAACGUGUUUGACGCACAUUUUCUACCCAUACAUCGAAACCUUCAUCUGCUGGAGAAUUUAAGAAUCAUGCAUCACCUGGUUAAGAUCAAGAAAAGCCAGUAACCAAUUUCAAUUGAGUUUGAAGCACAUUAGAGCCCAAUUUAAAAUGUAUCCGAUGGAUGUUCAUCACUUCACACAAUAGUUAGUUUCAAGAAAGGAAAUUUCAACGCAACCUGAAAACUUCAGAUCAGGGGGCACCAAAUAGUGAGCUAUACAUUCAAAUUUUGAAAUAAUCAACGCACAAUAUGUUGAAAAAAGUUGGAAGGAGCUAUGAAAGUAAGGCUUUUCACUAAUCAGGCGUCCAGAGAAUCAAUAUUUUUACUCACGGAUCAGUUAGGGCGAACACUCCCCACCAAAGCAAUCUCAUUAGUACUUCACAUCUCAAACCAAACAGAAAUUGCAGUAACAAACAUGACAUCUAUUAGUCCUUCACAUCUCAAAUCCAGUAAGUACCCAUCUUUCGUCAGAAUCUGGAAAACAAGCAGCAGUGGAUUUAACAAUCUGGGUAUCUCAAAGUUACUCACUUUAAUCACAACAUAUAAAUGGGCAUUUUCUAGUGAAAUGUUAGUGUAGUACUCACUGUGUUGCUCCGAGCAAGAGUACCCAGAAAGCUCGAUGAGCUGAGCACAGAGGGACUGCAGUGGUGAAACGGCGACCGAUUCUGUAAAAUUCAGUCCGGUUUUGGGUGAUUUCUGAGGCUGAUAAGGAAAGCUGGGACGGAAGGGCACAAGUCUGGAAGAAAGGCUCUGGUCACCAUUGUCGCGAUUCGUGGAGGAAGAAGUGCCCCAAAACAAUUUCAGUCCUGAACAGGUGCACCGUUUGCACUGGGCCAGGGCCGACCCUGAAUCGCUAUAGCGUCCUUCUCCAAACAGUAUAUAUACAGAUGCUAGAAAUAUCUACCAGAACCAUUCAAAUCUAGCAUCUACAGCUUUAGCAUUUAGUUGGUACAAGGUACACUCUUCCGAAGGGAGAUGAAAUCAUUGAGGCUCUUAUAUAUUCCUCCUCUUGAUGUGCCCCUGUAGACUGCUAAUUCCAGACGAUCCAAUCUCAUACAUGUUCCCUGCAAAAGCAUGCGUGCCAGACUUCAAGAUCAAACUCGUUAGCGGAAUAAAUGGUGCACAAAGGGAUUUAAAAUCUUGACAUAUGUGUAUUUUUGGCAGAUUUUAUGCGAGCAUGCAACUAAAACUGGCAUCACUAUCAAUGGUGCACAAAGAUCGGCAGAAAAAACGUAAAGAGAAGCAAUCACAACGCAAAAUGUACGAAGUAAUCUGUCCACGUAUUGGGAAAACAUUAACACUGGAUGAGGGGAAUAAACAUGGAAUUUUGAUAAAAGUCAGAAUUUAUAAAUUGACAUGCAGUAAUUUUCUUGUUUGGAUUUAUAAACAUAUAAAUUUAGAAUUUCCGCGUGGGAAAAACAAAACUUGGAACUUAUGACCUCCAAUUCUCAAGUUUAAAUUUCAUGUAAAUAUGUGUCAUUUCUAAAUUUCCAUGAGAGAGUUUAAAGAUAACAAAUACUGUUAUUUCAAUUUCUAUCAUUUUAAAAUUUCUUAGUAAUCUUAAAUUUCCUCUUCCAAACAGAGUGUAACAGUUUGUAACUUCUCCAUUGUAUUUGUUCAACUAUGCAAUUUUCUGUAAAACUUAAAAGGCUGCUUAGCAUCUCUUGUUCGUUGUAUUGAAUACCAUGGUUUUACCGAUGAAUGCAAAGUUUGCUGAUGAUUCAUACGACAAGCAAUUGAAAAUCCCAUUAUUAUGCCCCACAUCAUUUACACAAAUUCAGAGGGCUCAUCCACUGUAAUUUGCAGGUACAGAAAUGUUAUGAUUAAAGGAAAUGCAAACUACCUUUCACCCAGAUUGGAGGAGCACCGGUGGCAUUAGCAAGUGAGCAACAGGAAUUGACAUACCAAUAUCUUCACAGUUUCCGCACAAGCACAAAUCAAAAGAAUCCGGCGGCGGAGUUAUGUACCUCUUCUUGGAAAAAGACACCUCUUGGGAUUUCAUAAAAUCCGGCUGUGCCUAGACGUCUGACCACGCCAAUUCCACCAAAGCUGCUGCAACGCGGCGUAGUGUCCGAUUGAUUGCUUCAAAACAGAGCUUCGUAUCCAUGUGUUUAUAAGCACAGAGUACCCAAAACCCCAGAAAAUUAUUUCUUUAUUCAGAUAAUAAAAUUUCGCAAAUUUCGAAUUUUAAUUCCGAACCAAAAAUAGGGUUUGAAUUUUGAUUACCUAGAAAUUGGGGGUUGGGGUGGAGAGGGACUGAGGCCAAGACGCAGCUAUGUGUCCGUGAUCAGGUGUGCCAAUUUACAGAGGGUGUCGGGAAGAUGCACAAGGCUUUUGCAGUUUCUCAGAUUUAAAUACUGAAGCCCCGUAAGGCGUUCAAUCCAGGGGGAAAGCUCUUUGAUAGAUGUUCCAUCCAAGAAAAGCGCUCUUAAUCCUUCCAUAUUUUCUUCAAUGCUUGGAAACACCUCAAACUUUGUACAACCGGAAAGAGAGAGAUAGACCAGGGACUUGAGCUGACAAAUGCUGCUUGGAAGACCCUUAAGUUCCUUGCAAUCAUCUAGCUUUAAAUAACUCAAUCCCGUGAGAUUAUUAAUUGACGAGGGCAGUUCUUUAAUUUUUGACCCGGAAAAAUAAAGAACUUUUAACCCCUCAAUCACUUCUGAAAUCUCUGGAAACAUCUCUAGACUCGAGCAACCAGAAAGAUUAAGAGUUUUGAGAGAUUUCAUACGAAUGCUGCUUGGAAGACACUUAAGUUCCUUGCAAUCAUCUAGGAGCAAAUGACUCAACCCCGUGAGGUUAUUAAUUGACAGGGGUAGUUCUUUAAUUUUUGACCCGGAUAACUCAAGCUCUUCUAACCCCUCAAUCACUUCUGAAAUCUCUGGAAACAUCUCUAGACUCGAGCAUCCAGAAAGAUUAACGGCUUUGAGAGAUUUCACAAGAAUGCUGCUUGAAAGACACUUAAGUUCCUCGCAAUGAUCCAAGCUUAAAUAACUCAACCCAGUGAGAUUAUUAAUUGACGAGGGCAAUUCUUUAAUUUUUGACCCGGAUAAAUCAAGAAAUUCUAACCCCUCGAUCACUUCUGAAAUCUCUGGAAACAUCUCUAGACUCGAGCAACCAGAAAGAUUAAGCACUUUGAGAGAUUUCAUACGAAUGCUGCUUGGAAGACACUUAAGUUCCUUGCAAUCAUCUAGGUGCAAAUGACUCAACCCCGUGAGGUUAUUAAUUGACGGGGGUAGUUCUUUAAUUUUUGACCCGGAUAACUCAAGCUCUUCUAACCCCUCAAUCACUUCUGAAAUCUCUGGAAACAUCUCUAGACUCGAGCAGCCAGAAAGAUUAAGGGUUGUGAGAGAUUUCAUACGAAUGCUGCUUGGAAGACACUUAAGUUCCUCGCAAUUAUCUAGGCUUAAAUAACUCAAACCACUGAGAUUAUUAAUUGAUGGGGGCAAUUCUUUAAUUUUUGACCCGGAUAAAUCAAGAACUUCUAACCCCUCAAUCACUUCUGAAAUCUCUGGAAACUUCUCAAGACUCAGGCAGCCAGAAAGAAAGGAAUUUAAGAGAUUUCAUACGAAUGCUACUUGGAAGACACUUAAGUUCCUUGCAAUCAUCUAGGAUCAAACGACUCAACCCCGUGAGGUUAUUAAUUGACGAUGGCAGUUCUUUAAUUUUUGACCUAGAUAAAUCAAGCUGUUCUAACCCCUCAAUCACUUGUAAAAUCUCUGGAAACAUCUCAAGACUCCAGCAGCCAGAAAGAUUAAAGGUUUUGAGAGAUUUGAUACGAAUGUUGCUUGGAAGACUCUUAAGUUCCUUGCAAUUUUCUAGGUUCAAAUGACUCAACCCCGUGAGAUUAUUAAUUGACGAGGACAGUUCUUUAAUUUUUGACUUGGAUAAAUCAAGCUCUUCUAACUCCUCCAUACCUUCUAAAAUCUCUGGAAACAUCUCAAGACUGGAGCAGCCAGAAAGAUUAAAGGUUUUGAGAGAUUUCAUACGAAUGCUGCUGGGUAGAAUCUUAAGUUUCUCGCACCCUUUCAGAUUCAAUAAAACAAGGUUUCUAAGAGUCCUAAUAGACUGGUGAACCUCAACUAAGCUUCUACAACCUUGAAGAAUUAGCCUCUCAAGAUUUGGCACAUUUGUGAAGUCAGGGGUUUCCUCAAGGUAUUGACAAUAACUUAAAUUGAUGACUUCCAACUUUUCCAGCGUCUGUUAAAACAUUUAGGAAAGCAUGCAUUACUUAAUAAGACAUCUCACUCAAAACCCAAACAUUUAAAAGAAACAAAUACAUGUAAAUGAUUGUACAUACCUGGGUUCCUUCCCAAAGUCGGUCAAUGAGACUAAAUUGCAUGUCAAGUUCAACAAGAUUUUUGAAUUGAAAGUUGGAUAGCAAAGACUUGAGAGGGAAUCCAAACCAGGAGAGAUACCUCAAGUUAAGUAACUUAAAGGGCCCAAUCAAGUGGUGUUUGCAGUAAUCAUGUUUAGAAAUGGAGUCCUUAUGACUGAUCUUGAUAAGUCUUAGUUGAUUCAUGCUAACAAAAGCUUCAGCAUUUAAGCAUACCCAGUCUGAGUACGAGAAAUCCACGAUUAUGCUUUCAACUGAUUUUGUAGCCUGUGUAAAUCAAAGUAAGGGAAAAUACAGAGAACCUUAGUUUAGAUUAUGAAACUAAUACUUGUUUCUUAAGGAGCCGUUUGAUAAUCAUUUUGUUUUUAGUUUAAUUGUUUUCAAUUUUCAAUUAUUAAAACAAUAAACACUAAAGGUUGUACCCAGUGCACAAGGCUCCCGCUUUACGCAGGGUCUGGGAGAGAUGAAUGUUGGCUAGCCUUACCCCCAUUUAUGGAGAGGCUGCUUCCAAGUCUCGAACCCGAGACCUACCGCUCAUGGGCGAAGGCACUUGUCAUCACACCAAGUGCGACCUCUUAUUAAAACAAUAAACACUAAAAAUUAAAAAUUAAAAACAAAAAUACUUAUCAAACGGACCUAAGAAAUUGAUUUUGAUCAAAAGUUGAAACUUUUUAUUGACAAUAAGAAAAAGAUUUCUCACCGUAUUUUGAGAUAGCACGUGAUGAACAUCUUCAUAACUACACAACCUACUUCGUCUCCCAGGCUCUUUGAUACAUUCUUGGCGGACGAUUUCCCGACCCAUUUCCUCUAAUGAAUCAUGCAUCUCCAGUUCCCCCUCCCCUGAGACAGUUAUGAGAGCUCGAUCGAUUAGAACUCUUAUUCCAGUAUAAGGAUGGAAACCACAAACUUCCAGAAUUCGGGUUGCACAGUCUUUCUUCAUCCCUUUAAAGAAACAUGCAAUGUCCAGAAAGAUGUCCUUCUCCUUGUCAUCUAGUCCAUCGAAGCUUGAUUUAAGCACAUCAUGAAUUCCCCUUCGUGGGAUUUUCCUUAUUUUUUCUAACUCAUCUUCCCACUCGCGUAUAGUUUUGUUACCAAGAAAAGCUCCCAAGACUUUGUGUGCUAAAGGCAGGCCUUGAGCAUAUUCUACGACAUGAUUCGAGAGAUCAUCAUAAUCUCUGGUAGGUUGGUUUUUUCUGAAGGCGUGCCGCCUAAAGAGUUUCAGAGCUCCAGAAUCACUCAAAAUCUUGGGAUUAUAUAUCACAUCAGCUAUGCUUAGUAAUUGCGAAUCUCUAGUUGUUAUAAUAAUUCUGCUUCCACAACCAAAGGAAUGUGGCUCUUCAAGUAAAGCUUCAAUUUGUUCUAAUUCGUCCACAUCAUCAACAACAAUAAGAACUUUUCUCUGACCAAGGCUUUUUAACAUCACCUGAAAACCAUUUUUUGAUAUGUCAGAACUCCCCACCUUGUUGUUCGAGAUAUUCGAUAGAAGUUGUGCCUGCAUAUGUAGUUUGCCAUGCUUCAUGAAACCUUCCUUGAAAUUUUCAAGAAAGCAACAAGCUUCAAAUCGAUUAGCGAUUUUAUCAUAAACAGCUCUAGCGAUGGUUGUUUUGCCUAAACCACCCAUACCCCAUAUUCCAACAACGCGAACAUUAUUCGUUUCACCUCCGGGAGGAUAUAAUAAUAAAUGCAUUUCAUGCAUGUGAGAAUCCAUGUCAACCAAGCCAUUAUCUUUGCUUGAUGUUGAUGAGAUGUCGAUCAAUUUCCUAUAAACAUCUUCUACAAUUUCCUCAAUAAGCACCGCAUCAUUUCUGUCAAAUUUAAAAAACAAUAUAAUAACACCACCAAAUGAUAAUUAAUGGGUCUUUUUCAUCUGUUAGUUUUCAAAAAAAUAGAAAUUAAAACUAAAAACUAAAUAUUUAUCAAAUUACCCCUAAACGUUACAAAAAUCCCAAAAAUUACUAGGAAACUAAAACAAAUUAGAAUUUACUCAUAGUUUCGCGAAUCCCAGCCGGCUAAACUGGUGGCAGUUGUAAGAGCGGAUCUCCAGCUCCGAACCUCCUCUAUUUCGGCGUUAGAAUCGAUAUCGUGCUGAGCAAAAGCUUCCGCGAAACUUUUCUUGAGUUUACGAACAUCAGACGGAUCAACUUCAUAGAAAAUGGGGAGUACAAUCUGGUUAUUGGUACCUUGCAUUCCAGGAUUUGCACGAGUUCCUUCAAGCACCAAGUGGAAGAAGCAUAGUUUUGAGAGAAAACUACAAUCGAAAGCCUCGACUCUUGAAUCGCUGUCAGGAGCUCGGAAAGGUGGUCGCCUUUUCUGAACUUUUCGGCAUCAAUGAAGGCGUUGAUUGGUUUCUUAGCCAGAGCGUUGUAGAGAUGGCUGACGAAGCCCCUGCGAGUGUCUUCCCCUCUGAAAUUGAUGAACACAUCGUAUUUCCAACCAAAGCCAGAAGAAGAAAAAGAAGAAGAAGAAGAAGCAACCAUUUAUCGAUCGCACCUGGUCACCGAUGAUCGAGCAGUUAUGACUAAGAGAAUUGUAAGUACAUAAAUACUCAAUGAGUCAAUGCAAAAGGGAAAAAGCGAAAAGGAAAUGGUUGUGAUAUCCAUACUUUAUUUUACUUUUUUAUACAUUUUUGAUAAUUUAUUUUUGUUAAUUUUUUUUAAUUCAUCUAGUUUUACAUUUAAAAAUUAAAAAAAUUUAUGAGAAGUUGAAAUGUGUGAAUAUCACGUCCAAAGGAAAAUUAUGCUUUUAUGUGUUUUCAGAUCUUCUUCAGGGAAAUUUCGAUGGGAAUGGAAUCUGCAUGCUUUUGAUUUUUAACCCAAGAAAAUGCCAAGAAAGGGGUCAAAGUAGUAAAUUUAAUCUACACUUGCCUACCCAACCACCUCUUAAUUUAAUAUAUUUAAUCGAGAAAAGUAGGUUAGAGGAAGGAUGGUAUCUCCUUUUCCUCUCUCAGUCUUCCAGCAUGCCAUUUAAUCAUGAUUAAGGCUAAAGCUUAAUUAUAGAUCUUGAUUGGAUUAUUAGUUUCCGUUGUAAUAUGGUGGUUAGAAGAUUAAAAAAAUUAUGAUUUAUGCUUUCAUAUGCUAACAAUUAAUGAAGAAUUAACAAAAUUUUAAAUUUUAAAUCUAAAUCCUAACAUAUUUUACCAUAGAAGCUUAAAUCUUAAUUUACUUAUCACAUGGAUUAUUUUAUAACUACCUUACUAUUAAUUCAAUUAAACCUAUUAUUUCUACGAAAACUAAAGAAAAGUUAAAAAAAAACUUUAGUUUUAAUGAAAAAAGAAAAAUGAAUGUGUAGUAAAUAAUACCAGAAAAAAAUAAAAAAAAUAAUUUUUUAUUAAAAAUAAACAGUAUAAAAAAUGUUGCAUUAAUACUCUCAUUAUUUAUUUACAAAUACGUGACUAAAUCACAAAGUGUUAGAAUGAAAGGGAGCGCUCAAAACGAUGAAAAGCAGGAGCACAGAAAGCUAUCUCCGUUUCUUUGUUGAGCGGACAACUGUUUAUUUGUCGUUCUUUUGGCAGAUAGCUCCUAAUGGCCCAUUUCCACAGCUGGUUAUAGGAUUCUGUUGCUAUAUAAGAAGUGUUUUGUUGUAAUUCAAUAUCGAUGGAAAUUCAACAGGAUCUUUUUCAAAAUUUUGUGAGGAUUUUGGGGUGUUCGUGAAUCUUGUUCAUCGUAUAUUGUGUAGUUGUUUUUUAUCGAAUAUUAUUUUUGUUUAAUUUUAAAUAAAGUAAUUUAAAAUAAUUUUUUACUGCAAGAUGUAUGAUGAACGUAUAUGAUUCACAGAUCUCCAAAAUCCUCACAAAGAAAAUCCAAAAAUGAUCUGAAUUCAAUGGAGAUAAGUUAAUUUUGAAUCAAAUAACAUUAGGAAAGAAAAAUAACAUUAGACGCCAGUCGGGCGAAGGAUUGGAGCCUAGUGCCUAGGCAGCUAGGCGAAGCCUGGGCGAUUAGGCGGCUAGGCGGCCUAGACGGUUUUAAAUAAUUUAUUGUAUAUUUGUAUAAAAUUAUUAUUAGCACUUCAAAAAUCUCAUUUUAUACUCCAAAUUUUCUAUAUUAAAAAAGAAAAAUACACUUAUGAUGAGUGUAGAAUGAGAUUUUUGAAAUGCCAAUACACUUCUCUAUUUUUAUUAUAUAAAUCAGUUGGACUUAAAAAAGAAAAUAAAGAAAAUAAAACAUUGUUCAAAAACUAAAACUCUAUAAAUAUAAAAAGUCAGGUCUUGAUUUAUCAUUACAAUUGAUAAAUAAAGGAGUGUGCUAUCUACACAACUUUUUUUACUUCUCACUCCUAAAUAAAAAAAUGAUGUGUGGAUAUCACAUCCCUAAAUAAAAUAUAUAAAUAUAGAUAGUUGGAGGAUAUCCAAGAGACAUUCUUUGGAGGAUUUUAGAGAAGAAAGGAGUACGAGUAUAUAUCCAAGCUAUAAAGGAUAUGUAUGAAGGAGCAAAGACUGCCGUAAGAACUCAUGAAGGACAAACCGAAAGCUUUCCCAUAACUGUAGGAUUACAUCAAGGCUCAUCCUUAAGUCCUUACCUUUUUGCGUUGGUAAUGGAUAAGUUAACAGGACAUAUUCAAGAUGAUAUUCCUUGGUGUAUGCUUUUCGCAGACGAUAUAGUGUUGAUAGAUGAAACUCAGGAAGGGGUAAAUGCAAAGCUUAACCUUUGAAGAGAAGUGUUGGAAUCUAAAGGUCUUCGCCUAAGCCGAUCAAAGACAGAAUAUAUGGAGUGCAAGUUCAGUACAAAUGAAGGCCAAAACGAGUUAGGGGUGAGGAUCGGAGAUCAAGAAAUACCAAAGAGCAACCGUUUUCGUUACCUAUGAUCUAUCUUGCAAAAGAACGGAGAAUUAGAUGGAGAUCUCAAUCAUAGAAUGCAAGCUGGAUGGGUGAAGUGGAAGAGUGCAUCCGGCGUGUUGUGUGACCGCCGUAUGCCACUGAAGCUCAAGGGAAAAUUUUAUAGGACGGCAAUAAGGCCGGUGAUGCUGUAUGGCACAGAAUGUUGGGCAGUGAAGCAUCAACACGUACACAAAAUGGGUGUAGCGAAGAUGAGGAUGCUUCGUUGGAUGUGUGGGCACACGAGAAAGGAUAAGAUUAGGAAUGAGGAUCCGGGGUAAAGUAGGAGUAGCCGAAAUUGAAGGAAAGAUGAGAGAAAAUCGGUUACGGUGGUUUGGACAUGUGCAAAGAAGGCCUACUGACGCUCCGAUUAGAAUAUGCGACUAUGGGACAGAGGUUCAGGGCCGAAGGGGUAGAGGAAGACCUAGGAAAACUUUGGAAGAGACUUUAGGAAAAGACUUAGAGUACUUGGAUCUAACGAAGGACAUGACACAGGACCGAGCACAAUGGCGUUCUAAGAUUCAUAUAGCCGAUCCCACUCAGUGACUUGGAUUUUCCAAGUCUCCAACCGAGAAGUUUUCCUCACUCGGGAAAUUAAGGGAACACUACCUCAACCUACAUGCUCCACUCACAAAGCUUCAACAAAAGAAAAUUCAAAGAACUUAGCGAAGAAUGAUUUGGUGUAUUUAACACAAACGUUGAAAUGAAGGAAAGCUUAUUUAUUGAUAUUCCCGAUAAGCUACAAAUAUGUACAUAUACAUAAGGUUGCUUAGGAGAAGUCUCAGCAGCCGGUAGAGCCCCAGAAAGAGAAGGCACCAGAGGGGGAUCAUUCGGAGCCUCAGAACUGGACAGAACCCUAGAAGGAUGAGGCAUCAAAGGUUGAUCAUUUGGAGCUUCAUUACGCGGUACAGCCCCAGAAGAUGAAGGCAAUAAAUGCCUUUGGAACAAACCCACAAAUCUCUGAUGAUCAAGUAAAACCUGACCAUCAGAUUCCUUCAUCUGGUCAAGCUUCCUCUUCAUGUUUGUAGCAUAGUCAUGUGCGAGCCGGUGCAACUGUUUAUUCUCAUGCUUGAGCCAUCUAAUCUCCUGUUUGAGACUCAUCACUUUAGCCGCCAAUGAUUCAACUUGGCGGGUUCAAGCAAAUAGGCGUUGGGCCGUAUUAGACACAGAACCUGCACACUGAACACUGAGAGCCAGCGAAUCCUUAACAGCUAACUCAUCAGACCGUUUGGAAAGUAGUUUGUUAUCUUUGGGAGUGAGAAGGUUCCUGGCCAUCACCGCAGCGGUCAUAUCAUUCUUCAUUACGAAAUCCCCAACGGUAAGAGGACCAGUAGGGGAGACGAAGGAUGUGCGCCAUAUGUUGUCUGGAGAAGGCGGGGCUGCCUCUUUAACAAGGUUCAAGUCAAAACGACGGUCGGAGGGGCCAGACAUUUUCAAAGGUGUUGAAGAGAGAAGAUGUCGGAUAAAUCAAGAUCUUAGAAGUGCAAGAAUGGAGCUUCUACUGGUGGAUUUCAAGUGUGCUUUAGAACUUAAUGACAGCCCCUAUAAAAAUCUGCACUCGACGGAGCUUCAGAAAUCGAAGAGGCGUUUGCUUUCUCAAAAGUUGGGCUGCUCAAAGACCACGAAGGCCAAUCUCAGAAAUCGAAGAGGCGCUCGCUUUCUCAAAAGCUGGGCUACUCAGAGACCACGAGGGCCGAUCUCAGAAAUCGAAGAGGCACCUACUUUUCCAGCCUUGUCAGCACCUGUCACACGCACACUCAGCUUUGCGGAAAUUAUGGGCAUUCUGUCGAAGACUUCUGGUGAAGUAAAAAGCACAUGAAUCUUACUGUUCAAUCACCCACUUCCCACACGCAACAAUAGCUCAUGGGUACCACAGAUAACUUUGCCAAAGUUGAGCACGUGAAGCUUGCAGCUCCUACUACAUCGCUCUGACCAAGAAGGGUAAAAGAAUAGCAAAGAAACAGCACUAACAAAGUUUAGACCCAUAAAUUUUGAAGGUCUAGCUACCAUAUUAUUACCCACAAGGGUAAAGGAACAGUACCACUGCUGGAUAAUUGGAAAGUCCCUGUGUGUCAACCUCUGUGCUUCGUGGCAAGGUAGACUAGCAAACAUGCCCAACCUUUACUCACAUUCGAGAAAACACUCCCAAUAAGAUUGCUUGCUCCAAAAUCGAAGAGGCACCGUCCUCCGAAUCUCGAGAGCCAGACUCCCAACAUGAAUACUUUCUCAAAAAAAUCGAAGAGAGGGUAAAGGAACAGUACCAUUGCUGGAUAAUUGGAAAGUCCCUGUGUGUCAACCUCUGUGCUUCGUGGCAAGGUAGACUAGCAAACAUGCCCAACCUUUACUCACAUUCGAGAAAACACUCCCAACAAGAUUGCUUGCUCCAAAAUCGAAGAGGCACCGCCCUCCGAAUCUCGAGAGCCAGACUCCCAACAUGAUUACUUUCUCAAAAAUCGAAGAGACACUGCUAUCCCGAAUCUCGAGAGCCAGACCCCCAGCAUGAUUGCUUUCUCAAAAAUCGAAGAGGCAUCGUUCUCCGAAUCAAUCGAAGAGGCGCUCGCUUUCUCAAAAGCUGGUGGGCUGCUCAGAGACCACGAGGGCCGAUCUCAGAAAUCGAAGAGGCACCUACUUUUCUAGCCUUGUCAGCACCUGUCACACGCACACUCAGCUUUGCAGAAAUUAUGGGCAUUCUGUCGAAGACUUCUGGUGAAGUAGAAAGCACAUGAAUCUUACUGUUCAAUCACCCACUUCCCCACACGCAACAAUAGCUCAUGGGUACCACAGAUAACUUUGCCAAAGUUCUCUGCCAAAGUUGAGCACGUGAAGCUUGCAGCUCCCACUACAUCGCUCUGACCAAGAAAGGUAAAAGAAUAGCAAAGAAACAGCACUAACAAAGUUUAGACACAUAAAUUUUGAAGGUCUAGCUACCAUAUUAUUACCCACAAGGGUAAAGGAACAGUACCACUGCUGGAUAAUUGGAAAGUCCCUGUGUGUCAACCUCUGUGCUUCGUGGCAAGGUAGACUAGCAAACAUGCCCAACCUUUACUCACAUUCGAGAAAAACACUCCCAACAAGAUUGCUUGCUCCAAAAUCGAAGAGGCACCGUCCUCCGAAUCUCGAGAGCCAGACUCCCAACAUGACUACUUUCUCAAAAAUCGAAAAGGGUAAAGGAACAGUACCAUUGCUGGAUAAUUGGAAAGUCCCUGUGUGUCAACCUUUGUGCUUCGUGGCAAGGUAGACUAGCAAACAUGCCCAACCUUUACUCACAUUCGAGAAAACACUCCCAACAAGAUUGCUUGCUCCAAAAUCGAAGAGGCACCGCCCUCCGAAUCUCGAGAGCCAGACUCCCAACAUGAUUACUUUCUCAAAAAUCGAAGAGACACCGCUCUCCGAAUCUCGAGAGCCAGACCCCCAGCAUGAUUGCUUUCUAAAAAAUCGAAGAGGCAUCAUUCUCCGAAUCUCGAGAGCCAGAUCAUCAAUAGGAUUGCUUGUUCGAAAACCGAAGAGGCACCACUUUCCCAACUUCAAGAGCCGGAUCUCCUUGGAUAAAGCUUGUCUAUAAUCUUCACACGGAACAUCAGCUUUCCAGAUACCACAGACCACUUUUUCAAAGUGCUCUGACAGAGUUAAAACAUGUGAAGCUGGCAGGUCCCACUACCGUGCUAUGACUAAGCAGGGUAAAGGAAUAGCAUUACUACUUGUUGUUAGGGAGACUCCUAUAUAUGUCGACCUCCAUCCCCAACGACAGGCAGACCUGCAAAAAUGCUCAACCCUUCCUCAUAUCUGAGAGGCCACUCCCAACGAAGCCUUUCAAAAUAUUCAGCUUUCUUCCCCCUCCCCGAUAAUACCUCUGCAAACAAGCUAUACUAGAGCAAGAAUAUCUCAUAUCAUCAGGGUUAAAAGCAAGAGUAUCCCAUAUCAUGCUUUUUCCCUGUCUUUUCCUUUGGCCUUGUUUUUACCUGCAAGACAAGGAGAAAGAGAGCAAUCAGUCAGCACUUGGAAUCAAGCUUCCAGCCAGGAACUGACUGCCUGGAACCCCUUACCUGAUUACUUACCUGGCAUUGCUCUCGAGUACUCAUCUUCAACAUCUUAUGUUUCCAGGGAAGAUUACCGCAUCUGCCUUGAGGAACAGAUAGGGCAAGUGCGAAGGAUACAAGGAAGCAUGUGGAGACAAGCGUAACAGCACACGUGCCGAUACAUCCAUUACUCUGUCAAAAGCAAAAGUAUCCCAUAUCAGCAGGGUCGAACGUACUCUAGAUUUGAUGGACUUGUUUUGACCCUCAAAUUCUUCAGUCGGCCUUAUACUCUGGAGGAAACCAGAAAACCCUCCAGCUCAGUUCAAGAAUAAGCCUGUGGAAAGUUACUUCUUCAAAAGCAAAAGUAUCUCAUAUCAUCUCUUCUCAUUUUUCUUCUCUUUAUCCUUCAUGCUGCCUGCAAGAUGGGGAGAAGGUGAACAAUCAGCCGGAGCUCUGAUUGCUUACCUUGUCUGUCACCUCUUUCAGCAGAUCCCCUAGCUCGGCGACUUGGGGGACUCCUACUACAUGGUUUGUAUCGCGCUUGACCAAGCCUGAAACUACAAGUAAGCUUCAAGUGAAAUUGAUACAUUACCUUGUGCAUCUCCACCAGUUAAAGAUACCACCCCUGGAUGGAGGAAGAGUACUUCCAGAGAAGAUGCCACAUCUACCUAUGAGACAGAUAAGGCAAGUCAAGACGAUACCACACUCCGAUACUUAGAAGUUUCGUGAUUACGAGAUCAUUCUCCCACAAUAUUUCCUAAUGUCAUUUGUACUAAAUCAUUCACUUGUACUCACUAAAGGAGAGCUUGAACCUAUGUACUUGUGUAAACCCUUCACAAUUAAUGAGAACUCCUCUAUUCCGUGGACGUAGCCAAUCUGGGUGAACCACGUACAUCUUGUGUUUGCUUUCCUAUCUCUAUCCAUUUAUAUACUUAUCCACACUAAUGACCGGAGCAAUCUAGCGAAGAUCACAAAAAGCAACCGUUUUCGCUACCUAGGAUCUAUCUUGCAAGAGAACGGAGAAUUAGAUGGAGAUCUCAACCAUAGAAUACAAGCUGGAUGGAUGAAGUGUAAGAGUGCAUCCGGCGUGUUGUGCGACCGUCGUAGGCCACUGAAGCUCAAGGCAAAAUUUUAUAGGACGGCAAUAAGGCCAGCGAUGUUGUAUGGCACAGAAUGUUGGGCGGUGAAGCAUCAACACGUACACAAAAUAGGUGUAGCGGAGAUGAGGAUGCUUCGUGGGAUGUGUGGGCACACGAGAAAGGAUAAGAUUGGGAAUGAGGAUAUCCGAGGUAAAGUAGGAGUAGCCGAAAUUGAAGUAAAGAUGAGAGAAAAUCGGUUCCGGUGAUUUGGACAUGUGCAAAGAAGGCCUACUGACGCUCCGGUUCGAAGAUGUGACUACGGAACAGAGGUUCAGGGCCGAAGGGGUAGAGGAAGACCUAGGAAAACUUUGGAAGAGACUCUAAGAAAAUACUUAGAGUACUUGGAUCUAACGGAGAACAUAACACAAAACCGAGCGCAAUGGCGUUCUAGGAUUCAUAUAGCCGACCCCACUUAGUUGGAAAAUGCUUUGUUGUUGUUGUUGUUGUUGUAUAGAUAGUUGGCGCUUUGUAGUGGGCGGUAAGUUCUAGUUUUACCAUUAAAAAAUAUACACUGUCAAACUAGUGUGGGUUCUAUCAAUUUUUUUAGUAUUUUAUUUAUUUUUUCACUCUGUCUCCGUGCCAUGGUCUUGAUAUUAUCACUCCUUUAAUAUUUUAUUCAUAUUUUAUUCUACUUGAUUUAUGAUGGUGUGUUUUUUUGACCAAGGUUUAUAAUGGUGUUUGUUCUAUAAGUCGGCAUAUUUGCCAACCGCAAUCGAUACUGUCGUUCUCAAACACAAAGCAAUAGUUUGCUACCGAAAACAACCAAAGUGUGACAAAGGGAACCGUCUUACACCUAACCUGUUUUUCCCUCAUCAAAUGAGCGCGUUGAUCUGCAGGUAUUUUCUGCCAUCUCAAAACCUGUUACAAAGAAAUAUAACGUUGAUGUCGAGCUGGAUAGCAUAUUAUACCAAUUAUGUGUACAAACCUAUUGAAAUAAAGUAGCUGUAGUUGCAUAUUACGACAGAUAUUAACGAAAACAAAAGAAGGCUCGCCUAUUCAAGAUCCUAAAUCCCGUGAUUCUUUUGUUUUUAGUUUCAGAAAUUUUCAGAGCACAAACUGGAAAGUACCAAGAUACUUACAUAUUGGGCAUAAUGAAAUGCAUCUUCAUCUUUCAAGCAAGAUUUGAGUGAGCGCAAACCGUCCUGAGAGUUACAUAAGUCAAUCAGUAAUAUAAAAACGUAUACGCAUCACAUCCAAACACAAGUAUUCAAACACCAACAACUUCUUCAUGCGGUGAGGCAUGUUAAAAAAUAGGGAAGAACAGUUAUUGAAUAGGAAGUUAAAGGACUAAAUUUAUGACCUUGUGUUUGUAGUUCUUGGCUCGUAUGCGUUCAUCUAUUACAAAACCAAUCUGUAACAGGUACAACAGAAAAUAUAAGCAGUAGUCAGAACAUUAAUCUUCGGCAUUCACAUUGCCACCAAUCCAAAGUUAAAAGUCUGAAGGCAAAACAGUAUGAUUCUUAUCUCUCAAACAAAAAUGAAACUAUACCCCGGUCUCAGACAUAAAUGAAAUAAGUUCUACUGCCUCAACUGAGUACUGUGAUUAUAUAUAAAUCCAAUUCACCUUGUCAAGUAAUCUCUUAGGAUCUUGAAAUGCUUCCUUCUUAGCCCAGUCAUUAAAUACAUGCGAGAAAAUUGAUCUCUCAUCCACACUGAAUCUAUUGCACAGUGACAGAAGAAUAAAGUUAAACAUGAACAUAACCAACCAAAAAUGCUAGUUAUAAUAGUACACCCAUAAUUGCAAGCAAAACCUUUUUAAGAAGCCAUUUCCAUGGUUUUCCUCCCCAAAUUCCAUCAAUUCUGCAGAGGCAACGUCAAAUUUACUAUGAUGGAGAUCAUUUUGCACUGUAAUAACUUCAGAAGGUAGGAGAUUUGGUUUCAGAUCAUCUGUUGACGGAGUAGUUUCUUUUGAAGUGUCAUGAUGCUUUGAUUGCAAGCCUUCUGUACUUACGUCAGCCUACAAAACAAAAAUUGCAUUCAUCCACACUAGACUUAAUAAGAUUAGAAACACUUCAGAUUCUUCAUUAUUUGUAUUUUUGACUAAACAGCAGAACAACUGAGGAUAAUGAACAGUAAUACACACCUGGACUUCUCGUAGAUGAUUUGGAAUUUCUUUCAGAAAUCGCGAAGGUUGAAGCAUCUGAAGGAGUCACCUUCUCAGUCAGAGCAACAACAACAAAUAAGGAGGACAGGAAUUCAAGCUAAAACGAACCUGCCAACUGGAAUCCAUCGUAACAUAAAGAAUGAAAAGCUUUUUUCGAGCACGAGUCAUUGCAACAUAUAAUAGGCGUCUCUCCUCCUAUGAUUAGAGUGGGAUUAUUGAGUUAUUGAUCAAAAGAAAAAAGAGUGGGAUUAUUGUGAAAAACAUGUCAAAGCUCUGCAUAUAACUGAAAAAUGUUGAACAAUUUACCACACACCUCAAUGGAGGUCCCAUUUUCUUUUGCAACCCCAUUGAAUUCAUGCAACAACGGGAUCUCAGAUUCAUUUACCUGUGUUAUUGGCAUGAGCAUUAAAGCAAGCUAAGAUGAUUUGAAGAGGUUGAUAUCGUCAUGAAUAUAGUAGAACAGAGAAUACCAAUUUCAAGCCAUCAAUUAGGUAUAGCAUUGGCAUGUUUAAUCCGUAAAAUCUAAUGACAGAACACCUCAACUCUACACAUAAAUAAAUAAACAACCUGAAAAAUAUUACAGCCACAUGUUAAGGCAAAUACCUUAAUUAUGAAAACUAUAUCCCACUCUAAACCUUUUGACUGCAAGAGAAUGAAAAAGAAAGACAGUAAGCCAAGAAUGUUUUGUAGAACUCCAAAGGAAGUCCAAUAGGGAAAUCAUCGCAAGUAUAAGAGUUAGCGAGGUUCGCAUAAGAGGAUAUCAAAAAGAUCUAGAACCUGAUGAAUAGUAGUCAAAGUGACAGAACUUUGGUUGUCAUGUCUUCGGGAGUGAAAAUUUUCACUCUCCUGCUCAGAUAUGUAGUCGAUGAAAGCUUUGAGUAAAUUAACGCAGCCUUUUUCUUCUGCUACGACUUCUCUCUCUCCCCUUUUCCCGCAACAAAAUGAGUUGAUAAGAAAUCAGAUACGUCGUCUAGUAGGUACUGAAGAACCUGCAAUGAGAAUAAUCGCAUCACAGCAACAGGGUUGGACCAAGAUUUAAGUGACAACAAUGAUUAACUAACUAAAAUAGAGAAAUUAUUCAUUUAAGACCUUGUUGACGGAAAAAAGGGUUUUCCAAGCAGCGGGUCAUUUAAGCUUAUUGUAUAAAUGACAAUCAUCACAAACGGCAAACUUACAGAUCUCACGUCAUUGUCUUCAUUCAGCAGUUUUCCUCCAUCUACAUCAACGACUGCACGUUGCUCAAGACGGUACUUCUAAAAAUUGAAAGUCAACAACAACAACAACAACAACAAAGCCUUUUCCCACUAAGUGGGGUCGGCUAUAUGAAUCCUAGAACGCCAUUGCGCUCGGUUUUGUGUCAUGUCCUCCGUUAGAUCCAAGUACUCUAAGUCUUUUCUUAGAGUCUCUUCCAAAGUUGUCCUAGGUCUUCCUCUACCCCUUCGGCCCUGAACCUCUGUCCCGUAGUCACAUCUUCGAACCGGAGCGUUAGUCGGCCUUCUUUGCACAUGUUCAAAAUCACCGGAGCCGAUUUUCUCUCAUAUUUCCUACAAUUUCGGCUACUCCUACUUUACCUCGGAUAUCCUCAUUCCCAAUCUUAUCCUUUCUCGUGUGCCCACACAUCCCACGAAGCAUCCUCAUCUCCGCUACACCCAUUUUGUGUACGUGUUGAUGCUUCACCACCCAACAUUCUGUGCCAUACAACAUCGCUAGCCUUAUUGCCGUCCUAUAAAAUUUUCCCUUGAGCUUCAGUGGCCUACGACGGUCACACAACACGCCGGAUGCACUCUUUCCAUCCAGCUCGUAUUCUAUGGUUGAGAUCUCCAUCUAAUUCUCCGUUCUCUUGCAAGAUAGAUCCUAGGUAGCGAAAACGAUCGCUUUUUGUGAUCUUCGCUAGAUUGCUCCGGUCAUUAGUGUGGAUAAGUAUAUAAAUGGAUAGAGAUAGGAAAGCAAACACAAGAUGUACGUGGUUCACCCAGAUUGGCUACGUCCACGGAAUAGAAGAGUUCUCAUUAAUUGUGAAGGGUUUACACAAGUACAUAGGUUCAAGCUUUCAUUUAGUGAGUACAAGUGAAUGAUUUAGUACAAAUGACAUUAGGAAAUAUUGUGGGAGAAUGAUCUCGUAAUCACGAAACUUCUAAGUAUCGGAGUGUGGUGUCGUCUUGACUUGCCUUAUCUGUCUCAUAGGUAGAUGUGGCAUCUUCUCUGGAAGUACUCUUCCUCAAACGAUAAAUUAUUACGAAGCAUUGAAUAUAAGCAUGAAACGAAGAAAAUGUUAUGGAAUGGUGAUCCUCAUCCUCAAAGAUGAUUAAAAGCAAUUUGAUUCAAAAAUGACAUAUCAACUCUGGAGAAAUGGAAGACAAACCUGUGGUACCAUAUUCGCAACUGAGGUUAUGACAGCUGAAAUCGAUUGUUCCUGUGUGCAUUGAUAAGUGAGACUACCAUAGAGAUUCACAACUAAAUAAAGACAGGUAUUCCACAGAACAACCUUUACCUCUUUGGAAACACAGAUCUAACAAAAACUAUAACAUUUUGGAUUAAUAUUGACGAAUCAAGAAUAAUGCAAGGGAGCAAGAGAUACUCUUCCUUCUAAUAACAAGGAGGCGUGAAAAGUAUACAGAGUUCCAACAAUUAGAGAACUAAAAUCAAACUAAAAAAAUCACCAAAGUAGACAGAAUCUCACUUCGCCAAAAAUUUGAAAAUAUAUCCUUUUUAUCCAUUGAGAUUCAUGAACUACUACUACUACUACAUCAUGCCAAUAAGCAAUGCGUAAGAGGUGCUACAAUUUACCGAAUAUAUUUACCCUGAGAACAAGUUUUGAAAUCAUCUCUAGUGUUAACAGCACCUUGCGUCCUUGGGUAAGCUGAGUCCUAUUAUCAAGUAAAGAGACCAAUCAGUACAUAUCCAAAAGAUCUUAAAUGCUUGUAAUACCAAAUAAGAAAGAAACAUGAGUAUAUCUUGAAUUAACCAUGUAAAAAUGUAAUGUUAAAGCAUCUUGUCAUACAGACCUCUUCAAGGUACCAGAAAUUUUUGCACUAAAGAUGUCACAAGCAGCUGAUAUGAAGCUGCAUUUUCUGUGAGUUGAAAUUUUGUCAAUAUAAUCGAUCACCUGAAGAGAGAGAGAGAGAAAAAGACAGUGAUAUCCAGAGAUGUGAGCCUAAAUGCUGAGUGUGUAAAAAAAGAAGAUUAAAUGGAUAGCAAGAAUAUACAACUUUAAUGCUGAAAAGAACAUUGAAUAUGAUGCUCAUUCAUCAUUCCCAUUGAACGUGUACCUUCUUCUUUUCCUCUUUCUCAAAAGCAAGUAGAGCCUUGAAGACUUGCCUAUAUGAUCCAUCAUCACAACCAGGCAAAGUUGUUUUAAUCAUAGCAACAAUGGCUCUAACUACCUGCCAUAAGAAACAUGCUACAUCAACAAGAUCACAGAGUGUACCAGAAACCGUAAUGUAGCAAAAUCUUGGAUAAAAUAGCUGACCAAAAGGGAAUGGAAAAGCAAGCACGAAAAACAAUGAAAAGGACCAGUGAUGCCAAAAUUCUGGUGGAAAAGGUGAAAAGCUUCUGCCUAUUACAAUUUUUGUAUGCAUUCUUUAUAACUUAAGUUCUACUAGCAAAAACCACCUUAUGCAAAAUAAUAUUGGAAAAAUUAGAUACAUACAACUGAGAAGAUAGGUUUUCAUAAUCUGGACAAGUGCUAACUACCUUCUUCCUAUAAACUGCCACUCCAUGAACAUUAAAUGGUAUUUUCCUUUCACGCAAGGCUGUCUGGAAGACUUUUCCUGAUACCUGUAGCAUAAAAUACAAAAGAAAAUGUGACCAAAAUGUCUUAUAUGAUUCACCUCAUUCACAUUAGCACUAAGGCAAGUAAGCUUGACCUGCCUCCGGUAAAGGAUUGCUAUAUUUCCAUAGGAGCACCCUGCUUCUGACCGUUUCGAUGCAGUCUCCAGGAUCUUGUCGACAACAAAGGCGCAUUGUGCAUCCUCAUUGUGACUUUCCUUGAUAAUUACCUACAUUUUGCCAGUAAAACCAGUGUCACUAACUAAAAGGACUGAAAAAUGACAUCAAAUUGUACUUGUUGGAGCAAGGAAAGAUUAAGUACCUUAGACCCAGAAGAAUUGUCCGUGUCAACAUUCUUUAGUUGGCAUCGCUUCUUAUUGUUUUUUAUAACAGAAGAUGCAGCUUCCACAAUAUAGCGUGUGGACCUAAAGUUUUUAUUAAGCCUAAUCUGAACCAUAAAGUUAUGUCAAAUCCCACAGAAACCCAUAAAAUAAAACUUACUUUCCUGUAAUUGUACAAUAUAUUUGUUCUAUACUAUAUAUAAUGAAAAAAGACACUGUGAAUGACAUAAGAUAACAUAGCAGUCAAGUGCGAAGCGAACCUCUUUGUAAUUUGAAAAAUCUUUACGAAAAGAAUCAAAUCCAGAAAUGUCCGCCCCAUUGAAACUGAAAAUGGACUGCAGCAGGAUAUAUGUUAUUUGAUUUAGAACAGAUAAGGGCUGGAUUAGAAUGAGCUGAGAGAGAGAGAGAGAGAGGGAGAGAGGGAGAGAGGGAGCAAUAACAUUGGAUUUCCAUAAUAAAUCAACAACAUGCCUGAUCAUCAUCACCAACAAUGGUUAUGUGGUUAUGAGAGGCGAGAAUCCGCAAAAGACUAUAUUGCAUAGCACUUGUGUCUUGAAACUCGUCUAUUACAAUAGCUUUCCAUGACUCCUGGCACUCCUUCAACACUAAUUAAGAGAACACCAUGUAUCAACAUUUAGCAUUACUUGUAAAACUAGAUAAAUCAAUGAAAUAUACUUAGAUGAUAGAGACCUUCAGGAAAAUCACUUAGCAGCUUCACAGAGCAGCUAAUUAAGUCGUGGUAGUCCAAAGCGUUGCACGAUUUCAAGAUAUCAUUGUAAUUCCUAAGAAUUUCACCCUGAUUCAGAUUGAGAGCUAAAACUCAUAAGCAAUAGUUUCAAAGAACUGAAAUGAUAUCUGAAAUUCUAGUUCUGAGCGUACUCCUGUCACAUCACCCAUUCUUCGGCAUUCAGCGGGAGUCUUUCCAGAAGCUUUUGCCUGAAACAUAAAUAAAUUUACUGCCUAAUGCCACAUAUUGUAAGACACACCAUUGUAUUGGUCAUUCUAGCUUGAUUGUAGCUAAUAUUUUUUAAAUCGAAUGAUUAGAGUUCUUAAUCCACAAUAAUCUGAACAUUAAAUUUGGUAUUCAAGACUAACCUGUGUCACAAACUUCAGCCAUUUCUUUGAUGCAUCCUUAAAAUGAUGUGGAGAUGUUACGCCGUCAGACUCUUCCCCAUCUAUAGCAACAUUAAGAUUCGUUUUACUCUUUUCAUCUUCUGAUAACCGCACAGCUUCAAUGAUUGCUCUUCUCUGUUGCCCAUGUCCAUAUAUCAAAAAUUCUGGUCUGCGCUUGAGUCUAAAACACAAGCCAACAUAACAGACUCAGCUAUACCACCAAAUGUAUGGUGUUCAAAAUCAAGGGAGGUGAAUCAAUAGCUUACUUCUCAGCAUGUGAUCGGCAAAGUUGCAAUGAAAAUGAAUGAAAUGUACUGAUUGUUAGUAGUUUUGCCGUUGCUUUCCCAGUCACAGAUCCAAUUCGAUCUCUCAUCUCGGAAGCUGCUGCUGUAGUGAAAGUCAUUGCUAGAAUGUUCGACGUGCUAAUGCCCUAAGAACACAAAAAAAAAAAAAAAACGAAUAAGAUUUCGAUCAUAAACAAGAAAUGUAGAGAAACACACAAUUACGAAAGAAAAAGUUAGAGGGAAAGUAGCAACACCUCAUUGAGCAGCAUUAGAACGCGCCCAACUAUCGUUGAAGUCUUUCCACUUCCAGGGCCGGCAACAAUCAUCAAAGGUACUGAAAUAUAGCUGCAAGCUGCCUCACGCUGCCUUUCGUUGAGAGAAAGCAAAUACUUCAAAUACUCAUCCGGCAUGUUAGGCAAUCCAUGGUUAACAGAAUCUGUUUGGUUUUCACUACUCAAAGGCGGCGCUGAUGGCACUAACGUGUUAUGACCCAAAUUAUUACUGAGGUUUUAUGCUUUAUUACUGUGAGGAAUUGUUAAUAUACCAGCUGGCAUUUAAAAGUGUAGAGGUUUUAUAAAAGGAGCCCCAGCUCCCCCAAAUGUAUCAGAUCAGAAUUUUACAAAAGAAAUCAAUAUUGGAGCUCUGCUCCUUCUUCUCUCCUUCCCUCUUCUUCCAUAGCUUUCUUGUGCCACUUACAGGUUGAUUAAGGGAAUUGAGAAUUAGAUCUUAUCAAUGGUAUCAUCCUUCUCGAAUCCUGGUUUCCCUCCUGUGCACACCCACCCACCUACGUUUUCUGCCAUGGUUGCUGCGCCCAAGGAUUCGCUUCGCGAGACCCUGGAUGCUCUAUUCGCACCCUACCUGGCUAAGAUCCGCCGUGCCCGUGAGUUGGCUCUCAGCGCUGAGGGAGACUCCACUCCAACCCUUAUGUUCGCUAUCAGUGAUGGGGGAGUUCCUGAUCCAGCCCCGAUGAUUGCCGAUGACGCUGCAGGAAUCGAUCUCGGUCAGAAAAUAAUUCCACGAGUCGCUGCAUCAACUAAUCAGAUUCUGCCGUUGCUCUCGUCAUCGCCGUUAUUGCGAGCACUAGCAAAUCCUCCUGUCAGGCCACCGUCGAACUCAAACGCUUCAUUGGCAAAUUCGCCCAGCCAGCCGCUACACUCAAAUGAUAUUGUAGCAGCCACAAUUCCAUUGCGGAAUGUUGAGAAAACCAGGCCCGUUGCGAUUGUGACCACAAUGCCGCUAUUUCCGAUUUCAGCAACCUUUAGCACUGAAUCAGCCCACGCUCACAAUCACAACCUCGUUUUGAGCACCAAGGAAGCUACAACAAUGGCGCAUGUUCUGGGUUUUCCUCUCAAGAAAGCAGGAGCUACUAAAUCUGUAGGUAUAUCUCAUACAAACACCACGAAGCGUCGACACGAGGUAUUGACAUCCUUGCUUUCCAAUUCUACAAAUCGGAAGGACAAAUGGUAUUGGGUUUUGCAGGUUAUUUUGGCAUAUUAUACUGGUGUUAUUGUGAUAAUGUAUGACGACUUCUUAACUGAUAAAUGUGGAUGGGGUAAUUGGUACCUUGUGGGACAAUUUGUGUUACACGCGCCCCUAAUUUAAAUCGUAUUUUUACUAAAUUUGAGUUUAUCUUGCUUUUAAAAUUAUUUUUGGGUUUUAAAUGGUGUGCCCAAGGCCCACCCCCUGUUUUGUCCCCCGUUCCCUUUCCCUUUCUUUUAUUUAUUUUCUUCUUUCUUCUUCUUCUUCUUCUUCUUUUCUGUUUCUUUUUCUUUCUUUUCCGUCUGUCCCUCUCGGCUCUCUCUGCGCCCUCUCUUCUCUGCACCGCAACAAGCACACGCACGCACCCAUUGCACCUGCGCGAGGAAGACCAUCAUCAUCUCGUCCUGCUCUCUCUCCCUCUCGUGUUUGCGAACCCAGAAAAUCGGAAAGGAUCUUCCGCGAGAUUUUUAUAUUUUCCGGUUAGGUAAGCCUCAAAUCCCUCUCUUUCGUCCUAGAAUCUUUUGAGAAUGGGUUCUAAUUGGUUUUAUUUCGUGAUUUUUGGAGGUUUUAGGAUGAAAACAAACUCGGGUGCAGGAACACCCAUUUCCGGCGAGGAACCCGCCACUUUCGAGUUAAUCUCCGGCCAAACCACGGCGAGUUGGCCGGCGUGCAAGGUAUCAAUCUCUUCGUCUCGUCGAUUACUACAACUUUCCUUUUUGUUUCACCCAAUUUCGUUGAGUAUUGAAGAAGUUAUACUCAUUUGAAUCUUACCCAGUUUCCGGCGAGUCCGACGGCUUUCGAGGCGUUUUCCGGUCAAACCACGGCGAAUUAGACGUCGUGUGAGGUACCAUUCUCUUCGUCUCUUCGAGGGCUACAACUUUCGUUUUUGUCUCGCUUGAUUUCGUUGAGUUUUAACAAAGUUAUAGCCAUUUAAAAUUGGGUGGUUUUCCGGCCGAAAUUCCAGCCUUCUUCUUCCUCGGGUCCGGCGACCCAUCAAACUUGGGCCCUUUGGGCCGUUUCUGUUAAGGGCUUUAAGCCCAAACCCUAAACCUUUGGGCUUUAGGACCAAACCCAAGAACCCAAACCCUAUGACCCAAACCCGGAUCCAAGCCCAGACCCGUUUGACCUGGUCCGACCCGGAUCCUGACCCGUUGACUUUGACCGGUCAACGUUGACUUUUCUAGUUGACUUUUCGGGUUUUCGUCCAAGACCUUCCUAGGCUAAUUUCGACGUCCUGGAUCCGUUUUUGAAGUUCGUUUUCCCAAAUUCAAUCGUUUGAGUAGAGUUUGACUAAAUGGAUCAUUUAUGUGCUUAGGUGAAUUUAAUGACGGCGGUUCCGUUAUUCCUAUUUGGUAUGGCGUUGCACCAACGGUGUACGGUGAGUGGACCCCUUCUAAAAUGCAUGUUUUAUAGUAGAAAUGCAUACAUAAAAAGUAUGAUUUGAUGAUUACCUUUUAUGAAACGUUUUGUGAGAUAACAUGCUUAUUGAGGCUACUUUAAAUUAUUACUAUUUUUCCUAUAACCCGUGUUCUUAUAGAAUAUCUGAUGGAUGACGAUAUGAUAUUAGAACAUGUUUAGAACACCUCUUUAUAGUAUAGAUGAUGGAUGACUUUAUACUAUGAAGUUGUUUUUCAAUAUAUAUGUUCAAUGGUUUUGUACUUACCUAGUGGUCAUUUCCGCUACGGGACGUAGGGAUAGAUUCCGGUCAUUCCCGGGCGACGGUUUGGUGUUGGCAUAGGGCCUGGAGUGUGUUUCCUCUGGCUAUUUAGCACAGGGACGGGGAGCCGGCAUGGGGCCUGAAGUGUAUUUUCCUCUGACUGUCUGCUCAGAGACGGGGAGCCGGCAUGGGGCCUGGGGGUUAUCGGACAAUUCACUAGUGAUUAUUAUAUAUAUAAAAGUUAUGAUUUGAGACACUGCACAUCAUGCUAGGUUUCGGAAAACCUAUGUUUAUCAUUAUAUAUGUGUUUUCAUAAAACUUGGGGGUUAGUACGUUGAUAACUGUUUUGUUAUAUUUAUAUCAAAUUGGUCCACUCAUGUUUGUUUUGCGCCCCCUUCAGGAUUUAGGAUCGAGGCGUACAAUCCCGGCAAUCCAGGCACUUCCGCAUCGGUAUCUUCAAGUCCUCUCGGUGUAGAACCCACUUCUGUGUUCAUUCAAUUUUUAUAUUAAUUCUUUUAAUGUUCUAGAUUAGAUGUGUGCUCUGAACACGUUCCUUAAAUGCAUAUUCUUUAUUUAUAUUUAUAAGUUUUAUCUAUCCUUUAUUUUCAGCAAUUGCACUCAAUAAAUGGCUUUCGUCGCCCUCGGGUGUCGGCCAGCACGUGACCAUCCUGAUAUCCUGAGGAUAUCGGGAUCGGGGCGUGUCAGAUUGGUAUCAGAGCGUGGUUUGUUCAGAGCAUACUUAGGAUCCUCUUCUAUUAUCGUAGAGUGUUGGUUUUGACAUCAUUUGGAUGUCCAGACUUCUAGAUUUGGUGCCAUUCGGCGCAGUCGUGCGAAUCUUCCUCUAUUUGAAUUGUCACAUUCGGGUUGAUAUACAAGAAUUUGUGUCGGGAUUGUGCCUCAUCGGUGACGUGUUUGAAUUGUUGGACGACUUUCAGCUUCAGAUUGAUACUCUACGACGUGCAUUCCCUGGGAAUGACGGGCAUAGUCGGUGUUACUUGGAAGCGACGGAUUUUAGAAAUCUCAGCUUAAGGAAGUCUGGUCAAGACCAGCUGUAAAUUCGAAAUGGCGAUGCCACUCUACAACAUGCGUUCCCUAGGAAUUGCGGGCGGAGUCGGCUUUGCAUCGAAAUCUUGGGAAGCGGAAAAAAAAUCUUGGCAGUACGAAUUGACUAAGACCAACUGGAGUUCUGAAGCGGUGUUGUACUCUGCAACAUGCGUUCCUUAGGAAUGGCGGGCAGAGUCGUAUCUCUUUAGAAAUUACUCGAAACUUUCGAAAUGCAGAUUGAAGAAGCGAGUAAGUGCUAGUGGUGACGACGGUUAGUAGGUGGUAGUUGGUGGGAGCAAAAUCAAUGUUCUCGAACUCAUUACCACUGAAGAAAUUUGGGUGAAUCUUUAUAACAGUUCUCUGUGAUUGUUUUAUCGAUUACCUUCUCGUUUAUUCCAACGACGAAGUCAAGUUCACUGACCUUUGAUCGUCAGCUUCACAUCAAAUCCCUCGAGAGUUGACUUCGUCUAGAGAUUAUACUUUUCUUGGGAAACUCCUCGGUAGCAGACGUUAUUCUCAUCAAUUUCGAAAUGGAGUUGCGAUUCUUGUUGUUGUUGUAGUUGAACUUGGAUAAUGAAGAUUCAGCCUUGUUUGGAUAAACAAAUUCCUUGAACUUCACCUGGGUUUGGUACUUGGUAGUAAACCCUAGUUCCUCAUCCGUGUACUUUUCAGUGAAGGUGAACUUAGUCCCUUGCUUGCAACCUAACUGUUCAGCCUUGUAAUUUUCAGCGUAAUGGCUUGAGACUCUAUCAUAUUCAUCAUUGUACGAAGAUCGAGCUUUACUCUGAACUUCUCUGGGCUCGUUAAGCUUUGAUUUGCUCAGAGGCAUCACUUUAAGGUAGCCAAUCGUGUCACUGCAUGCAUACACAAGCUGCUUUGUAUCUUUCUUCUUCGUUAUUCUGCUGAUUCAGAGGUUUUAUGUUUAAUUUCUGAAUUUUUAAAUGACUAUCGCGAAGUACCGUGAAUCUCGAAAUGUCUUUGGCCUCGUCAAAUCUUAUUAAUAGUUCUUGACUAUUCUUGAGAUUAGACUUGUUCCUUUUGGCUAAGAAACCAGUCGACCUUAUUGUGAUGAGUAGCCAAAUAAUCAUAAACAGUAACUUCUAUUUCUGCAUCUUCAUUUUCCUUCGUUUGUUUGUUUGUUUCUCAAUGUGAACUGGAUCAUGCCGGGACAUUACACGAAGGGUGUAAAAAAAAAAAAAAAAAAAAACGUUUGUUCUCGGCGUGGUUUCUAGUUCAAAUCCGGAUAUCUUGUACUCUAUAUUUAAUGGACUUGUUUUGAACCUUAAAUUCCUGAGUGUUCUUUUAGCCUUAUCGACAUGGUUUCUCUCUCAAUUAGUGAGAAAUUCAUGAUCGAUGGUUUCGGCGGAAGUGUGCGCCCAAUUCUUAUCGAUUUGGACAGGAAUGUUGGGAGCAUAAUCUUUUCACAAGCUUACUAGACUUACCAGAAAGAGUUCCACGUGGGUGUGAAGUUUGAGUUGUCUUUUGGUAAGAGACUGGUGAAGAUUGUGGUGCAGAUGAUUAGCAGAUUGUAUCACUAUCUUCACGCUGAAUUGAAUGGUCACCAUUCAUUAUCCUGCUGCAAUUCAUAAUCAUCAUAUCUUACUCUGGUAGACAUUUUUGAUGAUGUGUUCGCCUCAACGCAGCUUUCCACUACCUCUCACCAGGAUCCUUCGGUUCGAGAGCACGUGGGCGUGAGGUUGAGCGGUCUUUUAGUAAGAGUUGGUUGAAGGUUUUAGUUCAGAAGGUCAGCAUAUUGUAUCACCAUCUUACUAGAAUUCAUAGGCAUCACAUCGGUUAUUUUCCAACGAUAUGUGUUCGUGUCAAUGCAUACUUCGACUGCUUCACUUCUGAACCUUAUUCUUGUGAGUAUGUGGAUGUUGAAUCACUUAUAGCAGAUUUGUUUGGUGCACUCUGGAAUGGCACCACAACGUAGUUGAGAUAAGAAUCGGAAGAUCUUUGCACUUUUUGCGAAUGGUGUGUGCUCUCAUGGGGUGUUUAGGUUGAUUGCAUGAGAGUCAUUCUUUCCUCCAACAUUGAUCUUGUUUGACUAGAAAUCUGCAACUAAGCAAAAAUGGAGAGGUGGAUUGAGCACUACAACAGUUCCCAAGAGAUACUGCGUGUUGAGGAAGAUGACUUCUCGUUUUCUGCUUACCUAGUUCGAGCUUUUGGGUCUACUACUAACAUGGUGGCCACUUCUCUUGAAUCCCAAAGUACAGUUUCAAAUGGGUUCUUUGUUGGCAUAACUCUGGAGUAGUUGGUCACAUUUGGAAUAACUGAGGAAGAGGUUGUGCUUGGUACUAAAGGGAGUUAGUAUGACGAUAGUUAUUGGUUUUGUUCGAUUUGGGUAUGGCACUAUUUGCGACAUGGUACGAGAGUUGCUACACGCAACAUUGGUUGAUAGAGGAGACGUGCAAGCUUGUACUUGGAGGAUCGAAUUUUCGACGUGUGAAAUUGUGCACCCUCAGGAAAUUACUGCUUGUUUACUGAGACAACAAAUGUGUGGUCGAUAUCGCGGGCGGCCGACUGUGGUAUCGAUAAUUUAUUUGUUGGGUUCGUUAAGCAAGUGGGGCAGGAAUAUCCUUUUACGGCAGCCGUUAAAGAUUCACUAUUGUUAGAACUGGACCCAAAGACACAUCUAUUUUCGGAGUACGCGACGUUUCGAAUUCUUGGGCAAGACCCACUCUCAUUCUUCAGUUUUGGUUUUCAGUAUAAGUAUUUUAACCUCAUUUACUCUAGUUAAUUGUUUUGCCAUUACAAAUGUUUUUGGAAAAGUAUUUCCGUUUUCAGUUUUUAAGUGUAGCUCGAAUUUUCAACCUAUAUGUUGGUACAUAUCCAUUUUGACGUUAUCGUAUGUUAUGUUCUUACUUUUGACCUUAAUCUAUUUUAUGUUUUCGACUUUAUAUCUUUAUAAAGUAUGUUUUCUACUUUUACACUGAUGGGGAAGAAAGUAAGCUUGGAGGCAUGAUAGAGGAUUUUGCAACCCGCUCGCGACGGUGUGGUAUAUUCUCUUUGAUGCACCCACUCUGACUUGAUUUCUCUUUAUACAUAUAUUCUUCUUACUAUUUUCGUGUAUUUCAGUUUAGUAGGUGAUUUUAAAUUUCGGGGACGAAAUUCUUUUUAAGGGGGGUAGAUUGUUACACCCGCCCCUAAUUUAAAUCGUAUUUUCACUAAGUUUGAGUUUAUCUUGCUUUUAAAAUUGUUUUUGGGUCUUAAAUGGUGUGCCCAAGGGGCCCCACCCCCUGUUUUGUCCCCCGUUCCCUUUCCCUUUCUUUUAUUUAUUUUCUUCUUUCUUCUUCUUCUUCUUCUUCUUUUCUGUUUCUUUUUCUUUCUUUUCCGUCUGUCCCUCUCGGCUCUCUCUGCGCCCUCUCUUCUUUGCACCGCAACAAGCACACGCACGCACCCAUUGCACCUGCGCGAGGAAGACCAUCAUCAUCUCGUCCUGCUCUCUCUCCCUCUCGUGUUUGCGAACCCAGAAAAUCGGAAAGGAUCUCCCGCGAGAUUUUUAUAUUUUCCGGUUAGGUAAGCCUUAAAUCCCUCUCUUUCGUCCUAGAAUCUUUGAGAAUGGGUUCUAAUUGGUUUUAUUUCGUGAUUUUUGGAGGUUUUAGGAUGAAAACAAACUCGGGUGCAUGAACACCCAUUUCCGGCGAGGAACCCGCCACUUUCGAGUUAAUCUCCGGCCAAACCACGGCGAGUUGGCCGGCGUGCAAGGUAUCAAUCUCUUCGUCUCGUCGAUUACUACAACUUUCCUUUUUGUUUCACCCAAUUUCGUUGAGUAUUGAAGAAGUUAUACUCAUUUGAAUCUUACCCAGUUUCCGGCGAGUCCGACGGCUUUCGAGGCUUUUUCCGGUCAAACCACGGCGAAUUAGACGUCGUGUGAGGUACCAUUCUCUUCGUCUCUUCGAGGGCUACAACUUUCGUUUUUGUCUCGCUUGAUUUCGUUGAGUUUUGACAAAGUUAUAGCCAUUUAAAAUUGGGUGGUUUUCCGGCCGAAAUUCCGGCCUUCUUCUUCCUCGGGUCCGGCAACCCAUCAAACUUGGGCCCUUUGGGCCGUUUCUGUUAAGGGCUUUAAGCCCAAACCCUAAACCUUUGGGCUUUAGGACCAAACCCAAGAACCCAAACCCUAUGACCCAAACCCGGAUCCAAGCCCAGACCUGUUUGACCUGGUUCGACCCGGAUCCUGACCCGUUGACUUUGACCGGUCAACGUUGACUUUUCUAGUUGACUUUUCGGGUUUUCGUCCAAGACCUUCCUAGGCUAAUUUCGACGUCCUGGAUCCGUUUUUGAAGUUCGUUUUCCCAAAUUCAAUCGUUUGAGUAGAGUUUGACUAAAUGGAUCAUUUAUGUGCUUAGGUGAAUUUAAUGACGGCGGUUCCGUUAUUCCUAUUUGGUAUGGCGUUGCACCAACGGUGUACGGUGAGUGGACCCCUUCUAAAAUGCAUGUUUUAUAGUAGAAAUGCAUACAUAAAAAGUAUGAUUUGAUGAUUACCUUUUAUGAAACGUUUUGUGAGAUAACAUGCUUAUUGAGGCUACUUUAAAUUAUUACUAUUUUUCCUAUAACCCGUGUUCUUAUAGAAUAUCUGAUGGAUGACGAUAUGAUAUUAGAACAUGUUUAGAAUGUCACAGCCCGUCCCGGGAUUUCUAUAUCGGGGGCGUGAAUUGACGUAACUACCCUUGACGGACAUUCGGGUACGUGUGUGUGCGACAUUAUUGAAUUAAUUUUGUAAGUUUUGGGAUUUUAAUUUUGGAAUUUGGAAAUUUUUGUGGUUAGGGAAUUGGAUGGAUGGUGAGGAUUGUGUUGGACCACACAAUCACACACACACGCACUCCCUGUCUUCUCUCCCUCCCGUAGCUCUCUCUGUCCCUCUCCCUCACGAUCUCUCUCUUUCCCCUCACCCUAUACGUACGGCCUUCACCCAAAACCCUUCAAAACUCGACGGAUCGAGGCAAAUAAGGUAUGCAUCUUCAUCCUUUCGUCGUCCUGAGUUCAUUGGUGCUAGUUUUAGGAAGUGAAACCUUCGAUUUCACAUAGAUCCCGAACCUCCAUUUUUGAGGUACUGUUCAUGCGAACGUAAAAUGUUGUGUUUCAGGAGAUUUCAAGCUUGUGGUGAGCUUUAGGAGGUUCCUAAGGAAGCUCGGGGACGUUCGUUGGAGAGUUUUGGACGUCGGGAUCGUAGGUUUCAAGUUUGGCCGAAUCUUUGGUUUUUCCAAGGUGAGAUUUCGUAGUUUUUAGGCCCUAAAACAAGUCCAACGUGAUUGUACACUCUUAGGGCUUCAAUUUGGUAUAAAAUACGAAGAAAAUGGGUGAAAAACGAAGGAGAAUAGUGAGUUUGAAAAUCGGCCGGAGUUCGGCCGGAGUCCGGCCACCAGAGAACCAGUCCGGCGAGACCUGCGAAGAAGACGACACGUGCGCUGCACGUGCUGCGCGUGGCCAGCGCGUGGACCCGUGCCACGUGUGGCGCGUGGGGGCGCGUGGGGCUUCCAAAAAUUUUUCUAAAAAUUUCUCGACGCUCGUGACGUCGAGUAGGUCGAUGUGGUAUAUUAUUAUACCAAAAUUGAGCAUCGUAUGAGAAGUUAUUUCAAAUUAUUGGUGAUGUGCUUAAAAUUAAUGUUUUUAUAGUUGUUUCGCAUAUAGGUGAGACGUAUCCCGAGGACGACCGCAUCCAGGGACGCCACGGGGGUUACGACGACCCGUCGACUUAUCAGUGAGUGGGCAGUUUUGUUUUCGUAUUACCUAUAUACUACUGUUUUUCCCAGAAAAAUGUUUAUAUGAAAAUAUGUUUUGAAUAUGCCAUGCAUAGAAUUAUUUGAAAAUCAUGAAUUGGUUUAUGAACUAUAUGAUUGAAAUAUGAUGCAUACAUGUUGCAUGGUGCUGUGGAGGCACAGGUAAGUCAGGUGAGUUCAUUUAUUCAUUGAAUUGUUGUUGUUGAGAUGAGUUGAGCUCAUAAUCUGCACCCUAGGUGUUAGUGCUUAUAUUAUUCACCACACCGCACGCUCGUCUUGGAUCCAAGUAGGUGGAUGUCGUACAGACCAUGUGAGGGUUCCGACAUGCUAGUCGUACAGAUCACUAGGCGUGAUUCCGACUAGUGGGUGACCUUAGUUAUGCGCGCUGAUGAUAUGAUGAGAGAAGCACUAGAGCGUAUUUUUACACCUUUCAUCGUAUAGACUACCUUACGUAGUUCCGAGUGAUGUGCAGAGUAGGGCCGUAUAGGUCACUGUGGUGACUCCGGCUUAGUGGGAUUUUUGAGCUAUUGAAUUAAUCGUAUAGGACCAACUGCAGGGUCUCCGAUUGAUUCCUUAUUUCACCUGAUUUAUAUUUUUUAUUUAUGUCAUGGCAUGUUUUCUUGAAAAUGUUAAAGAUUUGAGAUUUAAAUGUUGAGAUUUUAUAUGGUUAUAUAUAUUUCUGGGAAAGUAUACAGGUUUUUACGGCGAGGGGAUAUAACUGUUUUAAUGAAAUGUUUUGGAAAACUAAUUUGUUUUACUGACCCACUCAUUUUGUUUUGCGCCCCUCCAGGUUCUAGUUUAGCGGUGGUUGGCUCACGAGGUCCUUUCCGGCUUUCUGACAGAUUUGGGACAUGUAGGACUCACCUGAGGGUGAUGUAUUCUUAUUUUAGUCCUACUUGACUGCAGUUAACCUAUGCUCUGAACUUAUGUGUUUACUUGUAAACUCGUCCGGUUAUGUCCGUAUGUGGUUAUGUUGAGUUUGGGUUGAAUUUCUGUUGUUAUUACGCUUCCGUGUCGUGCUUAUGGUUACGUCACGCCCACGUGACGGCCAGCACACCUGGAUCCUCCGGAUCAGGGUGUGUCAGUUUGGUAUCAGAGCUUAGGUUGCAGUCCUGUAAAAUUGUUAAUGUCUUAACGAUCUUUUUGAUGUUUUCUGUCAGAAUCAUGCCGCCUCGUAGAGAGCGUAGGGAGUCCCGCCGUACUCCUGAACCUAAUUUCCCAGAUAUUACUCAGUUAGGGGAAGCGAUGGCCCAGGCUUUACAGAAUGUGAUUCGUCCUCCCCCUCCUCCGAGGACACCUCUGGAGACCAUGUACAACUUGAAGUUAGAUCGGUUUAUGGGUAAUGAAAGUCAUGAGGGGGCAGAGAAAUGGCUUGAUCAUAUUGAGAAAACCUUUCAGGUGAUGCAGAGUCAGGGGAAUCUCCCUGCUAAUAGGUGGGUGGAGACCACCACUUGGUUUCUGGGUUGUGAACCAGCAGCAUGGUGGAUAAAUCAGGCUAGGUACAUGUCACCUGAGACGGCAGCCGACUGGAAAGUAUUCAAGGAGCAUUUUAUGAAGAGAUUUCGUUCCUCCUGAGUAUAUUGACCGUAAGAAGCAGGAAUUCACCAGGUUGAAACAGAGAAAUAUGUCGGCACAUGAAUAUUAUAGAAAGUUUACUGAUUUGUCUCGUUAUGACACUGAUAUAGCUGGUAAUCAGGGAGAGAUGCUUCGACGUUUCAAGUUGGGAUCUAAGAAGAAGUGGCGUACCUUUGCCAAUGCACUUCCCUGCGCUGAUUAUCAUGAGUAUUUCGAGAUUUUGGUUAGGAUGGAGGACUCUGAUAAUCUUCCUGACAGUGAGGAUGACGAGGACAAGAAUGAGGGUCAGAAGAAGAAUGAUAAGGGUAAGGGUAUUUCUAUUCCUGGACCUCGACAGACACAGAGUUUUUAAGAAGAGUGGAGCGAGUUCGAGUUCUUCUAGUGGGGGAUAUAGUUUUACUGGCCCGAGGAGAGGUGGUGGAAGAUUUUCUGGUGGACCCAGAUUUCAGGGUCAGAGGGAUGCUGGUGGAUCUGGCGCUCCAUGGUGCCGCCGUUGUAACUCCCGUCACCAUGGUGAGUGUAGGAGAGGUUCUGGUGCCUUGUUUUUACGUGUGGGACAGAUGGGACAUCGGGCUUCUCAGUGCCCCCAGGGUCAGCAGAGACCGCAGCAGACUAAUAUGCCACCUCCAGCACCAGUUCAGCAGAGUUUUGGGACCGGGUGGUUAUGGCCAGCCGAGUCGUGGUGGUGCCUACCACUAUCAGGGGGAUGCUGCUCCGUAUGCUUCCGGACCUUAUCAGUAUUCUCAGGAGCCUUAUCCUCAGGCAGGGUAUUCUCAGGAUUUUGGAGGUUAUUCUUCUUAUUCCUCUAUGCCAGCUGGUGGAUCGCAGUGGCAUCAGGGAGGCCAGCCCCGUCAGGGGGAAGUUGCUACUGGUGGUGCAGGAUCAUCCAGGCAGCCUAGUCAGCCAGGCCAGGGACGAGGUAAUCAGGGCAAUAGAGGCCGAGGUGGACGUCAGCAAGCUCAGGGGCGAGUUAAUCAUAUUGUCCCUGCAGGAGGCUCAGAACCAUCCAGACUUGAUAAUGGGUACGUUAAAUGUUCUUGGUCAUUUUGCUAAGGUUUUGAUUGAUUGUGGCGCUACGCACUCUGUGAUUUCUCAUACGUUUGCUCAAAUAACCCAACCUCACCCUUCACCUCUAGGAUUUGAUUUAGAGUUUGCCAUGCCUAGAGGAGAUAAAUGUAUUGUGGAUAGUGUGUAUCUGGGGUGUCCAGUGAUGGUUGAGGGCGUGAUUAUGUCCGCUGAUCUUAUUCCGUUAGAUAUUGUGGAUUUUGAUGUGAUUUUAGGGGCCGAUUGGUUACACCAUAAUCGUGCCCAUAUUGAUUGUUAUGGUAAAUCAGUUACUUUUUAUCGUCCUGGAUUACCCGAGGUUAUUUUUGUGGGCGAGAGAAGUGGGGUGAGACAUGGAGUUAUUUCUGCCAUAAGGGCGAGGAAAUUAUUAUCGAAGGGUUGUCAGGGAUAUUUGGCACAUGUGGUAUUAAAUGAUGUUGCUCCUACUAGUAUAGAAGAAGUUGGUGUGGUCAGACAUUAUCCGGAUGUUUUCCCUGAUGAUUUGCCGGGAUUGCCGCCAGACAGAGAGGUGGAAUUCUCUAUUGAUUUGCUUCCAGGUACGGACCCUAUAUCUCUGACUCCUUAUAGAAUGGCUCCUGCUGAGUUAAGGGAAUUAAAAAUCCAGUUGCAAGAAUUACUUGAUAAAGGUUUUAUUCAACCUAGUUCUUCACCUUGGGGUGCCCCAGUAUUAUUUGUGAAGAAGAAGGAUGGAACUCUUUCGAUUGUGUAUUGAUUAUAGACAAUUGAACCGGGUAACGAUUAAAAACCGUUAUCCAUUGCCCCGCAUUGAUGAUUUGUUUGAUCAGCUGAAAGGUGCGUGUGUAUUUUCUAAGAUUGAUUUGAGAUCCGGGUAUUAUCAAUUGAAGAUUAAAGAAGACGAUGUACCUAAGACGGCUUUCCGAACUCGGUACGGACAUUAUGAAUUUUCGGUUAUGCCGUUUGGGUUGACUAAUGCACCUGCAGCUUUUAUGAGAUUAAUGAAUGAGGUAUUCCAGAAAUAUCUUGAUAAAUUUGUUAUUGUUUUUAUUGAUGAUAUUCUGGUAUACUCUAAGUCCCAAGCAGAUCAUAUCCGACACCUUAAUUUGGUGUUAAGGAAAUUAAGGGAGCAUCAGUUGUAUGCCAAGUUCAGUAAAUGUCAGUUUUGGUUGACUGAAGUGGCAUUUUUGGGGCAUGUUGUAUCAGCUCAAGGUAUUCAAGUUGAUCCUCAAAAGAUUGCAGCAGUGGAGAAUUGGGAGCAACCUCGAACCGUCACGGAGGUACGAAGUUUUCUUGGCUUAGCAGGUUAUUAUCGACGGUUCGUUCAGGAUUUCUCUAUGAUUGCUUUACCGUUGACAAAGUUGACCAGGAAGGAUGUUAAAUUUGAGUGGGAUGAGAAUUGUGAGCGGAGUUUUCAACAAUUGAAGUAUUGCCUCACUCAUGCACCGGUGUUGGUACUUCCCGACGAUAGCGGUAAUUUUGAGAUAUAUAGUGAUGCUUCAUUAAAUGGUUUGGGAUGUGUUUUGAUGCAGCAUAAUAAGGUGAUUGCCUAUGCUUCUAGGCAGUUGAAAAAAUCAUGAAAGGAACUAUCCUACUCACGAUCUUGAAUUGGCAGCAAUUGUUUUUGCUUUGAAAAUUUGGAGGACAUUACUUUGUAUGGUGAGAAGUGUAAGAUCUUCACUGAUCACAAGAGUCUUCAGUAUUUGUUUACUCAGCAUGAUCUUAAUCUUCGUCAGCGAAGGUGGAUGGAAUUGUUAAGUGAUUAUGAUUGUUCUAUUGAAUACCAUCCAGGUCGUGCUAAUGUAGUAGCGGAUGCACUGAGUAGGAAACCUCAAGGUAGACUUAAUGCCCUUAUAUGCUAGUCGUGUUCCUCUUCUUGCUGAAUCUGAGGACAACUGGGGUAAGGUUGGAAAUUGAAAGACCGAGGAUGGAGCUUUUCUUGCUAGUUUUCAAGUCAGGCCAGUUUUGGUGGAGCGUAUACUUGCAGCUCAGAUGGUGAAUGAGGAAAGUUCAAGGAGUUGGUUCAGUUAAGAAGUGAAGGGAAAAAGAAAGACCUCAGAAUUCGGGAAUCAGACGGUAUGCUCAUGCAAGAAGACAGAAUGUAUGUUCCGAAUAAUGAGGAAUUGAAGAAGGAAAUUCUGGACGAAGCACAUUGUUCAGCUUAUGCGAUGCAUCCGGGAGGAACAAAAAUGUAUAUCAUACCAUUCGACCAUUUUAUUAUUGGCCGGGUAUGAAAAGAGAAAUUGCAGAAUAUGUGAGCAGGUGUAUUAUUUGCCAGCAAGUGAAAGCAGAAAGAAAGAAGCCAUUUGGGCGAAUGCAACCCCUUCCUGUUCCCCAGUGGAAAUGGGAAAAUAUAACCAAUGGAUUUCGUGUAUAAACUUCCUCGUACGCGAAAUGGAUUUGAUGGUAUUUGGGUGAUUGUGGAUCGACUCACCAAGUCGGCGCAUUUCAUUCCUGUGAGGGAGAAAUACCCUCUGAAUAAAUUGGCUAAGUUGUUUAUUUCGAAGAUUGUCAAGUAUCAUGGAGUCCCAGUAAAUAUUAUCUCCGAUCGAGACCCGAGGUUUACUUCUAAAUUUUGGGUGGCUUUUCAGGAAGCUCUGGGUACUCAAUUACUGUAUAGCACAGCUUAUCAUCCUCAAACUGAUGGGCAAUCAGAGAGGACCAUUCAGACGUUGGAAGGAUAUGUUGAGAUCUUCAGUACUGCAAUUUGGUGAUUCUUGGCAUGAUCGUCUGGACUUAAUGGAGUUUGCUUAUAAUAACAGUUUUUCACUCGAGCAUUGGUAUGUCCCCAUUCGAGGCACUUUAUGGUAGGGCGUGUCGAACGCCAUUAUGUUGGUCUGAGGUUGGUGAACGGGUAUUAGAAGGCCCUGAGAUCGUGGAUGAGACGACUCAAAAUGUUCAGAUAAUUAAGUCAAACCUGAAAGCAGCCCAGGAUCGACAGAAGAGUUUAGCGGAUCGGCAUACUACUGAUCGAGUGUAUGAUGUGGGUGAUUGGGUAUUUUUGAAAUUGUCGCCUUGGAGAGGUGUAGUACGAUUUGGGAAAAGAGGAAAGUUAAGCCCGAGAUAUAUUGGACCUUAUGUGAUCACUGAAAGAGUUGGUGAAGUUGCCUAUCGGUUGGAACUGCCUCCGGAGUUAUCUAAGGUCCAUAAUGUGUUCCACGUCUCUAUGCUUCGGCAUUAUAUUUCUGAUCCUUCUCAUGUGAUCCCUCCUCAACCGUUAGAGAUUAAUCCGGAAUUUGACGUAUGAUGAGGAACCGGUCACUAUCUUGGAUUGGAAAGAUAAGGUUCUAAGGAACAAGACGGUGAGUUUGGUAAAGGUGUUGUGGAUGAACCAUUCUGCAGAGGAAGCCACCUGGGAGACGGAAGAUCGGAUGAGAGAGAUGUACCCAAGGUUAUUUUAUGGGUACUAAGUGGUUAAUUUGGAUUGUGGGAAUUUCGGGGACGAAAUUCUAUAAGGAGGGGAGAUUGUCACAGCCCGUCCCCGGGAUUUCUAUAUCGGGAAUGUGAAUUGACAGUAACUACCCUUGAUUGGACAUUCGGGUACGUGUGUGUGCGACAUUAAAUUGAAAUUUUGUAAGUUUUGGGAUUUUAAUUUUGGAAUUUGGAAAUUUUUUGUGGUUAGGGAAUUGGAUGGAUGGUGAGGAUUGUGUUGGACCACACAAUCACACACACACGCACUCCCUGUCUUCUCUCCCUCCCGUAGCUCUCUCUGUCCCUCUCCCUCACGAUCUCUCUCUUUCACCCUCACCCUAUACGUACGGCCUUCACCCAAAACCCUUCAAAACUCGACGGAUCGAGGGGCAAAUAAGGUAUGCAUCUUCAUCCUUUCGUCGUCCUGAGUUCAUUGGUGCUAGUUUUAGGAAGUGAAACCUUCGAUUUCACAUAGAUCCCGAACCUCCAUUUUUGAGGUACUGUUCAUGCGAACGUAAAAUGUUGUGUUUCAGGAGAUUUCAAGCUUGUGGUGAGCUUUAGGAGGUUCUAAGGAAGCUCGGGGACGUUCGUUGGAGAGUUUUGGACGUCGGGAUCGUAGGUUUCAAGUUUGGCCGAAUCUUUGGUUUUUCCAAGGUGAGAUUUCGUAGUUUUUAGGCCCUAAAACAAGUCCAACGUGAUUGUACACUCUUAGGGCUUCAAUUUGGUAUAAAAUACGAAGAAAAUGGGUGAAAAAACGAAGGAGAAUAGUGAGUUUGAAAAUCGGCCGGAGUUCGGCCGGAGUCCGGCCACCGGAGAACCAGUCCGGCGAGGACCUGCGAAGAAGACGACACGUGCGCUGCACGUGCUGCGCGUGGCCAGCGCGUGGACCCGUGCCACGUGUGGCGCGUGGGGGCGCGUGGGGCUUCCAAAAAAUUUUUCUAAAAAUUUCUCGACGCUCGUGACGUCGAGUAGGUCGAUGUGGUAUAUUAUUAUACCAAAAAUUGAGCAUCGUAUGAGAAGUUAUUUCAAAUUAUUGGUGAUGUGCUUUAAAAUUAAUGUUUUUAUAGUUGUUUCGCAUAUAGGUGAGACGUAUCCCGAGGACGACCGCAUCCAGGGACGCCACGGGGGUUACGACCCGUCGACUUAUCAGUGAAUGGGCAGUUUUGUUUUCGUAUUACCUAUAUACUACUGUUUUUCCCAGAAAAAUGCAUUUAUAUGAAAAUAUGUUUUUGAAUAUGCCAUGCAUAGAAUUAUUUGAAAAUCAUGAAUUGGUUUCACAUGAACUAUAUGAUUGAAAUAUGAUGCAUACAUGUUGCAUGGUGCUGUGGAGGCACAGGUAAGUCAGGUGAGUUCAUUUAUUCAUUGAAUUGUUGUUGUUGAGAUGAGUUGAGCUCAUAAUCUGCACCCUAGGUGUUAGUGCUUAUAUUAUUCACCACACCGCACGCUCGUCUUGGAUCCAAGUAGGUGGAUGUCGUACAGACCAUGUGAGGGUUCCGACAUGCUAGUCGUACAGAUCACUAGGCGUGAUUCCGACUAGUGGGUGACCUUAGUUAUGCGCGCUGAUGAUAUGAUGAGAGAAGCACUAGAGCGUAUUUUUACACCUUUCAUCGUAUAGACUACCUUACGUAGUUCCGAGUGAUGUGCAGAGUAGGGCCGUAUAGGUCACUGUGGUGACUCCGGCUUAGUGGGAUUUGAGCUAUUGAAUUAAUCGUAUAGGACCAACUGCAGGGUCUCCGAUUGAUUCCUUAUUCACCUGAUUUAUAUUUUUUAUUUAUGUCAUGGCAUGUUUUCUUGAAAAUGUUAAAGAUUUGAGAUUUAAAUGUUGAGAUUUUAUAUGGUUAUAUAUAUUUCUGGGAAAGUAUACAGGUUUUUACGGCGAGGGGAUAUAACUGUUUUAAUGAAAUGUUUUGGAAAACUAAUUUGUUUUACUGACCCACUCAUUUUGUUUUGCGCCCCUCCAGGUUCUAGUUUAGCGGUGGUUGGCUCACGAGGUCCUUUCCGGCUUUCUGACAGAUUUGGGACAUGUAGGACUCACCUGAGGGUGAUGUAUUCUUAUUUUAGUCCUACUUGACUGCAGUUAACCUAUGCUCUGAACUUAUGUGUUUACUUGUAACUCGUCCGGUUAUGUCCGUAUGUGGUUAUGUUGAGUUUGGGUUGAAUUUCUGUUGUUAUUACGCUUCCGUGUCGUGCUUAUGGUUACGUCACGCCCACGUGACGGCCAGCACACCUGGAUCCUCCGGAUCAGGGUGUGUCAUAGAACACCUCUUUAUAGUAUAGAUGAUGGAUGACUUUAUACUAUGAAGUUGUUUUUCAAUAUAUAUGUUCAAUGGUUUUGUACUUACCUAGUGGUCCUUUCCGCUACGGGACGUAGGGAUAGAUUCCGGUCAUUCCCGGGCGACGGUUUGGUGUUGGCAUAGGGCCUGGAGUGUGUUUCCUCUGGCUAUUUAGCACAGGGACGGGGAGCCGGCAUGGGGCCUGAAGUGUAUUUUCCUCUGACUGUCUGCUCAGAGACGGGGAGCCGGCAUGGGGCCUGGGGGUUAUCGGACAAUUCACUAGUGAUUAUUAUAUAUAUAAAAGUUAUGAUUUGAGACACUGCACAUCAUGCUAGGUUUCGGAAAACCUAUGUUUAUCAUUAUAUAUGUGUUUUCAUAAAACUUGGGGGUUAGUACGUUGAUAACUGUUUUGUUAUAUUUAUAUCAAAUUGGUCCACUCAUGUUUGUUUUGCGCCCCCUUCAGGAUUUAGGAUCGAGGCGUACAAUCCCGGCAAUCCAGGCACUUCCGCAUCGGUAUCUUCAAGUCCUCUCGGUGUAGAACCCACUUCUGUGUUCAUUCAAUUUUUAUAUUAAUCCUUUUAAUGUUCUAGAUUAGAUGUGUGCUCUGAACACGUUCCUUAAAUGCAUAUUCUUUAUUCUCUUAUAUUUAUAAGUUUUAUCUAUCCUUUAUUUUCAGCAAUUGCACUCAAUAAAUGGCUUUCGUCGCCCUCGGGUGUCGGCCAGCACGUGACCAUCCUGAUAUCCUGAGGAUAUCGGGAUCGGGGCGUGUCAAUUUGUGAAGAAGAAUUUUUAUGCACUGCAACUGUUUGAUCGUCUGUCUAAGAGAGGGAGUGCAAAUGUACAUGUGCUUUAUGUGGCCUCUUUAGAUAUGCAUGAUUUAGAAGCUAGCCCUAAACUGGAUGGUAGUAGCAGCAAGCCAAGGGUUAAAGAAGUGUCUUCUGAAGAAAAAGAUAAUGUGUCUCACAUUGAGAUUAAGAUUACUGAAUACCAUAGCUCCGAUGAAAAGUGUGUUCUGAGGUAUCUUAAUCUUUCAGACAACGCCAUGGGCAACUAUGGUGUCAAUGCAUUUGAGUCACUUCUUAGUUCACAAAACAAUUUGAGAGAACUUUAUUUGAUGAAUAUGGCAAGGCUCAAUAUGUGUCAUAACAUGAGGGAGUGGCACUGCGAUGCUAUUAGGAAGAUCAAAUGGCUGAAUGAGAAUGAGAUUUCUGUUAUGAUCAAUACCGAAGGACAAGCAAACUAUGAAGGUUUUUUUUAUUGUAUCAAAUAUGGUGAGGAGCUCACUUUUAAGCUGUUGCUCUAUUUCCAAGCUGUCAAGGCAAAAAGUCUUGGGUUUACUAAACUUGGGUCACCAAAAGAGGCUAAGAAGGUUGUUGGGAACAUGAAUGAUGUUACUGCUAGUGCCAAACAGCUAAAGGAGAUGGAACAAGGCUUGACCAGUUUGAUAGUUUUGGGGAAUGGGCGAUUGUCUGAUCUUAUUGCACAGCUGCAGGAUAUAUUAGAGGGUGUAAAUGAAGCUGAUAUCUUGCCGGAGAAGUUUGAUAAUGCAGUUAUUAAAGCUCAGAUUCCACAAUUGGCUCGAGAAAUCAGGGAGUUAACCUCAUCUCGACCUGUAACCAUCUACAAUGAGAAUUCUUCCUCUAGUGGGAAUUAUGCUUCAUAUUUAGUUCCACUUGCUGCACUUGCUGCAAUGGGCUAUUGUUACAUGUGGUGGAGAGAUUGGUCAUUUUCAGAUGUGAUGUAUGUGACAAGGCAUAAUAUGGCAAAUGUUGUUGAAGCUCUAAUUAGAGAGGUAGCUAGCAAGAGCAAUGACUUUGCUGGGAACGGAACAACAAAUACAUUGAAGAUGAGUGAAUGCGCUAUGGGCACCUAUUUAGAUUUAGUAUGCUCUCUUAGUCACCUGGAAAGCAAUUUUGGUGGUGCCUUAGUUAUUGAUUUACAUGUUGAGUUCUCUUUGUUUUUCACUUGUAACCCUGACUGUCGGCUUUUAUGGGAUCCAGGAGAUGCAAUGGCUAAAACUGUUAAGAUGAUACUCUAUUUUAAAAAUGUCAAGGCAGAGUGGCUUAACAGGGUUACAAAAAUAACCAAGUUUGGUAGUUUUAUGGUACAAUUGGAUAGAAGUGUUGAAGCUUUGAAUAAGGGCAAAAAGCAAAAAACUAGAGAUGGUGGAUAUGGUGAUGAGAUAAAGAGAUUGCAUGAUUUAAGCGUGAACAAGGUUGUGGAUAUGGCGACUAGGUUCGAAAGUGCAUUGGUAGGACAUGUUAACAAUAUAAUUUGUAGUACUACUGUAAGAUUGGAGAGACUUCACUCCGAUGAUUGGUGGUGUUCUGCUAUAUCUCAACUGCUGAUGAUUGGUAAAUCCAUCGUAUCUAGUUCAAACAAAACUCAGGAAGCAAAUGUGGAUGCUGUUUUGGGAACCGGUGAUCCGAGUCUACUAGUUGAGAACACUUCAGUUGAGCAGCUUGGUUUCGUCAGAAAGGUGACAAUCUUUAAGGACUCCACUUCCAUUAUUGGUGAUGCAGCAUCAAAAGAUGGGUUGCAAGUCCAUGGUGUGUCUCCAUUUGACAUUAUGGGCAGAAAUCUUUUCUGGGAAAAGCAACUGCAAAGGCUGCAAAUGGGAGCUGUCACAAGAAAGUUCUUGGUGGUUAAUUUCAGUUCUGGUUUUGAUGAAUCUUCAUAUCUCUCUCGGGUUGAAAAUUUUGAGGAGAUGUCACAAGAAAAUUAUGGAGAGGCUACAGGAAACAAGAACUCACUCACUCAGUUCAAGCGAGCUGCCAUACCUGGAAGGAUUAUAAUGAUUUCAAAGUCAAGUUCUACAAUUCCAUUUUUAAGCCUUGAGGACAAGGCUAAUUUUCAAGGGGGAAGUAUUGUUAUGACCCAAAUUAUUACUGAGGUUUUAUGCUUUAUUACUGUGAGGAAUUGUUAAUAUGCCAGCUGGCAUUUAAAAGUGUAGAGGUUUUAUAAAAGGAGCCCCAGCUCCCCCAAAUGUAUCAGAUCAGAAUUUUACAAAAGAAAUCAAUAUUGGAGCUCUGCUCCUUCUUCUCUCAUUCCCUCUUCUUCCAUAGCUUUCUUGUGCCACUUGCAGGUUGAUUAAGGGAAUUGAGAAUUAGAUCUUAUCAUAACGUCACUACCACAACUCCCAAUAUCAUCACGCUGAAUGUCCACACUCGGUUUCUGCUCAAUUAAAGCGUCAAUUUCCUGCAAAAUACUCUCAUCGAAAUCAUCAUCGUUAAGAAUUCCAGAUGCAGAGAAAGAAUCAAAUGAAGUCAGAAACUGCGGUUGUCUGAUUGGAGUUGUGAAAGAAUCCGAUUUUGACACGCUUGAUUCGGUCCGGCUAACGCUUAAGCUCCCGGAACACGAAGCACUGCCAUAUUCACCACGCGCUGAAUUGUACCGGCUUGCGGAAAUCGGAAGCGGUGUUCUUUGAACUCUAUUGAGCUGAGUUGGCGUUUGGAUUCCAUUUCCGCCAAAAAACACAAUUGAAUUGAUUUAAAUUGAAGCAAGAAAACAGCCAAGUAGCCAAAAAAUAGUAAGAAGAUGAAACCUUUGAUUCCUGAACGACUUACUUGGUAUGAGGGAGGUGAUGAUCAGGUGAAACGGCGUCGUUGCAGGGGCGUUUGCGAUCAAUGAGGGCCUUGGCGGCUCUGAAAUUCCGAGAGAUGCGGUUUCUUUGUUCCGCCGUGAGCCCUCCGCCGUACGCCUGAACGUUUUCCUUGGACAUUGCUUCCAAGAUUCCAACGGAGGAUUUGGCCUGACGGCCUGACCAGGCUGAUAACAGUGUAAAACCUUAGGAGCUAAGGAAAAACUAAGAGAGAGAUUGUAGAGAGGGAAAGUUUUUUCUUUUUGGAAACCAGUAGAGAGGGAAAGUUUGUUAAACCUGAAUAAUAUUCUUUUCAUUCAACUUGUCUACAAUAAUUACCACUCGUGGUAUUUAUACAUUUGUAACACACCUCACUAACUAACUAAGACCACCACCAAUCAUACAUAAACACUUGUCAUAAUCCUAUGCACUCAUAGUAUCAUCACUUUAACAUUCCCCUCAAGCUCAUGUGGCAGAUUGCCAAGCAUGAGAUUGGAACAAUUACGAGCGAACUGGGGUGAACACAAGCCUUUGGUGAACAUGUCGGCAUAUUGAUCUGCAGAGGUAACAAACUACAAAAUAAUUGUCCUUUGAUGAACUCUUUCACGAACAAAGUGGCAAUCAAUCUCUAUAUGUUUGGCUUUAUAGUGCAAUACAGGAUUAGUGGCAAGAGCCAUUGUUGAAAUGUUAUCACAAUGCAAAACUAGAACAGAAGGAGAACCAACAUGCAAAUCUCGAAGAAGCUGUUGUAUCCAGAUAACCUUAGCAGUGGUUGUAGCCAUUGCUCUAUAUUUAGCUUCAGUGGAAGACCUACUCACUGUAUGCUGCUUUUUAGAACUCCAAGAGAUAGGAGUAUCUCCCAAAAAAAUGACAAAACCCGUGGUUGAACGACAAUCAUUGGGAUCCCCUACCCAAUCAGCAUCUGUAUAAGCUUUCAACUGAGAUGAACCUGAUUUAAAACAUAAUCCCAAAGAUAUAGUGCCUCUGCGAUAUCGUAGAAUACGUUUCACAGCAGCAAAUGAGUGGCUAAGGGUGAAUGCAUAAACUGACGUACUUGAUUGACAGAAAAAUAAAUAUAUGGUCUUGUAAAUGUUACGUAUUGCAGUGCCCCAACAAUACUUUUGUAAGUGGUAGGAUCAAAAACAGGUUCACUACCAUGAUUCAGAAGCUUCUGAUUAGGAUGACAAGGUGUGGAAAAAAGGUUUACAGUCUAGCAUAUGCAUCUUUUAAAGGAGUUCUUUGACAUACUUGGUCUGAUGAACAAAGAGUCCCUGACCCUGAUACUCAAUCUGUAAACCAAGAAAAUAAUGCAACACACCUAGAUCUUUCAUGCCAAACUCACUAGUUAACUAACUAAUAACCUUCUGAACCUUCACAGCAUCAUUACCAGUGAGAAUGAUAUCAUCAACAUAUAAUAAGAGAACAAUAAUUGAUGAACCAUCACACUUGACAAAUAAAGAAGGAUCUGCAUAUGAUGACUUGAACCCAAGCUUAGGCAAAUAACCUGAAAACCUGUCAUGCUAGGCUCUGGGAGCUUGCUUGAGACCAUAUAAAAACCUCUCUAGUUUGCACACAUAAUCUGGAUAGGUAGAAUCCACAAACCUUUGGGACUGAGACAUAUAAACUUCUUCAUCAAGAAAGCCAUGCAAAAAAGCAUUAUUGACAUCUAACUGUUUGAGUUUCCAAUUAUGAGAUGCAGCCAAGGAUAAAACCAAUCGAACUAUGGUUGGUUUGACCACAGGGCUAAAGGUUUCAUAAUAGCUAAUACCAACUUCUUGAGAAUACCCAUUAGCUACAAUUCUAGCCUUGUACCUAGCCACUGAACCAUCUGGAUUUCUCUUAAUCUUGUAAAUCCAUUUACAACCAACAAGAUUUUUGUCAGGUGCUAAGGGCACAAGCUUCCAAGUAUGAAGCAUCCAUCUCUUCUUUCAUGGCAUUUUGCCAUUGAACACACUUGACUGCACUAGAAAAAGACCGAGGUCCAAUAAAUGGAAAUGUGGAAGAAACACUAGGUGGAUGAAUGAAUGUGUUUGAAUGCACAACAGACACUGGUGAGGAAGAAUGACCAGAAGUAACUUGAGGAUUGAAACCCAAAGCAUUAGAGUCUAUAGGAAACUUGGAUUCAUAAAAAAUAACAUGUCUAGAUACUAAUAGUUUAUGAUCUUUGAGAGAGAAGCAAAUAUACCCUUUGUAUUGUGUAGCAUACCCCAGAAAAAUACACUUAGUAGUUUUAGGUUCAAGUUUAUUGCUUCUAUAGGGUUUCAAUGAAGGAUAGCAUAAACACCCAAAAAAUCUCAAAUGAUCAAGCUUAGGUGGAGAUUUAUAUAGCAUUUCAAAAGGAGACUGCAUAUGUAGGGUAGGUGUGGGCAUUUUGUUUAUAAGAAAAGUAGCAGUGGCACAGGCAUGGAACUAGAAUUUUGAAGGUAAUGAAACUUGUUGUAAAAAGGUAAUAGUUGUUUCGACAAUAUGUUGAUUUUUUCUCUCAGCCAACCCAUUAUGUUAUGGGGUAUAAGGACAAGAUUUUUUAUGAACAAUGCCUUUGGUAAGAAGAAAUUGCUUAAACUGAGUACUAACAUAUUCCCUACCCCCAUCACUCUGCAAAAUUUUUACAUGAGCAUCAAAAUAAUUCGAGACAGAAGCAAGAAAGUUGACAAAAACAGUGAACACUGCAACUUUAUUAUUUAAUGGAAAAAUCUAGGUAUAUCUUGUACAUUCAUCAAUAAAGGAAACAUAAUACUUGUAACCUUCUAUAGACAAACUAGGUGAGGGACCCCAAACAUCUAUGUGAAUUACUUCAAAUGGAGUAAGUGACUUCGAAGCAAUUACAGGAAAAAGGAGCUUGGUAAACUUGCCUUGCAAACAAGCAUUACAAGUAUGAGAUUGAGAGUUACAAGGAAAAGAUAUACAAGACUUAUUAAGUGCUGCAGUGACAGUGGAAUGUGUAGGAUGGCCUAAUUGACAAUGCCACAAUGUAGAAGAAAUCUUUUGACCCACAAAUGCAACUGGAUUAAAAACAGGAGAAAUAGACCUCUGUGGUUUGAUUAUGGGAAGUGGAUAGACAACAUUAUUACUCAGCCCUUGGAAUAGCACUCUCCCGGUGACCUUGUCCUGUAGACAGAGAGAAACAUCAUCCAUGAUACAACGACACUGAUUAUCUUUGCACAACUGAUUCAUAGAUAAUAAGUGUUGUGACAGUUUUGGAACAUGUAACACAGAGUUUAACUUGAAAUUAUGUGACUAAGUGAGAAGAGAAGAGGAACCAAUAUGUUUGACAGCUAAACCUUCACCACUAGCACUGGUCACAAUAUCAUUUGAUGGAUAAAUUUAUUGUCAUGUGCAAGUUUGACAAAUCUGAGGUCAUAUGGUUAGUUGCUCCCAAGUCAAGAAACCAGAAAUCUUGUUGAAGAGUUGAGGAUGAUGCACCAGCUCGUGCUUGCAUAGCAAGAGGAGGAUUUUGUGAGGAUAUAGUUAAUAGAUACAUAUGUGGUAUGACAAGAUACUGAAACUGUGAGCUAUUAGACUGUGGAAUCAUGCCUUGUGAAGGACCACAUGGAUUCUAGCUAGGUGCUUCACCAUAUGACCCAGUAGGCAUUGGAGUUGGCAUAGAUGAGGAUAAACCCUAAGAGAAAUGCUCUGAUGUGCCUGUGAAAUUUUUAUUCUGAUCAAAGCAAGUAGCAGCAACAUGACAACCUCUGUGACAAAUUUGACAUCCAUGUUGAAAACAAUUCAAUGCAGAAUGACCUUUGCGAUCACAUAUUUGCAGAAUGGCCUUUGCAACCCUAGAAAGAAGGAGCGAAGAAGACCAAAUGUGUACGUUUCUCUUUGGUUUUUUUUCCCUCCUAAUCGCGCUGUUCGAAAUCACGGACCUCGGGCCUGGGCCUAGUGGGCCCAAUUAUGAGGCCCAUUAUCUCCGGUCUUCUCGUUCUACUUCUAGUUACCCAAAUUAAGAACGUACGCUUUUAGCGCGAGAGAGAAAUGGAGGCCCUGAUUGCCUCGUACGGAGACUCGUCGUCGGGCUCAGACUCCGAGUCGCCGGCUCCACCUCCACCACCACCUCCGGAGCUCAACAACCCUCAAGAACCGACCCCUGCGCUGCCUCCACCUCCUCUGUCACUUCUCGACAGCCCCAAUUCCUUCGGUAACCUCUGAUUCCCAUCAAUUUUCAUCUUUUAGCUUUCUGUUGUGAUGGCUUUUUCCGAGUUGCCCACCAAGUGUUUGAUGUUUUGCCUCCGAAGAAUUUCUGGACUUAUCGGCAAGCGCCCAGCCGAGCAGAGUUCGGAACUUUCCUCACGUCGAAGGGAACUACGCAGUACAUGUAUACAUCCCAGGUUAUCAAAAUUCUCGAAAUUUUCAGCUCCAUUAGCAAAUGCGAUCGCUUUGCACUUAGUUUUUGCUUGUUUAAUUGUGUGGUUCCAGUUUAUAUACCACCAGCACCAAGGAAAGAGAUGGCCUUGUUUUUGAACAAGCUAGCUUCUCUGCUGCCUGGUCUCCAUGCGGUUGACGUUGACUUCCCGCUUGACAUUCUGCGUAAGGACGAGCACAAGCUUGAACAAGUUGCUUUAGGCAGAGAGUUCCAUAUAAGUCUCGGAAGAACUGUUCCGAUGCGGGUGCACCAGAUUGAUUCCUUGGUGACAAUGCUGCGGCAGAAGCUUCAGAUUCAGAGGCGGUAUGGUUACAUUUACAUUCUCUUGUCUGCAUUGCGUGAAUUUAGUUCUGUUAUUUAACAUAAUUCUGUAAGCCUGUUUUCGUAUAAAUGCACGGUUGAAUCAGCUUUCAUUGUCUACAAGUCUGAAAUAUUUUAACUUCCAUUGAUUUCAGAUAACAAAGCAGAUUCAAGCUGUGAAUGAGGUGUAUAAGCUUCACAAUCUUCCUGAAUUUUACAAGGUUAGCUUUUUCGUGCUUUUCAAACUCGAAUCGGUUCCUGAAUGUAUGACAAUAUAUUGGAUCAAACGAUUUCUCAAAACACUAAUUCACUUGAUGGGGUCUUGGUGAUCACAGGAUCCACGCCCUCACAUCUCGGUAGCUUGAGCAUUGGGUGACAUCAGCAAUUCCCUGAACAAAGUGGUUGAAGAAGAAAGACGAAGAUCUACCAUCGGAGGAUCGUUACAGAAAUGUAUUUUUACCAGUAAAUUCAAUGGUAUCGAUAUCGAAUGUAGGAUUGGUAAUAAAACACACAAAAUAUGUAAAUUUUCUGAAGAAUAAUGUAGCCAUUUAACUGUAUUGUGAAAUUCCGAGAAUAUAUGGCUGAGCAUUGGAUGAGAAGACAUUUCUUCGUUGGUGUCGAACUUCUUGUCGAAGGUAUUGGCACCAGUGUAAACGUCAUCAUCCAUGUUGAUGGUAAUUACUUACCAGCUACUAAGGGUGUCGGAACAACCUUGCACGCACCCUCCUGUGCAUUACUUGGUAUUGUCUCGGAUUCUCCAAACUUGAAUGCUAAUGUAAACCCACUCUUGACCUUUCCGUCAUCUGCAAUUACCGGAAAGCCGGCUUGGAUGUUGCCGUUGACCUACCAAACUUAAAAUACCGACGAAAUGUUGGAGUACUUCAGUGUACUACUCGUUUUUGUAUGCGAGAGCUCCACCUCUAUCGUUGUAACAGCAUCUGAUGCGGACUAGUCCUUCAUUCCCGUUACUCUUUGCCAUCUCCACUUCAAACUUGGUGUGAUGGCUCCCGGCCUCCUCUCCGGUGAAAUUGAGUAACCCCGGAGCUGGCGUGCCAUCAAGAUUUCCGUUGUGUCUCUAUUUGCUGUUGUGGUUCGGUUCCACUAUAAACUUGGCAGAGUUAGCAUUUUCAUUCUGUUGUCUGUAUAUCUUGAUAUUACAAGUAUUUGUUGUGCAAAAUGCAUGCUAAGUUCAAGUUAUGUUUAUAUGUGUGUGUGUGUUGCCACUUUUCCAACGUUUUCUCCAAAAUUGUGACGAGCAACAAAGCAGUUUUGAUUCCGUGCACAACAACGAUACCUCGAAAGAAAUUGAUUCUUCCCCAGAAAGAUGUUUUAAAACAAAGUUGAACAAGGGAAGAAAACUUUUGAAUCGCAAUCAGAUGUCUGGUCAAAUUCUUUAACAGUUGAUGUAUACAGAAGUUCCUUGCUUAUGACACGACUUAUGAGAGGAUGUAUGUAUUGCAUUUGCAUCAAAAGAAAGAAAGAAGGUUGUAAGUGGUAAGGGAACGACUACCGAUGCCGCUCCACUUCUAAUCAAAGGGAUCGAUCCGAGGGUCGUGUUCACUUGCCAUCGCCAUUCCAGUGCAAAGGCAUGUCGGGCACAUUACCUGCCACAUUUACAGACGCAAUGUUAGAUAUAGCUGCCAUUUGGAAGUCAUCUCUCAAAAUUUUGCUACUAAAUUAAUCUUAAACUUCAUUUCCAGUGCAAUUUUUUUCUUCUGAAUUGUCUUUCACAUGCCCGACAAAUAGAAGUAUCACCAAACAUGUGAUAUAGAGCAUCUAAGCGGCAGGCACUAAAAGGAAUUUAGUAUGCAAUAAACAUUCAACGGACAUAAUUAUAUGUCUAACCUUUCCCGCUCCUGAGCAAUUUGAACAUCGUUCAGUUUUUGGCAGAGAUAGGGGUUGGUUUCCGCCAUCAGCUGUCGAUACUGGUUCAGUAAGAACAAGGGUUCCAGUGCUGGAGCAACGAGCACAAGCAAGAGAUCCUGCGUAAGUAUCAAAUACACAGGUAAGUUGACAUACGAAACCAAUCCGAACAUCUCCAUCGUAUAUAUUUAAAGCUACAGUACAUAAAACUAAAAGUCAGAAAUAUAGGACAUUAUCACACCAGUUCCAAGACAAUAUUUGCAUCGUUUAUGCUCCUGCUGUUUCACAUUGUUUAUUUCAACUACCAUCAAUGCUGAGAUCACUCCGACUGCUCCUCCAGAGAAUGACGCCACUAUGGGAUCAACUUGACUGCAGUUUGAAAGUAAAGGAGAUCAAUAAACGAAACUGGUAACAACAUAGUAUCAACAUUAUUUAGCUUCGUUUCAAGAAAGAUGACAUCCUAGGUUUUUCUAAUGUGUAAAAAUUGAGGAUCCUCGUAAAAUUUGACUAUAUCGGUUCCCAAAGCAUUUGAUUCCUACGUUACAGACGGAAAACAGCAACAAUCGAAUUUAAAGAUUCAUAACACGAUAGAUGGUACAAAAUUUCAAAACGAUAAUUACUAGAGAACAGGAGGGUUAAUAGCCUGAGAUAUGAGCAAUACCUCAACUGCAACGGCAGAUGCAUAUUUACUAUAAAGUCUUUAUAUGAUGUGCCUCCUAUUCCCAGCUUCAACUCCAACUGAAAGAUGUAAAGGUAAUUGUAGGCAAAGAGUUACAAACAUAACCGAAUCCAUGUUUUAUAAGCAACAACUACACUUAUUUUGAUAUGUUUCCUCAUUUUUUACUUGCAAAUUCCAAACCAUAUUGUCGGACCAGUAAAAGAAAAUAAUGUUUAUGAUAACUGUUAAAACUAAUUACAACAAGUUAAUGCAUAAAGAACUUACGGAGGGUGCUAUGAGGCCACCGAAAAGGAUAAACCCCGCAAUAAUUGAAUAACAAACAGCAUAAUACUGCUUAAGGUUGUCUGAACUCUGCAAGCAAUGAAUUCACCUUGUGAUUAAUACUUUGCACAAACACUAGUUUUCGCAAUUUUUUAUGAAUCGACAAAAGGCUACAACAAAAUAUGGCUAAAACAUGUCGGGGAUAUGAAAAUACAUGUCUUCACAGGGGCACCAGCUUACCAGGGGAGGCAAAAAUGGAAUGAACGAUGGAAAACUAGGAAGUUCGUUUUCUUGAUCUUCAUUUACCGCUCCAAGCUCUGCACGUUUAAUCCGCUGUUGUAUCCUCAGCCUGCGAACCUACGCAUAUCGAAGCUCAUUCUUAAAGAACACAUUUCUAAUGGCAAUUGGAGAGUAAUUUAAAACAUGCUACACUGAGAAAGUGGUAGCAACUAGCAAUUGCUCUCACCUCCUCCAUAUGCAAGAAAAUUUUGUUGCGACGACUCCGAAUAUUAUCUUGAAUUUCCUGCAGCUCCAUUGUGGCAAAAUCCUGCACUGUUUCAGGCCCCUCUAUGAUACAAAAUCUGCACCAUUAAGCAUGUAAAAAUUAAAAAUUACAAGCUACAAAGCAAUUUCCGUAUAGUUGUUGGGUUAAAUAACAUCAACAGCAAAUAAAUCACAUAGGUUUUUCACAUAAAGUUACAAACUUUCAAGGACUAAUAAGCUGUCUGCAAUCUCAUAAAUUUCACAGUGCAAAGUAACAAUCCAAAGCUUGGAACUUUAAAUUUCCACCUUCUGUUAAUUUUUUAGUGCACCUGGUGUCGUUAGAUUCGAGUAGUAUGUCACAUUAAAUUUUUUUUUUCUGUGCAUGCAUUUUUUUUUAAAAGAAAAUUUAUAUUGUUAAAGAGCGAGUUCGAAACUAUUACAUUAUGGAAGGACAUAGUACCGAAACUCCGACGAUCAAAAACAAAAUCAUGUACAACCACUCCAAGCAGUCAACAUGGCCAUCACAUAUUGAAUCCAAAAUGUUGACGCCCCAUUCGCUGCAUAUAAUGUACAGACGAGCGGCAGCUUCAACCAGUUCUGCCAUAUCCGGCUGGAUGAGAGCAGCUAAAGACAUGAUUGUUCCCUAAUAACAUGAAUAAAUUGAGUAAACACCAAAAGUAGCAGCAAGGGAAGGAGAUGUGAAGUAUAUGAAGAGGUGUAAGACCUGUGAAUGUCCAGCAACAAAGAUUUUGGAGCUUGUUGUCGAAUAAUGCAACGCGUCAUUUCUGGUAGAUCAAAUAGAGCCAAUUCCCGCCAACUCCAAUUCCAAAAUUUCUACAGUAAAGCAUAAAUCUUAUUCUCUCUUCUGAUAAAGAUGAGUGUCCCAGACUCCAACGUGUUCCACACACAUUCCCUACCCAUACAUCGAAACCUUCAUCUGCAAGGACGAAUCCCAGCGAUUCUUCUGGAGAAUUUAAGAAUCAUGCAUCACCUGGUUAAGAUCAAGAAAAGCCAGUAACCAAGUUCAAUUGAGUUAAAAUGUAUCCCAUGGAUGUUCAUCACUUUGCCCAAUUGUUCUUUUCAAGAAAGGAAAUUUCAACAGAACCUGAAAACUUCAGAUCAGGGGGCACCAAAUAGUGAGCUAUACAUUCAAAAUUUGAAAUAAUCAACUUAGUAGGACCAGUAUGUUGAAAAAAUAGGAAGGAGCUAUGAAAGUAAGACUUUUCACUAAUCAGGCGUCCAGAGAAUCCAUAUUUUACCCGCGUAUCAGUUACGGGGAACACUCCCCACCAGAGCAAUCUCAUUAGUCCUUCACAUCUCAACCGUACAGAAGUUGCACUAACAAACAUGACUCCUAUUAGUCCUUCACAUCUCAAAUCCAGGAAGUACCCAUCUUUCGUCUGAAUCUGGAAAAUAAGCAGCAGUCAAUUUAACAAUCUCGGUAUCUCAAAGUUACUCACUUUAAUCACAAAUUUAGCAAUUAAACAUAUAAAUGGGCAUUUUUUUAGGGAAAUAUUAGUAUAGUACUCACUGUGUGCUCGGAGCAAGAGUACCCAGAAAGCUCAAUGAGCUGCGCACAGAGGACUGCAGUGGUGAACGACAGCGACCGCACAGAGGACUGCAGUGGUGAACGACAGUGACCAAUUCUGUAAAAUUUAGUCGAGUUUUGGGAAAUUUCUGCAGCGAUUUCGGAGGUCAAGAGGCUGAUAAGGAAAGCCGCGACCAAAGGGCACUGGUCUGGAAGAAAGGCUUUGGUCGCCGCUAUCGCAAUUCACGAAGGAAGAAGUGCCCCAAAACAAUUUCGGCCCUGGACAGGUGCACUGUUUGCACUGAGCCAGGGCCGGCCCUGAAUCGCGAUAACGUCCUUCUCCAAACAGUAUAUAUACAGAUGCUAGAAAAAUCUACCGGAACUAUUCAAUUCUAGCGUCUACAGCUUUAGCAUUAGUUGGUACAAGGGGCAUUCUUCCAAAGAGGGAGAUGAAAUCGUUGAGGCACCAAAUAGUGAGCUAUACAUUCAAAAUUUGAAAUAACCUCUUGGUAGGACCAAUAUGUUGAAAAAAUUGGAAGGAGCUAUGAAAGUAUGGCUUUUCACUAAUCAGGCGUCCACAGAAUCAAUAUUUUACUCACAGAUCAUUUACGGGGAACACUCCCCACCAUAACAAUCUUUUUAGUCCUUCACAUCUCAAACCAAGUAGAAAUUGCAGUAACAAACACGACUUCUAUUAGUCCUUCACAUCUCAAACCCAGUAAGUACCCAUCUUUCGUCUGAAUCUGGAAAACAAGCAGCAGUGGAUUCAACAAUCUGGGUAUCUCAAAGUCACUCACUUUAAUCACAAAAUUAACAAUUAAACAUAUAAAUGGGCAUUUAUUUAGUGAAAUAUUAGUAUAGUACUCACUGUGUGCUCGGAGCAAGAGUACCCAGAAAGCUCAAUGAGCUGCGCACAGAGGGACUGCAGCGGUGACGACGGCAACCGAUUCUGUAAAAUUCAGUCGAGUUUUGGGCGAUUUCUGCAGCGAUUUCGGAGGUCAAGAGGCUGAUAAGGAAAGCUGGGACGGAAGGGCACUGGUCUGGAAGAAAGGCUCAGGACACCGCUGUCCCGAUUCGUGAAGGAAGAAGUGCCCCCAAAACAAUUUCGGCUCUGGACAGGUGUACUGUUUGCACUGGACCAGGGUCGGCCCUGGCGAUAACGUCCCCCAAACAGCACAUAUACAGAUGCUAGAAAUAUAUAAAUGUAACCUGAAACUACUAGAACCAUUCAAUUCUAGCGUCUACAGCUUUAGCAUUAGUUGGUACAAGGGACAUUCUUCCAAAGAGGGAGAUGAACUCAUUGAGGCUCUUAUUUAUUCCUCCUCUUGAUGUGCCCUUUUAGGCUGCUAAUUCCACACGAUCCAAUCUCAUACAUCUUCCCUGCAAAAGCAUGUGUGCCUGACUUCAAGAUCAAAUUUUUCCAACAAAAGAAACUUAAAGAUCAAACUCGCUAGAGGAAUAAGUGGUGCACAAGGGUGUUAAAAUCUUGACAUAUGUAUAUUUUUGGCAGAUUUUAUGUGAGCAUGCAACUAAAACUGGCAUCACUAUCAAUGGUGCACAAAGAUUGGUGGAAAACUUUAACAGUUUGAGUUGUAACUUCUCCAUUGUAUUUGUUAAGGCAAGACGGAUGUCAUCUAUUCAUUUUUCUGUAAAACUUAAAAGGCUGCAUAGCAGCUCUUGUUCGUUGUAUUGAAUACCGUGGUUUUACUGAUGAAUGCAGAGUUUGCUGAUGAUUCAUACGACAAGCAAUUGAAAAUCCCAUCAUUAUGCCCCCCAUAUACCAGAAGAAAAAAAAGUCAUUUACACAAAUUCAGAGCGUUCAUCCACUGUAAUUUGCAGAUAUAGAAACGUUAAGAUAAAAGGAAAUGCAAAGUACCUUUCACCAAAUUGGAGGAGCACCGGUGGCAUUAGCAAGUUAGCAACGGGAAUUGACAUACCAAUAUCUUCACAGUUUCUGCACAAGCACAAAUCAAAAGAAUCCGGAGGUGGAGUUAUGUACCUCUCCUUGGAAAAUGCCACCUCUUGGGAUUUCAAAAUAUGCGGCCGUGGCUAGCCGUCUGACCACGCCAAUUCCACCAAAGCCGCCGCAACGCGGUGUAGUGUCCGAUUGAUUGCUUCAAAUCAGAGCUUCGUAUCCAUGUGUUUAUCAGCAGAGAGUACCCAAAACCCCUGAAAAUUAUUUCUUUAUUCAGAUAAUAAAAUAUCCCAAAUUUCGAAUUUUAAUUCCGAAUCAAAAAUAGGGUUUGAAUUUUGAUUACCUAUAAAUUGGGGGGUUGCGGUGGAAAGGGAGUCAGCCAAGACGGCGAUAUGCGUCCUCGAGAGGGCUAUGAAAAUACAAAUUACAGAGCGUGUUGGGACGAUGUACAAGGCUUUUGCAGUCUCUCAAAUAUAAAUACCGAAGCUCCGUAAGGCGUUCAAUCCAGGGGGAAAGCUCUUUAAUAGAUGUUCCAUCCAGGAAAAGACUUCUUAAUCCUUCCAUAUUUUCUUCAAUGCUUGGAAACAACUCAAAUUUUGUACAACCGGAAAGAGAGAGAGAGAAAAGGGACUUGAGCUGACAAAUGCUGCUUGGAAGACUCUUAAGUUCUUUGCAAUCUUUUAGAUUCAAAUGAUUCAAUCCCGUAAGAUUAUUAAUUGACGAGGGCAGUUCUUUAAUUUUUGACCCGGAUAAAUUAAGCUCUUCUAACUCCUCCAUACCUUCUGAAAUCUUUGGAAACAUCUCAAGACUAGAGCAGCCAGAAAGAUUAAAGGUUUUGAGAGAUUUCAUACGAAUGCUGCUUGGAAGACUCUUAAGUUCCGUGCAAUUAUGUAGAUUCAAAUGACACAACCUCGUAAGAUUAUUAAUUGACGAGGACAGUUCUUUAAUUUUUGAGCAGGGUAAAUCAAGCUUUUCUAACCCCUCAAUACCUUCUGAAAUCGAUGGAAACAUCUCAAGACUGAAGCAGCCAUAAAGAUUAAAGGUUUUCAGACAUUUCAUAUGAAUGCAGCUUGGAAGACUCUUAAGUUCCUUGCAAUCUUUUAGGUUGAAAUGACUCAACCCCGUGAGAUUAUUAAUUGACAGGGACAGUUCUUUAAUUUUUGACCCGGAUAAAUUAAGCUCUUCUAACUCCUCCAUACCUUCUGAAAUCUCUGGAAACAUCUCAAGACUGGUGCAGUCAGAAAGAUUAAAGGUUUUGAGAGAUCUCAUACGAAUUUUGCUAGGUAGAAUCUUAAGUUCCUUGCAAUCUUUUAGGUUGAAAUGACUCAACCCCGAGAGAUUAUUAAUUGACAGGGGCAGUUCUUUAAUUUUUGACCCAGAUAAAUUAAGCUCUUCUAACCCCUCCAUACCUUCUGAAAUCUCUGGAAACAUCUCAAGACUGGAGCAGUCACAAAGAUUAAAGGUUUUGAGAGAUCUCAUACAAAUUUUGCUAGGUAGAAUCUUAAGUUCCUUGCAAUCUUUUAGGUUGAAAUGACUCAACCCCGAGAGAUUAUUAAUUGACAGGGGCAAUUCUUUAAUUUUUGACCCGGAUAAAUUAAGCUCUUCUAACUCCUCCAUACCUUCUGAAAUCUCUGGAAACAUCUCAAGACUGGAGCAGUCAGAAAGAUUCAAGGUUUUGAGAGAUCUCAUACAAAUUUUGCUAGGUAGAAUCUUAAGUUCAUUGCACCCAUGCAGAUCCAAUAAAACAAGGUUUGUAAGAGUCGAAAUAGACGGGUGAACCUCAACUAAGCUUAUACAACUUCGAACAAUUAGCCUCUCAAGAUUUGGCACAUUUGUGAAGUCAGGGGUUUCCUUAAGGGAUUGACAAUAACUUAAAUUGAUGAAUUUCAACUUUUCCUGCGUCUGUUCAAACAUUCAGGAAAACAUGCAUUACUUAAUAAGACAUCUCACUCAAAGCCCAAACAUUUAAAAGAUACAAAUACAUGUAAAUGAUUGUACGUACCUGGGUUCCUUCCCAAAGUCGGUCAAUGAGACUACAUUGCAUGUCAAGUUCAACAAGAUUUUCGAAUUGAAAGUUGGAUGGCAAAGACUUGAGAGGGAAACCAAGCCAGGAGAGAUACCUCAGGUUAAGCAACUUUAAGGACCCAAACAGGUGUUGUUUGCAGUACUCAUCUUUAAAAACGAAGUGCCUAUAACUGAUCUCGAGAAGUCUUCGUUGAGCAUUUAAGUUCCCAUGAAGACCGAUCGUGAGAAGUCUUCGUUGAAUCCUUCUAACAACAGAUUCAGCAUUUAAGUGCCUAUGACUGAUCUUGAGAAGUCUUAGUUGAGUCAUUCUAACAAAAGCUUCAGCAUUUAAGCAUGGCCAGCCUGAGUACGAGAAAUCCACAAUUAUGCUUUCAACUGUUUUUGUAGCCUGUGCAAAUCAAAGUAAAGGAAAAUACAGAGAAAUUAGUUUUGAUUAUGAAAUUAAUGAUUGUUUCUUAAGGAGCCGUCUGAUAAUCAUUUCAUUUUCUAUUUAAUUGUUUUCAAUUUUCAUUAUUAAAACAAUGAAAACUAAAAAUAAAAAAUUGAAAACAAAAAUGGUUAUCAAAUGGGCCUAAGAAAUUGAUUUUGGUCAAAAGUUGAAGCUUUCUACUAAUAAUUGCAUAAGAAAAAGAUUUCUCACCGUAUUUUGAGAUAGCACGUGAUGAACAUCUUCAUAACUCCACAACCUACUUCGUCUCCCAGGCUCUUUGAUACAUUCUUGGCGGACGAUUUCCCGACCCAUUUCCGCUAAUGAAUCAUGCAUCUCCAGUUCCCCCUCCCCUGAGACAGUUAUGAGUGCUCGAUCGAUUAGAACUCUUAUUCCAGUAUAAGGAUGGAAACCACAAUCUUCCAGAAUUCGGGCUGCACAGUCUUUCUCCAUCCCUUUAAAGAAACAUGCAAUGUCUAGAAAGAUGUCCUUCUCCUUGUCAUCUAGUCCAUCGAAGCUUGAUUUAAGCACAUCAUGAAUUCCCCUUCGCGGGAUUUUCCUUAUUUUUUCUAACUCAUCUUCCCACUCGCGUAUAGUUUUGUUACCAAGAAAAGCUCCCAAGACUUUGAGUGCUAAAGGCAGGCCUUGAGCAUAUUCUACGACAUGAUUCGAGAGAUCAUCAUAAUCUCUGGUGGGUUGGUUUUUUCUGAAGGCGUGCCGCCUAAAGAGUUUCAGAGCUCCAGAAUCACUCAAAAUCUUGGGAUUAUAUAUCACAUCAGCUAUGCUUAGUAAUUGCGAAUCUCUAGUUGUUAUAAUAAUUCUGCUUCCACCACCAAAGGAAUGUGGCUCUUCAAGUAAAGCUUCAAUUUGUUCUAAUUCGUCCACAUCAUCAACAACAAUAAGAACUUUUCUCUGACCAAGGCUUUCUAACAUCACCUGAAAACCUUUACUCGAUAUGUCAGAACUCCCCACCUUGUUGUUCGAGAUACUCAAUAGAAGUUGUGCCUGCAUAUGUAGUUUGCCAUGCUUCAUGAAACCUUCCUUGAAAUUUUCAAGAAAGCAACAAGCUUCAAAUCGACUAGCGAUUUUAUCAUGAACAGCUCUAGCGAUGGUUGUUUUGCCUAAACCACCCAUACCCCAUAUUCCAACAAUGCGAACAGUAUUCGUUUCACCUCCGGGAGGAUAUAAUAAUAGAUGCAUUUCAUGCAUGUGAGAAUCCAUGUCAACCAAGCCAUUAUCUUUGCUUGAUGUUGAUGAGAUGUCGAUCAAUUUCCUAUAAACAUCUUCUACAAUUUCCUCAAUAAGCACCACAUCAUUCCUGUCAAAUUAAAAAAAAAACAAUAUAAUAACACCACCAAAUAAUAAUUAAUGGGUUUUUUCAUCUGUUAGUUUUAAAAAAAAAACAGAAAUUAAAACUAAAAACUAGAUAUUUAUCAAAUGACCCCUAAACGUGACAAAAAUCCCAAAAAUUAAUAGGAAACUAAAACAAAUUAGAAUUUACUCAUAGUUUCGCGAAUCCCAGCCGGAUAAACUGGUGGCAGUUGUAAGAGCGGAUCUCCAGCUCUGAACCUCUUCCAUUUCAGCGUUAGAAUCACGAUAGUGCUGAGCAAAAGCUUCCUCGAAUUUUCUCUUGAGUUUACGAACGUCAGACGGAUCAACUUCAUAGAAAAUGGGGAGUACAAUCCGGUUAUUGGUAUCCUUGCAUUCCAGGAUUUGCACGAGUUCUUUCAAGCACCAAGUGGAAGAAGCAUAGUUUUGAGAGAAAACUACAAUCGAAAGCCUUGACUCUCGAAUCGCUGUCAGGAGCUCGGAAAGGUGGUCGCCUUUUCUGAGCUUUUCGGCAUCAAUGAAGGCGUUGAUUGGUUUCUUAGCCAGAGCGUUGUAGAGAUGGCUGACGAAGCCCCUGCGAGUGUCUUCCCCUCUGAAAUUGAUGAACACAUCGUAUUUGCAACCAAGGCCAGAAGAAGAUGAAGAAGAAGAAGCAGCCAUUAUUAAUCGAUCGCACCUGGUCAGCGAUGAUCGAGCCGCUAAGACUAGAGAAUUGUAAGUACAGAAAUACUCAAUAGAUCUACAAAUUUGAUCACCGGAAAUUAGUCACUGAGUCAAUGCAAAAGGGAAUUUUCUUCAGGAAAUUUCGGUGUGAAAGGAAUCCGCAUACUUCGGAUUUUUCAACCCAAGAAAAUGCGAAGAAAGGGGACAAAGUAGUAAAUUUAAUCUACAGUUGCCUACCCAACACCCUCUUGAUUUAGAGGGUGUAUUCAAUUAGGAUUCUGAGAGGGUUUCAGGAAAUUAAUAAUUUCAGGAGUAUUCAAUUAGGAUUUUAAGUGAUUUUUUGAAAUUCUAGGUGUAUUCAAUUAGAAUUUCAAAAUAGUUUAUGAAAAUCCUUAGAAAUCCAGGUGUAUUCAAAGUUUAUAACAUUCCAUGUGUAUUCAAUUAGAAAUUGAUUUUAAAGAAUUUGAGAAAGUUAAAGAAUUAGAGGGAAUUGGAGAGAUUACGUAGUGUAUUUUAAGUAUCCACAAAUCUCACAUAUUCCCAUGAGAUUUCGAGGGAAUUGAAUCAAAAUUUUAUAUGGAAUCUCUACAAAUCAAUUAAACUCCAUAAAAAUCAAUGGAUUUAUAAAUCCAUUAAAAUCUCUCACAUUCUCAAUUGAAUAUAUAUUAAAAAGAUAAAGUUAGUCUCACAUGUAAUCUCUACGUACUAACAAUUAAAUGAGAGUUCCGUUUUAACUUAAUAUAUGUAACUUACAUGCUAAUAAUUAACGAAAUAUUAGCAAAAUUUUUAAUUUUAAGCAUAAAUUCUAAUUUAGAUAUCUUCUAACUAUCUUAUCACCUUAAAAAUUAUUAAUCAAAUUAAACUUAUUAUUUAUUUAUAAAUGCGUAACUAAAUCACAAAGUGUUGAAUGAAAGGGAGCACUCCAAAGGAUGAAAAAGCGGGAGCAUCGAAAGCUAUCUCCGUUUUUUGCUGUCUAUUUGUCUUCUUUUGGCAGAUAGCUCCUAGACUCCUAGGGGCCGGCCUAUUUUCCACAGCUGGUUAUAGGACUCAGUUGCUAUUGAAGAAGUGCUUUGUUGUAAUUCAAUAUCGAUGGAAAUUCAACAGAAUCUUUUUCAAAUUUUUGUGAGGAUUUUGGGGUGUAAGUGAAUUGUUUUUGUUCAUUGUAUAUUGUGCGGUCAUUUUUCAUCAAAUACUGUUUAUGUUUCAUUUUAAAUAAAAUAAUUUAAAAUAAUUUUUAGCUGCAAGUUGUACGAUGAACUGAUAUAAUUCAUAAAUCUUUAAAAUCCUUACAAAGAAAAUCUGAAAAAAAUCCGAAUUCAAUGGAAAUAAGCUGAUUUUGAAUCAAAUAACAUUACUUUACAACACUGCAGUUUUCAGCAUUGCACCGGAGAUCGUGCGGUCAUUCGUCCUUCUGUUCUCCGUAGUUUUGCCGACUUUGGUUCCACUUGCUGUCCAAUGCGCUAGGCGGCUUAUCAGGAUCAGGCUUAGAGAACCUGUAGUAAACUGCAUUAUGUGGUUCGUUUAUAGCUGUACAUCAUAAGUCUAUUUCCGGGAUCAUAUCAUCGUUGGCGCAUUCAUCAUAGAAGCUCCAGCUUCGUAUCCAAGUCAGUCGUUACUAUCUUACAUUUGCUAUAUAUUACAAAAUUUUGGGUGGGAAAACUUCUUAUAUGAUAAUGCGUGAAGAAUUCAGUUCGAAAACAGUAAAACAAAAUUAUUUGUACUAGUUCUUCUACUUGAUAUAUGAUGGUGUGUUUUUUGUUUUUUUGACCGAGGUUUAUAAUGGUGUUUGUUCUAUAAGUCGGCAUCUUUGCCAACCGCAAUCGAUACUGUCGUUCGAUACUGCAAAUGAAAACCCGGUGGGUGCGCAAAAUUUCGAGCCAAUCCUACAAUCUGACAGAUUGUAGGAAGAAAGGAACAAUGUUGUUGGCAGCACAAAAGUUCAUAAUCUUCUACUUGGAGUAAUCUGUUUAAGGCUUUAAUAUUCAUGCAGAAAGUUUUACAAAAUGAUCGCCUUUCGACAUAUAUCACAAUGGCGAUCUUUAAUCAUAAUGACUUGUACUGCUCGAUCAAACGAGACGCAUGGAGGCACGACGUAGGAGCCACGGUGCAGCCCAAACUUUGCAGAUAAGAAAUCUGGUAAUUCACAGCAUGACAAACAUAUUAUUGGGUCUCCUGACCAUCCUAGAUACCAAUGUGUGCACAAGGAAAGGAGUAAGGUAAUCAAAUGCUUGAGUCUUGUGUACCUGUUUCGGUGUUGGUUCGGAUGAACCCAUUGAGUUCUCGAUCCUUAACUUCUGGAAAUGCUCCUGAAAGCAUAAAUAUAUGUACGGAUUUAAACCAAUGACAAUGGACAUAAUUUACAGACAAUGAUUGAAGAAAAUACAGAUAUAAAUGCCUCAGUAUUCCAUUGACGAAAGUUCUAGAUUUGAUGAAUCAAACGUCCCACGUUGAGACUGCGUUAAGGCAAAUGGUUCUCAAACACAAAGCAAUAGUUUGCUACCGAAAACAACCAAAGUUUGACAAAGGAAACCGUCUUACACCUAACCUGUUUUUCCCUCAUCAAAUGAGCGCGUUGAUCUGCAGGUAUUUUCUGCCAUCUCAAAACCUGUUACAAAGAAAUAUAACAUUGAUGUCGAGCUGGAUAGCAUAUAUACCAAUUAUGUGUACAAACCUAUUGAAAUAAAGUAGCUGUAGUUGCAUAUUACGACAGAUAUUAACGAAAACAAAAGAAGGCUCGCCUAUUCAAGAUCCUAAAUCCCGUGAUUCUUUUGUUUUUAGUUUCAGAAAUUUUCAGAGCACAAACUGGAAAGUACCAAGAUACUUACAUAUUGGGCAUAAUGAAAUGCAUCUUCAUCUUUCAAGCAAGAUUUCAGUGAGCGCAAACCGUCCUGAGAGUUACAUAGAGUCAAUCAGUAAUAUAAAAACGUAGAUGCAUCACACCCAAACACAAGUAUUCAAACACCGACAACUUCUUCAUGCGGUGAGGCAUGUUAAAAAAUAGGGAAGAACAGUUAUUGAACAGGAAGUUAAAGGACUAAAUUUAUGACCUUGUGUUUGUAGUUCUUGGCUCGUGUGCGUUCAUCUAUUACAAAACCAAUCUGUAACAGGUACAACAGAAAAUAUAAGCAGUAGUCAGAACAUUAAGCAUCGGCAUUCACAUUGCCACCAAUCCAAAGUUAAAAGUCUAAAGGCAAAACAGUAUGAUUCUUAUCUCUCAAACAAAAAUGAAACUAUACCCCGGUCUCAGACAUAAAUGAAAUAAGUUCUACUGCCUCAACUGAGUACUGUGAUUAUAUAUAAAUCCAAUUCACCUUGUCAAGUAAUCUCUUAGGAUCUUGAAAUGCUUGCUUCUUAGCCCAGUCAUUAAAUACAUGCGAGAUAAUCGAUCUCUCAUCCACACUGAAUCUAUUGCACAGUGACAGAAGAAUAAAGUUAAACAUGAACAUAACCAACCAAAAAUGCUAGUUAUAAUAGUAUACCCAUAAUUGCAAGCAAAACCUUUUUAAGAAGCCAUUUCCAUGGUUUUCCUCCCCAAAUUCCAUCAAUUCUGCAGAGGCAACGUCAAAUUUACUAUGAUGGAGAUCAUUUUGCACCAUAACAACUUCAGAAGGUAGGAGAUUUGGUUUGAGAUCAUCUGUUGACGGAGUAGUUUCUUUUGAAGUGUCAUGAUGCUUUGAUUGCAAGCCUUCUGUACUUACGUCAGCCUACAAAACAAAAAUUGCAUUCAUCCACACUAGACUUAAUAAGAUUAGAAACACUUCAGAUUCUUCACUAUUUGUAAGUUUGACUAAACAGCAGAACAACUAAGGAUAAUGAACAGUAAUACACACCUGGACUUCUCGUAGAUGAUUUGGAAUUUCUUUCAGAAAUCGCGAAGGUUGAAGCAUCUGAAGGAGUCACCUUCUCAGUCAGAGCAACAAAAAAUAAGGAGGACAGGAAUUCAAGCUAAAACGAACCUGCCAACUGGAAUCCAUCGUAACAUAAAGAAUGAAAAGCUUUUUUCGAGCACGAGUCAUUGCAACAUAUAAUAGGCGUCUUAACACUUCAAAGCUCUGCAUAUAACUAAAAGGUCGUACCCAGUGCACAAGGCUCCCGCUUUACGCAGGGUCUGGGAGAGGUGAAUGUCAGCUAGCCUUACCCCCAUUUUAUGGAGAGGUUGCUCCCAAGUCUCGAACCCGAGACCUACCGCUCAUGGGCGAAGGCACUUGCCAUCACACCAAGUGCGACCUCUAAUUGUAUCAAAUACAUAUAUUCACAAAAAUUAUAUAUGACCGUUAGAUGUAUUAAAUACAUGCAAGUAUUGUAGCUAGAUGAUUAUUGAGUAAGGAAAUUCGAUCCUGACUUGCAAGACCUAGAGUAUACUAAUGACUUGUACCAGAUCAUGAGUCAACAAGCACGUAAGGUUAUUCAUAGUUUGACACUAGACGACAAUAAUGAAGACAUGAUCCAAUGAUUUUGCAAAAUAAAAAGUGCCUUAACAAAUGAUUUUGGUGUGCCACCGGAGAAAUCUAAAUCAUAUUCAUUGAAAGGCCAGUUAUUUCCUUCCAUUCUAAAAGAAAUACAGCAAUGAAUGUCAAACUAUAAAAUGUAUCUCCUAAAGUUGAGAGAAAGGACCCUUACCUACAUUACGGAAAAACACUAUCUUCCAAUGAAGUGGCAUAAAAAUUGCUGAAAUAUGUUAAUUUCUAAAGUACAAAUAAAACAACCUACCUUUUCAAAGUAGAAAUUUAUAAGUGCCUUUUCAAAGUAAAAACUUAAAAGUGCCUCUUCAAUGUUUUCAUUUUCAAAUAAAAGUGGUCCAAAAUGCUUGAAGACAACUAGGAAAAAGAAACAUAACUGAUUGAAGACCAUAUAGGAAAUCAAUGGAGCUUGAAUUUCUAGAUUAAUAAACAAAUUAACAGAGCUUCUGUACUACACAAGCCUUCCAAGGAUAAGAAGAAUAACAGAAGAAUAAUAAAAAUCACAUAUAGGUGCACAUGAACCUUCACACGUCCAGAAAAUUUGCAAAAGAAGUACAGCAAUAACAUAGAUGACAUAUGGCUUGGCGCACACACUCACACAGAGAAGCGUAAUAAGUAAUAAUAUUCCCAAAUAGCUGCACAUUCAAUUGCACACAUACAACAAGAACUACAACAAUAACGUAGACAUGACGCGCACGCGCACACACACACACACACACUCACGGAGCUAGUGAAUGCAACAAUAAUCAGCUGACCUGGUUCAAGACUGGAGCAGUGGUAGUGCAAUCGUCACAUUUUUGUUGACAUCAUGAACUUGGCUUUUUUCUCAGCUGGCUUAAGAAUCUGGAAAGAGCACAUUAAGUUUUCAUCUACACUCAUCAUCGCACCAGCAUUGUCAAACUCACCACAGUAGUUGGGAGCUGAAAAAAUUGUAACAAGUUGCCUGUCCGCAAAGAAUUCAUAACCAUCUUCCAUUGGCAUGUUUAAUCUGCAUAUAACUGAAAAAUGUUAAACAAUUUACCGCACAUCUCAAUGGAGGUCCCAUUUUCUUUUGCAACGCCAUUGAAUUCAUGGAACGGGAUCUCAGAUUCAUUUACCUGUGUUAUUGGCAUGAGCAUUAAAGCAAGCUAAGAUGAUUUGAAGAGGUUGAUAUCGUCAUGAAUAUACUAGAACAGAAUACCAAUUUCAAGCCAUCAAUUAGGUAUAGCAUUGGCAUGUUUAAUCCGUAAAUCUAAUGACAGAACACCUCAACUCUACACAUAAAUAAAUAAACAACCUGGAAAAUAUUACAGCCACUUGUUAAGGCAAAUACCUUAAUUAUGAAAACCAUAUCCCACUCUAAACCUUUUGACUGCAAGAGAAUGAAAAAGAAAGACAGUAAGCCAAGAAUGUUUGUAGAACUCCAAAGGAAGUCCAAUAGGGAAAUCAUCGCAAGUAUAAGAGUUAGCGAGGUUCGCAUAAGAGGAUAUCAAAAAGAUCUAGAACCUGAUGAAUAGUAGUCAAAGUGACAGAACUUUGGUUGUCAUGUCUUCGGGAGUGAAAAUUUUCACUCUCCCGCUCAGAUAUGUAGUCGAUGAAAGCUUUGAGUAAAUUAACGCAGCCUUUUUCUUCUGCUACGACUUCUCUCUCCCCUUUUCCCACAACAAAAUGAGUUGAUAAGAAAUCAGAUACGUCGUCUAGUAGGUACUGAAGAACCUGCAAUGAGAAUAAUCGCAUCACAACAACAGGGUUGGACCAAGAUUUAAGUGACAACAAUGAUUAACUAACUAAAAUAGAGAAAUUAUUCAUUUAAGACCUUGUUGACUGGAAAAAGGGUUUUCCAAGCAGCGGGUCAUUUAAGCUUUUUGUAUAAAUGACAAUCAUCACAAACGGCAAACUUACAGAUCUCAUGUCAUUGUCUUCAUUCAGCAGUUUUCCUCCAUCUACAUCAACGACUGCACGUUGCUCAAGACGGUACUUCUAAAAAUUGAAAGUCAAACGAUAAAUUAUUAAGAAGCAUUGAAUAUAAGCAUGAAACGAAGAAAAUGUUAUGGAAUGGUGAUCCUCAUCCUCAAAGAUGAUUAAAAGCAAUUUGAUUCAAAAAUGACAUAUCAACUCUGGAGAAAUGGAAGACAAACCUGUGGUACCAUAUUCGCAACUGAGGUUAUGACAGCUGAAAUCGAUUGUUCCUGUGUGCAUUGAUAAGUGAGACUACCAUAGAGAUUCACAACUAAAUAAAGAUAGGUAUUCCACAGAACAACCUUUACCUCUUUGGAAACACAGAUCUAACAAAAACUAUAACAUUUUGGAUUAAUAUUGACGAAUCAAGAAUAAUGCAAGGGAGCAAGAGAUACUCUUCCUUCUAAUAACAAGGAGGCAUGAAAAGUAUACAGAGUUCCAACAAUUAGAGAACUAAAAUCAAACUAAAAAAAUCACCAGAGUAGACAGAAUCUCACUUCGCCAAAAAUUUGAAAAUAUAUCCUUUUUAUCCAUUGAGAUUCAUGAACUACUCCUACUCAUCAUGCCAAUAAGCAAUGCGUAAGAGGUGCUACAAUUUACCGAAUAUAUUUACCCUGAGAACAAGUUUUGAAAUCAUCUCUAGUGUUAACAGCACCUUGCGUCCUUGGGUAAGCUGAGUCCUAUUAUCAAGUAAAGAGACCAAUCAGUACAUCCAAAAGAUCUUAAAUGCCUCUAAUACCAAUAAGAAAGAAACAUGAGUAUAUCUUGAAUUAACCAUGCAAAAAUGUAAUGUUAAAGCAUCUUGUCAUACAGACCUCUUCAAGGUACCAGAAAUUUUUGCACUAAAGAUGUCACAAGCAGCUGAUAUGAAGCUGCAUUUUCUGUGAGUUGAAAUUUUGUCAAUAUAAUCGAUCACCUGAAGAGAGAGAGAGAGAGAAAGACAGUGAUAUCCAGAGAUGUGAGCCUAGAUGCUGAGUGUGUAAAAAAAGAAGAUUAAAUGGAUAGCAAGAAUAUACAACUUUAAUGCUGAAAAGAACAUUGAAUAUGAUGCUCAUUCAAUUGCCAUUGAACGUGUACCUUCUUCUUUCCUCUUUCUCAAAAGCAAGUAGAGCCUUGAAGACUUGCCUAUAUGAUCCAUCAUCACAACCAGGCAAAGUUGUUUUAAUCAUAGCAACAAUGGCUCUAACUACCUGCCAUAAGAAACAUACUACAUCAACAAGAUCACAGUGUACCAGAAACCGUAAUGUACCAGAAACAUACUACAUCAACAAGAUGCAGUCUCCAGGAUCUUGUCGACAACAAAGGCACAUUGUGCAUCCUCAUUGUGACUUUCCUUGAUAAUUACCUACAUUUUGCCAGUAAACCGGUGUCACUAACUAAAAGGACUGAAAAAUGACAUCAAAUUGUACUUGUUGGAGCAAGGAAAGAUUAAGUACCUUAGACCCAGAAGAAUUGUCCGUGUCAACAUUCUUUAGUUGGCAUCGCUUCUUAUUGUUUUUUAUAACAGAAGAUGCAGCUUCCACAAUAUAGCGUGUGGACCGAAAGUUUUUAUUAAGCCUAAUCUGAACCAUAAAGUUAUGUCAAAUCCCACAGAACCCCAUAAAAUAAAACUUACUUUCCUGUAAUUGUACAAUAUAUUUGUUCUAUACUAUAUACAAUGUUUUAAAAGGUUCGCCUCGGGGCGCGCCUAGGUGCCCUGUGAGGCUGGGCUUGAGGGUUGCCGCCUCUGUUUUCAGGGAGUGGGAGGAAGGCGUCGCCGGAGCCGCCUAAGCGCCAGAAGGCGCCACUGGAGCCGCCUAGGUGAGCCUCAGGGGAUUUUUUUUUUUUUUUUUUUUUUUUUUUUUUACUCCCAAACCCAAAUUUUGGGUAGGGUUUUAACUAGCUCAUACUCUUCCUUGCACUAUCAUCUCUCUGCCUUCUUUUCUGAUUUUUAUUUUUUAUAUAAUGGAUGUGUGUGCCGUCUGCGUGCAUUGUUAUAUGUGUGCUCAUCGUGCUUUUCAUCCUCUAUUAUAUAUAUAUAUAUAUAAUAUAAUAUAUGUAUAUAUAUAUGUGUGUGUAUAUGUAUUUAUAAUAUAUGUGUGUGCUCAGGAUGAUUAUUGAUUAAUAAUCUUCUUUUUUUUAAUAUAAUAUAUGUGUAUGCUCAGUGUAUAUAUUAAAAAAUUUAGGUCCCGUGAGGCAUCGCCUCACUCCUCACGCCUAGGCUGGGCUAUCCCUCGGACGCCUCGCCCACGCCUCAUGCUUUUAAUACAUUGACUAUAUAUAAUGAAAAAAGACACUGUGAAUGACAUAAGAUAACAUAGCAGUCAAGUGCGAAGCGAACCUUUUUGUAAUUUGAAAAAUCUUUACGAAAAUAAUCAAAUCCAGAAAUGUCCGCCCCAUUGAAACUGAAAAUGGGCAGCAGGAUAUAUGUUAUUUGAUUUAGAACAGAUAAGGGCUGGAUUAGAAUGAGCUGAGAGAGAGAGAGAGGGAGAGAGGGAGAGAGGGAGCAAUAACAUUGGAUUUCCAUAAUAAAUCAACAACAUGCCUGAUCAUCAUCGCCAACAAUGGUUAUGUGGUUAUGAGAGGCGAGAAUCCGCAAAAGACUAUAUUGCAUAGCACUUGUGUCUUGAAACUCGUCUAUUACAAUAGCUUUCCAUGACUCCUGGCACUCCUUCAACACUAAUUAAGAGAACACCAUGUAUCAACAUUUAGCAUUACUUGUAAAACUAGAUAAAUCAAUGAAAUAUACUUAGAUGAUAGAGACCUUCAGGAAAAUCACUUAGCAGCUUCACAGAGCAGCUAAUUAAGUCGUGGUAGUCCAAAGCGUUGCACGAUUUCAAGAUAUCAUUGUAAUUCCUAAGAAUUUCACCCUGAUUCAGAUUGAGAGCUAAAACUCAUAAGCAAUAGUUUCAAAGAACUGAAAUGAUAUCUGAAAUUCUAGUUCUGAGCGUACUCCUGUCACAUCACCCAUUCUUCGGCAUUCAGCGGGAGUCUUUCCAGAAGCUUUUGCCUGAAACAUAAAUAAAUUUAUUGCCUAAUGCCACAUAUUGUAAGACACACCAUUGUAUUGGUCAUUCUAGCUUGAUUGUAGCUAAUAUUUUUUAAAUCGAAUGAUUAGAGUUCUUAAUCCACAAUAAUCUGAACAUUAAAUUUGGUAUUCAUGACUAACCUGUGUCACAAACUUCAGCCAUUUCUUUGAUGCAUCCUUAAAAUGAUGUGGAGAUGUUACGCCGUUAGACUCUUCCCCAUCUAUAGCAACAUUAAGAUUCGUUUUACUCUUUUCAUCUUCUGAUAACCGCACAGCUUCAAUGAUUGCUCUUCUCUGUUGCCCAUGUCCAUAUAUCAAAAAUUCUGGUCUGCGCUCGAGUCUAAAACACAAGCCAACAUAACAGACUCAGCUAUACCACCAAAUGUAUGGUGUUCAAAAUCAAGGGAGGUGAAUCAAUAGCUUACUUCUCAGCAUGUGAUCGGCAAAGUUGCAAUGAAAAUGAAUGAAAUGUACUGAUUGUUAGUAGUUUUGCCGUUGCUUUCCCAGUCACAGAUCCAAUUCGAUCUCUCAUCUCGGAAGCUGCUGCUGUAGUGAAAGUCAUUGCUAGAAUGUUCGACGUGCUAAUGCCCUAAGAACACAAAAAAAAAAAAAAAAAAACGUAUAAGAUUUCGAUCAUAAACAAGAAAUGUAGAGAAACACACAAUUACGAAAGAAAAAGUUAGAGGGAAAGUAGCAACACCUCAUUGAGCAGCAUUAGAACGCGCCCAACUAUCGUUGAAGUCUUUUCCACUUCCAGGGCCGGCAAACAAUCAUCAAAGGUACUGAAAUAUCGCUGCAAGCUGCCUCGCGCUGCCUUUCGUUGAGAGAAAGCAAAUACUUCAAAUACUCAUCCGGCAUGUUAGGCCAUCCAUGGUUAACAGAAUCUGUUUGGUUUUCACUACUCAAAGGCGGCGCUGAUGCGGCACUAACGUCACUACCACAACUCCCAAUAUCAUCACGCUGAAUGUCCACACUCGGUUUCUGCUCGAUUAAAGCGUCAAUUUCCUGCAAAAUACUCUCAUCGAAAUCAUCAUCGUUAAGAAUUCCAGAUGCAGAGAAAGAAUCAAAUGAAGUCAGAAACUGCGGUUGUCUGAUUGGAGUUGUGAAAGAAUCCGAUUUUGACACGCUUGAUUCGGUCCCGCUAACGCUUAAGCUUCCGGAACACGAAGCACUGCCAUAUUCACCACGCGUUGAAUUGUACCGGCUUGCGGAAAUCGGAGGCGGUGUUCUUUGAACUCUAUUGAGCUGAGUUGGCGUUUGGAUUCCAUUUCCGCCACAGAUUCUGGAAUUUGAAAAACACAAUUGAAUUGAUUUAAAUUGAAGCAAGAAAACAGCCGAGUAGCAAAAAAAUAGUAAGAAGAUGAAACCUUUGAUUCCUGAACGACUUACUUGGUAUGAGGGAGGUGAUGAUCAGGUGAAACGGCGUCGUUGCGGGGGCGUUUGCGAUCAAUGAGGGCCUUGGCGGCUCUGAAAUUCCGAGAGAUGCGGUUUCUUUGUUCCGCCGUGAGCCCUCCGCCGUAUUCCUGAACGUUUUCCUUGGACAUUGCUUCGAAGAUUCCAACGGAGGAUUUGGCCUGACGGCCUGACCAGGCUGAUAAUAUUCUUUUCAUUCAACUUGUCUACAAUAAUUACCACUCUUGGUAUUUAUACAUUUCUAACACGCCUCACUAACUAACUAAGACCACUACCAAUCAUACAUAAACACUUGUCAUAAUCCUAUGCACUCAUAGUAUCAUCACUCUAACUUCCCCUCAAACUCAUGUGGCAGAUUGCCAAGCAUGAGAUUGGAACAAUUACGAGUGAACUGGGGUGAACACAAGCCUUUGGUGAACAUGUCGGCAUAUUGAUUUGCAGAGGUAACAAACUGCAAAAAAUUGUCCUUUGAUGAACUCUUUCAUGAACAAAGUGGCAAUCAAUCUUUAAAUGUUUGGCUUUAGAGUGCAAUACAGGAUUAGUGGCAAGAGCCAUUGCUGAAAUGUUAUCACAAUGCAAAACUGGAACAUAAGGAGAACCAACAUGCAAAUCUCGAAGAAGCUGUUGUAUCCAGAUAACCUUAGCAGUGGUUGUAGCCAUUGCUCUAUAUUCAGCUUCAGUGGAAGACCUACUCACUGUAUGCUGCCUUUUAGAACUCCAAGAGAUAGGAGUAUCUCCCCAAAAAAUGACAAAACCCGUGGUUGAACGACGAUCAUUAGGAUCCCCUGCCCAAUCAGCAUCUGUAUAGGCUUUCAACUGAGAUGAACAUGAUUUAAAACACAAUCCCAAAGACAUAGUGCCUCUGAGAUAUCGUAGAAUACGUUUCACAGCAGCAAAUGAGUGGCUAAGGGUGAAUGCAUAAACUGACAUACUUGAUUGACAUAAAAAGAAAUAUAUGGUCUUGUAAAUGUUACGUAUUGCAGUGCCCCAACAAUACUUUUGUAAGUGGUAGGAUCAGAAACAGGUUCACUACCAUGAUUCAAAAGCUUUUGAUUAGGAUGACAAGGUGUGGAAAAAAGGUUUACAGUCCAGCAUAUGCAUCUUUUAAAGGAGUUCUUUGACAUACUUGGUCUGAUGAACAAAGAGUCCCUGAUCCUGAUACUCAAUCUGUAAACCAAGAAAAUAAUGCAACACACCUAGAUCUUUCAUGCCAAACUCACUAGUUAACUGACUAAUAACAUUCUGAACCUUCAUAGCAUCAUUACCAAUGAGAAUGAUAUCAUCAACAUAUAAUAAGAGAACAAUAAUUGAUGAACCAUCACACUUGACAAAUAAAGAAGGAUCUGCAUAUGAUGACUUGAACCUAAGUUUAGGCAAAUAACCUGAAAACCUGUCAUGCUAGGCUCUGGGAGCUUGUUUGAGACCAUAUAAAGACAUUUCUAGUUUGCACACAUAAUCUAGAUAGGUAGAAUCCACAAACCCUUGGGGCUGAGACAUAUAAACUUCUUCCUCAAGAAAGCCAUGCAAAAAAGCAUUAUUGACAUCUAACUGUUUGAGUUUCCAAUUAUGAGAUGCAGCCAAGGAUAGAACCAAUCGAACCAUGGUUGGUUUGACCACAGGGCUAAAGGUUUCAUAAUAGUUAAUACCAACUUCUUGAGAAUACCCAUUAGCUACAAGAGUAGCCUUGUACCUAGCCACUGAACCAUCUGGAUUUCUCUUAAUCUUGUAGCUCCAUUUACAACCAACAAGAUUUUUGUCAGGUGGUAAGGGCACAAGCUUCCAAGUAUGUUGUUGAAUCAAAGCAUCCAUCUCUUCUUUUAUGGCAUUUUGCCAUUGAACACACUUGACUGCACUAGAAAAAGACUGAGGUCUAAUAAAUGGAAAUGUGGAAGAAACACUAGGUGGAUGAAUGAAUGUGUUUGAAUGCACAACAGACACUGGUGAGGAAGAAUGACCAGAAGUAACUUGAUGAUUGAAACCCAAAGCAUUAGAGUCUAUAGGAAACUUGGAUUCAUAAAAAAUAACAUGUCUAGAUACUAACAGUUUAUGUUCUUUGAGAGAGAAGCAAAUAUACCCUUUGUAUUGUGUAGCAUACCCCAGAAAAAUGUUGGAGCAAUAAUAGAAAAUAUGAGAAAUAACAAUAUAAUUCCAAUGAUAAUAAUCAUAAAGAAAUUCACAACAUCAAUUAUAUAUGAGAUUAAUAUAAACUACUAGAGUGAAAGUUAGAAUAACUGACAAACUUGGAGAUUGAGGCUUGCAUAAAUGCAAUGUCCUAAAGAUAGAAUUUCGCCCCUACUCUUGUGUUUGUAGUUCAAUAGGCGUCCAUCUCUCAGAAUUCAACAAUCUAUAAUCCGAAGUCAAAGCACUUCAAUCUUCGGACUCUGGCGAACUUUAUAUAUUCCGUACUCUCAAGACACGACUCGGAAUUUGACACACGAAUCAUUUGAGAAACAAAGUUGGGGAAACCCUAUUUCUCAAGAGAGUAACAAUUAACUCUAUUUUUCUAUUUUUAAUGAUAAUGGUUUCAUGAGUUUAUAUAGAACCCAAGUACUUUUUGUUAAGGAGAUGUAACUUUUCAUCUAUAAGUAUACAUCACUUAUCAAGAGAAUACACCUAAACAACAUAACCUUUCUAAGAAAUUGGUUAACACUAUUUUUCAUUCAAUUAUUAAAAUUAUAUAUUACAAUAUUUCAUAUUAUAAUAUAUAAUUUCCAACAAAAAAUACACUUAGUAGUUUUAGGUUCAAGUUUAUUGCUUCUAUAGGGUUUCAAUGAAGGAUAGCAUAAACACCCAAAAAAUCUCAAAUGAUCAAGCUUAGGUGGAGAUUUAUAUAGCAUUUCAAAAGGAGACUGCAUAUGUAGGGUAGGUGUGGUCAUUCUGUUUAUAAGAAAAGUAGCAGUGGCACAUGCAUGGAACUAACAUUUUGAAGGUAAUGAAACUUGUUGUAAAAAGGUAAUAGUUGUUUCGACAAUAUGUUGAUUUUUUCUCUCAGCCAACCCAUUAUGUUCUAGGGUAUAAGGACAUUUUUUAUGAACAAUGCCUUUGGUAAGAAGAAAUUGCUUAAACUGAGUACUAACAUAUUCCCCACCCCCAUCACUUUGCAAAAUUUUUACAUGAGCAUCAAAAUAAUUCGAGACAUAAGCAAGAAAGUUGACAAAAACACUGAACACUGCAAACUUUAUUAUUUAAUGGAAAAAUCCAGGUAUAUCUUGUACAUUCAUUAAUAAAGGAAACAUAAUACUUGUAACCUUCUAUAGACAGACUAGGUGAGGGACCCCAAACAUCUAUGUGAAUUCCUUCAAAUGGAGUAAGUGACUUCAAAGCAAUUACAGGAAAAAAGAGCUUGGUAAACUUACCUUGCAAACAAGCUUUACAAGUAUGAGAUUGAGAGUUACAAGGAAAAGAUAUAAAAGACUUAUUAAGUGCUGCAGUGACAAUGGAAUGUGCAGGAUGGCCUAAUCGACAAUGCCAUAAUGUAGAAGAAAUCUUUUGACCCACAAAUGCAACUGGAUUAAAAACAGGAGAAAUAGACCUUUGUGGUUUGAUUAUGGGAAGUGGAUAGACAACAUUAUUACUCAGCCCUUGGAAUAGCACUCUCUCGGUGACCUUGUCCUGUAGACAGAGAGAAACAUCAUCCAUGAUACAACGACACUGAUUAUCUUUGCAUAACUGAUUCAUAGAUAAUAAGUGUUGUGACAGUUUUGGAACAUGUAACAUAGAGUUUAACUUGAAAUUAUGUGACUUAGUGAGAAGAGAAGAUGAACCAAUAUGUUUAGCUAAACCUUCACCACUAGCACUGGUCACAAUAUCAUUUGAUGGAUAAAUUUGUUGCCAUGUGCAAGUUUGACAAAUCUGAGGUCAUAUGGUUAGUUGCUCCUAAGUCAAGAAACCAGAAAUCUUGUUAAAGAGUUGAGGAUGAUGCACCAGCUCAUGCUUGCAUAGCAAGAUGAGGAUUUUGUGAGGAUAUAGUUGAGAGAUACAUAUGUGGUAUGACAAGAUACUGAAACUGGGAGCUAUUAGACCGUGGAAUAAUGCCUUGUGAAGGACCACAUGGAUUCUAGCUAGGUGCUUCACCAUAUGACCCAGUAGGCAUUGAAGUUGGCAUAGAUGAGGAUAAACCCUAAGAGAAAUGCUCUGAUGUGCCUGUGAAAUUCUUAUUCCGAUCAAAGCAAGUAGCAGCAACAUGACAACCUUUGACAAAUUUGACAUCCAUGUUGAAAACAAUUCAAUGCAGAAUGACCUUUGCGAUCAUAUUUGCAAAAUGGCCUUUGCAACCCUAGAAAGAAGAAGGAGCGAAGAAGACCAAAUGUGCACGUUUCUCUUUGGUUUUUUUUCCCUCCUAAUCGCCCUGUUCGAAAUCACGGACCUCGGGCCUGUGCCUAGUGGGCCCAAUUAUGAGGCCCAUUAUCUCCGGUCUUCUCGUUCUACUUCUAGUUACCCAAAUUAAGAACGUACUGGUUCGCUUUUAGCGCGAGAGAGAAAUGGAAGCCCUGAUUGCCUCGUACGGAGACUCGUCGUCGGGCUCAGACUCCGAGUCGCCGGCUCCACCUCCACCACCACCUCCGGAGCUCAACAAUCCUCAAAAACCGACCCCUGCGCUGCCUCCACCUCCUCUGUCACUUCUUGACAGCCCCAAUUCCUUCGGUAACCUCUGAUUCCCAUCAAUUUUCAUCUUUUAGCUUUCUGUUGUGAUGGCUUUUUCCAAGUUGGCCACCAAGUGUUUGAUGUUUUGCCUCUGAAGGAUUUCUGGACUUCUCGGCAAGCGCCCAGCCGAGCAGAGUUCGGAACUUUCCUCACGUCGAAGGGAACUACGCAGUACAUGUAUACAUCCCAGGUUAUCAAAAUUCUCGAAAUUUUCAGCUCCAUUAUCAAAUGCGAUCGCUUUGCACUUAGUUUUUGCUUGUUUAAUUGCGUGGUUCCAGUUUAUAUACCACCAGCACCAAGGAAAGAGAUGGCCUUGUUUUUGAACAAGCUAGCUUCUCUGGUGCCUGGUCUCCAUGCGGUUGACGUUGACUUCCCGCUUGACAUUCUGCGUAAGGACGAGCACAAGCUUGAACAAGUUGCUUUAGGCAGAGAGUUCCAUAUAAGUCUCGGAAGAACUGUUCCGAUUCGGGUGCACCAGAUUGAUUCCUUGGUGACAAUGCUGCGGCAGAAGCUUCAGAUUCAGAGGCGGUAUGGUUACAUUUACAUUCUCUUGUCUGCAUUGCGUGAAUUUAGUUCUGUUAUUUAACAUAAUUCUGUAAGCCUGCCAAAUUUUUCGUCCAUUUUCGGUUUAACACAUUUUGUUAUUGUGAAACAGGUAUUGGAUUGAUUUUAGCAAGUGGGAGGUUUUUGUUAAUGAUGAUCAGACCCGGACCUUUGUGUCAAUCGAAAUCAUUGCUGCUGGGUUAGCUGAGGUAUGAUUGCUAGCUUUCUUUCUUGGUGCAAUUCUAAAUGUUUUCAGUUGUUAUAUGGGCUUAAGAUUUAGUAAGUACUUGCCGAAAGUCAUGGGAUUUUGAAAUAUCGAUAUCUUGCUUGCUUAUUAGCUUAGACUUGGUCUUCGAUGCACUUGUAACAUGAAAAACACAAACGAAAACUAAUGCAUGAUAUGCUCAUGGUUUUAACAUGUGUUGUCCUGGCGUAAAUCAUGUUCCUAAUCCUGUCAUGUGAGUAUAUAAGCCUAUGAAACUUAGGGCAUGUUUGGCGGGCCGGACAAGAUUGGAAUUGGUAUUUCAGACUAGUUAGGUUAGGAUUGAACUGGAUAGGAUAGGUUUUUUGUCUAAAGAUUGGUGUAGACUGUCUUAACCAGACUAGGAACGAUGGGAUUUAAAAGGUGAAACAGAUCCGCGACAUCCCAAGGAUGACCCGCCCACCCAACAACUCUGCUUGUGACUUGCAACACCUCUCGUACCCUCCACGCCCCUUGCGGCCCGUCAGACCACUCUGAUAUCCUGGAGGAGUGAAACGUGGUUACUAGAAGCAUACCUGUUUUCGUAUUAAUGCACGGUUGAAUCAGCUUUCAUUGUCUACAAGUCUGAAAUAUUUUAACUUCCAUUGAUUUCAGAUAACAAAGCAGAUUCAAGCUGUGAAUGAGGUGUAUAAGCUUCACAAUCUUCCUGAAUUUUACAAGGUUAGCUUUUUCGUGCUUUUCAAACUCGAAUCGCUUCCUGAAUAUAUGACAAUAUAUUGGAUCAAACGAUUUCUCAAAAAACUAAUUCACUUGAUGGGGUCUUGGUGAUCACAGGAUCCACGCCCUCACAUCUCGGUAGCUUGGGCAUUGGGUGACAUCAGCAAUUCCCUGAAGAAAGUGGUUGAAGAAGAAAGACGAAGAUCUACCAUCGGAGGAUCGUUACAGAAAUGUAUUUUUACCAGUAAAUUCAAUGGUAUCGAAUGUAGGAUUGGUAAUGAGACACACAAAAUAUGUAAAUUUUCUGAAGAAUAAUGUAGCCAUUUAACUGUAUUGUGAAAUUCCGAGAAUAUAUCGCUGAGCAUUGGAUGAGAAGACAUUUCUUCGUUGGUGUCGAACUUCUUGUCGAAGGGAUUGGCACCAGUGUAAACGUCAUCAUCCAUGUUGAUGGUAAUUACUUCCCAGCUACUAAGGGAUUGGUAAUUACGUCUUUCACAUGCCCGACAAAUAGAAGUAUCACCAAACAUGUGAAUAUAGAGCAUCUAAGCGGCAGGCACUAAAAGGAAUUUAGUAUGCAAUAAACAUUCAACGGACACAAUUAUAUGUCUAACCUUUCCCGCUCCUGAGCAAUUUGAACAUCGUUCAGUUUUUGGCAGAGAUAGGGGUUGGUUUCCGCCAUCAUCAGCUGUCGAUACUGGUUCAGUAAGAACAAGGGUUCCAGUGCUGGAGCAACGAGCACAAGCAAGAGAUCCUGCGUAAGUAUCAAAUACACAGGUAAGCUGACAUACGAAACCAAUCCGAACAUCUCCAUCGUAUAUAUUUAAAGCUACAGUACAUAAAACUAAAAGUCAGAAAUAUAGGACAUUAUCACACCAGUUCCAAGACAAUAUUUGCAUCGUUUAUGCUCCUGCUGUUUCACAUUGUUUAUUUCAACUACCAUCAAUGCUGAGAUCACUCCGACUGCUCCUCCAGAGAAUGACGCCACUAUGGGAUCAACUUGACUGCAGUUUGAAAGUAAAGGAGAUCAAUAAACGAAACUGGUAACAACAUAGUAUCAACAUUAUUUAGCUUCGUUUCAAGAAAGAUGACAUCCUAGGUUUUUCUGAUGUGUAAAAAUUGAGGAUCCUCGUAAAAUUUGACUAUAUCGGUUCCCAAAGCAUUUGAUUCCUACGUUACAGACGGAAAACAGCAACAAUCGAAUUUAAAGAUUCAUAACACGAUAGAUGGUACAAAAUUUCAAAACGAUAAUUACUAGAGAAGAAAAAUGAGAAGAGAUGAUAUGGGAUCUGCUAAAAGAGGUGACAGACAAUGUAAGCAAUCAGAGCUCCGGCUGAUUGUUCACAUUCUCCCUAUCUUGCAGGCAGCAUGAAGGAUAAAAAGAAGAAAAAUGAGAAGAGAUGAUAUGGGAUACUUUUGCUUUUGAAGAAGUAACUUUCCACAAGCUUAUUCUUGAACUGAGUUGGAGGGUUUUCUGGUUUCCUCCAGAGUAUAAGGCCGACUGAAGAAUUUAAGGGUCAAAACAAGUCCAUCAAAUCUAGAGUACGUUCGACCCUGCUGAUAUGAGAUACUUUUGCUUUUGACAGAGUAAUGGAUGUAUCGGCACGUGUGCUGUUACUUGUCUCCACAUGCUUCCUUGUAUCCUUCCCACUUGCCCUAUCUGUUCCUCAGGGAGAUGCGGUAUCUUCCCUGGGAGCAUAAGAUGUUGAAGAUCAACCCUCGUGGUCUCUAAGCAGCCCAGCUUUUGAGAAAGCAAACGCUUCUUCGAUUUCUGAGCAGGCGCCUCUUCGAUGUCUGAAGCUCCGUCGAGUGCAGCUUUUUAUAGGGGCUGGCAUUAAGUUCCAAAGCACACUUGAAUCUCCACCAGUAGAAGCCCCAUUCUUGCACUUCUAAGAUCUUGAUUUGUCCGACCUCUUCUCUUUUCAACACCUUUGAAAAUGUCUGGCCCCUCCGACCGUCGUUUUGACUUGAACCUUGUUGAAGAGGCAGCCCCGCCUUCUCCAGACAACAUAUGGCGGCCAUCCUUCGUUUCCCCUACUGGUCCUCUUACCGUUGGGGAUUCCGUGAUGAAGAAUGAUAUGACCGCUGCGGUGGUGGCCAGGAACCUUCUCACUCCCAAAGAUAACAGACUACUUUCCAAACGGUCUGAUGAGUUAGCCGUUAAGGAUUUGCUGGCUCUCAGUGUUCAGUGUGCAGGUUUUGUGUCUAAUAUGGCCCAACGCCUAUUUGCUCGAACCCGCCAAGUUGAAUCAUUGGCGGCCGAAGUGAUGAGUCUCAAACAGGAGAUUAGAGGGCUCAAGCAUGAGAAUAAACAGUUGCACCGGCUCGCACAUGACUAUGCUACAAACAUGAAGAGGAAGCUUGACCAGAUGAAGGAAACUGAUGGUCAGGUUUUACUUGAUCAUCAGAGAUUUGUGGGUUUGUUCCAGAGGCAUUUAUUGCCUUCGUCUUCUGGGGCUGUAACGCGUAAUGAAGCUCCAAAUGAUCAACCUCUGAUGCCUCCUCCUUCUAGGGUUCUGUCCAGUACUGAGGCUCCGAAUGAUCCCCCUCUGAUGCCUUCUCUUUCUGGGGCUCUACCGACUGCUGAGACUUCUCCUAAGCAACCUUUGUGAAGGCUCCAUCUUGUUUGUUUAUUUUGACUCAUGUAUAUGUACAUAUUUGUAGCUUAUCGGGGAUAUCAAUCUAUAUGUACAUCUUGUUUCCUUCAUUUCAACGUAUUGUGUUAAAUACACCAAAGCCUUCUUCGCUAAGUUCUUUGAAUUUUCUUUUGUUGAAGCUUUCUGAGUGGAGCAUGUAGGUUGGGGUAGUGUUCCCUUAAUUUUCCGAGUGAGGAAAACUUCUCGGUUGGAGACUUGGAAAAUCCAAGUCACUGAGUGGGAUCGGCUAUAUGAAUCUUAGAACGCCAUUGUGCUCGGUCCUGUGUCAUGUCCUUCGUUAGAUCCAAGUACUCUAAGUCUUUUCUUAGAGUCUCUUCCAAAGUUUUCCUAGGUCUUCCUCUACCCCUUCGGCCCUGAACCUCUGUCCCAUAGUCGCAUCUUCUAAUCGGAGCGUCAGUAGGCCUUCUUUGCACAUGUCCAAACCACCGUAACCGAUUUUCUCUCAUCUUUCCUUCAAUUUCGGCUACUCCUACUUUACCCCGGAUAUCCUCAUUCCUAAUCUUAUCCUUUCUCGUGUGCCCACACAUCCAACGAAGCAUCCUCAUCUCCGCUACACCCAUUUUGUGUACGUGUUGAUGCUUCACCGCCCAACAUUCUGUGCCAUACAGCAUCGCCGGCCUUAUUGACAUUUCUUCGUUGGUGUCGAACUUCUUCUUGUCGAAGGUAUUGGCACCAGUGUAAACGUCAUCAUCCAUGUUGAUGGUAAUUACUUCCCAGCUACUAAGGGUGUCGGAACAACCUUGCACGCAGCCUCCUGUGCAUUACUUGGUAUUGUCUCAGAUUCUCCAAACUUGAAUGCUAAUGUAAACCCACUCUUGACCUUCCCGUCAUCUGCCAUUACUGGAAAGCUGGCUAGGAUGUUGCCGUUAACCUACCUAACUGGCUAGGAUGUUGCCGUCAUCUCCAAACUUAAAAUACCGGAAAGCCGGCUCCAAACUUCAAUGUGCUACUAGUUUUUGUAUGCGAGAGCUCCACCUCCAUUGUUGUAACAGCAUCUGAUGCGGACUAGUCCUUCAUUCCCGUUACUCGUUGCUAUCUCCACUUCAAACUUGGCGUAAUGGCUCCCGGCCUCUUCUCCGGUGAAAUUGAGAAACCCUGGGAAACCCUUGAGCUGGCGUUUUCAUUCUGUUGUCCGUAUAUCUUGAUAUUACAAGUAUUUGUUGUGCAAAAUGCAUGCUAAGUUCAAGUUAUGUUUAUAUGUGUGUGUGUGUGCGUGUGUGUGUGUGUGUUGCCACUUUUCCAACGUUUUCUCCAAAAUUGUGAUUUUGGUGUUGUUCUAACUUUAUGUUGGUGUUGUUCUAACUUUGGUGAAUGCUAAUAACAAUUCCCUCGUUAACCAUUGGGACGAGCAACAAGGCAGUUUUGAUUCCGGGCACAACGACGAUACCUCGAAAGAAAUUGAUUCUUCCCCAGAAAGAUGUUUUAAAACAAAGUUGAACAAGGGAAGAAAACUUUUGAAUCGCAAUCAGAUGUCUGGUCAAAUUCUUUAACAGUUGAUGUAUACAGAAGUUCCUUGCUUAUGACACGACUUAUGAGAGGAUGUAUGUAUUGCAUUUGCAUCAAAAGAAAGAAAGAAGGUUGUAAGUGGUAAGGGAACGACUACCGAUGGCGCUCCACUUCUAAUCAAAGGGAUCGAUCCGAGGGUCGUGUUCACUUGCCAUCGCCAUUCCAGUGCAAAGGCAUGUCGGGCACAUUACCUGCCACAUUUACAGACGCAAUGUUAGAUAUAGCUGCCAUUUGGAAGUCACCUCUCAAAAUUUUGCUACUAAAUUAAUCUUAGACUUCAUUUCCAGUGCAAUUUUUUUCUUCCGAAAUGUCUUUCACAUGCCCGACAAAUACAAGUAUCGGUCACCAAGCUUGUGAAUAUAGUGCAUCUAAGCGGCAGGCACUAAAAGGAAUUUAGUAUGCAAUAAACAUUCAACGGACAUAAUUAUAUGUCUAACCUUUCCCGCUCCUGAGCAAUUUGAACAUCGUUCAGUUUUUGGCAGAGAUAGGGGUUGGUUUCCGCCAUCAGCUGUCGAUACUGGUUCAGUAAGAACAAGGGUUCCAGUGCUGGAGCAACGAGCACAAGCAAGAUAUCCUGCGUAAGUAUCAAAUACACAGGUAAGUUGACAUAUGAAACCAAUCCGAACAUCUCCAUCGUAUAUAUUUAAAGCUACAGUACAUAAAACUAAAAGUCAGAAAUAGAGGACAUUAUCACACCAGUUCCAAGACAGUAUUUGCAUCGUUUAUGCUCCUGCUGUUUCACAUUGUUUAUUUCAACUACCAUCAAUGCUGAGAUCACUCCAACUGCUCCUCCAGAGAACGACGCCACUAUGGGAUCAACUUGACUGCAGUUUGAAAGUAAAGGAGAUCAAUAAACGAAACUGGUAACAACAGAGUAUCAACAUUAUUUAGCUUCGUUUCAAGAAAGAUGACAUCCUAGGUUUUUCUAAUGUGUAAAAAUUGAGGAUCCACGUAAAAUUUGACUAUAUCGGUUCCCAAAGUAUUUGAUUCCUACGUUACAGAUGGAAAACAGUAACAAUCUAAUUUAAAGAUGCAUAACACGAUAGAUGGUACAAAAUUUCAAAACGAUAAUUACUAGAGAACAGGAGGGUUAAUAGCCUGAGAUAUGAGCCAUACCUCAACUGCAACGGCAGAUGCAUAUUUACUAUAAAGUCUUUAUAUGAUGUGCCUCCUAUUCCCAGCUUCAACUCCAACUGAAAUAUGUAAAGGUAAUUGUAGGCAAAGAGUUACAAACAUAACCGAAUCCAUGUUUUAUAAGCAACAACUAAACUUAUUUUGAUAUGUUUCCUCAUUUUUUACUUGCAAAUUCCGAACCAUAUUGUCGGACCAGUAAAAGAGAAUAAUGUUUAUGAUAACUGUUAAAACUAAUCACAACAGGUUAAUGCAUAAAGAACUUACGGAGGGUGCUAUGAGGCCACCGAAAAGGAUAAACCCCGCAAUAAUUGAAUAACAAACAGCAUAAUACUGCUUAAGGUUGUCUGAACUCUGGAAGCAAUGAAUUCACCUUGUGAUUAAUACUUUGCACAAACACUAGUUUUUGCAAAUUUUUAUGAAUCGACAAAAGGCUACAACAAAAUAUGGCUAAAACAUGUCGGGGAUAUGAAAAUACAUGUCUUCACAGGGGCACCAGCUUACCAGGGGAGGCAAAAAUGGAAUGAACGAUGGAAAACUAGGAAGUUCGUUUUCUUGAUCUUCAUUUACCGCUCCAAGCUCUGCACGUUUAAUCCGCUGUUGUAUCCUCAGCCUGCGAACCUACGCAUAUCGAAGCUCAUUCUUAAAGAACACAUUUCUAAUGGCAAUUGGAGAGUAAUUUAAAACAUGCUAAACUGAGAAAGUGGUAGUAACUAGCAAUUGCUCUCACCUCCUCCAUAUGCAAGAAAAUUUUGUUGCGACGACUCCGAAUAUUAUCUUGAAUUUCCUGCAGCUCCAUUGUGGCAAAAUCCUGCACUGUUUCAGGCCCCUCUAUGAUACAAAAUAUGCACCAUUAAGCAUGUAAAAACUAAAAAUUACAGGCUACAAAGCAAUUUCCGUAUAGUUGUUGGGUUAAAUAACAUCAACAGCAAAUAAAUCACAUGGGUUUUUCACAUAAAGUUACAAACUUUCAAGGACUAAUAAGCUGUCUGCAAUCUCAUAAAUUUCACAGUGCAAAGUAACAAUCCAAAGCUUGGAACUUUAAAUUUCCACCUUCUGUUAAUUUCCUAGAGAGAAGAGAGGGGGGGGGGGAAGUACCCGGCGGGGUUUGUAUCAGCGGCGGGAUUGGGAUCAGAAUCGACAGACGGAGCGAAAGAGGAGGAGUCGGGUUCCGAAGCCAUGGCAAGGGAUCGCCAUCUGGAGCUGCUUGUUGAUAUGGGGCUUCUGGGUAGCUGAAUUUGGAGCAGCCGGCGCUAUGCAGUUUGUACGGACGGCACCGAUUUACGGGGAAAGAAACGGCCAAAAGUCUGCCGGAGCAGAGCAUCUCUGUCUCUCUCUCUCAAACCAGAAGGUAGAGCUUUCUGUUUCUCUUGAGGUUUCUUUCACUGGUAAAUUCCAGAGAAGCAGAGAAGAAGGCUCUCUGAGAAAUGGCGAUGGUGCAAGUGGAGACAAAACAAAUGUAAAUCUUGAAGCACUGAACAUCUGCAGAACACUUGUCAACUGCCGAACUCUAGGAUUAGGAGAGAGACAGUGAGCGACCGGCCAAAAAAACAAAAUGGAGGUAAGUGGCUAAUUCUUCUCUCAUUUUUUUUUCCUUGUUUUUCAGGAAAAAAAAAAGACAGAGAGAGAUUUUUAGUGGACCUGGCGUCGAUAGAUUCGAGUAGUAUGUCACAUUUAAAAUUUGAGCAAAUUGUAACUAUAGUACUUUAAUUUUAAUUUAAUUGGAGGAAUGAUCCAUCAACUAAAAAUUCAUUACCAUUGAUCAUUUAAUUAAAAAUCUAUUACCGUUGGUCCCUCAACUUUAAUUCAACUAGAGAAAUGAUCUUUUAACUUUAACCCAAUUGUAGCAAUGGUCAUUCCAACAUAACUCGUUUUGACAAAAUUUUUGAUGUAGUUGACGAAAAUGACCAUAAUUACAUACUUUGAUAAGUUGAGGAACUCUAAUUGUAUAAAUGGUCAUUUCAACAUAAUUUAUUUUGACAAAAUUUUGACGAAAUUGAUGAAAAGGACUAUAGCUACACAUUUUGAUAAGUUGAGGGACCAAUAGUAAUUGAUUUUUAGUUGAAGGACCAUUGCUAUAAUUUACUCUUAAAAUUUUAUUAUAGGAUGACAAACGUCGAAAAUAAAAGGUUAAGUGCAGUGAUCGUCUUUGAGGUUUUGGAGGUUCUGUGUGGUCAAAUACUUUGUUCUCCCUAAAAUUGCCACUAUUGAGACGAUUACUUGCCUCAUACAAACAUUUUACGUUUACUUAGAACUAGAAAGACAAGAAUUGCAUGUGAUGAAUUGCUCUAAUCAUGGGGUUUAUUUUUUAACUCAUUGUGUUUUAAAUUUAAACUUUUUUCCCUCUCUUUGAUAUACUUAUAAAGUGUGAAAUUAAUAAUUUUAAUGAGUGACUCAAUUAACUAUUUUCAUUUCUUACGCGUUCAAAAUUACACAAAUUUGUUGCAUACAAUUUUUUAAAAAGAAAAUUUCUAUUAUUAUGGAGAAAGUUCGGUACAUUAUGGAAGGAGGAAUUUUGAACUCGAAACACAUGGUAGAAACCUAACGCCCAUCCACUAGGAUAUUAGAAACCCAACGCAUAUCCACUAGGAUAUUAGACCACCAGAGCUGGUCCUGAGAUAUUUGGUGCCUGUGUCAAAAUGUGUCUUUUUCCAGUACAACAACAGAAAUUGAAAAGAAAUAUUUAAAGAGGGCUGGAACCCAGUCGAAGCUGGGGGCUAGGCCCUCACACCCAUGUUAUAUUACUCGAAAAAAAAAAAAUAUACAACGGGAUGGAACAUAGUACCGAAACCCCGACAAUAAAAAACAAAAUCACAUACAACCACUCCAAGCAGUCAACAUGACCAUUACAUAUUGAAUCCAAAAGGUUGACGCCUAUUCUCUGCAUAUAAUGCACAGAAGAUAACAAGAUUACUAAUAUAAAAAGAACAUCUGAAAAGAUGAACAUAUGCAUCAACAUAUAAGUUAACCAUUCUAAGUGCAAAUUUAGAAGUGAUAUGCUCCAAGUAUAAUAUUGGACAGAAGAGCGGCAGCAUCAACCAGUUCUGCUAUAUCCGGCUGGAUGAGAGCUGCUAAAGACAUGAUUGUUCCCUAAUAACAUGAAUAAAUUGAGUAAACACCAAAAGUAGCAGCAAGGGAAGGAGAUGUUAAGAAGAUGAAGAGGUGUAACACCUGUGAAUGUCCAACAACAAAGACUUUGGUGCUUGUUGAAUAUAUGCAGCGCAUCAUUUCUGAUAGAUCAAAUCGAGCCAAUUCCUGCCAACUCCAAUCCUAAAAAUCCUACAGUAAAGCAUAAAUCUUAUUCUCUUCUGAUAAAGAUGUGUGUCCCUGUCUCCAACGUGUUUGACGCACAUUCCCUACCCAUACAUCGAAACCUUCAUCUGCAAGGACAAAUCCCAGUUAUUCUUCUGGAGAAUUUAAGAACCAUGAAUCACCUGGUCAAGAUCAAGAAAAGCCAGUAACCAAUUACAAUUGAGUUUGAAGCACAUAAGAGCCUAAUUUAAAAUGUAUCCCAUGGAUGUUCAUCAAUUUACACAAUAGUUAGUUUCAAGAAAGGAAAUUUCAACAGAACCUGAAAACUUCAGAUCAGGGGGCACCAAAUAGUGAGCUAUACAUUCAAAAUUUGAAAUAAUCAACUUAGUGGGACCAAUAUGUUGAAAAAAUUGGAAGGAGCUAUGAAAGUAAGGCUUUUCACUAAUCAGACGUCCAGAGAAUCAAUAUUUUACUCACGGAUCAGUUACGGGGAACACUCCCCACCAAAGCAAUCUCUUUCGUCUGAAUCUGGAAAACAAGCAGCAGUGGAUUUUAACAGUCUGGGUAUCUCAAAGUUACUUUAAUCAUAAAUUUAACACUAAAACAUAUAAAUGGGCAUUAUUUAGUGAAAUAUUAGUAUAGUACUCACUGUGUGCUCGGAACAAGAGUACCCAGAAAGCUCAAUGAGCUGCGCACAGAGGACUACAGCGGUGAACGACAGCGACCGAUUCUGUAAAAUUCAGUCAAGUUUUGGGUGAUUUCUGCAGUUAUUUCGGAGGUCAAGAGGCUGAUAGGGAAAGCUGCGACCGAAGGGCACUGGUCUGGAAGCAAAGGCUCAGGUCACCGCUGUCCCGAUUCGCGAAGGAAGUGCCCCAAAAACAAUUUCGGCCCUGGACAGGUGCACUGUUUGCACUGGACCAGGGCCGGCCGGCCCUGGCAAUAACGUCCCCCAAACAGUACAUAUACAGAUGCUAGAAAUAUAUUAAUGUAACCUGAAACUACUAGAACCAUUCAAUUCUAGCGUCUACAGCUAUAGCAUUAGUUGGUACAAUGGACAUUCUUCCAAAGAGGGGGAUGAACUCGUUGAGGCUCUUAUUUAUUCCUCCUCUUGUUGUGCCCUUUUCAGCUGCUAAUUCCAGACGAUCCAAUCUCAUACAUCUUCCCUGCAAAAGCAUGCGUGCCAGACUUCAAGAUCAAAUUUUUCCAACAAAAGAAACUUAAAGAUCAAACUCGCUAGCAGAUUAAAUGGUGCACAAGGGUGUUAAAAUCUUGACAUAGUAUAUUUUUGGCAGAUUUUAUGUGAGCAUGCAACUAAAACUGGCAUCACUAUCAAUGGUGCAAAAAGAUUGGUGGAAAACUUUAACAGUUUGAGUUGUAACUUCUCCAUUGUAUUUGUUAAGGCAAGACGGAUGUCAUCUAUGCAUUUUUCUGUAAAACUUAAAAGGCUGCAUAGCAGCUCUUGUUCGUACGACAAGCAAUUGAAAAUCCCAUCAUUAUGCCCCGCAUAUACCAGAAAAAAAAAGUCAUUUACACAAAUUCAGAGCGUUCAUCCACUGUAAUUUGCAGAUAUAGAAACGUUAAGAUAAAAGGAAAUGCAAAGUUAGCAACGGGAAUUGACAUACCAAUAUCUUCACAGUUUCUGCACAAGCACAAAUCAAAAGAAUCCGGCGGUGGAGUUAUGUACCUCUCCUUGGAAAAUGCCACCUCUUGGGAUUUCAAAAUAUGCGGCCGUGGCUAGCCGUCUGACCACGCCAAUUCCACCAAAGCCGCCGCAACGCGGCGCAGUGUCCGAUUGAUUGCUUCAAAACAGAGCUUCGUAUCCAUGUGUUUAUCAGCACAGAGUACCCAAAACCCCUGAAAAUUAUUUCUUUAUUCAGAUAAUAAAAUUUCCCAAAUUUCAAAUUUUAAUUCCGAACCAAAAAUAGGAUUUGAAUUUUGAUUACCUAGAAAUUGGGGGGUUGGCGAUAUGCGUCCUCGAGAGGGUACCAAUACAAAUUACAGAGCGUGUUGGGACGAUGUACAAGGCUUUUGCAGUCUCUCAGAUGUAAAUACCGAAGCUCCGUAAGGCGUUCAAUCCAGGGGGAAAGCUCUUUGAUAGAUGUUCCAUCCAAGACAAGAUUUCUUAAUCCUUCCAUAUUUUCUUCAAUGCUUGGAAACACCUCGAAUUUUGUACAACCGGAAAGAGAGAGAUAGACAAGGGACUUGAGCUGACAAAUGCUACUUGGAAGACUCUUAAGCUCCUUGCAAUUUUCUAGCUUCAAAUGAUUCAAUCCCGUGAGAUUAUUAAUUGACGAGGGCAUUUCUUUAAUUUUUGAUCCGGAUAAAUGAAGAACUUUUAACCCUUCAAUCACUUUUAAAAUCUCUGGAAACAUCUCAAGACUCUGACAAUCAUAAAGUACAAAGGUUUCGAGAGAUUUCAUAUGAAUGUUGCUUGGAAGACUCUUAAGUUUUUGGCAAUCUGAUAGGUUCAAAUGAAUCAACCCCGUGAAAUUAUUAAUUGACAUGGGCAGUUGUUUAAUUUUUGACCCGGAUAAAUUAAGCUCUUCUAACCCCUCAAUACCAUCUGAAAUCAAUGGAAACAUCUCAAGACUGGAGCAGCCACAAACAUUAAAGGUUUUCAGACAUUUCAAAUGAAUGCAACUUGGAAGACUCUCAAGUUCCUUGCAAUCUUUUAGGUUGAAAUGACUCAACCCCGUGAGAUUAUUAAUUGACUCGGGCAGUUCUUUAAUUUUGGACUCGGAUAAAUUAAGCUCUUCUAACUCCUCCAUACCUUCUGAAAUCUCUGGAAACAUCUCAAAAUUGGAGCAGCCAAAAAGAUUAAAGGUUUUGAGAGAUCUCAUACGAAUUUUAUUGGGUAGAAUCUUAAGUUCCUUGCAAUAUGAUAGGUUCAAAUGACUCAACCCCGUGAGAUUAUUAAUUGACUCAGGCAGUUCUUUAAUUUUGGACUCGGAUAAAUUAAGCUCUUGUAACUCCUCCAUACCUUCUGAAAUCUCUGGAAACAUCUCAAGACUGGAGCAUCCAUAAAGAUUAAAGGUUUUCAGACAUUUCAUAUGAAUGCAGCUUGGAAGACUCUUAAGUUCCUUGCAAUCUCUUAGGUUUAAAUGAAUCAACCCCGUGAGAUUAUUAAUUGACUCGGACAGUUCUUUAAUUUUGGACUUGGAUAAAUUAAGCUCUUGUAACUCCUCCAUACCUUCUGAAAUCUCUGGAAACAUCUCAAGGCUCACGCAGCCAAAAAGAUCAAGAGUUUUGAGAGAUUGCAUACGAAUUUUGCAGGGUAGAAUCUUAAGUUUUUCGCACCCUUUCAGAUCCAAUAAAACAAGUUUUGUAAGAUUCGAAAUAGAUGGGUGAACCUUAACUAACCCUCCACAACCAUGAAGAAUUAGCCUCUCAAGAUUUGGCACAUUUGUGAAGUCAGGGGUUUCCUUAAGGUAUGAACAAUAACUUAAAUUGAUGAAUUUCAACUUUUCCUGCGUCUGUUAAAACAUUCAGGAAAACAUGCAUUACUUAAUAAGACAUCUCACUCAAAGCCCAAACAUUUAAAAGAAACAAAUACAUGUAAAUGAUUGCACAUACCUGGGUUCCUUCCCAAAGUCGGUCAAUGUGGCUAUAUUGCAUGUCAAGUCCAACAAGAUUUUCGAAUUGAAAGUUGGAUGGCAAAGACUUGAGCGGGAAACAAGACCAGGAAAGAAACCUCAACUCACUAGAAACAAACUUUAAGGACCCAGUCAGGUGUUGUAUGCUGAAAGUACCGAUCUUGAGAAGUCUUAGUUUAGUCAUCCUAUCAAAAGCUUUAACAAUUAAGCAUCCCUCAUAUGAGUGCCCCAAAUCUAGGAUUAUGCUUUUAACUGUUUCUGUACCCUGUGCAAAUCAAAGGGAAGGAAAAAGCAGAGAACCUUAGUUUAGAUUAUGAAGUUAAUGGUUGUUUCUUAAGGAGUUGUUUGAUAAUAAUUUUGUUUUCACUUUUCACUUUUGUUUUGAUUAUUUAUUUAGAAAUCUGAAAAUUGAAAACAUAUAACUUGUUUGUAAUUGUUUUCAAUUUUCAAUUAUUAAAAAAAUGAAAAUUAAAAAUUAAAAAUGGAAACAAAAGUGGUUAUCAAACGAGCUUAAGAAAUUGAUUUUGGUCAAAAGUUGAAGCUUUCUACUAAACAUUGCAUAAGAAGAGAAAUUAUCACCGUAUUUUUAGUUAUCACAUGAAGAACAUCUUCAUAACUCCACAACCUACUUCGUUUCCCAGGCUCUUCGAUAGAUUCUUGCUGGACGAUUUUCCGACCCAUUUCCUCUAGUAAAUCAUGCAUCUCCAGUUCCCCCUUCCAUGAGACAGUUACUAGAGCUCGAUCGAUUAAAACUUUUAUUCCAAUAUCAGGAUAGGAACCACAGCUGUGCAGAACUUCGGUUGCAUAGUCUUUUCUCAUUCCUUUAAAGAAACAUGCAAUAUCUAGAAAGAUAUCCUUCUCCGUGUCAUCUAGUCCAUCGAAGCUUGUUUUAAGCACAUCAUGAAUUCCCUUUUGCGGGAUUUUCUUUAUUUUUUCUAACUCAUUUUCCCACUGGCGUACAUUUUUGUUAUCAAGAAAAGCUCCCAAGACUUUGAGUGCUAAAGGCAGACCUUGAGCAUAUUUUACAGCACGCCUCGAGAGAUCAUCAUAAUCUCUGUUGGGUUGGUUUUUUCUAAAGGCGUACCGCCUAAAGAGUUCCAGAGCUCCAUUAUCACUUAAAAUCUUGGGAUUAUAUAUCUCAUCAGCUAUGCUUAGUAAUUGCGAAUCUCUGGUUGUUAUAAUAAUUCUGCUUCCACCACCAAAGGAAUGUGGUUCUUUAAGUAAAGCUUCAAUUUGUUCUAAUUCUUCCACAUCAUCAACAACAAUAAGAACUUUUCUCCGACCUAGGCUAUUUAACACCACCUGGAAACCUUUAUUCGAAACGUCGGAACUCCCCACCUUGUUGUUCGAGAUACUCGAUAGAAGUUCUGCCUGCAUAUAUAGUUUGCCAUGCUUUAUGAAACCUUCCUUGAAAUUUUCAAGAAAGCAACAAGCUUUAAAUCCACCAGAGAUUUCAUCAUAAACAGCUCUAGCGAUGGUUGUUUUGCCUAAACCACCCAUACCCCAUAUUCCAACAAUGCGAACAUCAUUAGUUUCAACUCCAGGAGGAUACAAUAAUGAAUGCAUGUUAUGCAUAUGAGAGUCCAUUUCAACCAAGCCAUUAUCUUUGCUUGAUGAUGAUGAGAUGUGGAUCAAUUUCUUAAAAACAUCUUCUACAAUUUUCUCAAUAAGCUCUGCAUCAUCCCUGUCAAAUUUAAAAAACAAUAUAAUAACACCACCAAAUAAUACUUAAUGGGUCUUUUUCAUCUGUUAGUUUAAAAAAAAUAGAAAUUAAAACUAAAACUAAAAUCUAAACGUUAUAAAAAUCCCAAAAAUUAAUAGGAAACUAAAACAAAUUAGAAUUUACUCAUAUUUCGCGAAUCCCAGCCGGAUAAACUGGUGGCAAUUGUAAGAGCGGAUCUCCAGCUCUGAACCUCUUCCAUUUCAGCGUUAGAAUCACGAUCGUGCUGAGCAAAAGCUUCCUCGAAUUUUCUCUUGAGUUUACGAACGUCAGACGGAUCAACUUCAUAGAAAAUGGGGAGUACAAUCUGGUUAUUGGUAUCCUUGCAUUUCAAGAUUUGCACGAGUUCUUUCAAGCACCAAGUGGAAGAAGCAUAGUCUUGAGAGAAAACUACAAUCGAAAGCCUUGACUCUCGAAUCGCUGUCAGGAGCUCAGAAAGGUGGUCGCCUUUUCUGAGCUUCUCGGCAUCAAUGAAGGCGUUGAUUGGUUUCUUAACCAGAGCGUUGUAGAGAUGGCUGACGAAGCCCCUGCGAGUGUCUUCCCCUCUGAAAUUGAUGAACACAUCGUAUUUGCAACCAAGGCCAGAAGAAGAUGAAGAAGAAGAAGCAGCCAUUAUUAAUCGAUCGCACCUGGUCAGCGACGAUCGAGCAGCUAAGACUAAGAGAAUUGUAAGUACAGAGAUACUCAAUAGAUCUACAAAUUGGAUCACCGGAAAUUAGUCUGAUCGAUACCAAGUCAAUGAGUCAAUGCAAAAGUAAAAAGGGGAAAGGGAAAUUAUGCUUUAUGUUUUUUCACAUCUUCUUCGGGGAAAUUUCGGUGUGAAAGGAAUCUUAUCCUUUUGAUUUUUUAACCGAAGCAAAUGCGAAGAAAAGGGUCAAAGUGGUAAAUUGAAUAUACACUUGCCUAUCCAACAACCUCUUAAUUUAAUAUAUUUAAUUGAGAAAAGUAGUUUAGAGGAAGAGGUAUUCAUCAAUUCCCCAUAAACUUGUGACCAUUGGCCAAUUUUCCCCCUCAACUUUAAUUUUGGCCAAUUUCUUCCCUAAACUCUCAUAAUUAGUUAAUUUCCCCCAUCAACUUUAAUUUGGUCAAUUUCCCCCCUCAACUCUCAUAAUUAGUCAAUUUGCACCCUACUGUUAAUUUUUUAUUUAUUUUUCAUCUAUUCUUUUUUUUUUCUUUCAAUCUUUCUAAUAACUUCCAACAAAAUACUAAAAUUAAUAUAAACUCACCUGCAUAAUAUAGGGUAAAAUGUACAAAAACAUAAUACCAUUAGUAUGUGAUAUGGGUUGAUUAUAAGAAAAAGUUAUGAAUCGGGUUUAAAUCAUGUAGAAGAAGAAACAAUAAUCCUAAACUCAUGGAUCAGACCUAUUUCAAUAAAAUGGGUUAUUCUUAAUAAGGAGUCGAAAAUUAUGAAUUGACUAGCCAUUUUUGCACUAAACCUCGAUUCUCCGCAAUUUACUUGAACUUAGCUUUCACUUUUAUAAAGAAAAUUGUAUUCACAUACAAAAAUGUACACAUCAAUCCUUUUCGUUAUCAAUUUUGUAUAGUAAAAAAUCAAAUAAAAUUACUCCAUACUAAUUUAUUAUGACUAAUAAUACUAUUUAUGAUAAAUUGUAAAAUUCUAAAUUUUAAUCUAUUUGUAAUAGGAUAAAGACAUAGGAAAAUGAUUAACAUACAUCUUAUUUAGUUUCUUACACACACUUGUUUAAUUAUGAUCAAAUUAAAAAAUUAACAGUAGGGUGCAAAUUGACUAAUUAUAAGAGUUGAGGGGGGAAAUUGGCCAAAUUAAAGUUGAGGGGGGAAAUUGACUAAUUAUGAGAGUUGAGGGGGGAAAUUGGCCAAAAUUAAAGUUGAGGGGGGAAUUGGCCAAUAGUCACAAGUUCAUGGGGGAAAUUGAUGAAUACCUCUUAGAGGAAUGAUGGUAUCUCUUUUUCUUCUCACUCAAUCUUCCAGCAUGCGAUUUAAUCAUGAUUAAAGCCAAGCUUAAUAAUAGGUCGUAUUAUUUAGGUCGUUUUGGAUUAUAAGUUUUUGUUGUGAACUUGUGAUACGAUAGUUAGAAAAUUAAAAAAAUUAUAAUUUAAAUAUAUGUGGUGAAAUCUGUUAAGAUUUAGAUUCAAAAUUGAAAAUUUCAUUAACUUCAUUAAUUAUUAGCACACGAAGCUUACAAAUGAAAUAAAAAUAAUAAAAUUAGUCUCACAUGUAAUCUCUAUGCGCUAACAAUUAAUAGAGAGAUUCAUUUUAACCUAAAAUGUGUGACUUACGUACUAAUAAUUAACAAAAUAUUGACAAAAUUUUCAAUUUUAAGCAUAAAUCUUAAUAAACUUCAUCUCAUAAACUUAAAUCCUAAUUCAACAAUCUUCUCAUUACCUUACCACUGCAAACUACCUUGCCACUACAAAAAUUAUUAAUCAAAUUAAACUUAUUAUUUACUUACAAAUACGUAACUCAAUCACCGAAAGCUAUCUCCGUUGCUAUCUCCGUUUCUUUGCUGAGUGGACAGCUGUCUCUUUGUCUUCUUUUGGCAGAUAGCUACUAGACUCCUAGUGGCCGGCCUAUUUUCCACAGCUGGUUAUAGGACUCAGUUGCUAUUCAAGAAGUGUUAUGUUGUAAUUCAAUAUUGAUGGAAAUCCAACAGAAUCUUCUUCGAAUUGUUGUGAGCAUUUUGGGAUAUUUUUUAAUCAUAUUCAUUUAUCGUUGUGGGAUCAAUUUUAUUAAAUAUUAUUUAUGUUUAAUUUUAAAUAAAUAAAUUUAAAAUAAAUUUUUAUCGCACGAUAUACUAUGAACGAAUACGAUUCAUAGAUCUCCAAUAUCUUCACAAGAAGAAUCCAAAAGGAUCCGGAUUCAAUGGAAAUAAGCUAAUUUUGAAUCAAAUAACAUUACUUUAUUUUGUAAGUAAAUUAAUUUUAAAUCAAACAACAUUCAUUUAUUAUGUAGCUAAUUAAUUUUGUAUGUGUCAUCAUAUAUAUUAGGCACAUUUUAUUAUAGGUGAUUUUGUGGUAUUCAUUUUCAUUUGUAAGUAAGAGGUCUUAAGUUCGAUUUUCAUCAAAAACGAAUUUAAACUAUAUUAUUGCUAGUCCAUUAUGAGGCCUAACCCACCCUCCUCCCCCUUAGUGUAGAUAGAUCGUUUGUUCAAAAAAAUAUAUAAUCAAAAUAGAAUGUGAAGCGAAACAAUAGAUCAACAUUAUUUAUGUUAAUUAUAAAUAGGUCAACCAUGUAUGUGAUACUUAAAUCAUUUAAAAUAAAAUAAAAAUUACAAAAUCUGCCAUUACAGCUGGCACACACUUUAAUUAACACUUUCUUUCUCAUAAUUUUUAUAUUUGGAAUAAGUCAUACGAAUCAAAUACUACAAUGUAUUAUCUGUUUUUUAAUUCUAUUUUUUACAUUUGGAUUCAGACACUGCGUUGUAGUGUCCAUUUACUGAUUUUGUUUUUUCCAUCACUCACAUGCCUCCUAUAUGUUCCUUUGUACAUUUGGAUUUAGACAAUGCAAUGCAGUGUCUGUUUCUUGGUUCUGGUUUUCUCUUUUGGAUUCAAACGCUGCAUUGCAAUGUAUGUUUCCUAGUCCUAUUUCUUUCAUCAUCCACACGUCUCCUACACUUCACACUUUCAUGCGACUCCUGAUUUUUACAUUUAGAUUCAGACAUUGUAAUGCAAUGUUCAUUUCCUACCUUUGAUUUUUACAUUUAAAUCUAGGGUUAAACUCUGUUUACUACCCUAAUGUUUCGUGGUUUUCUACAUUUAGUACAUCAAAUUUUUUUCAUCCCAGAGUCAUACCUAAAGUGUUAAUUUUGGGACAGUCUCAUACAUCCAUUAGUCAAACUGUUAGUUCUCACGUUAAGUGAUGAUGUGGCGCCCAUGUGGACAAUGACUGGGCCCCACGUGUCAUUAAAAAAUAUUAAAAUAAUUAAUUAUGUAACACCCGCCCCCACUUAUAAAAUUAUAUGUGUGUAAUAUUCCCUAAAUAUUCUGAAUCUAUCAAUUUUACCCUUUUUGGACUACCCUAUCAGGAUCUAAACAUUGGAUCCUUCUUUCUUUUCAAACUGCCACGUGGCAGCUCCCUAGCAAUUUCCCUGUCUUCUCUCUCUGUCCCCCCCCCGUGACUCCUUCUUUCUCUUCUUCUUUUUCUGUUUUCUUUUCUUUCUUCUGUCUGUCUCUCUGUCCCUCCCGACUCUAUCUCUUUCUCUCGUCUCUCUCUCAUAGCUCCCUCAUCUCUCUUCUCUGCAGCAACCCGCACGCACGCACCCAUCUCCCCCGCGCGAAGAAGACCCAUCUCCUUCUUCUCUCUCCCUCUGUCCCGUGCUGCGAGCCCAGAAACCGGAGAGGAACUCCGGCGAAACCUUUAUUUUCCCGGUUGGGACGAAUCGAAGCCGGGUGUAAGCACACCCAACUCCGGCGAUCCCGAGGGUGUCGGGGCUUUUUCCGGCCAUCUCCGAUCGUUCCACGACGAAAGGAAGGUGCAAUUAUUAACGGUGAUUCUGUUAUACCUUCUUGGUAUAGCUUUGCACCGUUGGUGUACGGUGAGUGGACCCCUUCAAAAUCAUGUUUUAACAAUAGAAAUGCAUACAUGAAAAGCAUGAUUUAAUACUUAUGUUUUACGAAGUACUUUAUGAGAUAUAUGCUUACUGAGGCUAGAUUGAAUUAUUACUAUUUUUCCUAUAACCCAUGUUCUUAUAGAAUAUCCGAUGGAUGACGAUAUGAUAUUAGAACAUGUUUAGAACACCUCUUUGUAGUAUAGAUGAUGGAUGACUUUAUACUACGAAGUUGUUUUUCAAUAUGUUAUGCUCAAUGGUUUUGUACUUACCUAGUGGUCCUUUCCGCUACGGGACGUAGGGAUAGAUUCCGGUCCGUCCCGAGCGACGGUUUGGUGUUGGCAUAGGGCCUGGAGUGUGUUUCCUCUGGCUAUUUAGCACAGGGACGGGGAGCCGGCAUGGGGUCUGUAGUGUAUUUUCCUCUGACUGUCUGCUCAGAGACGGGGAGCUGGCAUGGGGCCUGUAGAGUAUCGGACAAUUCACUAGUGUUUAUUACUUAUACAAGUUAUGAAUUUGAGAUAUUGCACGGCAUGCUAGGUUUCGGAAAAUCUAUUUUGAUCAUGAUAUAUGUGUUUUCAUUAAACCUGGGGGUUAGUAUGUUGAUAACUGUUUUAUUAUAUUUAUAUCAAACUGGUCCACUCAUGUUUGUUUUGCGCCCCCUUCAGGACCUACGAACGAGGAUUACGAUAUAAGCUACGAGGCUUUUCCCUAUCAGUGAUCCAGUGCUAUACUUCUUCUGCUUCGAUAUCUUUUGUAAUAUAGCACAUCUCUAUUUUAAAUUCUGUUUGUACUCUGUAAUAGAUGUAUGCUUUGACAUUAUGCGUGGAUCCUAAUGUUGUAAUUAGAAGUUGAAUUUGUAGUAUUAUUGUGGCUAGUCUUGCUGCCUGUUUUAGCUUAUUUGUGAGUUUUUACUUAAAUUAAUGGCUUUCGUCACCCUUUGGGUGUCGGCCAGCACGUGAUAAUCCCGAUGUCACGAGGACAUCGGGAUCGGGGCGUGUCAGAUUGGUAUCAGAGCAUGAUUCAUUCAGAGCAUACUUAGGAUUCUUUUCCACCAUUUGGUAAUUAUAAUUCCCCUUAUAUCCUUAAUUUUCUGUUGUUCUAAAUCUUUCUUGUUUCUUAUCAGAAUUAUGGAUCCCGCUGGUGGGCAUGUACCUCGUCGAGCUCGUUUUGGUAUAGGGGGAGGACUUGAGCAAUUGGCUAAUGUUUUGCGAACUGCCCUUACUGGUAGAUCAUCGAAUCGCACCUAUAUUGAGAUUGCUACCAGUCAUGGUAUUCCAGAGCUUAAGGUAGUGGGAGCCUGUCCGGAGGCUGAGGAAUGGUUAGAGCAGGUGGAAGAUACUCUGGAGGGUAUGAGAUGUCCACCAGGUGAGUGGGCGGAGACUGCUGGGUUUUUUCUUAAGGGUCCUGCAAAGAUUUGGUGGAAAGGAGUGAAGCAUUCUCGUCCACGAGGCACUUCGAUGACUUGGGUGGCAUUCCGGAAAGCUUUCAGUGCACAUUUUCUGAGUCCCAGUUAUCAGUUGAGGAUGAGACAACAAUUUCUGGAGUUUCGUCAAGGCGAUCUGAGUAUCACAGAGAUGGAUAAUACUUUUCGACGCCUGUCGAGACACCAUCCGGUGACUUAUGAUAACCCGAGUGAGAAGAUGGUUCAGUUGCUGGUUUGUUUGAACCCUGAUUAUCGUGAACGAGUGGCAGCUAUAAGGCACAGAAGUUAUGAGGAAAUGAUUGAGACUUGUUUGAGGAUUGAACAAUCUAGGUGGGAGACUCAGCACCAGGAGGAGCAGGCGCAGUAUCAGGAACCACCCAGAUAUCAGGAACAACCUCGGAACCAGAACCAGAGAGGUCAUGGUUUUAGAUCUCGGAGUGUGAGGAAAUCUGGUAGCUCUUCUAACUUUGUUGGCCCUAGACACUCUCAUUCCUUCAAACGUCAGGGUCAAGGUUCAGGUUCUUCCAGCGAGGGUUCGGGUAAUGAAUCAGGGAGGCGAUAUUUCAGUCAUUUUCGAUCGCAGGUUACGUGCCACAGGUGUGGAGGCAUGGGACAUAUUGCCAGAUUUUGCCCUUCAGGACAGCCUGCUGAGAGUUAUGCAUCGGUGCCGAGUUAUGGUGGAGGGAGUAAUCCGAGUUCUAGCUAUGGAGGUAAUUACACUCAGAGUUAUGGUGGAAGUGGAAGUGGAAGUCAGAAUACCCAAUUUUCCACUCAGAGACAGCCGCAACAGUUUGGUGCAGCUUCGAGUAGCCGCUCUCAGGGGAAUCGAGCAGGCCGUAAUAAUCAAGGUUUCAGAGCUCGUGGUAACCGUAACAGUGGUGGAGGACGUCAGUUUCAUGGACGUAUCAACGCCAUGACACAGCAGGAGGCUGAUCAGGAUCCUCAAGUCAUUACCGGUAUGUUACUUAUUUGUGGUAACUGGGCGAGGGUUCUAAUCGAUCCGAGUGCUACUUUUUCUUUUGUGUCUUCAUCUUUUGCACCGAAUUUAAAUGCACCACCUACACCUCUUGGUUAUGAUAUGCUUGUGCAAAUGCCGCAAGGGGAUCUGUUUUGUGCUCAGUGGGAGUAUAAAAGUUGCCCAGUGGUAGUGGAAGGGGAAAUGAUGGAGGCUAAUCUGGUCCCUUUUCAUUUGGCGGAGUUCGAUGUGAUUUUGGGGAUGGAUUGGCUAUCCAGGCACCGGGCCUAUGUCGCAUGUUGGGAGAAAUCUGUGACGUUCAAUCGACCUGGACGACCGUCAAUCACAUUUCAGGGUGAGCGACGAAUCCUUCCUAGUAGUAUUAUUUCCGCUAUUCAGGCUACUAGAUUGUUGAGUAGGGGAUGUGUGGGAUUCUUAGCUCAUGUAGUAACGAGGGAUAAAUCUUCGUUACGUCCUAAGGAUGUGCCAGUGGUGAAGCAUUACACCGAUGUUUUCCCGGAGGAUUUACCAGGGUUACCGCCUGCGAGGGAAAUUGAAUUUACCAUCGAUUUACUUCCAGGAACAGACCCUAUCUCUUUAGCACCUUAUCGCAUGGCACCGGCGGAGUUGAGGGAAUUGAAGGUUCAACUUCAGGAAUUGGUGGAUAAAGGUUACAUCCAACCCAGUAUGUCUCCCUGGGGUGCUCCUGUUUUAUUUGUUAAAAAGAAGGAUGGAUCGAUGAGACUUUGCAUCGACUAUCGGCAGUUAAACCGGGUGACGGUGAAGAAUCGAUAUCCUUUGCCUCGGAUCGACGAUCUGUUCGACCAGCUGAAGGGUGCUCAGAUAUUCUCUAAGAUAGAUCUUCGCUCAGGUUAUCACCAGUUGUUAAUUCGGGAGGGAGAUGUACCGAAGACUGCUUUCCGCACUAGGUAUGGACACUUUGAAUUUCGUGUCAUGCCUUUCGGACUGACGAAUGCACCUGCAGCAUUCAUGGAUUUGAUGAACAGAGUUUUCAGACCGUAUUUGGAUCGGUUUGUGAUUGUGUUCAUUGAUGAUAUUCUGAUCUUUUCCAAGAGUGUCAGCGAGCACAAGAAGCAUUUGAGGUUGGUGUUGGAAAGGUUGAGCAGUGAGCAGUUGUAUGCUAAGUUUAGCAAGUGUCAGUUCUGGCUAACCCAAAUUAGCUUUCUCGGUCAUGUAGUAUCUGCUGAGGGGAUUAGUGUGGAUCCUCAGAAGGUGUCAGCAAUAACUACGUGGGAGCAACCGAGGAAUGUUACUGAAGUGAGGAGUUUUCUAGGUCUGGCUGGCUAUUACCGAAGAUUUGUUAAAGGUUUCUCAGCCAUUGCCUUACCUCUGAAUAAGUUGACUCGAAAGGAAGUGGAGUUUAAGUGGGAUGAAGAUUGUGAGCGGAGUUUUCAGGAACUGAAGCGAUGUCUUACUCAAGCUCCCGUUCUUACUCUUCCAGACGAUAGCGGUGAGUUUGAUAUCUACACGGAUGCAUCAUUAUCAGGUUUGGGUUGUGUACUGAUGCAGCAUGAUAAAGUCAUUGAUUAUGCUUCCAGACAGCUCAAAAUUCACGAGAGAAACUAUCCCACUCAUGAUUUGGAACUUGGUGCAGUAGUGUUUGCUUUGAAGAUCUGGAGACAUUACUUGUACGGUGAGAAGUGUCGUAUCUUUACUGAUCAUAAGAGCCUCAAGUAUAUCUUUACUCAGAGGGAUUUGAAUUUGAGGCAGAGAAGAUGGAUGGAACUUAUCACUGAUUAUAACUGCACGAUCGAGUAUCAUCCCGGACAUGCCAAUGUAGUGGCAGAUGCACUUAGUCGGAAAUAUCAUGGAUAGCUUGCAUCUCUCCAAGCUAUUCAUGUUCCACUACUAUUUUCUCUUCGAGAAACAGGCUUGUCGGUGAGACCGGGUGAGCAAUGAGCGUGGUUGGCAAAUUUCCAAGUUAGACCUGUUUUGGUGGAUAUAGUCAUAGAAGCUCAGGAGCUUGAUCAGGAGAGUGCCAACAUUAAGGUCUCGGUGGAAAAAGGAGAAGAGAAGCAUUUUAUCAUCCGAAGUGAUGGAGCCUUGAUGUGGGAAAACAGAUUGUAUGUUCCUCAUGAUAACGAAGCAGUGAAAAGAGCAAUUCUGGAUGAAGCACAUUUGUCAGCUUAUGCCAUGCAUCCGGGAAGUACUAAACUGUAUCGCACUAUCCGUCUGUUCUAUUAUUGGUUGGGAAUGAAGCGGGAUGUGGCGGAUUAUGUGAGUAGAUGCAUCAUUUGUCAACAAGUAAAGGCAGAGAGGCAAAGACCUGGAGGAUUGAUGCAGAAUCUUCCGAUACCAGCAUGGAAAUGGGAAGACAUCACCAUGGAUUUUGUGUAUGGUCUGCCGAGGACGCGGUCGAGAUUGGACGGCAUAUGGGUAAUUGUUGAUCGACUGACUAAGACCGCUCAUUUCUUACCUGUUCGACAGACCUAUUCAAUGGAGAAAUUAUCGAAGUUGUUCAUCGAUAAUAUUGUUAGACUUCAUGGUGUACCUGUCUCUAUUGUUUCAGACAGAGAUCCCAGAUUUACUUCCAAAUUUUGGAAAGCUUUUAAUACUGCCAUGGGUACUCAGUUGCUGUUUAGUACUGCUUAUCAUCCACAGACUGACGGUCAGUCCGAGAGGACAAUACAAACAUUGGAGGACAUGUUGAGAGUGUCUGUUCUUCAGUGGAAGGGUAGUUGGGAUAACUAUCUGCCGUUGGUUGAAUUUGCAUACAACAACAGCUACCAUUCGAGUAUUGGUGUGGCACCUUAUGAAGCCUUGUAUGGGAGAGUGUGUCGAACGCCGUUGUGUUGGGCAGAGGUCGGCGAGCGAGUAUUGUUGGGACCGGAGAUUGUAGACACUACCAAUGAGAACAUCCAGCUGAUAAAGAGAAAUCUCAAGGCAGCUCAAGACCGACAGAAAAGCAUAGCGGACAAACAUUCCAAAGAUCGUGAGUACAAGAUUGGUGACUUUGUAUUCUUGAAGUUGUCUCCCUGGAAGGGUGUGGUUCGUUUUGGUAAACGAGGAAAGUUGAGUCCUCGAUAUGUUGGUCCUUAUCAGAUUACGGAGAGAAUUGGUGCAGUUGCCUAUAGAUUGGAGUUGCCACCGGAGUUGUCUCAGAUUCACAAUGUUUUCCAUAUUUCUAUGCUUCGGAAAUAUGUAUCAGAUCCCUCUCAUGUUAUUCAGCUAGAGCCGCUGGAAGUAAGUCCGGAUGUUAGUUAUGUUGAAGAACCAGUGGCUAUUCUUGACCAGCAGAAUAAAGUGUUGAGGAACAAGGUCAUUCCGUUGGUGAAAGUGUUGUGGAGGAACCACGCUACUGAAGAAGCGACGUGGGAAACGGAAGACCUGAUGAGGAGUCAGUAUCCGUAUUUAUUUGCUUGAAGUUGUAAUUUCGGGGACGAAAUUUUUAUAAGGGGGGUAGAUUGUAACACCCGCCCCCACUUAUAAAAUUAUAUGUGUGUAAUAUUCCCUAAAUAUUCUGAAUCUAUCAAUUUUACCCUUUUUGGACUACCCUAUCAGGAUCUAAACAUUGGAUCAUUCUUUCUUUUCAAACUGCCACGUGGCAGCUCCCUAGCAAUUUCCCUGUCUUCUCUCUUUGUCCCCCCCCCCGUGACUCCUUCUUUCUCUUCUUCUUUUUCUGUUUUCUUUUCUUUCUUCUGUCUGUCUCUCUGUCCCUCCCGACUCUAUCUCUUUCUCUCGUCUCUCUCUCAUAGCUCCCUCAUCUCUCUUCUCUGCAGCAACCCGCACGCACGCACCCGUCUCCCCCGCGCGAAGAAAACCCAUCUCCUUCUUCUCUCUCCCUCUGUCCCGUGCUGCGAGCCCGGAAACCGGAGAGGAACUCCGGCGAAACCUUUAUUUUCCCGGUUGGGACGAAUCGAAGCCGGGUGUAAGCACACCCAACUCCGGCGAUCCCGAGGGUGUCGGGGCUUUUUCCGGCCAUCUCCGAUCGUUCCACGACGAAAGGAAGGUGCAAUUAUUAACGGUGAUUCUGUUAUACCUUCUUGGUAUAGCUUUGCACCGUUGGUGUACGGUGAGUGGACCCCUUCAAAAUCAUGUUUAACAAUAGAAAUGCAUACAUGAAAAGCAUGAUUUAAUACUUAUGUUUUACGAAGUACUUUAUGAGAUAUAUGCUUACUGAGGCUAGAUUGAAUUAUUACUAUUUUUCCUAUAACCCAUGUUCUUAUAGAAUAUCCGAUGGAUGACGAUAUGAUAUUAGAACAUGUUUAGAACACCUCUUUGUAGUAUAGAUGAUGGAUGACUUUAUACUACGAAGUUGUUUUUCAAUAUGUUAUGCUCAAUGGUUUUGUACUUACCUAGUGGUCCUUUCCGCUACGGGACGUAGGGAUAGAUUCCGGUCCGUCCCGAGCGACGGUUUGGUGUUGGCAUAGGGCCUGGAGUGUGUUUCCUCUGGCUAUUUAGCACAGGGACGGGGAGCCGGCAUGGGGCCUGUAGUGUAUUUUCCUCUGACUGUCUGCUCAGAGACGGGGAGCUGGCAUGGGGCAUGUAGAGUAUCGGACAAUUCACUAAUGUUUAUUACUUAUACAAGUUAUGAAUUUGAGAUAUUGCACGGCAUGCUAGGUUUCGGAAAAUCUAUUUUGAUCAUGAUAUAUGUGUUUUCAUUAAACCUGGGGGUUAGUAUGUUGAUAACUGUUUUAUUAUAUUUAUAUCAAACUGGUCCACUCAUGUUUGUUUUGCGCCCCCUUCAGGACCUACGAACGAGGAUUACGAUAUAAGCUACGAGGCUUUUCCCUAUCAGUGAUCCAGUGCUAUACUUCUUCUGCUUCGAUAUCUUUUGUAAUAUAGCACAUCUCUAUUUUAAAUUCUGUUUGUACUCUGUAAUAGAUGUAUGCUCUGACAUUAUGCGUGGAUCCUAAUGUUGUAAUUAGAAGUUGAAUUUGUAGUAUUAUUGUGGCUAGUCUUGCUGCCUGUUUUAGCUUAUUUGUGAGUUUUUACUUAAAUUAAUGGCUUUCGUCACCCUUUGGGUGUCGGCCAGCACGUGAUCAUCCCGAUGUCACGAGGACAUCGGGAUCGGGGCGUGUCAAAUUAAAUAAAAGUUAUAAAAAAAAAACCGAAUCUGCAACCCAGAAGAAGAACCUUCUGGGUACGUGUUUGCAGUUGCGGGGCGAAUUCUAGAUCUUAAUUGGAUUAUUAGUUUCUGUUGUAAUAUGGUAGUUAGAAGAUUAAAAAAAACUAUGAUUUAUGCUUCAUAUGCUAACAAUUAACAGAUAAUUAAUGAAAUUUUUAAUUUUAAAUCUAAAUCCUAACAUAUUUUACAAUAGAAGCUUAAAUCUUAAUUUACUCAAUCACAUGGAUUAUUUUAUAACUACCUUACUAUUAAUUCAAUUAAACCUAUUAUUUCUACGAAAACUAACAAAAAUUUCAAAAAAAACUUUAGUUUUAAUGAAAAAAGAAAAAUGAAGAUUUGGUAAAUAAUACCAAAAAAAAAAUAAAAAUAUAAAUUUUCAUUAAAAAUGAACAGCAUCAAAAGUGUUUUAUUAAUACUCCAAUUAUUUAUUUACAAAUACGUGACUAAAUGAAAGGGAGCACUCAAAAUGAUGAAAAGCAGGAGCACCGAAGGCUAUCUCCGUUUCUUUGUUGAGUGGACAGCUGUCUCUUCGUCUUCUUUUGGCAGAUAGCUCCUAGUGGCCAGCCUAUAUUCCACAGCUGGUUAUAGGAUUCGGUUGCUAUAUAAGAAGUGUUUUGUUGUAAUUCAAUAUCGAUAGAAAUCCAAUAGGAUCUUUUUCAAAAUUUUGUGCGGAUUUUGGUAUGUUCGUAAAUCGUAUUUGUUCAUAUUAUACGCUCAUUUUUCAUGGAAUAUUAUUUUUGUUUAAUUUUAAAUAAAAUAAUUUAAAAUAAUUUUUUAUUGUAACAUGUACAAUGAACGGAUAUGAAUUGAUUCACAGAUCUUCAAAAUCCUUACAAAGAAAAUCCAAAAAUAAUCCGAAUUCAAUGGAGAUAAGUUAAUUUUGAAUCAAAUAACAUUAGGAAAAAAAAUUAACAUUAGACGGUUUUAAAUAAUUUAUUGUAUAUUUUUAGGGAAUUGUUAUUAGCACUUUAAAAAUCUCAUUUUACACUCCAAACUUUUUAUAUUAGAAAAGAAAAAUACACUUAUGAGGAAUGUAGAAUAAGAUUUUUGAAUUAACCAUGCAAAAAUGUAAUGUUAAAGCAUCAUGUCAUACAGACCUCUUCAAGGUACCAGAAAUUUUUGCACUAAAGAUGUCACAAGCAGCUGAUAUGAAGCUGCAUUUUCUGUGAGUUGAAAUUUUGUCAAUAUAAUCGAUCACCUGAAGAGAGAGAGAGAGAGAAAGACAGUGAUGUCCAGAGAUGUGAGCCUAAAUGCUGAGUGUGUAAAAAAAGAAGAUUAAAUGGAUAGCAAGAAUAUACAACUUUAAUGCUGAAAAGAACAUUGAAUAUGAUGCUCAUUCAUCAUUGCCAUUGAACGUGUACCUUCUUCUUUUCCUCUUUCUCAAAAGCAAGUAGAGCCUUGAAGACUUGCCUAUAUGAUCCAUCAUCACAACCAGGCAAAGUUGUUUUAAUCAUAGCAACAAUGGCUCUAACUAACUACCUGCCAUAAGAAACAUGCUACAUCAACAAGAUCACAGAGUGUACCAGAAACCGUAAUGUAGCAAAAUCUUAGAUAAAAUAGCUGGCCAAAAGGGAAUGGAAAAGCAAGCACAAAAAACAAUGAAAAGGACCAGUGAUGCCAAAAUUCUGGUGGAAAAGGUGAAAAGCUUAUGUCUAUUACAGUUCUUGUAUGCAUUCUUUAUAACUUAAGUUCUACGUAGCAAAAACCACCUUAUGCACAACAAUAUUGGAAAAAUUAGAUACAUACAACUGAGAAGAUAGGUUUUCAUAAUCUGGACAAGUGCUAACUACCUUCUUCCUAUAAACUGCCACUCCAUGAACAUUAAAUGGUAUUUUCCUUUCACGCAAGGCUGUCUGGAAGACUUUUCCUGAUACCUGUAGAAUAAAUUACAAAAGAAAAUGUGACCAAAAUGUCUUAUAUGAUUCACCUCAUUCACAUUAGCACUAAGGCAAGUAAGCUUGACCUGCCUCCGGUAAAGGAUUGCUAUAUUUCCAUAGGAGCACCCUGCUUCUGACCGUUUAGAUGCAGUCUCCAGGAUCUUGUCGACAACAAAGGCGCAUUGUGCAUCCUCAUUGUGACUUUCCUUGAUAAUUACCUACAUUUUGCCAGUAAAACCAGUGUCACUAACUAAAAGGACUGAAAAAUGACAUCAAAUUGUACUUGUUGGAGCAAGGAAAGAUUAAGUACCUUAGACCCAGAAGAAUUGUCCGUGUCAACAUUCUUUAGUUGGCAUCACUUCUUAUUGUUUUUUAUAACAGAAGAUGCAGCUUCCACACAAUAUAGCGUGUGGACCGAAAGUUCUUAUUAAGCCUAAUCUGAACCAUAAAGUUAUGUCAAAUCCCACAGAACCCCAUAAAAUAAAACUUACUUUCCUGUAAUUGUACAAUAUAUUUGUUCUAUACUAUAUAUAACGAAAAAAGACACCGUGAAUGACAUAAGAUAACAUAGCAGUCAAGUGCGAAGCGAACCUCUUUGUAAUUUGAAAAAUCUUUACGAAAAGAAUCAAAUCCAGAAAUGUCCGCCCCAUUGAAACUGAAAAUGGACUGCAGCAGGAUAUAUGUUAUUUGAUUUAGAACAGAUAAGGGCUGGAUUAGAAUGAGCUGAGAGAGGGAGAGAGGGAGAGACGGAGCAAUAACAUUGGAUUUCCAUAAUAAAUCAACAACAUGCCUGAUCAUCAUCACCAACAAUGGUUAUGUGGUUAUGAGAGGCGAGAAUCCGCAAAAGUCUAUAUUGCAUAGCACUUGUGUCUUGAAACUCGUCUAUUACAAUAGCUUUCCAUGACUCCUGGCACUCCUUCAACACUAAUUAAGAGAACACCAUGUAUCAACAUUUAGCAUUACUUGUAAAACUAGAUAAAUCAAUGAAAUAUACUUAGAUGAUAGAGACCUUCAGGAAAAUCACUUAGCAGCUUCACAGAGCAGCUAAUUAAGUCGUGGUAGUCCAAAGCGUUGCACGAUUUCAAGAUAUCAUUGUAAUUCCUAAGAAUUUCACCCUGAUUCAGAUUGAGAGCUAAAACUCAUAAGCAAUAGUUUCAAAGAACUGAAAUGAUAUCUGAAAUUCUAGUUCUGAGCGUACUCCUGUCACAUCACCCAUUCUUUGGCAUUCAGCGGGAGUUCUUUCCAGAAGCUUUUGCCUGAAACAUAAAUAAAUUUAUUGCCUAAUGCCACAUAUUGUAAGACACACCAUUGUAUUGGUCACUCUAGCUAAGCACAAUGAGCUUCAGUGGCAUACGGCGGUCACACAACACGCCGGAUGCACUCUUCCACUUCAUCCAUCCAGCUUGUAUUCUAUGGUUGAGAUCUCCAUCUAAUUCUCCGUUCUUUUGCAAAAUAGAUCCUAGGUAACGAAAACGGUCGCUCUUUGAUAUUUCUUGAUCUCCGAUCCUCACCCCUAAAUCGUUUUGGCCUCCAUUUGCACUGAACUUGCACUCCAUAUAUUCUGUCUUUGAUCGGCUUAGGCGAAAACCUUUAGAUUCCAACACUUCUCUCCAAAGGUUAAGCUUUGCAUUUACCCCUUCCUGAGUUUCAUCUAUCAACACUAUAUCGUCUGCGAAAAGCAUACACCAAGGAAUAUCACCUUGAAUAUGUCCUGUUAACUCAUCCAUUACCAACGCAAAAAAGGUAAGGACUUAAGGAUGAGCCUUGAUGUAAUCCUACAGUUAUGGGAAAGCUUUCGGUUUGUCCUUCAUGAGUUCUUACGGCAGUCUUUGCUCCUUCAUACAUAUCUUGUAUAGCUUGGAUAUAUGCUACUCGUACUCCUUUCUUCUCUAAAAUCCUCCAAAGAAUGUCUCUUGGGACCCUAUCAUACGCUUUUUCCAAAUCUAUAAAGACCAUGUGUAAAUCCUUUUUCCCAUCUCUAUAUCUUUCCAUCAAUCUUCGUAAGAGAUAGAUUGCCUCCAUGGUUGAGCGCCCUGGCAUGAACCCGAAUUGGUUGUCCGAAACCCGUCUCUUGCCUCAAUCUAUGCUCAAUGACUCUCUCCCAGAGCUUCAUUGUAUGACUCAUUAGCUUAAUACCACUAUAGUUCAUGCAAUUUUGUACAUCGCCCUUAUUCUUGUAGAUAGGCACCAAAGUGCUAAUUCGCCACUCAUUCGGCAUCUUCUUCGUUUUCAAAAUCCUAUUGAAAAGGUCAGUGAGCCAUGUUAUACCUGUCUCUCCCAAAACUUUCCACACUUCGAUUGGUAUAUUGUCUGGGCCUACUGCUUUUCUAUGUUUCAUCUUCUUCAAAGCUACAACCACUUAUUCCUUCCGGAUUCCACGAUAAAAAAAGUAGUUUCUACACUCUUCUGAGUUACUCAACUCCCCUAAAGAAGCACUCAUUUCAUGUCCUUCAUUGAAAAGAUUAUGAAAAUAACCUUUCCAUCUGUCUUUAACCGCGUUCUCUGUAGCAAGAACCUUUCCAUCCUCAUCCUUAAUGCACCUCACUUGGUUUAGGUCCCUUGUCUUCUUUUCCCUUACUCUAGCUAGUUUAUAGAUAUCCAACUCUCCUUCUUUGGUAUCUAGUCGCUUAUACAUAUCGUCAUAAGCCGCUAACUUAGCUUCUCUCACAGCUUUCUUCGCCUCUUGCUUCGCAUUUCUAUACCUUUCACCAUUUUCAUCGGUCCUAUCCUUGUAUAAGGUUUUACAACAUUCCUUCUUAGCCUUCACCUUUGCUUGUACCUCCUCAUUCCACCACCAAGAUUCCUUUUGGUGUGGGGCAAAGCCCUUGGACUCUCCUAAUACCUCUUUUGCUACUUUUCGGAUACAACUAGCCAUGGAAUCCCACAUUUGAUUAACUUCCCCCUCUCUAUCCCACACACACUGGGUGAUUACUUUCUCUUUGAAAAUGGCUUAUUUUUCUUCUUUUAGAUUCCACCAUCUAGUCCUUGGGCACUUCCAAGUCUUGUUCUUUUUUCUCACUCUUUUGAUAUGUACAUCCAUCACCAACAAGCGAUGUUGAUUAGCCACGCUCUCUCCUGGUAUAACUUUGCAAUCUUUACAAGUUAUACGAUCCCCUUUCCUCAUUAGAAGAAAAUAUAUUUGUGUUUUUGACGACCCACUCUUGUAGGUGAUCACAUGUUCUUCUCUCUUCUUAAAGAAGGUGUUGGCUAAGAAGAGAUCAUAUGCCAUUGCAAAAUCCAAGAUAGCUUCCCCAUCCUCGUUUCUCUCCCCAAAACCAUGGCCACCAUGAAAACCUCCAUAGUUGCCUGUCUCCCUGCCCACGUGUCCAUUUAAAUCUCCUCCUAUAAAUAACUUCUCCGUCUGAGCAAUUCCUUGCACCAAGUCUCCAAGGUCUUCCCAAAAUUUCUCCUUCGAACUCGUAUCCAACCCUACUUGAGGUGCGUACGCACUAAUCACAUUGAUAAGUUAUUGUCCUAUUACAAUCUUGAUUGCCAUGAUUCUAUCUCCUACCCUCUUGACAUCUACAACAUCUUGUGUCAAGGUCUUGUCCACGAUGAUGCCAACACCGUUUCUCGUUCUAUUUGUGCCCGAAUACCAUAGUUUAAACCCUGAGUUUCUAGAUAUAUAUAUAUAUAUAUAUAUAUAUCAAAUGGCCCCUAAAUGCUAUUAAAAAUCUCAAAAAUUAACAGGAAACUAAAACAAAUUAGAAUUUAUUCAUGGUUUCGCAAUUCCCAGCCGGGUAAACUGGUGGCCGUUGUAAGAGAGGGCCUCCAGCCGGAUAAACAUUUUCGAGUUAUAUGAUAUUUGUAUAGCAAAAAUACUUUAAUAGCAAGUGCGCGUGAGUGAAGAAAUUGAACUUACUUAUAUUCUUUCGAAUCCCAACCGGAAAAAUUGCAGGCUCUGGGAAGAGCGGACCUCCAGCUCUGCACCUCCUUCACGUCAACGUUAGAACGACCUUCAUGUUUAGCAAAAGCUUCUGCAAAACUUCCCUCGAGUUUACGAAUAUUGGACGGAUCGACUUGGUAGAAAAUGGGGAAUACAAUCUGGUUCUUGGAAUGGUUGCAUUCCAAGAUUUCCACGAGUUCUUUCAAGCACCAUGUGGAUGAAGCAUAGUUUUCAGAGAAAACUACAAUCGAAAUCCUUGACUCUCGAAUCGCUGUCAGGAGCUCGGAAAGGCGGUCGCCUUUUCUGAGGUCUUCGGCAUCAAUGAACGUGUUGAUUGGUUUCUGACGCAGAGCUUUGUAGAGAUGGCUGACGAAGCCCGUGCGAGUGUCUUCCCCUCUAAAAUUGAUGAACACAUCGUAUUCCCAACCAAGGCAAGAAGAAGAAGAAGAAGCAGCAAUUAAUCGAUCGCACCUGGGCAGCGAUGAUCGAGCAGCUUAAGACUAAGAGAAUUGUAAGUACAGAAACACUCAAUAGAUCUACAAAUUGGAUCACCAGAAAUUAGUCAAUGAGUCAAUGCAAAAGGGAAAAGGGCAAUUAUGCUUUUUGCGUUUUCACAUCUUCUUCAGGAAAUUUCGGUGUGAAAGGAAUCCGCAUACUUUUGAUUUUUCAACCCAAGAAAAUGCGAAGAAAGGGGACAAAGUAGUAAAUUUAAUCUACAGUUGCCUACCCAACAACCUCUUGAUUUAAUAUAUAUUUAAUUAGGAAAAGUAGUUUAGAGGAAGGAUGGUAUCUCCUUUUCUUCUCUCUCGAUCAGUCAAUCUUCCCGCGUGCGAUUUAAUCAUGAUUAAAGCUAAGCUUAAUCUUAGAUCGUAUUAUUUAGGUCUAAUUGGAUUCUUAAUUCUUGUUGUGAUAUAGUAGUUGGAAGAUUAAAAAAAAUUAUGAUUUAAAUGUUUGUGGUGAAGUCUGUUACGAUUUAGUUUCAAACUUGAAAAUUUCGUUAACUCCGUUAAUUAUUAGCACAUGAGACUCACAAAUGAAACUAAAAAUAUAAAGUUAGCCUCACAUGUAAUCUUCACGUGCUAACAAUUAAAAGAGAGUUCCGUUUUAGCUUAAUAUAUGUGACUCACGUGUUAAUAAUUAACGGAAUAUUAACAAAAAUUUUAAUUUUAAGCAUAAAUUCAAAUAAACUUCACCACAUAAGCUUAAAUUCUAAUUUAGAUAUCUUCUAACUAUCUUAUCACCAUAAAAAUUAUAAUCAAAUUAAACUUAUUAUUUAUUUAUAAAUGCGUAAUUAAAUCACAAAGUGUUGAAUGAAAGGGAGCACUCCAAAUGAUGAAAGAUGUGUGAUAUCCACACAUCUUUUUUUUUACUUUUUACACAUCGUUUUAAUUUUCGACUGUCGGAUCGAAUUAAUUGAAGAAAAUCAAAGGAUAAAAAUCAACAAAGGGUGUGCAAGAAGUAAAAAUGAGUGUGUGGAUAGUCAUCCCAUGAAAAGCGGGAGCAUCGAAAGCUAUCUCCGUUUCUUGUUGUCUAUUUGUCUUCUUUUGGCAGAUAGCUCCUAGGGACCGGCCUAUUUUCCACAGCUGGUUAUAGGACUCAGUUACUAUAGAAGGAGUGUUUUGUUGUAAUUCAAUAUCGAUGGAAAUCCAACAUAAUCUUUUUCAAAUUUUUGUGAGGAUUUUGGGGUGUACGUAAAUUGAUUAUGUUCAUCGUAUAUUAUGUGACCAUUUUUUAUCAAAUACUAUUUGUGUUUCAUUUUAAAUAAAAUAAUUUAAAAUAAUUUUUAACUGCAAGAUGUACAAUGAACGGAUAUAAUUCACAAAUCUCCAAAAUCCUUACAAAAAAAUCCGAAAAAGAUCCAAAUUCAAUGGAAAUAAGCUAAUUUUGAAUCAAAUUACAUUACUUUAUUUUGUAAAUAAAUUAAUUUUGAAUCGAACAACAUUCAUUUAUUAUGUAAGUAAUUCAUUUUGUAUGUAUCAUCAUAUAUAUUAGGCACAUUUUAUCAUAGGUGAUUUUGUGAAAAAUUAAUAAAAAGUUACAAUAUUAACAAUAGAUCAAUAAUAUUUAUGUUAAUUAUAAAUAGGUUAACCAUAUGUUGUGAUACUUAAAUACAUUUAAAAUAAAUAAAAAUUACAAAAUCUGACAUCCACUGCGACGUAGGAGCCACGGUGCAGCCCAAACUUUGCAGAUAAGAAAUCUGGUAAUUCACAGCAUGACAAACAAAUUACUGGGUCUCCUGACCAUCGUUGAUGCCAAUGUGUGCACAAGGAAAGGAGUAAGGUAAUCAAAUGCGUUAGUCUUGUGUACCUGUUUCGGUGUUGGUUUGGAUGAACCCAUUGAGUUCUCGAUCCUUAACUUCUGGAAAUGCUCCUGAAAGCAUAAAUAUAUGUACGGAUUUAAACCAAUGACAAAUGGACAUAAUUUACGGACAAUGAUUGAAGAAAAUACAGAUAUAAACGCCUCAGUAUUCCAUUGACGAAAGUUCUAGAUUUGAUGAAUCAAAAGUCCCACGUUGAGACUGCGUUAAGGCAAAUGGUUCUCAAAACCUGUUUUUCCCUCAUCAAAUGAGCGCGUUGAUCUGCAGGUAUUUUCUGCCAUCUCAAAACCUGUUACAAAGAAAUAUAACGUUGAUGUCGAGCUGGAUAGCAUAUUAUACCAAUUAUGUGUACAAACCUAUUGAAAUAAAGUAGCUGUAGUUGCAUAUUACGACAGAUAUUAACGAAAACAAAAGAAGGCUCGCCUAUUCAAGAUCCUAAAUCCCGUGAUUCUUUUGUUUUUAGUUUCAGAAAUUUUCAGAGCAAACUGGAAAGUACCAAGAUACUUACAUAUUGGGCAUAAUGAAAUGCAUCUUCAUCUUUCAAGCAAGAUUUGAGUGAGCGCAAACCGUCCUGAGAGUUACAUAAGUCAAUCAGUAAUAUAAAAACGUAGACGCAUCACAUCCAAACACAAGUAUUCAAACACCAACAACUUCUUCAUGCGGUGAGGCAUGUUAAAAAAUAGGGAAGAACAGUUAUUGAAUAGGAAGUUAAAGGACUAAAUUUAUGACCUUGUGUUUGUAGUUCUUGGCUCGUAUGCGUUCAUCUAUUACAAAACCAAUCUGUAACAGGUACAACAGAAAAUAUAAGCAGUAGUCAGAACAUUAAUCUUCGGCAUUCACAUUGCCACCAAUCCAAAGUUAAAAGUCUGAAGGCAAAACAGUAUGAUUCUUAUCUCUCAAACAAAAAUGAAACUAUACCCCGGUCUCAGACAUAAAUGAAAUAAGUUCUACUGCCUCAACUGAGUACUGUGAUUAUAUAUAAAUCCAAUUCACCUUGUCAAGUAAUCUCUUAGGAUCUUGAAAUGCUUCCUUCUUAGCCCAGUCAUUAAAUACAUGCGAGAAAAUUGAUCUCUCAUCCACACUGAAUCUAUUGCACAGUGACAGAAGAAUAAAGUUAAACAUGAACAUAACCAACCAAAAUGCUAGUUAUAAUAGUACACCCAUAAUUGCAAGCAAAACCUUUUUAAGAAGCCAUUUCCAUGGUUUUCCUCCCAAAUUCCAUCAAUUCUGCAGAGGCAACGUCAAAUUUACUAUGAUGGAGAUCAUUUUGCACUGUAAUAACUUCAGAAGGUAGGAGAUUUGGUUUCAGAUCAUCUGUUGACGGAGUAGUUUCUUUUGAAGUGUCAUGAUGCUUUUGAUUGCAAGCCUUCUGUACUUACGUCAGCCUACAAAACAAAAAUUGCAUUCAUCCACACUAGACUUAAUAAGAUUAGAAACACUUCAGAUUCUUCAUUAUUUGUAUUUUUGACUAAACAGCAGAACAACUGAGGAUAAUGAACAGUAAUACACACCUGGACUUCUCGUAGAUGAUUUGGAAUUUCUUUCAGAAAUCGCGAAGGUUGAAGCAUCUGAAGGAGUCACCUUCUCAGUCAGAGCAACAACAACAAAUAAGGAGGACAGGAAUUCAAGCUAAAACGAACCUGCCAACUGGAAUCCAUCGUAACAUAAAGAAUGAAAAGCUUUUUUCGAGCACGAGUCAUUGCAACAUAUAAUAGGCGUCUCUCCUCCUAUGAUUAGAGUGGGAUUAUUGAGUUAUUGACCAAAAGAAAAAAGAGUGGGAUUAUUGUGAAAAACAUGUCAAAGCUCUGCAUAUAACUGAAAAAUGUUGAACAAUUUACCACACACCUCAAUGGAGGUCCCAUUUUCUUUUGCAACCCCAUUGAAUUCAUGCAACAACGGGAUCUCAGAUUCAUUUACCUGUGUUAUUGGCAUGAGCAUUAAAGCAAGCUAAGAUGAUUUGAAGAGGUUGAUAUCGUCAUGAAUAUAGUAGAACAGAAUACCAAUUUCAAGCCAUCAAUUAGGUAUAGCAUUGGCAUGUUUAAUCCGUAAAUCUAAUGACAGAACACCUCAACUCUACACAUAAAUAAAUAAACAACCUGAAAAAUAUUACAGCCACAUGUUAAGGCAAAUACCUUAAUUAUGAAAACUAUAUCCCACUCUAAACCUUUUGACUGCAAGAGAAUGAAAAAGAAAGACAGUAAGCCAAGAAUGUUUUGUAGAACUCCAAAGGAAGUCCAAUAGGGAAAUCAUCGCAAGUAUAAGAGUUAGCGAGGUUCGCAUAAGAGGAUAUCAAAAAGAUCUAGAACCUGAUGAAUAGUAGUCAAAGUGACAGAACUUUGGUUGUCAUGUCUUCGGGAGUGAAAAUUUUCACUCUCCUGCUCAGAUAUGUAGUCGAUGAAAGCUUUGAGUAAAUUAACGCAGCCUUUUUCUUCUGCUACGACUUCUCUCUCCCCUUUUCCCGCAACAAAAUGAGUUGAUAAGAAAUCAGAUACGUCGUCUAGUAGGUACUGAAGAACCUGCAAUGAGAAUAAUCGCAUCACAGCAACAGGGUUGGACCAAGAUUUAAGUGACAACAAUGAUUAACUAACUAAAAUAGAGAAAUUAUUCAUUUAAGACCUUGUUGACGGAAAAAAGGGUUUUCCAAGCAGCGGGUCAUUUAAGCUUAUUGUAUAAAUGACAAUCAUCACAAACGGCAAACUUACAGAUCUCACGUCAUUGUCUUCAUUCAGCAGUUUUCCUCCAUCUACAUCAACGACUGCACGUUGCUCAAGACGGUACUUCUAAAAAUUGAAAGUCAACAACAACAACAACAACAACAACAAAGCCUUUUCCCACUAAGUGGGGUCGGCUAUAUGAAUCCUAGAACGCCAUUGCGCUCGGUUUUGUGUCAUGUCCUCCGUUAGAUCCAAGUACUCUAAGUCUUUUCUUAGAGUCUCUUCCAAAGUUGUCCUAGGUCUUCCUCUACCCCUUCGGCCCUGAACCUCUGUCCCGUAGUCACAUCUUCGAACCGGAGCGUUAGUCGGCCUUCUUUGCACAUGUUCAAAAUCACCGGAGCCGAUUUUCUCUCAUAUUUCCUACAAUUUCGGCUACUCCUACUUUACCUCGGAUAUCCUCAUUCCCAAUCUUAUCCUUUCUCGUGUGCCCACACAUCCCACGAAGCAUCCUCAUCUCCGCUACACCCAUUUUGUGUACGUGUUGAUGCUUCACCACCCAACAUUCUGUGCCAUACAACAUCGCUAGCCUUAUUGCCGUCCUAUAAAAUUUUCCCUUGAGCUUCAGUGGCCUACGACGGUCACACAACACGCCGGAUGCACUCUUUCCAUCCAGCUCGUAUUCUAUGGUUGAGAUCUCCAUCUAAUUCUCCGUUCUCUUGCAAGAUAGAUCCUAGGUAGCGAAAACGAUCGCUUUUUGUGAUCUUCGCUAGAUUUCUCCGGUCAUUAGUGUGGAUAAGUAUAUAAAUGGAUAGAGAUAGGAAAGCAAACACAAGAUGUACGUGGUUCACCCAGAUUGGCUACGUCCACGGAAUAGAAGAGUUCUCAUUAAUUGUGAAGGGUUUACACAAGUACAUAGGUUCAAGCUUUCAUUUAGUGAGUACAAGUGAAUGAUUUUAGUACAAAUGACAUUAGGAAAUAUUGUGGGAGAAUGAUCUCGUAAUCACGAAACUUCUAAGUAUCGGAGUGUGGUGUCGUCUUGACUUGCCUUAUCUGUCUCAUAGGUAGAUGUGGCAUCUUCUCUGGAAGUACUCUUCCUCAAACGAUAAAUUAUUAAGAAGCAUUGAAUAUAAGCAUGAAACGAAGAAAAUGUUAUGGAAUGGUGAUCCUCAUCCUCAAAGAUGAUUAAAAGCAAUUUGAUUCAAAAAUGACAUAUCAACUCUGGAGAAAUGGAAGACAAACCUGUGGUACCAUAUUCGCAACUGAGGUUAUGACAGCUGAAAUCGAUUGUUCCUGUGUGCAUUGAUAAGUGAGACUACCAUAGAGAUUCACAACUAAAUAAAGACAGGUAUUCCACAGAACAACCUUUACCUCUUUGGAAACACAGAUCUAACAAAAACUAUAACAUUUUGGAUUAAUAUUGACAAAUCAAGAAUAAUGCAAGGGAGCAAGAGAUACUCUUCCUUCUAAUAACAAGGAGGCGUGAAAAGUAUACAGAGUUCCAACAAUUAGAGAACUAAAAUCAAACUAAAAAAAUCACCAAAGUAGACAGAAUCUCACUUCGCCAAAAAUUUGAAAAUAUACCUUUUUAUCCAUUGAGAUUCAUGAACUACUACUACUACAUCAUGCCAAUAAGCAAUGCGUAAGAGGAGCUACAAUUUACCGAAUAUAUUUACCCUGAGAACAAGUUUUGAAAUCAUCUCUAGUGUUAACAGCACCUUGCGUCCUUGGGUAAGCUGAGUCCUAUUAUCAAGUAAAGAGACCAAUCAGUACAUAUCCAAAAGAUCUUAAAUGCUUGUAAUACCAAAUAAGAAAGAAACAUGAGUAUAUCUUGAAUUAACCAUGCAAAAAUGUAAUGUUAAAGCAUCUUGUCAUACAGACCUCUUCAAGGUACCAGAAAUUUUUGCACUAAAGAUGUCACAAGCAGCUGAUAUGAAGCUGCAUUUUCUGUGAGUUGAAAUUUUGUCAAUAUAAUCGAUCACCUGAAGAGAGAGAGAGAGAAAAAGACAGUGAUAUCCAGAGAUGUGAGCCUAAAUGCUGAGUGUGUAAAAAAAGAAGAUUAAAUGGAUAGCAAGAAUAUACAACUUUAAUGCUGAAAAGAACAUUGAAUAUGAUGCUCAUUCAUCAUUCCCAUUGAACGUGUACCUUCUUCUUUUCCUCUUUCUCAAAAGCAAGUAGAGCCUUGAAGACUUGCCUAUAUGAUCCAUCAUCACAACCAGGCAAAGUUGUUUUAAUCAUAGCAACAAUGGCUCUAACUACCUGCCAUAAGAAACAUGCUACAUCAACAAGAUCACAGAGUGUACCAGAAACCGUAAUGUAGCAAAAUCUUGGAUAAAAUAGCUGGCCAAAAGGGAAUGGAAAAGCAAGCAUGAAAAACAAUGAAAAGGACCAGUGAUGCCAAAAUUCUGGUGGAAAAGGUGAAAAGCUUCUGUCUAUUACAGUUCUUGUAUGCAUUCUUUAUAACUUAAGUUCUACGUAGCAAAAACCACCUUAUGCACAACAAUAUUGGAAAAAUUAGAUACAUACAACUGAGAAGAUAGGUUUUCAUAAUCUGGACAAGUGCUAACUACUUUCUUCCUAUAAACUGCCACUCCAUGAACAUUAAAUGGUAUUUUCCUUUCACGCAAGGCUGUCUGGAAGACUUUUCCUGAUACCUGUAGCAUAAAAUACAAAAGAAAAUGUGACCAAAAUGUCUUAUAUGAUUCACCUCAUUCACAUUAGCACUAAGGCAAGUAAGCUUGACCUGCCUCCGGUAAAGGAUUGCUAUAUUUCCAUAGGAGCACCCUGCUUCUGACCGUUUAGAUGCAGUCUCCAGGAUCUUGUCGACAACAAAGGCGCAUUGUGCAUCCUCAUUGUGACUUUCCUUGAUAAUUACCUACAUUUUGCCAGUAAAACCAGUGUCACUAACUAUAAGGACUGAAAAAUGACAUCAAAUUGUACUUGUUGGAGCAAGGAAAGAUUAAGUACCUUAGACCCAGAAGAAUUGUCCAUGUCAACAUUCUUUAGUUGGCAUUGCUUCUUAUUGUUUUUUAUAACAGAAGUUGCAGCUUCCACAAUAUAGCGUGUGGACCGAAAGUUUUUAUUAAGCCUAAUCUGAACCAUAAAGUUAUGUCAAAUCCCACAGAACCUCGUAAAAUAAAACUUACUUUCCUGUAAUUGUACAAUAUAUUUUUUCUGUACUAUAUAUAAUGAAAAAAGACACUGAAUGACAUAAGAUAACAUAGCAGUCAAGUGCGAAGCGAACCUCUUUGUAAUUUGAAAAAUCUUUACGAAAAGAAUCAAAUCCAGAAAUGUCCGCCCCAUUGAAACUGAAAAUGGACUGCAGCAGGAUAUAUGUUAUUUGAUUUAAAACAGAUAAGGGCUGGAUUAGAAUGAGCUGAGAGAGAGAGAGAGAGAGGGAGAGAGGGAGAGAGGGAGAGAGGGAGAGAGGGAGCAAUAACAUUGGAUUUCCAUAACAAAUCAACAACAUGCCUGAUCAUCAUCACCAACAAUGGUUAUGUGGUUAUGAGAGGCGAGAAUCCGCAAAAGACUAUAUUGCAUAGCACUUGUGUCUUGAAACUCGUCUAUUACAGUAGCUUUCCAUGACUCCUGGCACUCCUUCAACACUAAUUAAGAGAACACCAUGUAUCAACAUUUAGCAUUACUUGUAAAACUAGAUAAAUCAAUGAAAUAUACUUAGAUGAUAGAGACCUUCAGGAAAAUCACUUAGCAGCUUCACAGAGCAGCUAAUUAAGUCGUGGUAGUCCAAAGCAUUGCACGAUUUCAAGAUAUCAUUGUAAUUCCUAAGAAUUUCACCCUGAUUCAGAUUGAGAGCUAAAACUCAUAAGCAAUAGUUUCAAAGAACUGAAAUGAUAUCUGAAAUUCUAGUUCUGAGCGUACUCCUGUCACAUCACCCAUUCUUCGGCAUUCAGCCGGAGUCUUUCCAGAAGCCUUUGCCUGAAACAUAAAUAAAUUUAUUGCCUAAUGCCACAUAUUGUAAGACACACCAUUGUAUUGGUCAUUCUAGCUUGAUUGUAGCUAAUAUUUUUUAAAUCGAAUGAUUAGAGUUCUUAAUCCACAAUAAUCUGAACAUUAAAUUUGGUAUUCAAGACUAACCUGUGUCACCAACUACAGCCAUUUCCUUGAUGCAUCCUUAAAAUGAUGUGGAGAUGUUACGCCGUUAGACUCUUCCCCAUCUAUAGCAACAUUAAGAUUCGUUUACUCUUUUCAUCUUCUGAUAACCGCACAGCUUCAAUGAUUGCUCUUCUCUGUUGCCCAUGUCCAUAUAUCAAAAAUUCUGGUCUGCGCUCGAGUCUAAAACACAAGCCAACAUAACAGACUCAGCUAUACCACCAAAUGUAUGGUGUUCAAAAUCAAGGGAGGUGAAUCAAUAGCUUACUUCUCAGCAUGUGAUCGGCAAAGUUGCAAUGAAAAUGAAUGAAAUGUACUGAUUGUUAGUAGUUUUGCCGUUGCUUUCCCAGUCACAGAUCCAAUUCGAUCUCUCAUCUCGGAAGCUGCUGCUGUAGUGAAAGUCAUUGCUAGAAUGUUCGACGUGCUAAUGCCCUAAGAACACAAAAAAAAAAAAAAAAACGUAUAAGAUUUCGAUCAUAAACAAGAAAUGUAGAGAAACACACAAUUACGAAAGAAAAAGUUAGAGGGAAAGUAGCAACACCUCAUUGAGCAGCAUUAGAACGCGCCCAACUAUCGUUGAAGUCUUUCCACUUCCAGGGCCGGCAACAAUCAUCAAAGGUACUGAAAUAUCGCUGCAAGCUGCCUCGCGCUGCCUUUCGUUGAGAGAAAGCAAAUACUUCAAUACUCAUCCGGCAUGUUAGGCAAUCCAUGGUUAACAGAAUCUUUUUGGUUUUCACUACUCAAAGGUGGCGCUGAUGCGGCACUAACGUCACUACCACAACUCCCAAUAUCAUCACGCUGAAUGUCCACACUCGGUUUCUGCUCGAUUAAAGCGUCAAUUUCCUGCAAAAUACUCUCGUCGAAAUCAUCAUCGUUAAGAAUUCCAGAUGCAGAGAAAGAAUCAAAUGAAGUCAGAAACUGCGGUUGUCUGAUUGGAGUUGUGAAAGAAUCCGAUUUUGACACGCUUGAUUCGGUCCGGCUAACGCUUAAGCUCCCGGAACACGAAGCACUGCCAUAUUCACCACGCGUUGAAUUGUACCGGCUUGCGGAAAUCGGAGGCGGUGUUCUUUGAACUCUAUUGAGCUGAGUUGGCGUUUGGAUUCCAUUUCCGCCACAGAUUCUGGAAUUUGAAAAACACAAUUGAAUUGAUUUAAAUUGAAGCAAGAAAACAGCCGAGUAGCAAAAAAAUAGUAAGAAGAUGAAACCUUUGAUUCCUGAACGACUUACUUGGUAUGAGGGAGGUGAUGAUCAGGUGAAACGGCGUCGUUGCGGGGGCGUUUGCGAUCAAUGAGGGCCUUGGCGGCUCUGAAAUUCCGAGAGAUGCGGUUUCUUUGUUCCGCCGUGAGCCCUCCGCCGUACGCCUGAACGUUUUCCUUGGACAUUGCUUCGAAGAUUCCAACGGAGGAUUUGGCCUGACGGCCUGACCAGGCUGAUAACAGUGUAAAACCUUAGGAGCUAAGGAAAACUAAGAGAUAGAUCGUAGAGAGGGAAAGUUUUUUCUUUUUGGAAACUAGUAGGGAGGGAAAGUUUGUUAAACCUGAAUAAUAUUCUUUUCAUUCAACUUGUCUACAAUAAUUACCACUCUUGGUAUUUAUACAUUUCUAACACACCUCACUAACUAACUAAGACCACUACCAAUCAUACAAAAAUAAUUGUCCUUUGAUGAACUCUUUCACGAACAAAGUGGCAAUCAAUCUCUACAUGUUUGGCUUUAGAGUGCAAUACAGGUUUAGUGGCAAGAGCCAUUGCUUAAAUGUUAUCACAAUGCAAAACUGGAACAGAAGGAGAACCAACAUGCAAAUCUCGAAGAAGAUGUUGUAUCCAGAUAACCUUAGCAGUGGUUGUAGCCAUUGCUCUAUAUUCAGCUUCAGUGGAAGACCCACUCACUGUAUGCUGCUUUUUAGAACUCAAAGAGAUAGGAGUGACAAAACCCAUGGUUGAACGACGAUCAUUGUGAUCCCCUGCCCAAUCAGCAUAUGUAUGAGCUUUCAACUAAGAUGAACCUGAUUUAAAACACAAUCCCAGAGACAUAGUGCCUCUGAGAUAUCGCAGAAUACGUUUCACAGCAGCAAAUGAGUGGCUAAUGGUGAAUGCAUAAACUGACAUACUUGAUUGACGGAAAAAGAAAUAUCUGGUCUUGUAAAUGUUACGUAUUGUAGUGCCCCAACAAUACUUUUGUAAGUGGUAGGAUCAGAAACAGGUUCACUACCAUGAUUCAGAAGCUUUUGAUUAGGAUGACAAGGUGUGGAAAAAGGUUUACAGUCCAGCAUAUGCAUCUUUUGAAUGAGUUCUUUGACACACUUGGUCUGAUGAACAAAGAGUCCCUGUUCUUGAUAUUCAAUCUGUAAACCAAGAAAAUAAUGCAACACACCCAGAUCUUUCAUGUCAAACUCACUAGUUAACUGACUAAUAACAUUCUGAACCUUCACAGCAUCAUUACUAGUGGGAAUGAUAUUAUCAACAUGUAAUAAGAGAACAAUAAUUGAUGAACCAUCACACUUGACAAAUAAAGAAGGAUCUGCAUAUGAUGACUUGAACCCAAGCUUAGGCAAAUAACCUGAAAACCUGUCAUGUUAGGCUCUGGGAGCUUGCUUGAGUCCAUAUAAAGACCUCUCUAGUUUGCACACAUAAUCCGGAUAGGUAGAAUCCACAAACCCUUGGGGCUGAGACAUAAAAACUUCUUCCUCAAGAAAGCCAUGCAAAAAAGCGUUCUUGACAUCUAACUGUUUGAGUUUCCAAUUAUGAGAUGCAGCCAAGGAUAGAACCAAUCGAACUAUGUUUGGUUUGACCACAGGGCUAAAGGUUUCAUAAUAGUUAAUACCAACUUCUUAAGAAUACCCCUUAGCUACAAGUCUAGCCUUGUACCUAGCCACUAAACCAUCUGGAUUUCUCUUAAUCUUGUAGAUCCAUUUACAACUAACAAGAUUUUUGUCAGGUGGUAAGGGCACAAGCCUCCAAGUAUGAUGUUGAAUCAAAGCAUCCAUCUAUUCUUUCAUGGCAUUUUGCCAUUAAACACACUUGACAAUACUAGAAAAAGACUGAGGUUCCUUGAUUUCAGAAGCCUGAUCCACCUUAGCAGAAAACACCUUCUUUUUCAUAAUCCUAGACUUAGACCGGGUUUGCAUGGGAUGACAAUUUUGAGCAUUGAUACACACUGGUUGGAGAUCAUCCACUUGAGACAUUGUAGUAUUUGGAUGAUCUUUUGAAUACACAGUAGGCAAAACCUCUGAAGAAGGCACAAAACUUGUGGAAGAAGAGACAAGAUCACCAGAACUAGUGGGUUGAGAGGAUGAUGACUGAGUAACAUGUUGUGAUUUAGAGGUAAGAGAAGUGGGACCAAUAAAUGGAAAUGUGGAAGAAACACUAGGUGGAUGAAUGAAUGUGUUUGAAUGCACAACAGACAUUGGUGAGGAAGAAUGACCAGAAGUAACUUGAGGAUUGAAACCCAAAGCAUUAGAGUCUGUAGGAAACUUGGAUUCAUCAAAAAUAACAUGUCUAGAUACUAACAGUUUCUGAUCUUUGAGAGAUAAGCAAAUAUACCCUUUGUAUUGUGUAGCAUACCCCAGAAAAAUACACUUAGUAGUUUUAGGUUCAAGUUUAUUGCUUCUAUAGGGUUUCAAUGAAUGAUAGCAUAAACAACAAAAAAUUCUCAAAUGAUCAAGCUUAGGUGGAGAUUUAUAUAGCAUUUCAAAAGGAGACUACAUAUGUAGGGUAGGUGUGGGCAUUCUGUUUAUAAGAAAAGUAGCAGUGGCACACGAAUGGAACUAGAAUUUUGAAGGUUGAAACUUGUUGUAAAAAGGUAAUAGCUGUUUCGACAAUAUGUUGAUUUUUUCUCUCAGCCAACCCAUUAUGUUAUGGGGUAUAAGGACAAGAUUUUUGAUGAACAAUGCCUUUGGUAAGAAGAAAUUGCUUAAACUGAGUAUUAACAUAUUCCCCACCCCCAUCACUUUGCAAAAUUUUUACAUAAGCAUCAAAAUAAUUCGAGACAAAAGCAAGAAAGUUGACAAAACAGUGAGGGACCCCAAACAUCUAUGUGAAUUACUUCAAAUGGAGUAAGUGACUUCGAAGCAAUUACAGGAAAAAUGGAGCUUGGUAAAAUUUGCCUUGCAAACAAGCUUUACAAGUAUGAGAUUGAGAGUUACAAGGAAAAGAUAUACAAGACUUAUUAAGUGCUGCAGUGACAAUGGAAUGUGCAGGAUGGCCUAAUCGACAAUGCCACAAUGUAGAAUACAUCUUUUGACCCACAAAUGCAAUUGGAUUAAAAACAGGAGAAAUAGACCUAUGUGGUUUGAUUAUGGGAAGUGGAUAGACAACAUUAUUACUCAGCCCUUGGAAUAGCACUUUCCCGGUGACCUUGUCUUGUAGAUAGAGAGAAACAUCAUCAAUGAUACAAUGACACUGAUUAUCUUUGCACAACUGAUUCAUAGAUAAUAAGUGUUGUGACAGUUUUGGAACAUGUAACACAAAGUUUAACUUGAAAUUAUGUGACUUAGUGAGAAGAGAAGAGGAACCAAUAUGUUUGAUAGCUAAACCUUCACCACUAGCACUGGUCACAGUAUCAUUUGAUGGAUAAAUUUGUUGCCAUGUGCAAGUUUGACAAAUCUGAGGUCAUAUGGUUAGUUGCUCCCAAGUCAAGAAACCAUAAAUCUUGUUGAAGAGUUGAGGAUGAUGCACCAGCUCGUGCUUGUAUAGCAAGAGGAGGAUUUUGUGAGGAUAUAGUUGAGAGAUACAUAUGUGGUAUGACAUGAUACUGAAACUGGGAGCUAUUAGACCGUGGAAUCAUGCCUUGUGAAGGACCACAUGGAUUCUAGCUAGGUGCUUCGCCAUAUGACCCAGCAGGCAUUGGAGUUGGCAUAGAUGAGGAUAAACCCUGAGAGAAAUGCUUUGAUGUGCCUGUGAAAUUCUUAUUUCGAUCAAAGCAAGUAGCAGCAACAUGGCAAUUUCUGUGACAAAUUUGACAUCCAUGUUGAAAACAAUUCAAUGCAAAAUAAACUUUGCGAUCACAUAUUUGCAGAAAGGCCUUUGCAACCCUAGAAAGAAGAAGGAGCAAAGAAGACCAAAUGUGUACGUUUCUCUUUGGUUUUUUUUCCCUCUUAAUCACGCUGUUCGAAAUCACGGACCUCGGGCCUGGGCCUAGUGGGCCCAAUUAUGAGGCCCAUUAUCUCCGGUCUUCUCGUUCUACUUCUAGUUACCCAAAUUAAGAACGUACUGGUUCGCUUUUAGCGCGAGAGAGAAAUGGAGGCCCUGAUUGCCUCGUACGGAGACUCGUCGUCGGGCUCAGACUCCGAGUCGCCGGCUCCACCUCCAUCACCACCUCCGGAGCUCAACAACCCUCAAGAACCGACCCCUGCGCUGCCUCCACCUCCUCUGUCACUUCUCGACAACCCCAAUUCCUUCGGUAACCUCUGAUUCCCAUCAAUUUUCAUCUUUUAGCUUUCUGUUGUGAUGGCUUUUUCCGAGUUGCCCACCAAGUAUUUGAUGUUUUGCCUCUGAAGGAUUUCUGGACUUCUCGGCAAGCGCCCAGCCGAGCAGAGUUCGGAACUUUCCUCACGUCGAAGGGAACUACGCAGUACAUGUAUACAUCCCAGGUUAUCAAAAUUCUCGAAAUUUUCAGCUCCAUUAGCAAAUGCGAUCGCUUUGCACUUAGUUUUUGCUUGUUUAAUUCUGUGGUCAGUUUAUAUACCACCAGCACCAAGGAAAGAGAUGGCCUUGUUUUUGAACAAGCUAGCUUCUCUGGUGCCUGGUCUCCAUGCGGUUGACGUUGACUUCCUGCUUGACAUUCUGCGUAAGGACGAGCACAAGCUUGAACAAGUUGCUUUAGGCAGAGAGUUCCAUAUAAGUCUCGGAAGAACUGUUCCGAUUCGGGUGCACCAGAUUGAUUCCUUGGUGACAAUGCUGCGGCAGAAGCUUCAGAUUCAGAGGCGGUAUGGUUACAUUUACAUUCUCUUGUCUGCAUUGCGUGAAUUUAGUUCUGUUAUUUAACAUAAUUCUGUAAGCCUGCAAAUUUUUCGUCCAUUUUCAGUUUAACACAUUUUGUUAUUGUGAAACAAGUAUUGGAUUGAUUUUAGCAAGUGGUAGGUUUUUGUUAAUGAUGAUCAGACCCGGACCUUUGUGUCUAUCGAAAUCAUUGCUGCUGGGUUAGCUGAGGUAUGAUUGCUAGCUUUCUCUCUUGGUGCAAUUCUAAAUGUUUUCAGUUGUUAUAUGGGCUUAAGAUUUAGCAAGGACUUGCCGAAAGUCAUGGGAUUUUGAAAUAUCGAGAUCUUGCUUGCUUAUUAGCUUAGAUUUGGUCUUCGAUGCACUUGUAACAUGAAAAACACAAACGAAAACUAAUGCAUGAUAUGCUCAUGGUUUUAACAUGUGUUGUCCUGGCGUAAAUCAUGUUCCUAAUCAUGUCAUGUGAGUAUAAGCCUAUGAAACUUAGGGCAUGUUUGGCGGGCUGGACAAGAUUGGAAUUGGUAUUUCAGACUAGUUAGGUUAGGAUUGAACUGGAUAGGAUAGGUUUUUUGUCUAAAGAUUGGUGUAGACUGUCUUAACCAGACUAGGAACGAUGGGAUUUAAAACGUGAAACAGAUCGGCGACAUCCCAACGAUGACCCGCCCACCCAACAACUCUGCUCGUGACUUGCAACACCUCUCGUACCCUCCACGCCCCUUGCGGCCCGUCAGACCACUCUGAUAUCCUGGAGGAGUGAAACGUGGUUACUAGAAGCAUACCUGUUUUCGUAUUAAUGCACGGUUGAAUCAGCUUUCAUUGUCUACAAGUCUGAAAUAUUUUAACUUCCAUUGAUUUCAGAUAACAAAGCAGAUUCAAGCUGUGAAUGAGGUGUAUAAGCUUCACAAUCAUCCUAAAUUUUACAAGGUUAGCUUUUUCGUCCUUUUCAAACUCGAAUCGCUUCCUGAAUAUAUGACAAUAUAUUGGAUCAAAUGAUUUCUCAAAAAACUAAUUCACUUGAUGGGGUCUUGGUGAUCACAGGAUCCACGCCCUCACAUCUCGGUAGCUUGGGCAUUGGGUGACAUCAGCAAUUCCCUGAACAAAGUGGUUGAAGAAGAAAGACGAAGAUCUACCAUCGGAGGAUCGUUACAGAAAUGUAUUUUUACCAGUAAAUUCAAUGGUAUCGAAUGUAGGAUUGGUAAUAAGACACACAAAAUAUGUAAAUUUUCUGAAGAAUAAUGUAGCCAUUUAACUGUAUUGUGAAAUUCCGAGAAUAUAUCACUGAGCAUUGGAUGAGAAGACAUUUCUUCGUUGGUGUCGAACUUCUUGUCGAAGGUAUUGGCACCAGUGUAAACGUCAUCAUCCAUGUUGAUGGUAAUUACUUCCCAGCUACUAAGGGUGUCGGAACAGCCUUGCACGCAGCCUCCUGUGCAUUACUUGGUAUUGUCUCAGAUUCUCCAAACUUGAAUGCUAAUGUAAACCCACUCUUGACCUUUCCGUCAUCUGCGAUUACCGGAAUGCCGGCUUGGAUGUUGCCGUUGACCUACCGAACUUAAAAUACCGACGAAAUGUUGGAGUACUUAAGUGUACUACUCGUUUUUGUAUGCGAGAGCUCCACCUCUAUCGUUGUAACAGCAUCUGAUGCGGACUAGUCCUUCAUUCCCGUUACUCUUUGCCAUCUCCACUUCGAACUUGGCGUGAUGGCUCCCGGCCUCCUCUCCGGUGAAAUUGAGUAACCCCGGAGCUGGCGUGCCAUCAAGAUUUCCGUCGUGUCUCUAUUUGCUGUUGUGGUUUGGUUUCACCACUAUAAACUUGGCAGAGUUGGCAUUUUCAUUCUGUUGUCUGUAUAUCUUGAUAUUACAAGUAUUUGUUGUGCAAAAUGCAUGCUAAGUUCAACUUAUGUUUAUAUGUGUGUGUGUGUGUGUUGCCACUUUUCCAACGUUUUCUCCAAAAUUGUGACGAGCAACAAAGCAGUUUUGAUUCCGUGCACAACAACGAUACCUCGAAAGAAAUUGAUUCUUCCCCAGAAAGAUGUUUUAAAACAAAGUUGAACAAGGGAAGAAAACUUUUGAAUCGCAAUCAGAUGUCUGGUCAAAUUCUUUAACAGUUGAUGUAUACAGAAGUUCCUUGCUUAUGACACGACUUAUGAGAGGAUGUAUGUAUUGCAUUUGCAUCAAAAGAAAGAAAGAAGGUUGUAAGUGGUAAGGGAACGACUACCGAUGCCGCUCCACUUCUAAUCAAAGGGAUCGAUCCGAGGGUCGUGUUCACUUGCCAUCGCCAUUCCAGUGCAAAGGCAUGUCGGGCACAUUACCUGCCACAUUUACAGACGCAAUGUUAGAUAUAGCUGCCAUUUGGAAGUCAUCUCUCAAAAUUUUGCUACUAAAUCAAUCUUAAACUUCAUUUCCAGUGCAAUUUUUUUCUUCUGAAUUGUCUUUCACAUGCCCGACAAAUAGAAGUAUCACCAAACAUGUGAAUAUAGAGCAUCUAAGCGGCAGGCACUAAAAGGAAUUUAGUAUGCAAUAAACAUUCAACGGACAUAAUUAUAUGUCUAACCUUUCCCGCUCCUGAGCAAUUUGAACAUCGUUCAGUUUUUGGCAGAGAUAGGGGUUGGUUUCCGCCAUCAGCUGUCGAUACUGGUUCAGUAAGAACAAGGGUUCCAGUGCUGGAGCAACGAGCACAAGCAAGAGAUCCUGCGUAAGUAUCAAAUACACAGGUAAGUUGACAUACGAAACCAAUCCGAACAUCUCCAUCGUAUAUAUUUAAAGCUACAGUACAUAAACUAAAAGUCAGAAAUAUAGGACAUUAUCACACCAGUUCCAAGACAAUAUUUGCAUCGUUUAUGCUCCUGCUGUUUCACAUUGUUUAUUUCAACUACCAUCAAUGCUGAGAUCACUCCGACUGCUCCUCCAGAGAAUGACGCCACUAUGGGAUCAACUUGACUGCAGUUUGAAAGUAAAGGAGAUCAAUAAACGAAACUGGUAACAACAUAGUAUCAACAUUAUUUAGCUUCGUUUCAAGAAAGAUGACAUCCUAGGUUUUUCUAAUGUGUAAAAAUUGAGGAUCCUCGUAAAAUUUGACCAUAUCGGUUCCCAAAGCAUUUGAUUCCUACGUUACAGACGGAAAACAGCAACAAUCGAAUUUAAAGAUUCAUAACACGAUAGAUGGUACAAAAUUUCAAAACGAUAAUUACUAGAGAACAGGAGGGUUAAUAGCCUGAGAUAUGAGCAAUACCUCAACUGCAACGGCAGAUGCAUAUUUACUAUAAAGUCUUUAUAUGAUGUGCCUCCUAUUCCCAGCUUCAACUCCAACUGAAAGAUGUAAAGGUAAUUGUAGGCAAAGAGUUACAAACAUAACCGAAUCCAUGUUUUAUAAGCAACAACUACACUUAUUUUGAUAUGUUUCCUCAUUUUUUACUUGCAAAUUCCGAACCAUAUUGUCGGACCAGUAAAAGAAAAUAAUGUUUAUGAUAACUGUUAAAACUAAUUACAACAAGUUAAUGCAUAAAGAACUUACGGAGGGUGCUAUGAGGCCACCGAAAAGGAUAAACCCCACAAUAAUUGAAUAACAAACAGCAUAAUACUGCUUAAGGUUGUCUGAACUCUGCAAGCAAUGAAUUCACCUUGUGAUUAAUACUUUGCACAAACACUAGUUUUCGCAAUUUUUUAUGAAUCGACAAAAGGCUACAACAAAAUAUGGCUAAAACAUGUCGGGGAUAUGAAAAUACAUGUCUUCACAGGGGCACCAGCUUACCAGGGGAGGCAAAAAUGGAAUGAACGAUGGAAAACUAGGAAGUUCGUUUUCUUGAUCUUCAUUUACCGCUCCAAGCUCUGCACGUUUAAUCCGCUGUUGUAUCCUCAGCCUGCGAACCUACGCAUAUCGAAGCUCAUUCUUAAAGAACACAUUUCUAAUGGCAAUUGGAGAGUAAUUUAAAACAUGCUAAACUGAGAAAGUGGUAGCAACUAGUAAUUGCUCUCACCUCCUCCAUAUGCAAGAAAAUUUUGUUGCGACGACUCCGAAUAUUAUCUUGAAUUUCCUGCAGCUCCAUUGUGGCAAAAUCCUGCACUGUUUCAGGCCCCUCUAUGAUACAAAAUCUGCACCAUUAAGCAUGUAAAAAUUAAAAAUUACAGGCUACAAAGCAAUUUCCGUAUAGUUGUUGGGUUAAAUAACAUCAACAGCAAAUAAAUCACAUAGGUUUUUCACAUAAAGUUACAAACUUUCAAGGACUAAUAAGCUGUCUGCAAUCUCAUAAAUUUCACAGUGCAAAGUAACAAUCCAAAGCUUGGAACUUUAAAUUUCCACCUUCUGUUAAUUUUUUAGUGCACCUGGUGUCGUUAGAUUCGAGUAGUAUGUCACAUUAAAUUUUUUUUUUCUGUGCAUGCAUUUUUUUUUAAAAGAAAAUUUUAUAUUGUUAAAGAGCGAGUUCGAAACUAUUACAUUAUGGAAGGACAUAGUACCGAAACUCCGACGAUCAAAAACAAAAUCAUGUACAACCACUCCAAGCAGUCAACAUGGCCAUCACAUAUUGAAUCCAAAAUGUUGACGCCCCAUUCGCUGCAUAUAAUGUACAGACGAGCGGCAGCUUCAACCAGUUCUGCCAUAUCCGGCUGGAUGAGAGCAGCUAAAGACAUGAUUGUUCCCUAAUAACAUGAAUAAAUUGAGUAAACACCAAAAGUAGCAGCAAGGGAAGGAGAUGUGAAGUAUAUGAAGAGGUGUAAGACCUGUGAAUGUCCAGCAACAAAGAUUUUGGAGCUUGUUGUCGAAUAAUGCAACGCAUCAUUUCUGGUAGAUCAAAUAGAGCCAAUUCCCGCCAACUCCAAUUCCAAAAUUUCUACAGUAAAGCAUAAAUCUUAUUCUCUCUUCUGAUAAAGAUGAGUGUCCCAGACUCCAACGUGUUCCACACACAUUCCCUACCCAUACAUCGAAACCUUCAUCUGCAAGGACGAAUCCCAGCGAUUCUUCUGGAGAAUUUAAGAAUCAUGCAUCACCUGGUUAAGAUCAAGAAAAGCCAGUAACCAAGUUCAAUUGAGUUAAAAUGUAUCCCAUGGAUGUUCAUCACUUUGCCCAAUUGUUCUUUUCAAGAAAGGAAAUUUCAACAGAACCUGAAAACUUCAGAUCAGGGGGCACCAAAUAGUGAGCUAUACAUUCAAAAUUUGAAAUAAUCAACUUAGUAGGACCAGUAUGUUGAAAAAAUGGGAAGGAGCUAUGAAAGUAAGACUUUUCACUAAUCAGGCGUCCAGAGAAUCCAUAUUUUACCCGCGUAUCAGUUACGGGGAACACUCCCCACCAGAGCAAUCUCAUUAGUCCUUCACAUCUCAACCGUACAGAAGUUGCACUAACAAACAUGACUCCUAUUAGUCCUUCACAUCUCAAAUCCAGGAAGUACCCAUCUUUCGUCUGAAUCUGGAAAAUAAGCAGCAGUCAAUUUAACAAUCUCGGUAUCUCAAAGUUACUCACUUUAAUCACAAAUUUAGCAAUUAAACAUAUAAAUGGGCAUUUUUUUAGGGAAAUAUUAGUAUAGUACUCACUGUGUGCUCGGAGCAAGAGUACCCAGAAAGCUCAAUGAGCUGCGCACAGAGGACUGCAGUGGUGAACGACAGCGACCAAUUCUGUAAAAUUUAGUCGAGUUUUGGGAAAUUUCUGCAGCGAUUUCGGAGGUCAAGAGGCUGAUAAGGAAAGCCGCGACCAAAGGGCACUGGUCUGGAAGAAAGGCUUUGGUCGCCGCUAUCGCAAUUCGCGAAGGAAGAAGUGCCCCAAAACAAUUUCGGCCCUGGACAGGUGCACUGUUUGCACUGAGCCAGGGCCGGCCCUGAAUCGCGAUAACGUCCUUCUCCAAACAGUAUAUAUACAGAUGCUAGAAAAAUCUACCGGAACUAUUCAAUUCUAGCGUCUACAGCUUUAGCAUUAGUUGGUACAAGGGGCAUUCUUCCAAAGAGGGAGAUGAAAUCGUUGAGGCACCAAAUAGUGAGCUAUACAUUCAAAAUUUGAAAUAAUCAACAUGGUAGGACCAAUAUGUUGAAAAAAUUGGAAGGAGCUAUGAAAGUAUGGCUUUUCACUAAUCAGGCGUCCACAUAAUCAAUAUUUUACUCACAGAUCAUUUACGGGGAACACUCCCCACCAAAACAAUCUUUUUAGUCCCUCACAUCUCAAACCAAGUAGAAAUUGCAGUAACAAACACAUCUCAAACCCAGUAAGUACCCAUCUUUCGUCUGAAUCUGGAAAACAAGCAGCAGUGGAUUCAACAAUCUGGGUAUCUCAAAGUCACUCACUUUAAUCACAAAAUUAACAAUUAAACAUAUAAAUGGGCAUUUAUUUAGUGAAAUAUUAGUAUAGUACUCACUGUGUGCUCGGAGCAAGAGUACCCAGAAAGCUCAAUGAGCUGCGCACAGAGGGACUGCAGCGGUGACGACGGCAACCGAUUCUGUAAAAUUCAGUCGAGUUUUGGGCGAUUUCUGCAGCGAUUUCGGAGGUCAAGAGGCUGAUAAGGAAAGCUGGGACGGAAGGGCACUGGUCUGGAAGAAAGGCUCAGGACACCGCUGUCCCGAUUCAUGAAGGAAGAAGUGCCCCCAAAACAAUUUCGGCUCUGGACAGGUGUACUGUUUGCACUGGACCAGGGUCGGCCCUGGCGAUAACGUCCCCCAAACAGCACAUAUACAGAUGCUAGAAAUAUAUAAAUGUAACCUGAAACUACUAGAACCAUUCAAUUCUAGCGUCUACAGCUUUAGCAUUAGUUGGUACAAGGGACAUUCUUCCAAAGAGGGAGAUGAACUCAUUGAGGCUCUUAUUUAUUCCUCCUCUUGAUGUGCCCUUUUAGGCUGCUAAUUCCACACGAUCCAAUUUCAUACAUCUUCCCUGCAAAAGCAUGUGUGCCUGACUUCAAGAUCAAAUUUUUCCAACAAAAGAAACUUAAAGAUCAAACUCGCUAGCGGAAUAAGUGGUGCACAAGGGUGUUAAAAUCUUGACAUAUGUAUAUUUUUGGCAGAUUUUAUGUGAGCAUGCAACUAAAACUGGCAUCACUAUCAAUGGUGCACAAAGAUUGGUGGAAAACUUUAACAGUUUGAGUUGUAACUUCUCCAUUGUAUUUGUUAAGGCAAGACGGAUGUCAUCUAUUCAUUUUUCUGUAAAACUUAAAAGGCUGCAUAGCAGCUCUUGUUCGUUGUAUUGAAUACCAUGGUUUUACUGAUGAAUGCAGAGUUUGCUGAUGAUUCAUACGACAAGCAAUUGAAAAUCCCAUCAUUAUGCCCCGCAUAUACCAGAAGAAAAAAAAGUCAUUUACACAAAUUCAGAGCGUUCAUCCACUGUAAUUUGCAGAUAUGGAAACGUUAAGAUAAAAGGAAAUGCAAAGUACCUUUCACCCAAAUUGGAGGAGCAACGGUGGCAUUAGCAAGCUAGCAACGGGAAUUGACAUACCAAUAUCUUCACAGUUUCUGCACAAGAACAAAUCAAAAGAAUCCGGCGGUGGAGUUAUGUACCUCUCCUUGGAAAAUGCCACCUCCUGGGAUUUCAAAAUAUACGGCCGUGGCUAGCCGUCUGACCACGCCAAUUCCACCAAAGCCGCCGCAACGUGGCGUAGUGUCCGGUUGAUUGCUUCAAAACAGAGCUUCGUAUCCAUGUGUUUAUCAGCAGAGAGUACCCAAAACCCCUGAAAAUUAUUUCUUUAUUCAGAUAAUAAAAUUUCCCAAAUUUCGAAUUUUAAUUCCGAACAAAAAAAAUAGGGUUUGAAUUUUGAUUACCUAGAAAUUGGGGGGUUGGGGUGGAGAGGGACUCGGGCCAAGACACAGAUAUGCAUCCGUGAUAAGGUGUGCAAGGCUUUUGCAGUUUCUCAGAUCUAAACACUGAAGCCCCGUAAGCCGUUCAAUCCAGGGGGAAAGCUCUUUAAUAGAUGUUCCAUCCAAGAAAAGAAAUCUUAAUCCUUCCAUAUUUUCUUCAAUGCUUGGAAACACCUCAAAUUUUGUACAACCGGAAAGAGAGAGAAAGGCAAGGGACUUCAGCUGACAAAUGCUACUUGGAAGACUCUUAAGUUCUUUACAAUUUUCUAGCUUCAAAUGAUUCAAUCCCAUGAGAUUAUUAAUUGAUAAGGGCAGUUCUUUAAUUUUCGACCCAGAUAAAUCAAGAACUUUUAACCCCUCAAUCACUUCUGAAAUCUCUGGAAACAUCUCAAGACUCCAGCAACCAUAAAGAUCAAAGGUUUUGAGAGAUUUCAUAUGAAUGCUGCUUGGAAGACUCUUAAGUUCCUUGCAAUCUUGUAGAUUCAAAUGACACAACCUCGUAAGAUUAUUAAUUGACGGGGACAGUUCUUUAAUUUUUGAGCAGGGUAAAUCAAGCUUUUCUAACCCCUCAAUACCUUCUGAAAUCGAUGGAAACAUCUCAAGACUGGAGCAGCCAUAAAGAUUAAAGGUUUUCAGACAUUUCAUAUGAAUGCAGCUUGGAAGACUCUUAAGUUUCUUGCAAUCUUUUAGGUUGAAAUGACUCAACCCCGUGAGAUUAUUAAUUGACAGGGGCAGUUCUUUAAUUUUGGACCCGGAUAAAUUAAGCUCUUCUAACUCCUCCAUACCUUCUGAAAUCUCUGGAAACAUCUCAAGACUGGAGCAGCCAGAAAGAUUAAAGGUUUUGAGAGAUCUCAUACGAAUUUUGCUGGGUAGAAUCUUAAGUUCCUUGCAAUUUGAUAGGUUCAAAUGACACAACCCCAUGAGAUUAUUAAUUGACUCGGGCAGUUCUUUAAUUUUGGACUCGGAUAAAUUAAGCUCUUCUAACUCCUCCAUACCUUCUGAAAUCUCUGGAAACAUCAGAAGACUGGAGCAGCCAAAAAGAUUAAAGGUUUUGAGAGAUCUCAUACGAAUUUUGCUAGGUAGAAUCUUAAGUUCCUUGCAAUUUGAUAGGUUGAAAUGACUCAACCCCAUGAGAUUGUUAAUUGACUCGGACAGUUCUUUAAUUUUGGACCCGGAUAAAUCAAGCUCUUCUAACCCCUCAAUCACUUCUAAAAUCUCUGGAAACAUCUCAAGGCUCACGCAGUUAAUAAGAUCAAGAGUUUUGAGAGAUUGCAUACGAAUUUUACUAGGUAGAAUCUUAAGUUUUUCGCACCCAUUCAGAUCCAAUAAAACAAGUUUUGUAAGAUUCGAAAUAGAUGGGUGAACCUUAACUAACCCUAUACAACCAUGAAGAAUUAGCCUCUCAAGAUUUGGCACAUUUGUGAAGUCAGGGGUUUCCUUAAGGUAUUCACAAUAACUUAAAUUGAUGAAUUUCAACUUUUCCUGCGUCUGUUAAAACAUUCAGGAAAACAUGCAUUACUUAAUAAGACAUCUCACUCAAAGCCCAAACAUUUAAAAGAAACAAAUACAUGUAAAUGAUUGUACAUACCUGGGUUCCUUCCCAAAGUCGGUCAAUGUGGCUAUAUUGCAUGUCAAGUCCAACAAGAUUUUCGAAUUGAAAGUUGGAUGGCAAAGACUUGAGCGGGAAACAAGACCAGGAAAGAAACCUCAACUCACUAGAAACAAACUUUAAGGACCCAGUCAGGUGUUGUAUGCUGAAAGUACCGAUCUUGAGAAGUCUUAGUUUAGUCAUCCUAUCAAAAGCUUUAACAAUUAAGCAUCCCUCAUAUGAGUGCCCCAAAUCUAGGAUUAUGCUUUCAACUGUUUCUGUACCCUGUGCAAAUCAAAGGGAAGGAAAAAGCAGAGAACCUUAGUUUAGAUUAUGAAGUUAAUGCUUGUUUCUUAAGGAGUUGUUUGAUAAUAAUUUUGUUUUCACUUUUCACUUUUGUUUUGAUUAUUUAUUUAGAAAUCUGAAAAUUGAAAACAUAUAACUUGUUUGUAAUUGUUUUCAAUUUUCAAUUAUUAAAAAAAUGAAAAUUUAAAAAUAUAAAUGGAAACAAAAGUGGUUAUCAAACGAGCUUAAGAAAUUGAUUUUGGUCAAAAGUUGAAGCUUUCUACUAAACAUUGCAUAAGAAAAGAAAUUAUCACCGUAUUUUUAGUUAUCACAUGAAAAACAUCUUCAUAACUCCACAACCUACUUCGUCUCCCAGGCUCUUUGAUAGAUUCUUGGUAGACGAUUUUCUGACCCAUUUCCUCUAGUAAAUCAUGCAUCUCCAGUUCCCCCCUCCAUGAGACAGUUACUAGAGCUCGAUCGAUUAGAACUUUUAUUCCAAUAUCAGGAUAGGAACCACAGCUGUGCAGAACUGUGGUUGCAUAGUCUUUUCUCAUUCCUUUAAAGAAACAUGCAAUAUCUAGAAAGAUAUCCUUCUCCGUGUCAUCUAGUCCAUCGAAGCUUGUUUUAAGCACAUCAUGAAUUCCCUUUUGCGGGAUUUUCUUUAUUUUUUCUAACUCAUUUUCCCACUGGCGUACAUUUUUGUUAUAAAGAAAAGCUCCCAAGACUUUGAGUGCUAAAGGCAGACCUUGAGCAUAAUUUACAGCACGACUCGAGAUCAUCAUAAUCUCUGUUGGGUUGGUUUUUUCUAAAGGCGUACCGCCUAAAGAGUUCCAGAGCUCCAUAAUCACUUAAAAUCUUGGGAUUAUAUAUCCCAUCAGCUAUGCUUAGUAAUUGCGAAUCUCUGGUUGUUAUAAUAAUUCUGCUUCCACCACCAAAGGAAUGUGGCUCUCCAAGUAAAGCUUCAAUUUGUUCUAAUUCUUCCACAUCAUCAACAACAAUAAGAACUUUUCUCCGACCUAGACUAUUUAACAUCACCUGGAAACCUUUAUUCGAAACGUCGGAACUCCCCACCCUGUUGUUCGAGAUACUCGAUAGAAGUUCUGCCUGCAUAUGUAGUUUGCCAUGCUUCAUGAAACCUUCCUUGAAAUUUUCAAGAAAGCAACAAGCUUUAAAUCCACCAGAGAUUUCAUUAUAAAUAGCUCUAGCGAUGGUUGUUUUGCCUAAACCACCCAUACCCCAUAUUCCAACAAUGCGAACAUCAUUAGUUUCAACUCCAGGAGGAUGCAGUAAUGAAUGCAUGUUAUGCAUAUGAGAGUCCAUUUCAACCAAGCCAUUAUAUUUGCUUGAGGAUGAUGAGAUGUAUCGCCGACCCCACUUAGUGGGAAAAGGCUUUGUUGUUGUUGUUGUUGAUGAUGAUGAUGAGAUGUGGAUCAAUUUCUUAAAAACAUCUUCUACAAUUUUCUCAAUAAGCUCUGCAUCAUCCCUGUCAAAUUUAAAACACAAUAUAAUUACAACACCAAAUGAUACUUAAUGGGUCGUUUUGAUAACAAUUUCGUUUGCAAUUUUUUUUAAAUCUAGAUUUUAAGUUUGCAGAUUUUGUUUUCAGUUUUUAGUUUCAAUGAAAGUAGUUAUUAAACAAGGUUUCCAAUUUUUCUUUCAUGGUAUACAGUACGUAGUCCCAAAUAUCAGUAGUUAGAUCUUGCAUUUAGAUCUAAUGGGUAUUUACAACCUUUUUUCCUGAGAAUUUUGUACCAUUGUAGCCAGAUCACAUGUUUUCAUCCGUUAGUUUUAUAAAAAUGGAAACUACAAACUUAAAAAAAAAAAAAAAUAUAUAAUAUAUAUAUAUAUAUAUAUAUAUCAAAUGGCCCCUAAAUGCUAUUAAAAAUCUCAAAAAUUAACAGGAAACUAAAACAAAUUAGAAUUUAUUCAUGGUUUCGCAAAUCCCAGCCGGAUAAACUGGUGGCCGUUGUAAGAGAGGACCUCCAGCCGGAUAAACAUUUUCGAGUUAUUUGAUAUUUGUAUAGUAAAAAUACUUUAAUAGCAAGUGCGCGUGAGUGAAGAAAUUGAACUUACUUAUAUUCUUUCGAAUCCCAACCGGAAAAAUUGCAGGCUCUGGGAAGAGCGGACCUCCAGCUCUGCACCUCCUUCACGUCAACGUUAGAACGACCUUCAUGUUUAGCAAAAGCUUCUGCAAAACUUCCCUCGAGUUUACGAAUAUUGGACGGAUCGACUUGGUAGAAAAUGGGGAAUACAAUCUGGUUCUUGGAAUGGUUGCAUUCCAAGAUUUCCACGAGUUCUUUCAAGCACCAUGUGGAUGAAGCAUAGUUUUGAGAGAAAACUACAAUCGAAAUCCUUGACUCUCGAAUCGCUGUCAGGAGCUCGGAAAGGCGGUCGCCUUUUCUGAGGUCUUCGGCAUCAAUGAAGGUGUUGAUUGGUUUCUGACGCAGAGCUUUGUAGAGAUGGCUGACGAAGCCCGUGCGAGUGUCUUCCCCUCUAAAACUGAUGAACACAUCGUAUUCCCAACCAAGGCAAGAAGAAGAAGAAGAAGCAGCCAUUAAUCGAUCUCACCUGGGCAGCGAUGAUCGAGCAGCUAAGACUAAGAGAAUUGUAAGUACAGAAACACUCAAUAGAUCUACAAAUUGGAUCACCAGAAAUUAGUCAAUGAGUCAAUGCAAAAGGGAAAAGGGCAAUUAUGCUUUUUGCGUUUUCACAUCUUCUUCAGGAAAUUUCGGUGUGAAAGGAAUCCGCAUACUUUUGAUUUUUCAACCCAAGAAAAUGCGAAGAAAGGGGACAAAGUAGUAAAUUUAAUCUACAGUUAGUUACCUACUCAAUAACCUCUUGAUUUAAUAUAUAUUUAAUUGGGAAAAGUAGUUUAGAGCAAGGAUGUUAUCUCCUUUUCUUCUCUCUCGAUCAGUCAAUCUUCCCGCGUGCGAUUUAAUCAUGAUUAAAGCUAAGCUUAAUCUUAGGUCGUAUUAUUUAGGUCUAAUUGGAUUCUUAAUUCUUGUGAUAUAGUAGUUGGAAGAUUAAAAAAAAAUUAUGAUUUAAACGUUUGUGAUGAAGUCUGUUACGAUUUAAAUUCAAAAUUGAAAAUUUCGUUAACUCCAUUAAUUGUUAGCACAUGAGACUCACAAAUGAAACUAAAAAUAUAAAGUUAGCCUCACAUGUAAUCUUCACGUGCUAACAAUUAAAAGAGAGUUCCGUUUUAGCUUAAUAUAUGUGACUCACGUGUUAAUAAUUAACAAAAUAUUAACAAAAAUUUUAAUUUUAAGCAUAAAUUCAAAUAAACUUCACCACAUAAGCUUAAAUUCUAAUUUAGAUAUCUUCUAAUUUAGAUAAUUUUUAACUGCAAGAUGUACGAUGAACGGAUAUAAUUCACAAAUCUCCAAAAUCCUUACAAAAAAUAUCCGAAAAAGAGCCAAAUUCAAUGGAAAUAAGCUAAUUUUGAAUCAAAUAACAUUACUUUAUUUUGUAAAUAAAUUAAUUUUGAAUUGAACAACAUUCAUUUAUUAUGUAAGUAAUUCAUUUUGUAUGUAUCAUCAUAUAUAUUAGGCACAUUUUAUCAUAGGUGAUUUUGUGAAAAAUUAAUAAAAAGUUACAAUAUUAACAAUAGAUCAAUAAUAUUUAUGUUAAUUAUAAAUAGGCUAACCAUGUAUUAUGAUACUUAAAUGCAUUUAAAAUAAAUAAAAAUUACAAAAUCUACUACUACAGCUAGCAUUCACUUCAACUAAAGCAAUACGUAGUUUUUAUAUUUGGAAUAAGUCAUACGAAUCAGAGACAUGAAGAGGUGUAAGAACUGUGAAUGUCCAACAACAAAGACUUCGGAGUUUGUUGUCGAAUAUCUGCAGCGCAUCAUUUCUGAUAGAUCAAAUCGAGCCAAUUCCCGCAAACUCCAAUCCCACCACCACCUUUCAAGCCGGACUCAGCCCUCCGGGCGGCAUUUGGCAGGACAGCACUGGAUCAAACAAGAUUGAGACUGGCAGUGGGAGCAAUGAACGAGCACACUCAGCAGGGAAGUCCAUCAUGGGUUCUAACCACACAUUGUUUCUCUACUUUGUGGCUUCCAACACGAUUGGAUUUUUUGUUUCACUUUACAUGAUCAAUGUCCUCACCAGCAAUUUCCCUCUGCAGUUGGAGCUUCAAAUUUGUAUUGUCGCGAUGUACAGCACGUACAACACUGCAGUUUUCAGCAUUGCACCGGAGAACGUGCGCUUCUUCGUCCUUCUGUUCUCUGUAGUUUUCCCAACUUUGGUUACACUUGCUGUCCAAAAUGAUCGUCUUUCGACAUACAUCACAAUGGCGAUCUUUAAUCAUAAUGACUUGUACUGCUCGAUCAAACGAGACGCAUGGAGGCGCGACGUAGGAGCCACGGUGCAGCCCAAACUUUGCAGAUAAGAAAUCUGGUAAUUCACAGCAUCACAAACAUGUUACUGGGUCUCCUGACCAUCGUAGAUGCCAAUGUGUGCACAAGGAAAGGAGUAAGGUAAUCAAAUGCUUGAGUCUUGUGUACCUGUUUCGGUGUUGGUUCGGAUGAACCCAUUGAGUUCUCGAUCCUUAACUUCUGGAAAUGCUCCUGAAAGCAUAAAUAUAUGUACGGAUUUAAACCAAUGGCAAAUGGACAUAAUUUACGGACAAUGAUUGAAGAAAAUACAGAUAUAAACGCCUCAGUAUUCCAUUGACGAAAGUUCUAGAUUUGAUGAAUCAAACGUCCCACGUUGAGACUGCGUUAAGGCAAAUGGUUCUCAAACACAAAGCAAUAGUUUGCUACCGAAAACAACCAAAGUCUGACAAAGGGAACCGUCUUACACCUAACCUGUUUUUCCCUCAUCAAAUGAGCGCGUUGAUCUGCAGGUAUUUUCUGCCAUCUCAAAACCUGUUACAAAGAAAUAUAACGUUGAUGUUGAGCUGGAUAGCAUAUUAUACCAAUUAUGUGUACAAACCUAUUGAAAUAAAGUAGCUGUAGUUGCAUAUUACGACAGAUAUUAACGAAAACAAAAGAAGGCUCGCCUAUUCAAGAUCCUAAAUCCCAUGAUUCUUUUGUUUUUAGUUUCAGAAAUUUUCAGAGCACAAACUGGAAAGUACCAAGAUACUUACAUAUUGGGCAUAAUGAAAUGCAUCUUCAUCUUUCAAGCAAGAUUUCAGUGAGCGCAAACCAUCCUGGGAGUUACAUAAGUCAAUCAGUAAUAUAAAAACGUAGAUGCAUCACAUCCAAACACAAGUAUUCAAACACCAACAACUUCUUCAUGCGGUGAGGCAUGUUAAAAAAUAGGGAAGAACAGUUAUUGAAUAGGAAGUUAAAGGACUAAAUUUAUGACCUUGUGUUUGUAGUUCUUGGCUCGUAUGCGUUCAUCUAUUACAAAACCAAUCUGUAACAGGUACAACAGAAAAUAUAAGCAGUAGUCAGAACAUUAAGCAUCGGCAUUCAAAUUGCCGCCAAUCCAAAGUUAAAAGUCUAAAGGCAAAACAGUAUGAUUCUUAUCUCUCAAACAAAAAUGAAACUAUACCCCGGUCUCAGACAUAAAUGAAAUAAGUUCUACUGCCUCAACUGAGUACUGUGAUUAUAUAUAAAUCCAAUUCACCUUGUCAAGUAAUCUCUUAGGAUCUUGAAAUGCUUGCUUCUUAGCCCAGUCAUUAAAUACAUGCGAGAUAAUCGAUCUCUCAUCCACACUGAAUCUAUUGCACAGUGACAGGAGAAUAAAGUCAAACAUGAACAUAACCAACCAAAAAUGCUAGUUAUAAUAGUACACCCAUAAUUGCAAGCAAAACCUUUUUAAGAAGCCAUUUCCAUGGUUUUCCUCCCCAAAUUCCAUCAAUUCUGCAGAGGCAACGUCAAAUUUACUAUGAUGGAGAUCAUUUUGCACCAUAACAACUUCAGAAGGUAGGAGAUUUGGUUUGAGAUCAUCUGUUGACGGAGUAGUUUCUUUUGAAGUGUCAUGAUGCUUUGAUUGCAAGCCUUCUGUACUUACGUCAGCCUACAAAACAAAAAUUGCAUUCAUCCACACUAGACUUAAUAAGAUUAGAAACACUUCAGAUUCUUCACUAUUUGUAAGUUUGACUAAACAGCAGAACAACUGAGGAUAAUGAACAGUAAUACACACCUGGACUUCUCGUAGAUGAUUUGGAAUUUCUUUCAGAAAUCGCGAAGGUUGAAGCAUCUGAAGGAGCCACCUUCUCAGUCAGAGCAACAACAACAAAUAAGGAGGACAGGAAUUCAAGCUAAAACGAACCUGCCAACUGGAAUCCAUCGUAACAUAAAGAAUGAAAAGCUUUUUUCGAGCACGAGUCAUUGCAACAUAUAAUAGGCGUCUUUCCUCCUAUGAUUAGAGUGGGAUUAUUGAGUUAUUGACCAAAAGAAAAAAGAGUGGAAUUAUUGUGACAAACACUUCAAAGCUCUGCAUAUAACUGAAAAAUGUUGAACAAUUUACCACACACCUCAAUGGAGGUCCCAUUUUCUUUUGCAACGCCAUUGAAUUCAUGCAACAACGGAAUCUCAGAUUCAUUUACCUGUGUUAUUGGCAUGAGCAUUAAAGCAAGCUAAGAUGAUUUGAAGAGGUUGAUAUUGUCAUGAAUAUAGUAGAAUAGAAUACCAAUUUCAAGCCAUCAAUUAGGUAUAGCAUUGGCAUGUUUAAUCCGUAAAUCUAAUGACAGAACACCUCAACUCUACACAUAAAUAAAUAAACAACCUGAAAAAUAUUACAGCCACUUGUUAAGGCAAAUACCUUAAUUAUGAAAACUAUAUCCCACUCUAAACCUUUUGACUGCAAGAGAAUGAAAAAGAAAGACAGUAAGCCAAGAAUGUUUUGUAGAACUCCAAAGGAAGUCCAAUAGGGAAAUCAUCGCAAGUAUAAGAGUUAGCGAGGUUCGCAUAAGAGGAUAUCAAAAAGAUCUAGAACCUGAUGAAUAGUAGUCAAAGUGACAGAACUUUGGUUGUCAUGUCUUCGGGAGUGAAAAUUUUCACUCUCCCGCUCAGAUAUGUAGUCGAUGAAAGCUUUGAGUAAAUUAACGCAGCCUUUUUCUUCUGCUACGACUUCUCUCUCCCCUUUUCCCGCAACAAAAUGAGUUGAUAAGAAAUCAGAUACGUCGUCUAGUAGGUACUGAAGAACCUGCAAUGAGAAUAAUCGCAUCAAAACAACAGGGUUGGACCAAGAUUUAAGUGACAACAAUGAUUAACUAACUAAAAUAGAGAAAUUAUUCAUUUAAGACCUUGUUGACUGAAAAAAGGGUUUUCCAAGCAGCGGGUCAUUUAAGCUUAUUGUAUAAAUGACAAUCAUCACAAACGGCAAACUUACAGAUCUCACGUCAUUGUCUUCAUUCAGCAGUUUUCCUCCAUCUACAUCAACGACUGCACGUUGCUCAAGAAGGUACUUCUAAAAACUGAAAGUCAAACGAUAAAUUAUUAAGAAGCAUUGAAUAUAAGCAUGAAACGAAGAAAAUGUUAUGGAAUGGUGAUCCUCAUCCUCAAAGAUGAUUAAAAGCAAUUUGAUUCAAAAAUGACAUAUCAACUCUGGAGAAAUGGAAGACAAACCUGUGGUACCAUAUUCGCAACUGAGGUUAUGACAGCUGAAAUCGAUUGUUCCUGUGUGCAUUGAUAAGUGAGACUACCAUAGAGAUUCACAACUAAAUAAAGACAGGUAUUCCACAGAACAACCUUUACCUCUUUGGAAACACAGAUCUAACAAAAACUAUAACAUUUUGGAUUAAUAUUGACGAAUCAAGAAUAAUGCAAGGGAGCAAGAGAUACUCUUCCUUCUAAUAACAAGGAGGCGUGAAAAGUUUACAGAGUUCCAACAAUUAGAGAACUAAAAUCAAACUAAAAAAAUCACCAAAGUAGACAGAAUCCCACUUCGCCAAAAAUUUGAAAAUAUAUCCUUUUUAUCCAUUGAGAUUCAUGAACUACUACUACUACAUCAUGCCAAUAAGCAAUGCGUAAGAGGUGCUACAAUUUACCGAAUAUAUUUACCCUGAGAACAAGUUUUGAAAUCAUCUCUAGUGUUAACAGCACCUUGCGUCCUUGGGUAAGCUGAGUCCUAUUAUCAAGUAAAGAGACCAAUCAGUACAUAUCCAAAAGAUCUUAAAUGCUUGUAAUACCAAAUAAGAAAGAAACAUGAGUAUAUCUUGAAUUAACAAUGCAAAAAUGUAAUGUUAAAGCAUCUUGUCAUACAGACCUCUUCAAGGUACCAGAAAUUUUGGCACUAAAGAUGUCACAAGCAGCUGAUAUGAAGCUGCAUUUUCUGUGAGUUGAAAUUUUGUCAAUAUAAUCAAUCACCUGAAGAGAGAGAGAGAGAAAGACAGUGAUAUCCAGAGAUGUGAGCCUAAAUGCUGAGUGUGUAAAAAAAGAAGAUUAAAUGGAUAGCAAGAAUAUACAACUUUAAUGCUGAAAAGAACAUUGAAUAUGAUGCUCAUUCAUCAUUGCCAUUGAACGUGUACCUUCUUCUUUUCCUCUUUCUCAAAAGCAAGUAGAGCCUUGAAGACUCGCCUAUAUGAUCCAUCAUCACAACCAGGCAAAGUUGUUUUAAUCAUAGCAACAAUGGCUCUAACUACCUGCCAUAAGAAACAUGCUACAUCAACAAGAUCACAGAGUGUACCAGAAACCGUAAUGUAGCAAAAUCUUAGAUAAAAUAGCUGGCCAAAAGGGAAUGGAAAAGCAAGCACAAAAAACAAUGAAAAGGACCAGUGAUGCCAAAAUUCUGGUGGAAAAGGUGAAAAGCUUACGUCUAUUACAGUUCUUGUAUGCAUUCUUUAUAACUUAAGUUCUACGCAGCAAAAACCACCUUAUGCACAACAAUAUUGGAAAAAUUAGAUACAUACAACUGAGAAGAUAGGUUUUCAUAGCUGGACAAGUGCUAACUACCUUCUUCCUAUAAACUGCCACUCCAUGAACAUUAAAUGGUAUUUUCCUUUCACGCAAGGCUGUCUGGAAGACUUUUCCUGAUACCUGUAGUAUAAAAUACAAAAGAAAAUGUGAGCAAAAUGUCUUAUAUGAUUCACCUCAUUCACAUUAGCACUAAGGCAAGUACGCUUGACCUGCCUCCGGUAAAGGAUUGCUAUAUUUCCAUAGGAGCACCCUGCUUCUGACCGUUUAGAUGCAGUCUCCAGGAUCUUGUCGACAACAAAGGCGCAUUGUGCAUCCUCAUUGUGACUUUCCUUGAUAAUUACCUACAUUUUGCCAGUAAAACCGGUGUCACUAACUAAAAGGACUGAAAAAUGACAUCAAAUUGUACUUGUUGGAGCAAGGAAAGAUUAAGUACCUUAGACCCAGAAGAAUUGUCCGUGUCAACAUUCUUUAGUUGGCAUCGCUUCUUAUUGUUUUUUAUAACAGAAGAUGCAGCUUCCACAAUAUAGCGUGUGGACCGAAAGUUUUUAUUAAGCCUAAUCUGAACCAUAAAGUUAUGUCAAAUCCCACAGAACCCCAUAAAAUAAAACUUACUUUCCUGUAAUUGUACAAUAUAUUUGUUCUAUACUAUAUAUAAUGAAAAAAGACACUGUGAAUGACAUAAGAUAACAUAGCAGUCAAGUGCGAAGCGAACCUCUUUGUUAUUUGAAAAAUCUUUACGAAAAGAAUCAAAUCCAGAAAUGUCCGCCCCAUUGAAACUGAAAAUGGACUGCAGCAGGAUAUAUGUUAUUUGAUUUAGAAAAGAUAAGGGCUGGAUUAAAAUGAGCUGAGAGAGAGAGAGAGGGAGAGAGGGAGCAAUAACAUUGGAUUUCCAUAAUAAAUCAACAACAUGCCUGAUCAUCAUCACCAACAAUGGUUAUGUGGUUAUGAGAGGCGAGAAUCCGCAAAAGACUAUAUUGCAUAGCACUUGUGUCUUGAAACUCGUCUAUUACAAUAGCUUUCCAUGACUCCUGGCACUCCUUCAACACUAAUUAAAAGAACACCAUGUAUCAACAUUUAGCAUUACUUGUAAAACUAGAUAAAUCAAUGAAAUAUACUUAGAUGAUAGAGACCUUCAGGAAAAUCACUUAGCAGCUUCACAGAGCAGCUAAUUAAGUCGUGGUAGUCCAAAGCGUUGCACGAUUUCAAGAUAUCAUUGUAAUUCCUAAGAAUUUCACCCUGAUUCAGAUUGAGAGCUAAAACUCAUAAGCAAUAGUUUCAAAGAACUGAAAUCAUAUCUGAAAUUCUAGUUCUGAGCGUACUCCUGUCACAUCACCCAUUCUUCGGCAUUCAGCGGGAGUCUUUCCAGAAGCUUUUGCCUGAAACAUAAAUAAAUUUAUUGCCUAAUGCCACAUAUUGUAAGACACACCAUUGUAUUGGUCAUUCUAGCUUGAUUGUAGCUAAUAUUUUUUAAAUCGAAUGAUUAGAGUUCUUAAUCCACAAUAAUCUGAACAUUAAAUUUGGUAUUCAAGACUGACCUGUGUCACAAACUUCAGCCAUUUCUUUGAUGCAUCCUUAAAAUGAUGUGGAGAUGUUACGCCGUUAGACUCUUCCCCAUCUAUAGCAACAUUAAGAUUCGUUUUACUCUUUUCAUCUUCUGAUAAACGCACAGCUUCAAUGAUUGCUCUUCUCUGUUGCCCAUGUCCAUAUAUCAAAAAUUCUGGUCUGCGCUCGAGUCUAAAACACAAGGCAACAUAACAGACUCAGCUAUACCACCAUAUGUAUGGUGUUCAAAAUCAAGGGAGGUGAAUCAAUAGCUUACUUCUCAGCAUGUGAUCGGCAAAGUUGCAAUGAAAAUGAAUGAAAUGUACUGAUUGUUAGUAGUUUGCCGUUGCUUUCCCAGUCACAGAUCCAAUUCGAUCUCUCAUCUCGGAAGCUGCUGCUGUAGUGAAAGUCAUUGCUAGAACGUUCGACGUGCUAAUGCCCUAAGAACACCCAAAAAAAAAAAACGAAUAAGAUUUCGAUCAUAAACAAGAAAUGUAGAGAAACAGACAAUUAUGAAAGAAAAAGUUAAGAGGGAAAGUAGCAACACCUCAUUGAGCAGCAUUAGAACGCGCCCAACUAUCGUUGAAGUCUUUCCACUUCCAGGGCCGGCAACAAUCAUCAAAGGUACUGAACUAUCGCUGCAAGCUGCCUCGAGCUGCCUUUCGUUGAGAGAAAGCAAAUACUUCAAAUACUCAUCCGGCAUGUUAGGCAAUCCAUGGUUAACAGAAUCUGUUUGGUUUUCACUACUCAAAGGCGGCGCUGAUGCGGCACUAACGACACUACCACAACUCCCAAUAUCAUCACGCUGAAUGUCCACACUCGUUUUCUGCUCGAUUAAAGCGUCAAUUUCCUGCAAAAUACUCUCAUCGAAAUCAUCAUCGUUAAGAAUUCCAGAUGCAGAGAAAGAAUCAAAUGAAGUCAGAAACUGCGGUUGUCUGAUUGGAGUUGUGAAAGAAUCCGAUUUUGACACGCUUGAUUCGGUCCGGCUAACGCUUAAGCUCCCGGAACACGAAGCACUGCCAUAUUCACCACGCGCUGAAUUGUACCGGCUUGCGGAAAUCGGAGGCGGUGUUCUUUGAACUCUAUUGAGCUGAGUUGGCGUUUGGAUUCCAUUUCCGCCACAGAUUCUGGAAUUUGAAAAACACAAUUGAAUUGAUUUAAAUUGAAGCAAGAAAACGGCCGAGUAGCAAAAAAAUAGUAAGAAGAUGAAACCUUUGAUUCCUGAACGACUUACUUGGUAUGAGGGAGGUGAUGAUCAGGUGAAACGGCGUCGUUGCGGGGGCGUUUGCGAUCAAUGAGGGCCUUGGCGGCUCUGCAAUUCCGAGAGAUGCGGUUUCUUUGUUCCGCCGUGAGCCCUCCGCCGUACGCCUGAACGUUUUCCUUGGACAUUGCUUCGAAGAUUCCAACGGAGGAUUUGGCCUGACGGCCUGACCAGGCUGAUAACAGUGUAAAACCUUAGGAGCUAAGGAAAAACUAAGAGAGAGAUCGUAGAGAGGGGAAAGUUUUUUGUUUUUUGGAAACUUAGAGAGGGAAAGUUUGUUAAACCUGCAUAAUAUUCUUUUCGUUCAACUUGUCUACAAUAAUUACCACUCUUGGUAUUUAUACAUUUGUAACACACCUCACUAACUAACUAAGACCACUACCAAUCAUACAUAAACACUUGUCAUAAUCCUAUGCACUCAUAGUAUCAUCACUCUAACAUCCCCCUCAAGCUCGUGUGGCAGAUUGCCAAGUAUGAAAUUGGAACAAUUACGAGUGAACUGGGGUGAACACAAGCCUUUGGUGAACAUGUCGGCAUAUUGAUCUGCAGAGGUAACAAACUGCAAAAUAAUUGUCCUUCGAUGAACUCUUUCACGAACAAAGUGGCAAUCAAUCUCUAUAUGUUUGGCUUUAGAGUGCAAUACAGGAUUAGUCGCAAGAGCCAUUGCUGAAAUGUUAUCACAAUUCAAAACUGGAACAGAAGGAUAACCAACAUGCAAAUCUCGAAUAAGUUGUUGUAUCCAGAUAACCUUAGCAGUGGUUGUAGCCAUUGCUCUAUAUUCAGCUUCAGUGGAAGACCUACUCACUGUAUGCUGCUUUUUAGAACUCCAAGAGAUAGGAGUAUCUCCCAAAAAAAUGACAAAACCCGUGGUUGAACGACGAUCAUUGGGAUCCCCUGCCCAAUCAGCAUCUGUAUAAGCUUUCAACUAAGAUGAACCUAAUUUAAAACACAAUCCCAAAGACAUAGUGCCUCUGAGAUAUCGCAGAAUACGUUUCACAGCAGCAAAUAAGUGGCUAAGGGUGAAUGCAUAAACUGACAUACUUGAUUGACAUAAAAAGAAAUAUCUAGUCUUGUAAAUGUUACGUAUUGCAGUGCCCCAACAAUACUUUUAUAAGUGGUAGGAUCAGAAACAGGUUCACUACCAUGAUUCAGAAGCUUCUAAUUAGGAUGACAAGGUGUGGGAAAAGGUUUAUAGUCCAGCAUAUGCAUAUUUUGAAGGAGUUCUUUGACAUACUUGGUCUGAUGAACAAAGAGUCCCUGAUCCUGAUACUCAAUCUGUAAACCAAGAAAAUAAUGCAACACACCUAGAUCUUUCAUGUCAAACUCACUAGUUAACUGACUAAUAACAUUAUGAACCUUCACAUCAUCAUUACUAGUGAGAAUGAUAUCAUCAACAUAUAAUAAGAGAACAAUAAUUGAUGAACAAUCACACUUGACAAAUAAUGAAGGAUCUGCAUAUGAGAUUGAGAGUUACAAGGAAAAGAUAUACAAGACUUAUUAAGUGUUGCAAUGACAAUGGAAUGUGCAGGAUCGCCUAAUCAACAAUGCCACAAUGUAGAAGAAAUCUUUUGACCCACAAAUGCAACUGGAUUAAAAACAGGAGAAAUAGACCUCUGUGGUUUGAUAUGGGAAGUGGAUAGACAACAUUAUUACUCAGCCCUUGGAAUAGCACUCUCCCGAUGACCUUGUCCUAUAGACAGAGAGAAACAUCAUCAAUGAUACAACGACACUAAUUAUCUUUGCACAACUAAUUCAUAGAUAAUAAGUGUUGUGAUAGUUUUGGAACAUGUAACAAAGAGUUUAACUUGAAAUUAUGUGACUUAGUGAGAAGAGAAGAGGAACCAAUAUGUUUGAUAGCUAAACCUUCACCACUAGCAGUGGUCACAGUAUCAUUUGAUGGAUAAAUUUGUUGCCAUGUGCAAGUUUGACAAAUCUGAGGUCAUAUGGUUAGUUGCUCCCAAGUCAAGAAACCAGAAAUCUUGUUGAAGAGUUGAGGAUGAUGCACCAGCUCGUGCUUGCACAGCAAGAGGAGGAUUUUGUGAGGAUAUAAUUGAGAGAUACAUAUGUGGUAUGACAGGAUACUGAAACUCGAAGCUAUUAGACUGUGGAAUCAUGCCUUGUGAAAGACCACAUGGAUUCUAGCUAGGUGCUUCACCAUAUGACCCAGUAGGCAUUGGAGUUGGCAUAGACGAGGAUAAACCCUGAGAGAAAUGCUAUGAUGUGUCUGUGAAAUUCUUAUUCCGAUCAAAGCAAGUAGCAGCAACACGGCAGCCUCUGUGACAAAUUUGACAUCCAUGUUGAAAACAAUUCAAUGCAGAAUGACCUUUGCGAUCACAUAUUUGCAUAAUGGCCUCUGUGAUCACAUAUUUGCAGAAUGGCCUUUGCAACCCUAGAAAGAACAAGGCGCGAAGAAGACCAAAUGUGUACGUUUCUCUUUGUUUUUUUUUCCCUCCUAAUCGUGCUGUUCGAAAUCACGGACCUCGGGCUUGGGCCUAAUGGGCCCAAUUAUGAGGCCUAUUAUCUCCGGUCUUCUCGUUCUACUUCUAGUUACCCAAAUUAAGAACGUGCUGGUUCGCUUUUAGCGCGAGAGAGAAAUGGAGGCCCUGAUUGCCUCGUACGGAAACUCGUCGUCGGGCUCAGACUCCGAGACGCCGGCUCCACCUCCACCACCACCUCCGGAGCUCAACAACCCUCAAGAACCGACCCCUGCGCUGCCUCCACCUCCUCUGUCACUUCUCGACAGCCCCAAUUCCUUCGGUAACCUCUGAUUCCCAUCAAUUUUCAUCUUUUAGCUUUCUGUUGUGAUGGCUUUUUCCGAGUUGCCCACCAAGUGUUUGAUAUUUUGCCUCUGAAGGAUUUCUGGACUUCUCGGCAAGCGUCCAGCCGAGCAGAGUUCGGAACUUUCCUCACGUCGAAGGGAACUACGCAGUACAUGUAUACAUCCCAGGUUAUCAAAAUUCUCGAAAUUUUCAGCUCCAUUAGCAAAUGCGAUCGCUUUGCACUUAGUUUUUGCUUGUUUAAUUGUGUGGUUCCAGUUUAUAUACCACCAGCACCAAGGAAAGAGAUGGCCUUGUUUUUGAACAAGCUAGCUUCUCUGGUGCCUUGUCUCCAUGCGGUUGACGUUGACUUCCCGCUUGACAUUCUGCGUAAGGACGAGCACAAGCUUGAACAAGUUGCUUUAGGCAGAGAGUUCCAUAUAAGUCUCGGAAGAACUGUUCCGAUUCGGGUGCACCAGAUUGAUUCCUUGGUGACAAUGCUGCGGCAGAAGCUUCAGAUUCAGAGGCGGUAUGGUUACAUUUACAUUCUCUUGUCUGCAUUGCGUGAAUUUAGUUCUGUUAUUUAACAUAAUUCUGUAAGCCUGCAAUUUUUUCGUCCAUUUUCGGUUUAACACAUUUUGUUAUUGUGCAACAGGUAUUGGAUUGAUUUUAGCAAGUGGGAGGUUUUUGUUAAUGAUGAUCAGACCCGGACCUUUGUGUCUAUCGAAAUCAUUGCUGCUGGGUUAGCUGAGGUAUGAUUGCUAGCUUUCUCUCUUGGUGCAAUUCUAAAUGUUUUCAGUUGUUAUAUGGGCUUAAGAUUUAGUAAGGACUUGCCGAAAGUCAUGGGAUUUUGAAAUAUCGAUAUCUUGCUUGCUUAUUAGCUUAGAUUUGGUCUUCGAUGCACUUGUAACAUGAAAAACACAAACGAAAACUAAUGCAUGAUAUGCUCAUGGUUUUAACAUGUGUUGUCCUGGCGUAAAUCAUGUUCCUAAUCCUGUCAUGUGAGUAUAAGCCUAUGAAACUCAGGGCAUGUUUGGCGGGCCGGACAAGAUUGGAAUUGGUAUUUCAGACUAGUUAGGUUAGGAUUGAACUGGAUAGGAUAGGUUUUUUUGUCUAAAGAUUGGUGUAGACUGUCUUAACCAGACUAGGAACGAUGGGAUUUAAAACGUGAAACAGAUCCGCGACAUCCCAACGAUGACCCGCCCACCCAACAACUCUGCUCGUGACUUGCAACACCUCUCGUACCCUCCACGCCCCUUGAGGCCCGUCAGACCACUCUGAUAUCCUGGAGGGGUGAAACGUGGUUACUAGAAGCAUACCUGUUUUCGUAUUAAUGCACAGUUGAAGCAGCUUUCAUUGUCUACAAGUCUGAAAUAUUUCAACUUCCAUUGAUUUCAGAUAACAAAGCAGAUUCAAGCUGUGAAUGAGGUGUAUAAGCUUCACAAUCUUCCUGAAUUUUACAAGGUUAGCUUUUUCGUGCUUUUCAAACUCGAAAUUACUUACUGAAUAUAUGACAAUAUAUUGGAGCAAAUGAUUGUGCCUGAAUGCUACUCAUUGCUCAAAAAACUAAAUCACUUCAUGGGGUGUUGGUGAUCACAGGAUCCGCGCCCUCACAUCUCGGUAGCUUGGGCAUUGGGUGACAUCGGCAAUUCCCUGAAGAAAGUGGUUGAAGAAGAAAGACGAAGAUCUACCAUCGGAGGAUCGUUACAGAAAUGUAUUUUUACCAGUAAAUUCAAUGGUAUUGAAUGUAGGAUUGGUAAUAAAACACACAAAAUAUGUAAAUUUUCUGAACAAUAAUGUAGCCAUUUAACUAUAUUGUGAAAUUCCGAGAAUAUAUCGCUGAGCAUUGGAUGAGAAGACAUUUCUUCGUUGGUGUCGAACUUCAUGCCGAAGGUAUAGACACCGUGUAAACGCCAUCAUCCAUGCAGUCUCCUGUGCAUUAUUUAGUAUUGUCUCAGUUUCUCCAAACUUGAAUGCUCCUAUAAACCCACUCUUGACCUUUCCGUCAUCUGCGAUUACCGGAAAGCUGGCAAGGAUGUUGCCGUUAACCUACCUAACCGGCUAGGAUGUUGCCGUCAUCUCCAAACUUUAAAUACCGGAAAGCCGGCUCCAAACUUCAAUGUGCUACUAGUUUUUGUAUGCGAGAGCUCCACCUCCAUUGUUGUAACAGCAUCUGAUGCGGACUAGUCCUUCAUUCCCGUUACUCUUUGCUAUCUCCACUUCGAACUUGGCGUAAUGGCUCCCGGCCUCCUCUCCGGUGAAAUUGAGAAACCCCGGAGCUGGCGUUUUCAUUCUGUUGUCCGUAUAUCUUGUAUUACAAGUAUUUGUUGUGCAAAAUGCAAGCUAAGUUCAAUUUAUGUUUAUGUGUGUGUGUGUGUUGCCACUUUGUCACUUUUCCAACGUUUUCUCCAAAAUUGUGAUUUUGGUGAAUCCUAAUAACAAUUCCCUCGUUAAUCAUUGGGACGAGCACCAAGGCAGUUUUGAUUCCGUGCACAACGGCGAUACCUCGAAAGAAAUUGAUUCUAACCCAGAAAGAUGUUUUAAAUCAAAGUUGAACAAGGGAAGAAAACUUUUGAAUCGCAAUCACAUGUCUGGUCAAAUUCUUGAACAGUUGAUGUAUACAGACGUUCCUUGCUUAUGACACGACUUAUGAGAGGAUGUAUGUAUUGCAUUUGCAUCAAAAAAGAGAGAGAAGGUUGUAAGUGGUAAGGGAACGACUACCGAUGCCGCUCCACUUCUAAUCAAAGGGAUCGAUCCGAGGGUCGUGUUCACUUGCCAUCGCCAUUCCAGUGCAAAGGCAUGUCGGGCACAUUACCUGCCACAUUUACAGACGCAAUGUUAGAUAUAGCUGCCAUUUGGAAGUCACUUCUCAAAAUUUUGCUACUAAAUUAAUCUUAGACUUCAUUUCCAGUGCAAUUUUUUGCUACUAAAUUAAGCUUGUGAAUAUAGUACAUCUAAGCGGCAGGCACUAAAAGGAAUUUAGUAUGCAAUAAACAUUCAACGGACUAACCUUUCCCGCUCCUGAGCAAUUUGAACAUCGUUCAGUUUUUGGCAGAGAUAGGGGUUGGUUUCCGCCAUCAGCUGUCGAUACUGGUUCAGUAAGAACAAGGGUUCCAGUGCUGGAGCAACGAGCACAAGCAAGAUAUCCUGCGUAAGUAUCAAAUACACAGGUAAGUUGACAUAUGAAACCAAUCUGUGUAAACUACACUGUAAUAGCAGAAGAAUAUGCAGUACGAGAGAAAGAGAGAGAGAGAGAUUUAGAGAGAGAAGUUAAUACUUCAUAUGUAAUAUUUUCUAUAUCAUCAAUCUUACAAUAUUAAGACUAUAUACUAUAUGAAACUGCUAACUAACUCUAACAACCUCUCUAACAACCUUUCUAAUCUUUUGACAAGUGUCUUCAUAUUCUACCAUUGGAUUACUAUCCUUAACAUCCCCCCUCAAGCUCAGGAGAGGUAGAAUCCAAACUGAGAUUGCGACAAUGAAUCUGAAAGAGAGGAGCAGAUAAUCCCUUGGUCAGUAUGUCUGCAUAUUGCUCACUGGAAGACACAAACUGAACAAGCAACUGCUUCUUUGCAACUCGUUCGCGAACAAAAUGAAUAUCAACCUCAAUGUGCUUUGUGCGUUGAUGUAGAACUGGAUUGGAUUAAGCAAUUACUGACCUUUGUGCAUCUUACUAUUCCUACUUCACCAGUUUUGUAUUGUGAUAAUAUGUCAGCAAUCGCAUUAACAACCUCUCUAACAACCUUUCUAAUCUUUUGACAAGUGUCUUCAUAUUCUACCAUUGGAUUACUAUCCUUAACAAUCUGAACAUCUCCAUCGUAUAUAUUUAAAGCUACAGUACAUAAAACGAAAAGUCAGAAAUAGAGGACAUUAUCACACCAGUUCCAAGACAAUAUUUGCAUCGUUUAUGCUCCUGCUGUUUCACAUUGUUUAUUUCAACUACCAUCAAUGCUGAGAUCACUCCGACUGCUCCUCCAGAGAAUGACGCCACUAUGGGAUCAACUUGACUGCAGUUUGAAAGUAAAGGAGAUCAAUAAACAAAACUGUUAACAACAUAGUAUCAACAUUAUUUAGCUUCGUUUCAAGAAAUAUGACAUCCUAGGUUUUUCUAAUGUGUAAAAAUUGAGGAUCCUUGACUAUAUCGGUUCCCAAAGCAUUUGAUUCCUACGUUACAGACGGAAAACAGUAACAAUCGAAUUUAAAGAUUCAUAACACGAUAGAUGGUAGGUCUCGGGUUCGAGACUUGGGAGCAGCCUCUCCAUAAAUGGGGGUAAGGCUAGCCGACAUUCACCUCUCCCAGACCCUGCGUAAAGCGGGAGCCUUGUGCACUGGGUACGACCUUUUAUAACACGAUAGAUGGUACAAAUUUUCAAAACGAUAAUUACUAGAGAACAGGAGGGUUAAUAGCCUGAGAUAUGAGCAAUACCUCAACUGCAACGGCAGAUGCAUAUUUACUAUAAAGUCUUUAUAUGAUGUGCCUCCUAUUCCCAGCUUCAACUCCAACUGAAAGAUGUAAAGGUAAUUGUAGGCAAAGAGUUACAAACAUAACCGAAUCCAUGUUUUAUAAGCAACAACUACACUUAUUUUGUUAUGUUUCCUCAUUUUUUACUUGCAAAUUCCGAACCAUAUUGUCGGACCAGUAAAAAGAAAAUAAUGUUUAUGAUAACUGUUAAAACUAAUCACAACAAGUUAAUGCAUAAAGAACUUACGGAGGGUGCUAUGAGGCCACCGAAAAGGAUAAACCCCGCAAUAAUUGAAUAACAAACAGCAUAAUAUUGCUUAAGGUUGUCUGAACUCUGCAAGCAAUGAAUUCACCUUGUGAUUAAUACUUUGCACAAACACUAGUUUUCGCAAUUUUUUAUGAAUCGACAAAAGGCUACAACAAAAUAUGGCUAAAACAUGUGAAAAUACAUGUCUUCACAGGGGCACCAGCUUACCAGGGGAGGCAAAAAUGGAAUGAACGAUGGAAAACUAGGAAGUUCGUUUUCUUGAUCUUCAUUUACCGCUCCAAGCUCUGCACGUUUAAUCCGCUGUUGUAUCCUCAGCCCGCGAACCUACGCAUAUCGAAGCUCAUUCUUAAAGAACACAUUUCUAAUGGCAAUUGGAGAGUAAUUUAAAACAUGCUAAACUGAGAAAGUGGUAGCAACAAGCAAUUGCUCUCACUUCCUCCAUAUGCAAGAAAAUUUUGUUGCGACGACUCCGAAUAUUAUCUUGAAUUUCCUGCAGCUCCAUUGUCGCAAAGUCCUGCACUGUUUCAGGCCCCUCUAUGAUACAAAAUCUGCACAAUUAAGCAUGUAAAAACUAAAAAUUACAGGCUAUAAAACAAUUUCCGUAUCAUUUUUGGGAGCUCUCUCUCUCUCUCAAACCAGAAGGCAGAGCUUUCUGUUUCUCUUGAGGUUUCUUUCACUGGUAAAUUCCAGAGAAGCAGAGAAGAAGGCUCUCUGAGAAAUGGCGAUGGUGCAAGUGGAGACAAAACAAAUGUAUAUCUUGAAGCACCGAAAUUGUGCAGAACACUUGUCAACUACCGAACUCUAGGAUUAGGAGAGAGAGAGAGAGAGAGAGUGAGUGACCGGCAAAAAAAAAAAUGAGGGAAGAAUCACCCACAUUUAAAAAUGAUUUUUAGGGGACCUGGUGUCGUUGGAUUCGAGUAGUUGUUCGGUAUGUCACAUUUAAAAUUUUAUUAUCUGAUGAUAAACGUCGAAACAUAAAGAUAGGUCAUCUCUAACCGAAUGAGGACUAAAAAGUCAUGUUUAGUACUAUAAUCCUGCAAUGAAUUAUAUUUUAAUAAAUAAUAUCAGGUUAUAUUUUAUACCAUAUCUAACCGAGUGGGUCAAAUGAUCAUAUGCCAAACAUAGCCUUUUGACAAAAAACUCAUCUCCAACCGAGGGGGCUAAAUGGUCAUAGACCAAACAUAAUUGCUCAAUAAUUUAUUAUUCUAAUUGAAUUAAUAUGAUUAAUUAAAUUAAAUUACCAUAUUAAAAUAAGAUUUCAUGAUAUAUUUUGAGUGCCACUUGCCACAAUACCGAAGAAAGCAUGGUAUUAUUGCACCUGCCACAAAGUCAAGCUUGACAUUCUGCUGCUGGAGGGCUGGCUGGCUAGCUGAAAAUGGCCAGCCUGCUGGCCUGAUUUGGGAGGUUUUGGCCCAAUGGGGCCCCAAGCCCUUUGGCCUAGCCUUCGGUUGGAAACGGUUUUCGUGUUAUUCUGAGUUAUUUUUAACCCUAUGAUCCUUUGGCCGGAUCGAUUGGAGAUGACCUUAGGUGUGUUGAUUGUCUUUGAGACAUCGGAGGUUCUGUGUGAUUGAAUACUUCACCCUCCUCCAAAGGCGCCACUCUUGAGAAGGUUACUUGCCUCAUGCAAACAUUGUGAAUUGCAAGUGAUGAAUUGUUCUGAUGAUGAGGUUUAUUUUUUAACUCAUUAUGUUUCAAGUUUAAACAUUUUUCCCUCUCUUAGUGUAAAAUAUUGUUUGUGAUAAAAAAACUUAAAAUGAGACACUCUCCUUCAUAUAUAAGAUGAUCAAGUGUGAGAUUAAUACUUUUAAUGAGUGACUCAAUUAACCAUUUUCAUUUCUUACGCGUUCAAAAUUAGACAAAUUCUUUGCAUACAUUUAAAAAAAAAAGAUAUUAAGGAGAGUAUAAAAUUAUUACAUUACGAAGAGAGAGUUUCGAACUCGGGACGUAUGAGUAGAACCCUAACGCCUCUCCACUAGGAUAUUAGACCAAUACUGGUCUUGAAUUUUUUUGGUGCCCGGAGCGAAUGCUCAAAACGUGUCUUUUUCCAGUACAACAUAAAUUAAAAAGAAAUAUUUAUAGAGGGCUAGAACCCAAUCGAAGCUGGGGGACUAGGCCCUUACGCCUAUAUUAUAUUACUUACCUAAUACAAACAUUUCUGAUAGAUUUCAGAGGCUCUAAAUGGUCAAACACUUCGUCCUUCCCAAAACCGUUACUGUUGAGAGGGUUCCUUACCUAAUACAAACAUUUUACGUUUACUUAGAACUAGAAAAAUAAGAAUUGCAGGUGAUGAAUUGCUCUAAUGAUGAUGUUUAUUUUUUAACUUAUUGUGUUUUAAGUUUAAAUAAUUCUGUUUCUUUGAUAUAUAUAUUAGUGUAAAAUCAUUCGUAAUAAUAAAAAAAAAGAAUAAAAAUGAUACUCUCAUUUAUAUACAAGUUGAUCAAGUGUGAGAUUAAUAAUUUUAAUGAGUGAAUUAACUAUUUUCAUUUCUUACGAGUUCAAAAUUACACAAAUUCUUUGCAUACAUUUUUUUUUUAAAUAGAAAAUUUCUAUUAUUAAGGAGAGAGUCCUAAACUAUUAGGUUAUGGAAUGUGAGUAGAAACCUAACGCCUAUCCACUAGGAUAUUAGACCACCAGAGCUGAUCCUGAGAUUUUUGGUGCCUGCGUCAAAAUAUGUCCUUUUCCAGUACAACAAUAUAAAUUAAAAAGAAAUAUUUAAAGAGGGCUGGAACCCAGUCGAAGCUGGGAGGCUAGGCCCUCACGCCCAUAUUCUAUUACUUGAAGAAACAAUAUACAACGGGGGGAAUCAUAGUACCGAAACCCCAACAAUAAAAAACAAAGUCACAUGCAACCACUCCAAGCAGUCAACUUGGCCAUUACAUAUUGAAUCCAAAAGGUUGACGGCCUAUUCUCUGCAUACAAUGCACAGAAGAUAACAAGAUUACUAAUAUAAAAAGAACAUCUGAAAAGAUGAACAUAUGCAUCAACAAAUAAGCAGGGGCGGAUCCACAGUGGGGUCGUCGGGGUCAAACGACCCCUUGGAAACCAUGGAAACAACCUUGAAGCUCCCAUAUGCGACCUCUUGGAGCUGGGGUUGUCGGGGUUGUCAGGAAGAGGAAGAAGAAGACUCGGCAGGAAGAGGAAGAAGAAGCAGCUCGCGCGACGUGUAGGUUCUGUGUAGAGUUUCUGACCUUUAAUUCCCACUUCACAAAGACGAGAGAAAGAGAGAGAGGGAAGGAAAGUCCUCGGGGUGGUGGUGAUGUAGACCUUCGUCGGGGUAGUGGUGUGGGUGUGCGUGGGUGUGGAUUCGAUCGGAGAGAGUGAGAGGGUUAAAGAGUGAAAAAGAGAGAGAGAGAGAGAGAGAGAGAGAGAGAGAGAGAGAGAGAGAGAGAGAGAGAGAGAGAGAGAGAGAGAGAGAGAGGAGAGUUCGGGGAGAUGAGAAGGAGGACAAUGGGGACUUGCCCCGUGGCAAGUUGUGAUAGGUAGGAAAUCCCAAAAAGGGAUCCGGAUAGGGUAAGUAAGUGGGGACCAAAUUGUAAACUUCAUUUAACUGUAGGGAAAUUGUGAAAUUACAAGGAAAUCUUUGGGGAGGGGUUUUACAGAAACCCUUCUCAACACUUAAAAGCAAACUGCGUGCUUUUAAUCAGGUUUGGCUCUAUAAUUGAACUUGUAACCAUGCCUUUCCCUAUGACGGAAUUGUGAUAUGCUUUGCCAGAUAUUCACAAGGAAUUCAUUUUUCUUUUUCCAAUUGCAAAAUAUUAGUGAACAAGUUGUUUCUUCUAUGAGAGAUCCAAGCAUAAUGGUUGGGUAGAUGCAGAUGAGAAAAUCAGCAGUUGCUGUAUUUGGCACAGUAAGAUAUUAACUCUUACAUCUAAAUUGAAAAACAUGAAAAUUUCCUAGUUCUCAAGGUCUCACGUGCAUGCUCAGAUACAUUUGUGCUUCAUAUUUGUGUGUUUGAUUCCGAGAAGGCUGACAAGUUGAAGCAAUCUCUUCCUCCAUGUUUGAACAUUCAGGACCUUUGAACAAGGAUUUUGGAGUAGCUGGUUGCGCUAUCCUACCAAGACCCGAUGAAAUGACGAUAUGCAUGCCGUUUCUGUUAAAAAAAAAUAUCCUUAUUGACCCCCCAAACAUUAUUUCCUGGAUCCGCCACUGCAAAUAAGUAAACCAUUCUAAGUGCAAUUUUAGAAGUGAUACGCUCCAAGUGUGAUAUUGGACAGAAGAGCGGCAGCUUCAACCAGUUCUGCUAUAUCCGGCUGGAUGAGAGCUGCUAAAGACAUGAUUGUUCCCUAAUAACAUGAAUAAAUUGAGUAAACACCAAAAGUAGCGCAGCAAGGGAAGGAGAUUUGAAGUAGAUGAAGAGGUGUAAUACCCGUAUAUGCAGCGCAUCAUUUCUGAUAGAUCAAAUCGAGCCAAUUCCUGCCAACUCCAAUGCCGAUAAUCCUACAGUAAAGCAUAAAUCUUAUUCUCUUCUGAUAAAGAUGUGUGUCCCUGACUCCAACGUGUUUGACGCACAUUCCCUACCCAUACAUUGAAACCUUCAUCUGCAAGGACGAAUCCCAGUUAUUCUUCUGGAGAAUUUAAGAACCAUGAAUCACCUGGUCAAGAAAAGCCAGUAACCAAUUACAAUUGAGUUUGAAGCACAUAAGAGCCUAAUUUAAAAUGUAUCCCAUGGAUGUUCAUCAAUUUACACAAUAGUUAGUUUCAAGAAAGGAAAUUUCAACAGAACCUGAAAACUUCAGAUCAGGGGGCACCAAAUAGUGAGCUAUACAUUCAAAAUUUGAAAUAAUCAACUUAGUGGGACCAAUAUGUUGAAAAAAUUGGAAGGAGCUAUGAAAGUAAGGCUUUUCACUAAUCAGACGUCCAGAGAAUCAAUAUUUUACUCACGGAUCAGUUACGGGGAACACUCCCCACCAAAGCAAACUCUUUCGUCUGAAUCUGGAAAACAAGCAGCAGUGGAUUUUAACAGUCUGGGUAUCUCAAAGUUACUUUAAUCACAAAUUUAACAAUUAAACAUAUAAAUGGGCAUUAUUUAGUGAAAUAUUAGUAUAGUACUCACUGUGUGCUCGGAACAAGAGUACCCAGAAAGCUCAAUGAGCUGCGCACAGAGGACUACAGCGGUGAACGACAGCGACCGAUUCUGUAAAAUUCAGUCGAGUUUUGGGUGAUUUCGGAGGUCAAGAGGCUGAUAAGGAAAGCUGCGACCGAAGGGCACUGGUCUGGAAGAAAAGGCUCAGGUCACUGCUGUCCCAAUUCGCGAAGGAAGUGCCCCCAAAACAAUUUCGGCCCUGGACAGGUGCACUGUUUGCACUGGACCAGGGCCGGCCGGCCCAGGCGAUAACGUCCCCCAAACAGUACAUAUACAGAUGCUAGAAAUAUAUUAAUGUAACCUGAAACUACUAGAACCAUUCAAUUCUAGCGUCUACAGCUUUAGCAUUAGUUGGUACAUGGGACAUUCUUCCAAAGAGGGAGAUGAGCUCGUUGAGGCUCUUAUUUAUUCCCCCUCUUGAUGUGCCCUUCUAGGCUGCUAAUUCCAGACGAUCCAAUCUCAUACAUCUUCCCUGCAAAAGCAUGUGUGCCAGACUUCAAGAUCAAAUUUUUCCAACAAAAGAAACUUAAAGAUCAAACUCGCCAGCGGAAUAAAUGAUGCACAAGGGUGUUAAAAUCUUGACAUAUGUAUAUUUUUGGCAGAUUUUAUGUGAGCAUGCUACUAAAACUGGCAUCACUAAAGAUUGGUGGAAAACUUUAACAGUUUGAGUUGUAACUUCUCCAUUGUAUUUGUUAAGGCAAGAUGGAUGACAUCUAUGCAAUUUUCAGUAGAACUUAAAAGGCUGCAUAGCAGCUCUUGUUCGUUGUAUUGAAUACCGUGGUUUUACUGAUGAAUGCAGAGUUUGUUGAUGAUUCAUACGACAAGCAAUUGAAAAUCCCAUCAUUAUGCCCCACAUAUACCAAAAAAAAAAAGUCAUUUACACAAAUUCAGAGCGUUCAUCCACUGUAAUUUGCAGAUAUAGAAACGUUAAGAUAAAAGGAAAUGCAAAGUACCUUUCACCCAAAUUGGAGGAGCACCGGUGGCAUUAGCAAGUUAGCAACGGGAAUUGACAUACCAAUAUCUUCACAGUUUCUGCACAAGCACAAAUCAAAAGAACCCGGCGGUGGAGUUAUGUACCUCUCCUUGGAAAAUGCCACCUCUUGGGAUUUCAAAAUAUGCAGCCAUGGCUAGCCGUCUGACCACGCCAAUUCCACCAAAGCCACCGCAACGCGGCGUAGUGUCCGAUUGAUUGCUUCAAAACAGAGCUUCGUAUCCAUGUGUUUAUCAGCAGAGAGUACCCAAAACCACUGAAAAUUAUUUCUUUAUUCAGAUAAUAAAAUUUCCCAAAUUUGGAAAUUUAAUUCCGAAUCAAAAGUAGGGUUUGAAUUUUGAUUACCUAGAAAUUGGGGGGUUGGGGUGGAGAGGGACCCGUGCCACGACGGAUCUCUGUGUCUGUUUUAACUCAUGCCAAAUUAUAGAGAGUGUCAGGAAGACUUAAAUACUGAAGCCCCGUAAGCCGUUCAAUCCAGGGGGGAAGCUCUUUGAUAGAUGUUUUAUCCAAGAUAAGAUAUCUUAAUCCUUCCAUAUUUUCUUCAAUGCUUGGAAACACCUCAAAUUUUGUACAACCGGAAACAGAGAGACGGACAAGGGACUUGAGCUGACAAAUGCUGCUUGGAAGGCUCUUUAGUUCCUCGCAGUCGUUUAGCUUCAAAUAAGUCAAUCCCGUGAGAUUAUUAAUCGACCAUGGUAGUUCUUUAAUUUUUGAUCCGGAUAAAUUAAGAAAUUCUAACCCUUCAAUCACUUCUGUAAUCUCUGGAAACAUCUCAAGGCUCGAGCAACCAUAAAGAUCAAAGCUUUUGAGUGAUUUCAUACGAAUGCUGCUGGGAAGACUCUUAAGUUUCUUGCAGUAUAGUAGAUUCAAAUGACUCAACCCCGUAAGAUUAUUAAUUGAUGGGGGCAGUUCUUUAAUUUUUGAGCAGCGUAAAUCAAGCUUUUCUAACCCCUCAAUACCUUUUGACAUCGAUGGAAACAUCUCAAGACUGGAGCAGCCAUGAAGGUUCAAGGUUUUGAGACAUUUCAUACGAAUGCAGCCUGGAAGACUCUUAAGUUCCUUGCAAUCUUUUAGGUUGAAAUGACACAACCCCGUGAGAUUAUUAAUUGACAUGGGCAGUUCUUUAAUUUUUGACUCGGAUAAAUUAAGCUCUUCUAACUCCUCCAUACAUUUUGAAAUCUCUGGAAACAUCACAAGAUUGGAGCAGCCAUAAAGAUUAAAGGUUUUGAGAGAUCUCAUACGAAUUUUGCUGGGUAGACUCUCAAGUUCCUUGGAAAAUUCUAAGUUUAAAUGACUCAAUCCCGUGAGAUUAUUAAUUGACUCGGGCAGUACUUUAAUUUUUGACGCGGUUAAAUUAAGCUCUUCUAACUCCUCCAUACCUUCUGAAAUCUCUGGAAACAUCUCAAGAUUGGUGCAACCUCUUAGAUUAAAGGUUUUGAGAGAUUGCAUGCCAAUGUUGUUGGGUAGAAUCUUAAGUUCAUUGCACCAAUUCAGAUCUAAUAAAACAAGCUUUGUAAGAGUCAAAAUCGACCCGUGAACCUCAACUAAGCGUGUACAACUUUGAACAAUUAGCCUCUCAAGAUUUGGCACAUUUGUGAAGUCAGGGGUUAUCUCAAGGUUUUGACAAUGACUUAAAUUGAUGAAUUUCAACUUUUCCUGCGUCUGUUAAAACAUUCAGGAAAACAUGCAUUACUUAAUAAGACAUCUUACUCAAAGCCCAAACAUUUAAAAGAAACAAAUACAAGUAAAUGAUUGUACAUACCUGGGUUCCUUCCCAAAGUCGGUUAAUGAGACUACAUCGCAUGUCAAGUUCAACAAGAUUUUUGAAUUGAAAGUUGGAUGGCAAAGACUUGAGAGGGAAUUGAAACCAGGAGAGAUACCUCAAGUUAGGUAACUUAAAACGGAGCCCACUCAGGUGGUGUUUCCAGUAAUCACGUUUAAAAACGGAGCCCUCACUACUGAUCUUGAGAAGUCUUAGUUGAGUCAUACUAGCAAAAGCUUUAGCAUUUAAGCAUACCCGGUCUGAGUACGAGAAAUCCACGAUUAUGCUUUCAACUGUUUUCGUAGCCUGUGCAAAUCAAAGUAUUAGAAAAUACAAAGAACCUUAGUUUAGAUUAUGAAAUUAAUGCUUGUUUCUUAGGGAGCUGUUUGAUAAUCAUUUCGUUUUUAGUUUAAUUUUUUUUUCAAUUUUCAAUUAUUCAAACAAUGAAAACUAAAAAUUAAAAAUUGAAAACAAAAAUGGUUAUCAAAUGGCCUAAGAAAUUGAUUUUGGUCAAAAGUUGAAGCUUUCUACUAACAAUUGCAUAAGAAAAAGACUUCUCACCGUAUUUUGAGUUAGCAUUUGAUUAACAUCUUCAUAACUCCACAACCUACUUCGUUUCCCAGGCUCUUUGAUAGAUUCUUGACGGACGAUUUCCCGACCCAUUUCCUCUAAUGAAUCAUGCUUCUCCAGUUCCCCCUCCCCUGAGACAGUUAUGAGAGCAUGAUCGAUUAGAACUCUUAUUCCUAUAUGAGGAUGGAAACCACAAUCGUCCAUAAUUCGGGUUGCACAGUCUUUCUUCAUCCCUUUAAAGAAACAUGCAAUAUCUAGAAAGAUGUCUUUCACUGUGUCAUCUAGUCCAUCGAAGCUUGAUUUAAGCACAUCAUGAAUUCCCCUUUGCGGGAUUUUCCUUAUUUUUUCUAACUCAUCUUCCCACUCACGGAUAGUUUUUUUAAGAAGAAAAGCUCCCAAAACUUUGAGUGCUAAGGGCAGACCUUGAGCAUAUUUUACGACACGCUUAGAGAGAUCAUCAUAAUCUCUGGUGGGUUGGUUUUUUCGGAAGGCGUGCUGCCUAAAGAGUUUCAGAGCUCCAGAAUCACUCAAAGUCUUGGGAUUAUAUAUCACAUCAACUAUGCUUAGUAACUGUGAAUCUCUACUUGUUAUAAUAAUCCUACUUCCACCACCAAAGGAAUGUGGCUCUCCAAGUAAAGCAUCAAUUUGUUCUGAUUUGUCCACAUCAUCAACAACAAUAAGAACUUCUCUGACCAAGGCUUUUUAACAUCACCUGAAAACCUUUGUUCGAUAUGUCAGAGCUCCCCACCUUGUUGUCCGAGAUACUAGAUAGAAGUUGUGUCUGCAUAUGUAGUUCGCCGUGCUUCAUGAAACCCUCCUUGACAUUUUUAAGAAAGCAACAAGUUUCAAAUCGACUAGCGAUUUCAUCAUAAACAGCUCUAGCGAUGGUUGUUUUGCCUAAACCACCCAUACCCCAUAUUCCAACAACGCGAACAUUAUUCGUUUCAACUCCAGGAGGAUGUAAUAAUAAAUGCAUUUCAUGCAUAUGAGAAUCCAUGUCAACCAAGCCAUUCUCUUUCCUUGAUGAUGAUGAGAUGUCAAUCAAUUUCCGAUAAACAUAUUCUACAAUUUCCUCUACGAGCACCGCAUCACUCCUGUCAAAUUAAAAAAAAAAAAUAUAAUAACAACAAAAAAUAAUAAUUAAUAGGUCUUUUUCAUCUGUUAGUUUUAAAAAAACUAGAAAUUAAAACCAAAAUCUUGUUGUGGUCUAUUUUAUCUGACAGAGGGACUAGGGCCGGCGGCAGAGAGAGAGAGGAGAGAGAGGUGUGUUUGUAGAAUUGUAGGGGAAUGUGUGUGUUGUUAUCCCUCCUACAUUGUGCCUUUAUUUAUAGUAGUAAAGGGAGAGAAGAUAUUCCUUCUUCUCCAAGUAAUACAAGUUGUAAUAGGAAAGGAUAACUAGAAUCAAAUCUUAUCUAGGAUUUACACAAUCAUACUUAAACUAGGAAUGUUUACAACACUCCCCCUUGAGUGGGUAAAUACUCAAGGUAGAUUCAGCAUCAUGCAGAAGUUGAGGAAGUCGACUCGUCGGCAUUGAUUCCAAGGAACAACGCUUAUUCUCAAUAAGGUAGGAACUUGCAUAAGUAGUAAGUCUCACUAAAAAACCCUAAGGCUAUGGCAAAAACCCAAGUAGGGACAAAAUCCAUAGUCUAAGGAAAAAUGCGUGAGGAAUGCAAAGUCAAAAGAAACGUCUACAGGACAUCAUCAGGGAUAUGACCAGCCCAAGGUGGGUGCCUCGUUAAAACCUAGUUAGGUAGCAAAAACCCAGUGGGAAAAAUGCUCCUAAUCGUAGGGAAAAAGAGUACAUUAAGAUCAAGCAAGUAUCCAGAAGAAACUCCCCCUGAGUUUGACAUAAUUCCAAAGAGAAAUAGCAAAGUUACAACUCAGAAAGUUUUUACGCAUACCAAUUCCAUGAACAAGCUUCUAAAAACGUCGCCUUCGGUAGUGAUUUGGUGAAGAGGUCGGCCAGAUUGUCUUGUGAUCGGAUUUGCGUGACUUCAAUCUUCUGAUGCUCUUGUUGUUGAUGUGUAAAGAAGAACUUCGGCGCAAUAUGCUUGGUGUUGUCUCCUUUGAUGUAACCCUUCUUGAGCUGUUCGAUGCAAGCUGCGUUGUCUUCAAAAAUCGUCGUCGGGGCAUUAACGGCGGGAUGAAGAUCACAGGAGCUUCGAAUAUGGCCCACUACUGCUCUCAACCAAAAGCAUUCCCGAGUUGCUUCAUGUAAGGCGAGAAUUUCAGCAUGGUUAGACGAAGUGGCAACUAAGGUCUGUUUAGUUGACCUCCAAGAUAUUGCGGUGCCUCCAACGGUAAAGACAUAACCCGUUUGAAGAACGCGCCUUGUGCGGAUCAGAUAAGUAUCCAGUGUCGGCAUAACCAACAAGGCGAGAAUCAACCCGAUGAGCAUAGGGUGCGGCAUCACUCGAGGAUUCGUAGGGAUAAGAUAAAGCCCAAAUCCGUAGUACCCUUAAGGUAACGGAAGAUGUCUUUCACGCCAGUCCAAUGUCUGCGUGUUGGUGCAUUGCUGUAUCUUGCCAAAAGAUUAACAGCGAAGGAGAUGUCGGGUCUAGUGCAUUGAGCUAAGUACAAUAAAGCGCCUAUCGCACUUAGAUAAGGAACUUCAGGCUCCAAAAUCUCUUCAUCAUCCUCCUUCGGACGGAAGGGAUCUCGCUUUGCAUCUAGCGUACGAACGACCAUAGGAGUACUCGAAGGCUUCGCUUUAUCCUCAUUAAAACGGCGCAACACCUUCUGGGUGUAGUUCGAUUGAAGUACUAGGAUUCCAUCCGAACAAUGCUCUAUCUCGAGGCCGAGACAGUAUCGAGUCUUACCUAGAUCUUUCAUCUCAAAUUCCGACUUCAGGUGCGAAGCAGUUCUCGCGAGCUCUUCAGGAGUUCCGAUGAGAUUCAUGUCAUCGACAUAUACUGCAACAAUCGCAAAUCCGGAAUGUGACUUCUUAAUGAACACACAAGGGCAUAGUUCGUUAUUCACAUAUCCCUGACUAGUCAAAUACUCACUUAAACGGUUAUACCACAUUCUUCCGGAUUGUUUCAAACCGUAUAGUGAACGCCUCAGCCGAAUUGAGAGCGUGUUCCGAGGUUUGGAAAUAUUUGAACCAGUCAAUGUAAGUCCUUCGGGAACUUUCAUAUAAAUUUCCGUAUCAAGAUCCCCAUAGAGAUACGCGGUUACUACGUCCAUCAGCUGCAUAUCCAGUUUUUCGGAAACUACCAAACUGAUAAGGUAUCGAAAAGUAAUCACAUCCAUAACGGGUGAGUAAGUUUCGUCAUAGUCAAUCCCGGGGCGUUGUGAGAAACCUUGUGCUACAAGACGAGCUUUGUAACGCACAAUUUCGUUCUUCUCAUUACGCUUCCGAACGAAAACCCACUUGUAGCCAACGGGCUUCACAUGUGGAGGAGUAGGAACUACAGGUCCAAACACCUUACGUUUCGCAAGUGAAUCAAGUUCGACUUGGAUUGCUUGUUUCCAGUUUGACCAAUCAGCUCUACGUCGACAUUCAUCAACGGAACGCGGUUCAAUGUCAUCGCUCAACAUGAUCUCAGUAGCUACUGCAAAUGCUAAUGCAUCGUCGACAAUCAUCUCAUUUCUACGCCACACAUCAUCUAAGCUAGCAUAAUAGACCGAAAUCUCACGAUUCUCGGGAGGAGGAUUCGUCUCUUCAAGGACGCUUCCAUAAUCUAGAAUUUCCUCAUGAGUUGGGUAAAAUGAGUAAGCGAUAGUCGGAUUCACGGUAGGCUCUUCAGGACCUUGUGCCGUGGUUUUCCUCUUCCGGGGGUGUGAAUCCUUUGAACCAAGGGGUCUGCCACGCUUUUGUGUAGGGGCAGAUGAUUGGCUAGCCGCUAAUGUACGUGGAUCACCAGAAUUGGCGUCCCGGGCUUCCAGGAGGGUAGUCCGUCGUACAUUUGGUACAUCCAUCUUUGCAGGCGUUUUCGCAGCUGGAAUAUGUGAUCUUGUCACGCGCGCUAGAUCGGUGAAAGCAUCUGGCAUGCUCUGAGCUAUGCUCUGGAGAUCUAAUAUGCGCUGCACUUCAGCUUCAGACUGAGCGGUGCGGGGAUCUAAAUGAGACAAAGUGGGAGUCAUCCACGAUAAUUCGCGUCGUUCAUUAGGAACGUUGACGUUCUUAUCUCCCCCUAACGACGGGAAGACUGUCUCAUAGAAGUGACAAUCCGCGAAACGAGCGGUAAACAGAUCGCCUGUCAAAGGUUCUAAGUAACGAAUAAUCGAAGGAGAAUCAUAUCCGACAUAGAUUCCCAUCCUUCGCUGAGGCCCCAUUUUUGUACAUAAGGGCGGCGAGAUCGGCACAUAGACCGCACAACCAAAAACGCGCAGAUGAGAUAUGUCGGGUUCGCAUCCGGUGACCAACUGAAGGGCACUAAAUGGUUGUGUCGCAACAGGCCUCAGGCGGACCAACUUUGCUGCGUGCAAUAUUGCAUGGCCCCAAGCAGCGAUCGGGAGCUUGGUACGUAUGACCAACGAUCGAGCAAUCAUUUGUAAACGCUUAAUGAAAGCCUCUGCCAGGCCGUUCUGGGUGUGAACAUGGGGUACAGGAUGUUCAACUUCAACCCCAACCGACAUGCAAUAGUCAUCAAAAGUUUUAGAUGUGAAUUCUCCAGCAUUAUCCAAUCGAAUAGAUUUGAUCGGAUAAUCAGGGUGGUGAGCCCUGAGCUUGAUAACCUGAGCCAACAGUUUGGAGAAUGCAGCGUUCCUUGUGGACAACAAGCACACGUGUGACCAACGUGUAGAAGCGUCAACCAAAACCAUAAAAUAUCUAAAUGGUCCGCAGGGAGGUUGAAUCGGUCUACAAAUGUCCCCCUGAAUCCGUUGUAGAAAAAUGGGAGGAUUCGAACGAAUCUUGUCAUAAGAAGGCUUAGUAAUAAGCUUUCCCAUAGAACAUGUUUGACAUGCAAUUUCAUGGAUCGAACCUAAGCUUCGGGUUAGUGGAUGCCCGUGUGAAGUUUUGAGGAUACGGCGCAUCGCUAUUCGUCCAGGAUGUCCCAAACGAUCAUGCCAAAGUGUAAUUUCGUGCGCGGUCCCUGUGGUAGGGCCGGCCACAUAGUGGCAUUCUAUGGGGCGUAUGGUCGUAGUAUAUAGACCACUCGGGUUACGCGCCAUCUUCUCUAGAAUACGCUUCUGGCCAUAUUCGUAGGAAGUUACGCACAGAAAUUUAACUCCGUUUUCUACGUGGGUUUCAGCGUGGUAAUUGUUAUCUCUAAUGUCCUUGAAACUUAGUAACGUUCUUCCGGAACGUGGAGAAUAGAGUGCCUCAGCAAUGGUCAAGAUUGUACCAUUGGACAACAUUAUACGUGCCUUACCGUAUCCUUCGAUCAGGUUGGAUGGGCCUGAGGGGGUUGUCAGAGGUGCAUUCUUAGGUACGAAGUUAGUGAAAUAGAUGCGUUCACGCAAAACAGUAUGCGUGGUUGCACUAUCUGCCAGACAACUAACUUUCCCACUAUUCAUACCUAGAAUUAAUUUGAAUUGGUCACAUGCAUAAAAGUUUAUAAAACAAGUAUCAAUUCAAAAUAAUUUCAUUUAUUCAAGGAAAAAACUUAAUAUCCAAAAUAAAUCGCCAACUAAUAAUCCAAAACAUAAAGGAAAAUUGUUCAAAAUCAACCAAAAACAAGGUGGGGUUCGGCCACUAGGUGGAAUUCGGCCCCAAUUGUCUUAUUUUAACUGAAAAAUAAGUCUAUGUCUAAGAUUCUAAUCUUCCAUAGGAGUGGUAUCCUCCUGAAAAUCAGAAACCUCCAUCUUUGUAAUCUCCGGUUCGUCCACUUGCAGGAAGUUUGAUUCAAACUUCGUACAACGAGAAUGAUAUGCAUCCACAACCUUCUUGGGAGUACGGCAAAUACGGGACCAAUGGUCCUUGGAACCACAACGAUAGCACAUAUCGUCAUUCAUUGUGGCAGGUGCUUUGCCCUUAUUCUUGAAGUUCGGGGCCUUGGGAGUGAGGUUUGGGCGCUUCUGGGCUUUGUUUCCUCCCUUGGAUGGGCCUUGGCUCUGUUGACCUUGGUGGGAUGGCUUCUGGCCGCCCUUACCACGCCUCUUUUGGCGUUUUGGGUGCUGAUUAGUGCUAUAAUGUGCUUCAGGCACAGCAGUAGCCCCAGUAGGUCGAGCUUGAUGAUUUUUCAUCAACAGCUGGUUCUGCUUUUCAGCAAGAAGUAAAACAGAGAUCAAAUCAGAGAACUUAGUGAACUUCUGAGCUCUAUAUUGUUGCUGCAGGACAAUAUUAGAAGCAGAGAAGGUCGAGUAGGUCUUCUCCAGGAGAUCCUCUUCAGUCAAAGUUUCAUUGCAAAACUUGAGAAGUGAUCGGAUUCGACAAACUUCAGAAUUAUAUUCAUUCACAGACUUAAAGUCUUGGAAGCGCAAGUGCUGCCAGUCGUGUCUUGCUUCAGGCAAGAAUAUGUCCUUUUGGUGAUUGAAACGAUCAGCCAAAGCGACCCAUAAUGCACGUGGAUCCUCCUCAGCAAGGUACUCAGUUUGUAGAGCGUCAUGGAUAUGUCUUCGGAUGAAGAUCAUAGCAGUGGCUUUUUCAGCCUCGCCAACAGGUUUAUCUGUUACUUCUUCAAUAGCAGGACGCAAGUUCUUUGCAGUGAGGUGGAGCUUCACAUCUUGAACCCACUUGAGGUAGUUCCUUCCAGAAACCUCCAAAGCGGUGAAGUCGAGUUUGUUCAAAUUCGACAUGUUCCUAUCACAAAAUGGAUGAACAAGAUGUGGUUAGUGUAAUGGAGAAAAAUCAAUCCAUUCACAUAGGAGUAGAACAUACAGGUUCUAAUAGACAUGUAUUGGUUUAAUUUUGCAUGAAAAACUUCGGGUUUUCAUGGGUGAUAUAUUUAAGUGAAAACUUCGGGUUUUCAAACAAGGCAUGUGUAUAAGAAACUUUGGGUUUCAAAGUAAUUAUGAACUUCAGGUUCAUAUAUUCCUGCAGGCAAACACAAAUAUAUAUGCAAACAAAUAUGCAAAGAAUAUAUGUAGAAAUAUUGUAUAAUGAUAAGUGAAUUAAUUUAUUUUUGGUCUUCGGGGCCAAAUUAAAGUGUGGGUGAAAAUAUAAAAACCCAUAUUAUUUAAAAAAAAUUAAAUAAUAAAAUCUCGGGGCCUAAAAAUAUAGGCCAAGAACCCUCGGGUGGGAUUACAGGCCCACGGGGUGAGAAAAGGGGAAUGGGCUGCUGUGUGCAGCCCUAAAAUUUUUUUUUUCUCGGGCCGUUCCAGGCGAGCCCAUAAUUUUUUUUUUCUUUUCGGGCCGUUCCAGGCGAGCCCAGAAACUUUUUUUUUUUUUUUUUAAUUUAGAUGCAUAUAUAAUUCAAUGAAUCACAUAUUUACUUUGAUGCAUAUGCAAAUAAUAGUUUCAAUGCAUGUACAUAUGUAAGAUUCAAUUCAUGGCAAAUAUCAAAUUCACAUAAUUGUAGCAAUUUUGAUUAUGAAGCAUACACAAUUUAUGUAGAAUCUAAAAUACGUAAAACGUAAAGUUGGGUCAUGCAUCAUGGUGAAUGUUCAUGCUAUCAGGGCUUGCAAAAUAUCGAGUUAAAAGCCGUUGUUUGGAAAGAACCUGAUUGCGUGAUGAUAUGGAUGAACUGGUUUGAUGCAGAAAAAAUCUCCAACGUCAGAUUCCUAAGCGCAACGGUAGGAGCGUGCUGAUAACGUGUUGUGGUCUAUUUUAUCUGACAGAGGGACUAGGGCCGGCGGCAGAGAGAGAGAGGAGAGAGAGGUGUGUUUGUAGAAUUGUAGGGGAAUGUGUGUGUUGUUAUCCCUCCUACAUUGUGCCUUUAUUUAUAGUAGUAAAGGGAGAGAAGAUAUUCCUUCUUCUCCAAGUAAUACAAGUUGUAAUAGGAAAGGAUAACUAGAAUCAAAUCUUAUCUAGGAUUUACACAAUCAUACUUAAACUAGGAAUGUUUACAACAAAUCUAAAUAUUUGUCAAAUUAUCUAAAUAUAUAAAGAGAGAGCCCCAGUUUGGUGAAGCAUUCCAAAAUGCCAAGAAUAUCCCUAUGUUUCCUUCACAAUCAAAAUCCAAAAAAUCCAAAAAAAAGGAGGACAAACUGGUAAAAAACUUAUAACCGAACAUAAAAUUGUAUUGAAAGAAAAAACUAAAUUUUUACUAAAAAUUGAGAGCAAGAAAUACAAAAAAAAAAAACAAAAAAAAGGGAAAUUAAACCGAAUACUGGUAGAACAAGUCCACGUAAUUGAUAAUUGACGAAUGCAAUGUUGGUAACUGGUCUUGAUUUAAAAUAAAAAGUUGAAAACACAAAGAGACAGAUGCAGUAAAAAACACCAAUAAAAAACAAAAUAAAAAAAAAAAUAUUGGAAACUGAGGAAAGAAACGUGGGAGAGAGACUGCUGUUUUCAAACUGCAUUAAGUUUAAAGGCUCUCAUGUUAUUGCUAAUGGAAUAAAACAAAAAAGAAAAUAAAAAGAGACCUAAUACGUUUAGAAUAGAACUGCUAUUCGACAGUUGCAGGCUUGAAGUGUGUGAAGGAAACAGUUUUGAAGAACGAUAAACUCGAACGUUCAUGAAAAUAAAAGCGAACGUGGGAGAGGAACCAGUUUUGCGGGACAUGUAAAUAAAACACAAAAUAAAAUAACCUCAAGAGAAUAAAUUGAAAUUGUUGUGCCAGAGCCUGAAGGAGAAGAUCAAAUUGGCGAAAACCAACAAGAACUGGUAGUUCUGUAGUUCUCAAUUAUUAAAUUUGUGUGUUUUGUUCUCUAUCAAAAUGCUUCUUAUUCCUUAAUCUUCUCAUGCAUUUUCACAUGAUUAUUGAAAAUUCUGCACGUUAAUUGUAAUGGUUUGAUUGUGGUUUUUGUUCUCUGCAGGUUUUUCUUCCCUUAUCUUAUCAAAUAAAUCAAUUGAUAGGUUAGGCUUUCAUUUUUUUUUCUUCACAGGACUUUUAAGGACAUCCUCAAGUCAAAGUGAUGGAAUCAAAGUCUUCAGGUUUGGAUGCUUUUUUCCUUCUCUUUUUAGAGUAAUUUUCGAGUUUCUUCUCGCAUUUUUCGGGUUCCUUUCCCCAGUCCCCCAAAAUAACAAUAACAAAUUAGGCUUCUUCAUUUUUAGACUCUCUUGGGGUUGGCAGAUAAGGGGUUGCUUGCAUUUAAACCUCACCGUCCGGCUUCUUCUUUCUUAUGAAUUUUUAUCCCUUUCCUACGGCCAGUUCGUGAAGGCCGUUUUCAAAUUGAGGUUUUGUAUAUUCUGUCUCUUAAGAUUUGAUUCUUUCUAUUUUGGAUUAUUUUUUGUCUGAUUUCUCAAACAAUUUGGCUAAUGAAGAGUUUAUGGAUAUACAAUGGGACAAUAUUAUUUUCUCUCUGUUUUAUGUGUUUAUUUAGUUUUACUGUAGUUUUCAUCUAUGCCUUGAGUUUUGGCUUCUCUAUCUUUUUAUCUUUUGUAGCGUUCCAGGUAAAUGGUGAGAAUUAUUCAAGUAUGCGACAUCAUUUUAGUUUCAUGUGAAAAAUCUUCUCUUAUAAUUUUGUUUGAGUGAUUGAAUGUGCAUAUGUGAGCUCUAAGGUUUGGUUCCAUAUUUAUUGUUGAAGAAAAACAGGAAGUGAGGAACACAAUAACCCUACCACGAUUAUGUAUGAAAUAAAUUGGAUCUAUUAAAAACUCAUAUUUUGGGUGUGUUGUUAGGAAGAAAUGCCUAAACUCCGAAUUUGUAUGGAACAUACUCAUUAUAGAAUAGAUUAAUUGUAUGUGUUAUUGCUUUUAGUACUAAAAUUGACUUAUUUGCCCUCCUACAAGUCAUAGCUUUGCUAAUAAAUUGAGAACAAUGUCUGAUUUAGUUUUUUUUUUUUGUCGAAAUGUCUUAUUAGUUUAACUCUUUUCAUUUGAUAAUUCUCUUGCCCUUGGUUUGAGAUAUAAAGUAUUUCAUUUCAGUCAUCAAGUGUCACAGCCUGUCCCGAAAUAUUUUAUUGAUGUUGUGAAAUGACGAAACUGCCUUUGAGCGUUUUUUGACAUUUAAACUUUAGGGUUUGUUUUGGUAACCAUGGUUGUGUUUAGGGUUAGGUGGAAGUGUGAGGACACACACAUCACCCUUUCCCUUUCUUUCUCUUCUCUCCCGUGCACUCUCUCUCUCUCGGAAACACUCUCCCUCUCGGAAACACUCUCCCUCUCUUCCUUCUUUGUACGGACAACAUCAAAACCCUCUCAAACCUUGUAGAUCGAGGGUGUAAAGAACACCAUUGGGUUCGUGAGGAUCAUACAAGUCAAAAGGUACCAGUUUCAGGUAAGGAAACCUUCGAUUUCCCGUGAAAACCCUAACCCUCCGAUUUUGUCACUGUUUAUGCUCAUGUAAAACCUUGUGUUUUAGGGGAUUUUAAGCUCAUAGGGAGCUUUAGGAGGUCCUAAGGAAGAUCAGAGUGGUUUGUUGGAAGAAUUUGGACGUCGAAAUAGUGAGAUCGACGAGUUGCAGGGUUUGGCCUGAUUAUCGAGGUUUUUUUCCAGCGAGUUGGAGGUCGAGGCAUGUAUGGUUUUGUUCGUCUUUGUGAGAUCUUCAAAUUGGUUCAAAUUUCAUUGAAAAUGGUGCAAAAAUGAAGAAGUUAUAGGCAUUAGAAAUUUUUCCAUAAACCGGUGACUCACCGGAGAAGAAAGGAGUUGACGGAAUAUACUAACGGCGUCAUGUAUCUUUAACAGAUUCAGUUAGUUUUAACGGAAUAUUCCUGACGGCGUUAACUGACGCCGUCAGUGUGCCAAGCACAUGGGCGCACGUGGGGGCGCAUCUGGCCGUGCCUUGGCCACGUGGGUGAUCAGAAAAUUAUUCUAAAAAUAUGGGGAUGUUUCUGAGGUUGUGUAGAUCAUUUUGGUAUAUUCAAACACCCCGAUUGAGCAUUGUAUGAGAAGUUGUUACCAAGUUUUGUGUUUGUGCUUUAAAAGUAACGUUUAUAUAGUUGUUUCGCAUAUAGGUGAGACCUAUCCCGAGGACGAGCGAAGUCAGGGGCAACUCGGGGGUUACGACCCUUCCACAUACCAGUGAGUAUAUAUAUAUAUUGAAUAUUUUCCUAGAAAAGCGAUUUAAAUGUGUGAAAUCCCGUUUCUGGAUUUCAUUGUUAUCACCUACAUAUUUGUAUUAUUGAGAUUUUAUAUUAUUUCUCGAGAAUUUAUUUUAAUUUGUUUGAAUUUAAAUUUAAAUUAAAUUAGUUAUUAACGUUUGAAGUUUGAGGCAUUUUAGAAAUAAAUAGAAAAAUCUGAAAUUUUCUUAUGAAAUCUGGUGUGCCACAUGGGUGGCCCAGAUUCAAUGGAAAGGAAAAUGGAUGGUGGAGAUGCAAAGGAAAGGAUUUAAAAGAGAGUGGGCGCUGCCCAGUUAGGAGGGGGGAGAGAAAGAGGUGACCAAUUGGGCGAAGAGGAAAGGAGAGUAAGGAGAGAAGAAGAGGAAGAGGGAACCGGCCGGGGUUUACUAUGGCCCAUGACCCGACCCGGUUAUAUCUCCCAACUCCGGCCACCAUGGACGGCUAGGAUGGUGUCAAAAUGAUCCUUAGCUCGAGGCCAAUCGAUCUCUCUUCCAUUUCUACACUUAAAACGACGAGGGGGAGUCCAAUUUUGAGGAAAUACCACGGUGGGUGCGUCGGGCUUAUGUGGAAAUCCAUUAAAUCUUGAAACGUUUUCUUCCAAUUACAACCACCCAUAGCAUCCUCAUGAGGCCUAGAACAAAGCCCAGACAAGUUUGGGGGCGGCAGAGUUGUUUUCGAGUCGGAUCGAACACACCUAAAAACAAGGGUUCCGUACGGUUCGAGUGAAAUUGGGGAUUUUCCCGGCCAAAUUGGACUUGGCCACAGGUAUAAAAAUUGCUAUACUCAUUGAAAUCUUCAUUUCUGUAAAUUUUGAUAAUUUUUAAAAAUAGUUGAAUUUUUCCGGCAAGUCGGGGCGGCCGACGGCCACCCGUGGCGGCGAGUGCGGCGGUUUCCUGGCCAGUGGGCCGAAAAUAUCAUUUUAAGUUCAAUUAGAUGUCUUGAUUUCAUAAUUGAUAUCCUUAUGAUAUGGUUUGAUUGUUUGAACCUAAUUUCAUUACGAUACGUGGUUAGGUCAAAAUAUGAUUCGACGAUCCUACCGUUGGAUCGUCACCAAACCUUAAUGCGUGAUAGAACAUAAUAUUUUUGGAUCAUAGAAACUUACGGAUCGAGAAUCUGACGUACGGAUCUUCCCUAAUUGGAUUUCUAAGUUUGUAAAAUUAAAUGUCGACCGCCACUUGAAUUUUGAAAUUGGCGGAGAUCCAACUGUCGGAUCAUGUUGAGAUUUCAGUAUGUUGUUAUUUGAGCAUAAUGUGGACUUUGGAAAGUUUCGGAUCGGAAAUCCGAGGUGCGGAUCUUCCGAAUCAAAUUACAUAAGUUUGUGGACCCUACUGUUGAUCGAGAGUUGACUUUUGCUCAACAUGUCAUGAAACGUCCUAAUUACUAAAAUUAGUACUACAGGGGAACUAGGUGAAGUCUAGUGGGCAUGCAUUGAUUAGAGAGUGACUUGAAUAUAUGUGAUAUGAUUAUUACCUUAAUUUCCUAUUAGUAUCCUUUGUGAAGAUGAAUUGGUUUUAUAAAUGUGAUUUCUAUUGAAAUGUGAUUUUUAUAUAUUUAGCCAUAGGCCUAUGAUUAUUAAACAUGAUUUGGCUUGGUACUGAUGAUGGUUGUGACAUAUGUGAGUUAAAUUAUCUUUUUAGUAAUGUGAAUGAUGUGUAUGAUUAUUUUCAUGACAAUGUGAUCCUAGAAUCCUAUUAAAAGUAUGUUGUAGCACUUAUAUGCUUGGGUGCCAUAUUAGUGGUGACCUUGAGAAGUUGAUGGUGUAGGUGACUACGUUGUAACUCAUAGGGUUGAGAUGUGAUGUGGAUAAGUUGAGGUGUUGAAAUUACUACACCAUGUAGUAGUUGUACAUUGAUGGUCCUGCUUGGUAUAUCCGCAUUGGGGGACCAUACGCAUUCUAGGAGUGAUCAUGCUUGGUAUAUCUGCAUUGGGUGAUCACUACCUACCUGAUUAUCUUGACCCUGCUUGGUUAAUCCGCAUUGGGGGGUCACAAGUGGUCCUGCUUGGUUAACCCGCAUUGGGGGACCAUACUUUAUAUGGAUCGCGCUUGGUUAAACCGCGUUGGGCGAUCCUUAUGGCCAUGUAUGCUUAGGAGUGAUCAUGCUUGGUAUAUCCGUAUUGGGUGAUCACUGCCUAGGAUAUUAAACUAUGCAUACGGUUUUGCUUGGUAUAUCCGCGUUGGGGGACCAUAUGCAUUCUAAAAGUAAGGAGGAUUAGUUGUGUUGAUGCACAAAAUCAGCGAAGACUUUGGUACAACAGAAAGUGUCAGGUUUUGUGACCUUCGCUUGGUUGCUUCGGUCACUAGUGAGGAUAAAUACGUAAAUAAAUAGAGACAGAGAAGCAAACACAGGAUGUACGUGGUUCACCCAGAUUGGCUACGUCCACGGAGUAGAGGAGUUCUUAUUAGUAGUGAAGGGCUUACACAAGUACAAAGGAUCAAGCUCUCAAUUUAGUGAGUUCUUGUGAAUGAUUUACACAAAAUGGCAUUAGGCAAUAUUGUGGGGGAAUGACCCCUAUUUAUAGAAAAACUUGUAGCUUUGUCACAUUGACAUGUGUCAUGUUAUGAUUGGUUCUUGAUGUUGACACGUGCUGCGCUCUGAUUGGCUUCUAAUCCUGACACGUGUCGAGUAGUGAUUGGCCUCCUGGUCGGAGGGGAACUCUUCUGGGUCCUUGACAGUAUAGCGUUGGCUGGUACUCGGUAGUUUCGGGAUUGGUCAAGUAUGGUACAAACAGUGCUCCCCUAAGUUCCCGAGUGAGGGAAACUCCUCGGUUGGGGACUUGCAAGAUCCAAUCCCUUGAGUAAUCACGAAACUUCUAAGUACCGAAGUGUGGUCUGAUCUUCAUCUGCCCUUCUCUGGAAGUACCUUUCCUCCAUCCGGGAAUGGUGUAUUUAGCUGAUGUUGACGCACAAGCUAAUGUAUCAAUUUCACUUGAAGCUUAGUUGUAGUUUCGGGCUUAGUCAAGUGUGAUACAAACCCUAUAGUAGGAGUCCCCCAAGUCGCCGAGCUAGGAGAUCUGCCGAAAGAGGUGACAGACAAGGUAAGCAGUCAAACUUCCAAGUAAGCAACCCAGGAUCAGAGGUUUGACUUCGGCUUCCGGUUGAUUGUUCUCAUUCUCCUUGUCUCUCAUUCAACUGCCAGGAUAAGGAGAAGCAAAUGGAUAAGAGAUGAUAUGAGAUACUUUUGCUUUUGAAGAAGUAACUUUCCACAGGCUUAUUCUUGAACUGUGCUGGAGGGUUUUCUGGUGCCCUUCAGAGUAUAAGGCCAACUCAAAAAUUUGAGGGUCAAAACAAGUCCAUCAAAUCUAGAGUACGUUCGACCUUGAUGAUAUGGGAUACUUUUGCUGUUGACGGAAUAAUGAAUGUGGUAUGGAAAGGUGUCGUGCUGUAGUGAUCUGUUUCAGCUCACCGUUUGAACCUUCUGCUUCAAUCUUUUGCAUGGCAGAAGUGGUGUGCAACCUUUGCAUUUAAAUGGUCCUUCAGAACAUUCCUUCAUAGUGACUCAUCCACGCUUGGCAGCUUCAGUGUAAAGAGCCAAUAUCUGAUCAACUGUCAUGAGGUAUUUGCCGGUGGAAUUCGUGACCUUGACAGCAGUUGAGGAUGAGUACUCGAGAGCAAUGCUAAGUAAGCAACCAGGCAAAGGCUCCAGGCAGUCAGUUCCAAAUUGGAGGUUUGAUUUCAGGUUCCGACUGACUGCUCUCUUUCUCCUUGUCCUGCAGGUGUGGACAAGGACAAAGACAAAGACAGGGAGAAAGCAUGAUAUGGGAUACUCUUGCUUUCGAUCCUGAUGAUAUGAGAUACUCUUGUUCUUGGUGUGGCUUAUUUGCUGAGGUAUUAUCGGGGGGAAAUAAAGCUGAGUAUUUCGAGAGGUUAUGUUGAGGGUGCCUUUUCGAAUGCGAGAAAGGGUUGAGCAUUUUUGCAGGUUUGCCUGUCCGUUGAGGAGGGAGGUCAAUGUAUAUAGGGAUUUCCCAAUAACAAGUAGUAAUGCUAUUCCUUUACCCUUCUUGGUCACAGCAAUGUAGUGGGAGCUGCCAGCUUCACGUGUUUUAAUUUUGUCAGAGCACUUUGAAAAAAGUGGUAUGUGGUAUCUGGAAAGCUGAUGUUACGUGUGAAGAUUACAGACAAGCUUUAUCUAAGGAAAUCUGGCUCUCGAAGUUCUGAGAGUUGUGCCUCUUCGGUUUUCGAACAAGCAAUCCCGUCGAGGAUCUGACUCUCGAGAUUCGGAAAGCGGUGCUACUCCGGUUUUUUAGAAAGUAAUUAUGUUGGGAGUCUUUUCUUGAAUGUGAGUAAAGGUUGGACGUUCUUGCCAACCUGUCUUGCCGCAAAACACGGAGGUCGACACACAUAGGGACUUUCCAGUUGUCAAGCAGUGGUGCUGUUCCUUUACCCUUAUGGGUAAUAGUAGGGUAGCUGGAACUUCGAAAUUCUCGUGCCUAAACUUUGUCAGAGAUCUUUGACAAAGUUAUAUGUGGUACCCGAUGAGUUGAUGGUGCAUAUGGAGAGCGGUGAUUGAACAGUAAGAUUCACGUGCUUUCUACUUCACCAGAAAUCUUCGACAGAUUGCCCGUAAUUUCUGCAAAGCUGAGUGUGCAUGUGACAGGUGCUGACGAGGCUGAAAAAGCAGGUGCUUCUUUGAUUUCUGAGAUCGGCCCUCGUGGUCUCUGAGCAGCCCAGCUUUUGAGAAAGCAAACGCCUCUUCGAUUUCUGAAGCUCCGUCGAGUGCAGAUUUUUAUAGAGGCUGGCAUUAAGUUCCACAGCACACUUGAAUCUCUACCAGUAGAAGCUCAUUUCUUGCACUUCUAAGAUCUUGAUUUGUCUGACCUCUUCCCUCUUCAACACAUUUGAAAAUGUCUGGACCCUCCGACCGUCGUUUUGACUUGAACCUUGGAGAAGAGACAGCCACGCCUUCUCCAGACAACAUAUGGCGCCCAUCAUUCAUAUCCCCUACCGGUCCUCUUACCGUUGGGGAUUCUGUGAUGAAGAAUGAUAUGACCGCUGCAGUGGUGGCCAGGAACCUUCUCACUCCCAAAGAUAACAUACUACUUUCCAAACGGUCUGAUGAGUUGGCUGUUAAGGACUCUUUGGCCCUUAGUGUUCAGUGUGCAGGUUCUGUGUCUAAUAUGGCCCAACGCCUAUUUGCUAGAACCCGCCAAGUUGAAUCAUAUUGGCUGCUGAAGUGAUGAGUCUCAAACAGGAGAUUAGAGGGCUCAAGCAUGAGAAUAAGCAGUUGCACCGGCUCGCCCAUGACUAUGCUACAAACAUGAAGAGGAAGCUUGACCAGAUGAAGGAAUCUGAUGGUAAGGUUUUACUUGAUCAUCAGCGGUUUGUGGGUUUGUUCCAAAGGCAUUUAUUGCCUUCGUUCCUCUGGGGCUGUACCUGGUAAUGAAGCUUCAAAUGAUGAACCUCCAAUGCCUCCUCCUUCUGGGGUUUUGUCAAGUACUGAGGCUCCGGAUAACCACCCUCCGGUGCUUUCUCUUUCUGGGGCUCUACCGACUGCUGAGACUUCCCCUAAGCAACCUUUGUGAAGGCUCCCUUUUGUUUGUUUAUUUUGACUCAUGUAUAUGUACAUAUUUGUGGCUUAUCGAAAAUAUUAAUAAAAUAAGCUUUGCUUCAUUUCAACAUAUUGUGUUAAAUACACCAAAGCCUUCUUCAUAAAGUUCUUUGAAUUUUUGCUUUUGUUGAAACCUGUAUUGUUGAAGCUUUGUGAGUGAAGCAUGUAGUUUGAGGUAGUGUUCCCUUAAUUUCUCGAGUGAGGAAAACUUCUCGGUUGGAGACUUGAAAAAUCCAAGUCACUGAGUGGUUGUGAGACUGCCGAGUAUCAAGGUGCAGUAGCAUAUGGUGGGAGUCCCCCAAGUCUUCAGGCGAAGAGAGUUGCCGAAUGAGGUGUCUCGCGUGUUACUAAUUUGUCAAAGUAACGAAUUCUUGUUUCGAUGUCACACAUUCGUAUAUGCUUUAUCUAAAAAAUAUUUCCAACUUUUGUGUGUGUUUGAUGCUGCAUGCUAUUGACUAGACAAGAUCAAGUGCAAUUAGUAGCUUUCUCUCUUUUUCAUCUUUUCUUUGGUGGAAUUGCUUUUCGUUUCCACUAAUCAGCCUGAGUGGAUGCAAGAUAACACCUUUCUCUAUAGCUCAGAUUGCAAAGUCGUCUUCAUGAAAGUUUUUCCUUAUCUUGUGAACUACAAUAUAUCCAAAUUUGAGAUCCAUCGGAGUAGUACAACUUCAGAAAUUCAAGUAUGAUGAGUAACUGUUCAUCAAUGUUCUGUUAAUCCGUCAGACUUGUUGUGAGCUUCGAAACUCCAUUUUCUCUUGUUCAGAUCAACAUACUUUCUUUCUUCAUCGAAGUUGUUCCUCAGCUUGUGAACUACAACAUAUCCAAAUUUGAGAUCCCUCGGAGCAGUAUAACUCCAGAAAUCCAGGUAUGAUGAAUGACUGGUUAUUAUUUUUCUGUCAACCCGUCAGAUUUGUUGUGAGCUUCGAAACUCCAUUUUCUCUUGUUCAGAUCGGUAUGCUUUUCUUCAUUGAAGUUGUUCCUCAGCUCGUGAACUACAACAUAUCCAAAUUUGAGAUCCCUCGGAGCAGUAUAACUCCAGAAAUCCAGGUAUGAUGAAUGACUGGUUAUUAUUUUUCUGUCAACCCGUCAGAUUUGUUGUGAGCUUCGAAACUCCAUUUUCUAUUGUUCAGAUCGGCAUGCUUUCUUCAUUGAAGUUGUUCCUCAUCGUCUCUUUCAUAACAUAUCAAAAAUUCAGAAUGAACUAAUGGUUAAAUAUUUCCAGAUCUUUGAAACAUCACAGCAGCUUCGAAAUCUGCAAGAAUCCGACUGUCAUGUUUGGAACUUCAACACUUUAAUUUCCGUCGCUCAAACAGAAAUGGUUCCUUCUUGAAAGUUGUUCAUAUGCUCAAGAACUAUAGGGUGUCCAAAAUUCAGCUCCAUUGGAGAAGAGCAGAGGUUGCAGAAAUUUGAUAGAUGAAAGGAGGCGGAAGAGGGAGAGAGAGAAAAAGUCUCUUGGGUUGGAUUUCUAUUUUGGGGCAGAUUCCAAUUUUUGUAGCACCUUCAUUAUUGAUGAAUUGCUUGUACUUUUGUCCAUUAUGAAACUUGGGACUUUGGCUUGUUGUUGGAUCUAUUAUAAUAUGUUUGGGAACAUAUAUAAGUGAAUAAAUAAGAAGGAAAAUUUUGGGCCCUUGUGGGUGUAAAACAAAAAAUGUUUAUGUUUACCCAAGUGGUUUUGUGAACAAAAUUUGUUUAUUUGGAGCAAGGUUUUGUGUUGAAGCUUUGUAGGUGAAGCUUUGUAGAUGAAGCUUUCGAGGUGAAGCUUUGAUGGUGAAGCUUUGUAGAUGAAGCUUUCUGGGUGAAGCUUUGAUGGUGAAGCUUUGUAGAUGAAGCUUUCGAGGUGAAGCUUUGAUGGUGAAGCUUUGUAGAUGAAGCUUUCUGGGUGAAGCUUUGAUGGUGAAGCUUUGUAGAUGAAAGUAUGUAGAGGGAGCUUUCUAGGUGAAGAUUUUUUAGGUGAAGCUUUGUAGGUGAAGCUUUUUUAAGUGAAGCUUUUCGGGUGAAGUUUUUGUUGGGUGAAGCUUUGUGGGUGAAGCUUUUUAGGUGAAGCUUUGUGGGUGAAGCUUUGGAGGUGAAGCUUUUCGGGUGAAGCUUUUUGGAUGAAGCUUUUUUUUUUUUUUUUUUUUUUUUUUUUUUUUUUUUUGGCGCUUGACACGGUCUUCAUUUGCUUGUUUUGUAGUGACUGUGGAAGACGGAUUGCUUUCUGAAUUGAGAAGGGUUCCGGCAUCGCUUGCUAUGAAUGUAAAAGAGUGAGGGCUGAGUUGGCUAAAUUACCUCUUUAUUGAAUUCAUUGCCAAAUGGCCUUCAUUACAUAGGAUGCCGAACGGCUAUAGCUCAACACUUGUACAUCGUGAGUCUAUUUGUAGUAGUACUUCAAGUGAUCAGCGUUCCAUGGAUGGCCAAGGGUCUUGCCAUCGGAGCUUCUAAGUGUGUAAGAGCCAGGGCGACUGAUGCCAAUGACUUCAUACGGUCCAUCCCAGUUUGGACUAAGUGUGCCUUCACUCGGGACUCUGUCGCAGAGUAAUCUUUUCUUUUAAGACCCAGUCUCCUAUUUUGAAAGAACGAGGCUUGACCCUAGAGUCAUAAUAGUUGGAGAUGCGCUGCUUGUAGGCGACAUUCCUCAAGUGAGCUUGGUUUCUGUGUUCCUCGACUAAAUCCAAGUUGAGGGUGAGUUGUUUGUCAUUUUCACUUUGAAUGUAGUUCUGGACUCGGAAUGUUGCUUGCUCGAGCUCAACAGGGACAACCGCCUCUGUGCCAAAGGCAAGUGAGAAUGGAGUUUCUCCUGUUGAAGUCCGAUAUGAAGUGCGAUAUGACCAAAGAACUUGGGGUACAAAUUCUGGCCAACAGCCUUUAGCUUUGUCCAAGCUGGUUUUCAAAGUGCGCUUGAUUAUUUUGUUGAUGGCCUCAACUUGUCCAUUAGACUGGGGAUGAGCUGGAGAGGCAAAGCAUAAGUUGAUGUUGAACUUAGAGCAGAACAACCUGAACUUCUUGUUGUCAAACUGUCGCCCAUUGUCAGUGACUAUCGCAUUGGGAAUGCCGAAUCUACAAAGGAUGUUCUUCCACACGAAGUCUUCUAUCUUUGCCUCAGUAAUGGUUGCCAAGGGUUCUACUUCGGCCCACUUUGUGAAGUAGUCCACUGCAACGACUGCGUAACAGACUUUGCCCUUCCCUGCCGGCAUUGGGCCGAUCAAAUCAAGUCCCCACUGGGCGAAGGGCCAAGGGCUGAUCAUAGGAGUAAGAGGCUCUGGAGGGGAAUGAGGAAUAGUUGCAUAUCGUUGACAUUUGUCACAUGAGCGGGAUACUUUGAUGGCAUCCUGGUGGAGUGUUGGCCAGUAAUAUCCUUGGCGAAAAGUCUUGUGUGCUAGGGACCGAGAUCCAGCAUGAUCUCCACAGACUCCCUCAUGUAUUUCCCGAAGGACGAUUUCCGCCUCGGCAGGCGUAAGACACCUUAAGUAUGGCAGGCUAAAACCUCGCUUAUAGAGUUGAUCAUUGAUGAUCAGGUAGCGGGUAGACUUGUAUCGAAUUUGCUUAGCCUGGACUUUAUCAUUUGGGAGGGUGCCAUGAGCAAGGAAAUUAUAGAUCGGGGUGAUCCAACUAUCCCCCUGUUGUAAGUUGCAUACUUCUGCGGCCAUGGUGCUUGGUGUUGCCAACAGUUCGACAUGAAUUUUUCUUCCAAUCUUGUCUUCCACAGCUGAGGCGAGGCGAGCCAGGGCGUCUGCAUGACUGUUUGCCGCUCGAGGAACUUGGGUGAUCUGGUAGUGGAAGUGCUUGAGUAAAAGUUGUGUUUGCGCAAGAUAUGCUGCCAUGGAGCUGUCCUUAGCAUCAAAGUUGUUGGUAACCUGGUUGACCACUAAUUGGGAGUCACUGAAAAUAUCAAUUUGUUUAACCCCGAGGUGUUUGGCCAAACGUAAUCCUGCUAGAAGGGCUUCAUACUCGGCCUCAUUAUUUGAUGCCUUGAAUUUGAAACGAAGAGCAUACUCCAUUGCUACUUUGUCGGGUGUAGUCAAGACUAGUCCCGCUCCACAGCCCUGUUGGUUGGAUGAGCCAUCAACAUACAGACUCCAUGCUGGGGUUGUUGGUUCUAUCUUCUGAGCUUCCGGGGGUAAUGAAGCCACUGUUUCAGGUGUAGAAGCAAUGUCAACCGGAUAUGUGAAGUCGGCAAUGAAGUCUGCCACUGCUUGGCCCUUCUCAGCUGGCUUUGGUUGGUAGGAGAUGUCAAACUCACCCAACGCUAUUGCCCAUUUGAUCAUUCGCCCUGAAGUGUCAGGACUUUGGAGUAUCUGUCGAAGAGGAUAAUUGGUAAGCACGAUGAUGGAGUGCGCUUGGAAGUAAGGGCGGAGUUUUCGAGCAGACAUGACCAAUGCCAGAGCCAAUUUCUCAAUGUUAGAGUACCGUGUCUCCGCAUCUUGUAAGGCUUUGCUAGCGUAGUAGACAGGUCGCUCAAUAUUCCCAUCCUUUCGAAUGAGAACGGAACUUACGGCUGAAGCUGAUACCGAUAGGUAGAUAAUGAGAAUGUCUCCUACCUCGGGCUUGGUGAGUAGAGGGGCUUUACUCAUGUACUCCUUGAGGUUUUUGAAUGCCUCGGCACAUUCAUCAGUCCAUGUAAUGUACUUCCUACUUCCCUUAAGUGCUUUAAAAAAGGGAGCACAUUUGUCUGUGGCCUUAGAAAUGAACCUGGUUAAGGCUGCCACCUUGCCAGUAAGGCUCUGGAUGUCCUUUGAAGUUACCGGUUCCUUCAUGUCGAGGAUUGCUUUGAUCUUCUCGGGAUUAGCUUCAAUGCCUCGUUGGCUAAUCAUGAAACCUAAGAAUUUGCCAGAGCCUACGCCGAAGGCACAUUUGUUGGGGUUUAACCUCAUUCGAUACCUCUUCAAAAUAGUGAAAGUUUCAGAUAGGUUGGUGAUGUGUUGGUCAGCAUGUUUGCUCUUGACUAACAUAUCAUCAACGUAAACUUCCAUGCUCUUCCCAAUCUGCUCGGCGAACAUUGAGUUGACUAGUCUCUGAUAAGUCGCUCCUGCAUUCUUUAGGCCGAAAGGCAUGACUUUAUAGCAGUAUAGUCCUCUGUCGGUAGUGAAGGCUGUGUGUUCUUGAUCCGAAGGGUUCAUGAGGAUUUGGUUGUAUCCUGAGUAAGCAUCCAUGAAGCUCAGGAGUUCACACCCGGCCGUAGAGUCUAUAAGUCUGUCAAUAAGAGGAAGAGGGAAGCUAUCUUUCGGACACCCUUUGUUUAGGUCGGUGUAGUCAACACACAUUCUCCACAAGACCUUUUGAAGCGAAAGACUUUCUUUGGUCGGAUUUUUCCUAACAAGGACCACAUUUGCUACCCAUGUCGGGUAAUUGACUUCGCGGACAAAGCCUAUGCCUUUGAGUUUUUCAACUUCUGCUUUCAUUGCCUCGUAUCGUUCAGCGUCAUAAGAUCUUCGCUUCUGUCUCACCGGCUUGAUCUUGGGGUCAAUACUCAAACGAUGACAGAUGACAUCGGGAGAGAUGCCUGGCAUGUCCUCGUAUGACCAGGCGAAGACUUCAGUGUUCUCUUUCAAAAAAGAUAUCAAUGCUAACCGAAGGGGUGGUGACAAUGUGGUGCCAAUCUUCACCAUGUGAUCUGGAUAAUCUCUUGAGAUAGGUACCUUCUCCAACUCUUCAGCAGGUUGGGCUUGCUGGGUGAAAGAGUCAUCUCGAGGAUCAUCGGGUUGAUUGUUGCUAUCAGGAAGAUCCAAGUUCGCUUCAUCUAGGCUGGUCUUUGUGACUUGGUCAUGUACAGACAGGGUUUCCUUGGGUCCGGGCAAGUGUUGUUGCUUAACUGAAGUGUUGUAACAUGAUCGUGCACUAAGCUGAUCUCCUCUGAUGUAGCCGUUGCCAUGGGGGGUUGGAAAUUUCAUCAACAGCAUAUGCGUGGAUACCAUAGCCUUGAGAUCAUUGAUGCCUGUGCGCCCAAAGAUGACAUUGUAUGCCGUUGGGCAGUCAACCACUAGGAAGUUAGUGGUAAUGGUAGCCGUGUAAGGGCCUGUACCAAUAGUAAAGGGUAAAUGUAUGCUCCCUAAGGGUUGCACGAUAUCACCGGAGAAGCUUAUCAGAGGAGAAAUCGAGCGAUCGAGCAAGUGUUCAGCUACACUGAGUGCCCUGAAAGCUUCGGCAAACAUGAUAUUGACCGAAGCCCCUGUGUCUACGAGGAUUCGUCGAACAUCAAAGUUGGCUAUGUGAGCCUCCACGAUCAAUGGGUCGUUAUGAGGGUAGAUGAUGCCUCUUUCUUCCUCAGGGUAGAAACAUAUCGGAUCCCAGUUAGGCUUUUGAUACUUCCCUCCCCUGAUGUCUUCCACGUGAAACACUUGGUGACCAGGCCUCAGAAUUCGUUCACUGUUUUUCAUGGCCCUAUUGGAAGAUUCAGAUAUGGGUGUGCCGCCGCUUAUGGAAUAUAUGACAUUCACCUGGCGUUGGUUACGGUUAUCCCUUUGAGGGUGAAGGAGGAAUUGAUCAAUUUUUCCUUCUCGUGCCAAAGCUUCAAUACGAUCACGGAGGAUGAUACAUUUCUCGCUAUCAUGGCCGUUAUGCUCAUGGUAGCAACAAAACAUGCCCGCGUUAUUCGGGGGCGUGUAAUCUGGGUGCCUCGGCUUUGGCUUUGGUAUCAGGUGAGCUAUGCUGGGGUAAAUGGCCGCGCAUGUGGCAUUCAAGGGCGUGUAUGUCUCAUACCUUGGGGUAGGGGGUAUCUUGACGCGGGUUUGACCCACUGCAUUGACUGCCUGGGGGCGAGCGUUAUUGUGGCGAUACCCUUGGUUAUCGGGAUAGUGUCCCUUACUCUUUUUUACUGAAAUGAGAGUGGUGAGGAUGGAAAUCCUUCCUCUUGCCUUGAAAUUGAUAUGUCUGUUGAUUCGGCGAAGCAUUAUGCAAGGCAUGGGGAGGUGCCACUGCUGUUUGGAAAGUCGAGGUCUUCUCAUUUAGGUGAGUCUGGCUUCCACCUCCCACUUGUUGAUAAAGGAUGGUUGUAGGGGGUUUCUCCUGAUAUGUCUUUGCCUCGGCGGAGGCAUGGUUAUAAGCCUGCGCCAUCACCUCAGAGUAAGUCUUCCAAGUAUUGGCAUUGAUCAUGUAUUUAAAGAAACAAUCACGUAGGCCUGCCGUGAAGGCUUUGAGGGCAGUCUUGUCGUCUGCCUCGGCACACCGGGAGUAUUCAUGGCUGAAGCGGCCAGCAUACAUACGUAAUGACUCGUCUGGCUUCUGGCGGAUAGUGUACAGGUCAUCUGCAGAGUGCAAGCGAUCGGUUUGGAAAAUGUGUUGGGAAACAAAUAGUUUCCUCAAUUCCUCAAAUGAGUCUACCGUCUCAGGUGUAAGACGACAAUACCAAUUUAGAGCUCCGCCAGAGAGGGUGGAGGGGAAGAGAAGACAUCGCUCUUCGUCGGUGUGCAUCCGGUAUGCCAUGGUGGACUCAAAGAGGUUAAGGUGCUCAAUCGGGUCCUCUUUUCCAGUAUAAAGUUGCAAGCCAAGCUUUUUGCUUUGUCUUUGCUUGAAGGGGGGUGUUGAGGAUCCUCCUUGUAAGAGGGCCAGGCCUGGGUUGGUUCCAGUCAGGUAUUUCAGCCUGACGUUCAGCCUUCAACUUGUUUACUUCCUCAAGAAGUUGUAGGACAAGGGGGUCCUGAGCGGAGUUAUGUGCCACUGGAGCUUUCUUUCGUAAAUCUCCAUCUUCUCUUGGAAUUAGGAAGGUUUGAUCAAGGGCAUGUGAUUUUUCCCUGGACUCGCUGUACUGGCUUCCAGGGUAUGUCUGUCGGAACACCUCUGAGUCCCCUGUACCCUCAUGUCUCUCUAGGACUUGUUGCCCCUUCCCCAAAUUGGUGGCCGGCUUGGGCCGUGGCAGGGGACCGAGUCUCUCAGAAAUCCUUGGGUCAUUAAUCUUUGAGCUUAUAUGGAUGGAAUUCUCUCGACGUUGCUUCAGGAAAUCCCGACAAUAGCGAAAGACAGCUUUCGAUCCUUCUGCCCCUUCAGCAAAGAGGUGUCUCCCUCCACUUCUCAUGGUUCGGGUUGAAGCAACUGGGUUAAGAGAAGCCUCAUGUUGAUUAUCAAGUCGAGGGGUAAUCUGUUCCCUAUCAGGGAUAUCUAUGUCGAAUGCAUGUGACCCUCCAUGUUGGAGGGCACCCAGUUGAUGGUUGACUUCCACGGGGGCAACAAGCUCGCGUGUCUGAGCUUGCCUAGCUUCGUGGAGUGUCUCGAAGAGCUUCUCAUAUUGCUCCUGGAGGACCUCAUUCCUCAUUGCUAUCUUGUUGUUCUGAGCUUCCAACUCAUCGACUUUAGCUUGAAGAAGAACUCGUUUUCCUUCCUUCUUUCGUUGUUUCGCACUAUGUGCAAGGGGGGUGUCAUUCUGUGUGCUGUGGCUUCCUUCGCUUCCCAUGUUGGAGAGGGAUGCCUGGUCAAAAGAAAGUGUACGAAUGAUAGAAACCAGCUUGACACAGCUGAAGAGAGUAGGAAUAAGUGUCGUUUCCCACAGACGGCGCCAAAUGUUGAUUAUCAAAAUCAGCGAAGACUUUGGUACAACAGAAAGUGUCAGGUUUUGUGACCUUCGCUUGGUUGCUUCGGUCACUAGUGAGGAUAAAUACGUAAAUAAAUAGAGACAGAGAAGCAAACACAGGAUGUACGUGGUUCACCCAGAUUGGCUACGUCCACGGAGUAGAGGAGUUCUUAUUAGUAGUGAAGGGCUUACACAAGUACAAAGGAUCAAGCUCUCAAUUUAGUGAGUUCUUGUGAAUGAUUUAACACAAAAUGGCAUUAGGCAAUAUUGUGGGGGAAUGACCCCUAUUUAUAGAAAAACUUGUAGCUUUGUCACAUUGACAUGUGUCAUGUUAUGAUUGGUUCUUGAUGUUGACACGUGAUGCGCUCUGAUUGGCUUCUAAUCCUGACACGUGUCGAGUAGUGAUUGGCCUCCUGGUCGGAGGGGAACUCUUCUGGGUCCUUGACAGUAUAGCGUUGGCCGGUGCUCGGUAGUUUCGGGAUUGGUCAAGUAUGGUACAAACAAGUUGUACUUAGUACAUUUGAUGGGCAAUCAUAUUUUAGUUGGUUCCGUUGAGUGGUCCGGAAUCCUUUUUGGUGUCUUGGUUCCGUUGAGAGGUCCGGAACCCGAUGCUGAUGGAUUUCGUUGAGGGGUCCGAAAUUGCAUCAUUUGAUUCAUUUAAGACAGCUUCAGCAAUGUAGACUUAUGUCGAAUUGUGUCGCUCUAACCCGGCAUUCCGAUGAAUUGUAUGUGUUAUUGAUGAUAUGGUGAUUGGCAUUAUUGAUUGAUGUGAUAAUUGGAUGGUAAUGGAAUGCAUAUGUGAGGAUGAAUGACGUUAUGAGUAGAGAUUAUUAUUGUGCUUUGUUAAAUGUUCCUUAAGGUGCUACAUAAUUGAAUUGUGGUAUUAUGUUGAGACCUAGUGGUCUAUGUGACGAAUGUUCGAUAGUAGUGAAAUGUGAACUACGAAUGACUUGAUCCCUGUUGAGGGUACGUAGGUAGUCUAACGAGGAGGUUAGAUGCAGUCAUAAAAUACACAAAAAUUACAACGAAAUUCGAAUAUUGAAUUAUGCUUUGUAAAUAUUUCGGGCGGGAUAUGUGAGAUAUACGGGUUUUUAAUGACGUCACGUGCUGAUCUUGGACGUAUGUCGGGAUCAGGGCGUGACAAAAUGAGUUUUAUGAAAUGAAAUGGCAUGCCAAUUAUAUUUAUAUUAAGAAUGUGCAUAUGUGAUUAUAUAUGUUGUGAUUCGAUGCUAUGGGCGCUCAGGUAAGUUUCAAGUAAGUUUAUGUGUUGAGUUUAAGGUGUGGAAAAAUGAUGAUUGUUGAGAUGUGUUGAGAGCUCAUUAACCUGCACCCGGGUGUUAGUGCUCCUGCCCAUGGUUAGGGGCACAGUCUUUCACGUGAUGUUUACCUCCCGUAGCACACGCUCAUCUUGGAUCCAAGUUAGGUGCACAAUCCUGUUGUAUAGACCACUUUCAGUGGGUUCGACUCGUUGGUGACCUGCAAUCAUUCGCACAGUCUUCACGUGAUUGUAGCAUUAGAGCAUAUUUGUUUUACACCCAGUCAUGUCGUAUAGACCACUAUAGGUGGGUUCGACUCGUGUGCAGACAUGAUUUAUGAGAUAGAAUUCAGUUGAUUUGAUAUUCUCACAUGUUAUCACUCCUUGGGGUACUUACCUUGUUAUUUGAGAUGAUUGGCAUGGUAUAUUCACGUUUUGACUUUGGAUUUUGAUAUUGCUGGAUAUGUUGAGAUUACGAGUAUAUGUAUAUGCUAUUUGCUGGGAAAUUAUACAGGUUUUACAGAGAGGGGUUAUACUUUUGAGAAAUGAAAUGAUUUUGAAAAGUUUUGUUUUUUGCCCACUCACGCGUUUUGUUUUGCGCCCCUCUAGGUUUUAGGUAGCGUUGUUGGUGGCUUACGAGUUUUCAGCGGAGGUUCUGACAGACCAUCACUUAUGUAGAAUCACCUUUGGGUGUUGUUAUUUAGUACUUUUAUGCUUGACUGCACUUAGGCUAGUUAAGCUCUGAUUGUGUAUUCACACUUAAUUUCCACUCUUGCAUCUUAGUCUUGUCUAGUACUAUCAGGAUUUGGUUUCUAUUCAAUUGUAUUUCUCUAUAUUAAUCUUGCUUCCGCACUGUGCAUAUGGCUACGUCACCCUCACGUGACGGUUAGCAUGUCUCGAUCUUGGUCGGGGUGUGUCAUCAAGUCACCUUUUAACUUCUAUUAUGUUGAUUUUUGUCUGUAGGUACACAAAAAUAUGCAGAUUUGGCUUUCAAAUUGAGAGGCCUAAGGACAAUCUCUGUUCAUAGAAAAAAAAGUUGGACAUAGAAGGCAUGGGUAUGGGAACAUGAUUGGUUGUUAUAUUGCUUUGGGACGUUUUGAUAUUUUAGAGAUUAAUGAGUUUGUGGAGAUUUUGUUUUUCACAUCUUGCUUUGUAUUUGAACUUAAGCACUAUAACUGAACUUACUUUAAAAUUAUAGGACUUCAAAACGCGACCGCGGUUAGGAUUAGAAAGGGCCAAGUAUAUAUGUUGAGAAACUAGGCAUUGCAAGCAUAUAAAUUCCAAUUUUAUUAUUGCUAAACCAUAUAUCAAAUGUAGUUAGGAAUUAAAUUAAGUACAAACUACAUGGGGAUGGAGAAAGUUAUGUAUAGGUGAGAGCCUAAAAAUACUUGAGAAUCAAAUACUGCACAAAUUUGUGAUAAGUUAGAUGAGUAAAGAUCGCCUUUUGUCAAGCAGUUUUUGACUUUUCUGCAUUCUUUUAUAUAGUUUUUUCUUUUUUUCUUCCUAUUUUGUCAGAUUAGAUAGAUAGGGGCGCUAAUAAAAAAAAAGAAAGAAAGUAUUUUUGCAUUUUGCUGCACGUGAUGAUGUUGAUGAUAUACAAUAUUCAAUGACUAAACCCUAUUCCCUAUACUAUAGCAAAAAAUGAAGCAUAAUUAUACAAUAGCUACACACAAAACAUUGAAAGUAUACAUGCGUGCAGUAAGAAUGAAUGGUAAAAAUGCCAUGUUCCUUUUAACAUUGCGAAUUACCGAGCUUUAUGGAGGGAGUAUAAAUACGAAUGCUCUUGGUGGUCUUCAUCUAAUUUCUUAUUAGUAUCAUCUCGAUGUUUUGGAACUUUUGACAGCCCUCUCACCGAACAUAUAAUUUUUAGGGGCGCGCAGCGCUCGUAAUUAAAAAAACGCGCAUGCGGAGAGGCUGGUAUAUACUAAAGUCCUACGCCCAAAAAUGCUGUUCAUAAGAGCAGUGUAAAGACGCAAAUACCCCUCCUCAACUGAUCUUUUCCUUCCUAUAUUUCAUGAGGCUACAGUAAAAAGACGAAAAACCAUGUUGCACACGUGGCGUGCUAGCGAGAUUUCUCUCUUCCACCGCUUCCUUCCUCUGCAGUCUACACCUCUUGCGUUUUUGCCUUUCCUCUCCAGCUGUCGGCCAUCACAGAGUCUUAUGGCAUCUUCCCGUUCUUUUCGCUGUUUUUCCUUCGGUUGCUUUUCACUUCUUUUCCUCUAAUUUGACUUCGUUUGUUUUGUGUUAUGUGGUUUUUAUUGAUUUUCAAUGUGUAUUGAUUGAUACUAACAAUUACAAGAUGAAACUUAUAUAUAGGGAAAGAAAGAUGACAUAAGCCUAACUUGCCUAACUUGCCUAACUUACACAAAGAAAGUUGACUAGCCUAACUUCACUAGUCAUCCAAUACAAUUGUUCCAACAUGUUUAUUUCAUGCAUUUUAACACUCCCCCUCAAGUUGGAGUGUGGAUGUCAAUGAUACCCAACUUGCUAAGUAAGACCUCAAAUUGCGCCGAGCUUAGUGGUUUGGUGAACAAAUCUGCAGGUUGAUUCGAGGUUCGUAUGUAAGCUGUUUGCACCAUUCCCAUCUGAAUCUUCUCACGUACUAAGUGACAGUCGAUCUCUAUAUGCUUCGUUCGUUCAUGAAACACUGGGUUCGAAGCAAUGUGCAUGGCAUCUUGAUUAUCACAAAACAAUGUGACUGGUUGUGCAUGAUUCACUCGUAAGUCCUUCAAAAGGUUUCUUAGCCAUAUAACUUCACAACAGGUGAUAGCCAUAGAACGAUAUUCUGCCUCUGCACUAGAACGAGAUACUGUGCUUUGCUUCUUUGUUUUCCAAGAUAUCGGUGCUUGCCCAAGGAAGAUACAAUAACCGGUUAUUGACCUUCUAGUGUCUUUACACCGAGCCCAAUCAGCAUCACAAAAAGCUUGUAAUUGUAGUGAACCUGUAGAAGGCAAAAGAAUUCCCUGGCCAGGAGAUUGUUUGAUGUAUCUGAGAACCUUAUACACUGCAUCAAGGUGUGGUUGUCGCGGCUUGUCCAUGAAUUGGCUUAACAUAUUAACCACGUAAGUCAGGUCAGGCCUCAUGAUGGUUAAGUAAAUUAGCCUCCCUACGAGUCUCCUAUAUGAAGAAGGAUCAUGUAGGAGCGUCCCUUCAGUUUAUGUAAGGGACAAGUUUGGUUCCAUGGGCAAUCGUGAGGGCUUCGCACCAAGGAACCCAACAUCUUCUAGUAUCUCCAACGCAUAUUUGCGUUGGCACAAGGCAAUCCCUUGUUUAGAUCUUGCAACUUCUAUCCCCAAAAAAUAUUUGAUUUUUCCCAAAUCCUUUAGCUUAAAAUGUUGGGAAAUGAAGAGUUUAGUCUCUUCAAUUUCUCUCAAAUUGUUACCUGCAAGUAUUACGUCAUCAACAUACACAAGUAAUGCCAUGAAACUGCCUUGAUUGAUGAAAACCAGCAGUCUUGAGAGCACUAGACAGCUUAAUAAACCACUGUCUUGAGGCCUGUUUUAAACCAUAAAUGGAUUUGUGUAAUUUGCAUAGUUGUGUCUCCCCCUUUCGUCCGAACCCAGGAGGUAUAUAAACCUCAUCGUAUAAGUCACCAUGCAAAAAUGCGUUGUUUACAUCAAGUUGGUGAAGAUGCCAACCACAGAUGAAGGCAAUACUGAGGAGGACAUGGACGGUGGUGAGCUUGGCAACUGGAGCAAAUGUUUCCCGAUAAUCAAGCCCUUCAAUUUGACUAUAGCCUUUAGCAACGAGACGGGCUUUGUAGCGUUCAACACUGCCGUCAAGUUUAAGCUUCACCUUAUAGAUCCAUUUGCAGCCUAUGGGAUGUUUGUGAGGUGGUAAGGGCACAAGAGUCCAAGUGCGAUUGUCAUGGAGGGCAUCAAUCUCUUUUUGCAUGGCGUCACGCCAUUUUGGAUCCUGAACAGCCUGCGAAAAACUGGUGGGUUCUUUGAUAAUGGUGAGGGUGGUGAGAAAGGUUUUGUGAGGGGGGAUACAUGGUCAUAGGAUAAAUAACGAGAUAGGGAGUGAGAUGUACCUGAGGACUGAACCAUGCUUGUGGAAGAUGUGGGUGCAACACGGGAUGGGAGGGCCACCUCAACAUGAAAGUCUUGCAAAAAUAUGGAAGUUUUGGUUGGUCGAGUGCUAGGACGGAGUGCAGGGGUUGGAUCUGGUGAUGGAGUGGUUGGAGGUGGGGAAGAGUGUAGGGUAGGUGAAGGUGUUGAUAAGGUAUCUGGUGGUGGAGUUGUAGAGGGUAAAGGAGAUGAGGGUGGUGUGAUGUCGGCAAGUGUGGGAGAUGUGGUGUUUAUGUCUGCUGGUGCAAGGCUUGAAUGCGACUCAAUGGGAGAGGUCGAGUCAAACGGGAUAGGUGUAGUGUUUGAUGGAGACGGGGCAACGGAAGUGUUACAAUGUUGGAAUGGAAAAUGAUCUUCAAAAAAUACGACAUCCCUAGAAACAAAAGUCUUAUUGUGUUUUAUAUCAAACAAUUUAUAACCCUUUUGACCAUAAGGAUACCCAAGAAAAAUGCAUUGGAUUGCACGAGGGUCAAAUUUAGAGGGCCUUUGGGCAUGUGUAGAAGCAAAACACAAGCUACCGAAAACCUUCAAAUGAGAAUAGUUAGGUGCUUUGUGAAACAGUUUUUCGUAUGGUGUUUUACCUUGGAGAAGUGGAGUGGGUGUUCUAUUGAUGAGGUAGGCUGAGGUUAGGAUUGCAUCUCCCCAAAAACAUUUUGGCAGACAAGCUUGAAAGAGCAAAGCCCGAGCAACAUUGAGCAAGUGCCGGUGUUUACGUUCGGCAACACCAUUUUGUUGUGGUGUGUUGACUCAACUAGAUUGAUGUAUGAUGCCUUUGAGAGCAUAAAAUUGCUCAAGUUUAAACUCAGGGCCAUUGUCACUUCGUAUGAUUUGAACUCUGGUAUUGAAUUGAGUCUCAAUCAUUUGAAUGAAUUUGACUAAAAUGUCUUUUGUGUCAGAUUUAUGUUUCAUCAAAUGAACCCAAGUGCUUCUAGUGUAGUCAUCUACGAUGGUAAGGAAAUACUUGGCACCUGAAAUAGAAGCAACUUGAUAACCACCCUAAAUAUCAAUAUGCAAUAAUUCAAAACAUGAUUUGGUAGAAAUAGAGCUCAAAGGAAAGGGUGAUCGUGUUUGUUUGGCCAAUGGGCAAAUUGAACAUUUUUCCAAAUCACAAGCUUUAUUGUUAAAGAAAGGUAAUAACGAAGUGGCUUUAUGAGAUGGGUGUCCUAGGCGUUGGUGCCAAAGCUUUGGUGCGAUGGUUUGAAUAUUGUUGCAUGUUCUUUUCCUUGAUGAGUCGAGGUAGUAGAGUCCAUCCCUUUCAGUUCCCAUCCCAAUCAUCUUCCCCGAGCGAAGGUUCUGAAUGACACAAAAUUGGGUGAAGAAAAUUGUGACAUAUAAGGAAUCAUAGGCUAGUUUACUGAUGGAUAUUAAAUUUAAUUUAAAGAAUGGCACACAUAGGACAUUGUCAAGGAUAAGAUUAUGAGAGAAAACAACUUGUCCAAUGUGAGUGACUUUGGCAACGGAACCAUUUGGCAGUUCAACUGUAUGAUUUUCAACAGCUCGUGAGUGUGUAAAGAGACUAGGGUUGAAAGUUCUUCAUGACUAGAAGGAUUACCGACUUGAUUGGCAAAUGAUGAUUUGUUCUUGUUCAACAUUUGAAGGAUUUGCUUGCAAUCCUCCUGAGAGAACGGGAAAUUGGGCAACAUCUCUUGCUUGUUACUUUGUGAAACUUGAUUCCCUUUUGAAGAAAAAGGACGACUGCUUUCCGUUUCUGUGGCUGCUUUUCGUUUUCGACAGAAAUCGAAGGUGUGACCUUUCCAUCCACAAAAAGUGCACUUGAGAUGUGCACGACAGUUUUUGGUGAUGUGAUUUGUUCUAUUGCACUUUCCACAUCGCAUCUCUUUGUCUUCCGGUGUAGGUUCUUGCGACAAAUUCUUCACUCCAAAGACAACAGCCUCUGGUUGUGUACUCUUCCCAUUGGAAACCUCUGCCUGGCGUUCAUGUCGAAGGACCAACGCAUAUGCCUUGUUCACCGUAGGCUGUGGUUCAAGAAGAAGGGUAUUGCUUCGAACCGUAGCAUACGAUUCGUUCAAUCCCAUAAGGAACUUCAUGGUUUUCUGAGUUUCAACAUAUGAGUUCAUCUCAUUCUUUGUUCCACAACUGCAUGCUGGAAUGGAACACAAAGUAUCACGUUCAUCCCAUAAACUUUUAAGUUUAGUGCAGUAAGAACUUACACUCAUAUUGCUUUAGACGCAAUCAUGGAUCUCGUUCUUAACAUGGAACAGCUGAACUAUAUUCACAUGUGAGAACCUCUCCUGCAGAUCGGUCCACAUUUGUCGAGCAUCCUUGUAGUUGAUGACACUCCUUGAAAUCUCCUUUGACAUGGAGCCUAGUAGCCAUGUCUUGACCAAGUUGUUGCAGCGAUUCCAUUGUUGCAACUCCUCAGAAUUGUCCUCACUUGGUUUGUUGAUUGUCCCAUCAACAAAACCAAGUUUGUUCUUGACCGUUAAGGCCAUACUCAUGGAUUGAACCCAUGUGCUGUAGUUGUCUUCCACCAAUGGUUGUGGUACGAGGAUUGCACCAGGUUGGUCCGAGUGGUGGAGAUAGAGUGGGUGGUUGGGAUUUUCCCAUUUUGAAUGAGAAGCCAUGCCUGGAAUGGUUGACCUCAUGACUGCCUUAGAGCUUGUGUUUUGUGGUUUUCCCAGAUCACAGCUCUGAUACCAUAUUGAUUUUCAAUGUGUAUUGAUUGAUACUAACAAUUACAAGAUGAAACUUAUAUAUAGGGAAAGAAAGAGGACAUAAGCCUAACUUGCCUAACUUGCCUAACUUACACAAAGAAAGUUGACUAGCCUAACUUCACUAGUCAUCCAAUACAAUUGUUCCAAUACAAUUGUUCCAACAUGUUUAUUUCAUGCAUUUUAACAGUUUUGGUUUCGUUUGCUCUCUUUCCCUUCUUCUCUGUUGGUUUCUGUUGCUUCUCCAUCAGUUCACCCAAACCACCGCUUGCUUCUCCACCAGUUCACCCAAAUCCGACGAAGGGCGCCACAACAAACGUGCCAAUCUUCCUGCACCACCGGUCUCCGCAACGUUUUCCAAAACCCGCUUGACCGAAGGUAAGCGAAUUUGGUGUUCUGGAUUAUAUCGGAAUUGAAAUAGGUUUGGUUUCAUUAACUUUUUGGGUUAAUAAAUUUGUAUGCUCUGAUUCUUUUGAAUUUGAGUUUGGAUUGGAAUUUAAUUUUGAUUUACAAAUCUCUGAUAAAACCUCAACAAGAAACUUAAACCCUCAGCAAGAAACUUAAACCCAAUGCAUCAUCCUAUUAAUUCCAACAUCUCCUCAAUAAGUAUUCUAAGAUAUAAAUAUUACAAUUCUGGUGAUCAUAGAAAAAUGCAUAUUUGAGUGAUCAUGGAACACUGUUAGUAGCUACACAUAUCAUAAUAAUUUAGGAUAUGGACGUUAAAUUAUCUUAAACUGCAGAAUGUGGCUUUUACAUUGUUAUAUGGAAUUUCCCCUAGGAAGAAAUAGCAUUGAACUUAUAGGAUGGAUACAUAAAUAGCCUAUGUACGCAUUACAAAAUGAUUUAGUUGUUUGGGAUUAAACAAAGUUUGGUUUUUCAUGGUGAGUUCUCAACUGGGUUUUACUUAUUUUUUUGCCUCCGAUAUAAGUUUUAGAUGCUUUUCUUUGUUUUUCGCUAAUUUUUAAAUUUAUUUUUUUUACUAUUUAGUGUGAGAAAAUGGCUUCAAAAUUGGAUUUCCAAUGUCUGGGCAGAGGAAAACAGGAAGAGAACACCAAUGGUGGUUACGAAGGAGAAUCCCUUCUUUGCGGUGGAAAUUGACGGUCCAUGUGCAACAUUCAACCCAGUUUAUAAGAGCAGGGGUCAAUAUGAAGAACCAAUGACAUGGGGUUUUGUUUAAUUUUAUUAAGUUUUGUACUGAGGUAAAAUUCUCCCCAUUUAACAUAGUUUUAAAUGUUGAUUAGUAUAUGUGUAAAUAGGAUUGUGAGUAUGGUUGUAUAUGUAGUAGUAGAAUUGAAAACAUUGUUGUAAUUAUGUGUAAGUAGAGUUGUAAACCCGACGCAUCGCGCGGGCCUUUUUGCUUGUUACCCCUAAACGUUACAAAAAUCCCAAAAAUUAAAAGGAAACUAAAAAAAAUUAGAAUUUACCCAUAGUUUCGCGAAUCCCAGCCGGAUGAACUGGUGGCAGUUGUAAGAGCGGAUCUCCAGCUCCGAACCUCUUCUAUUUCAGCGUUAGAAUCAUGGUCGUGCUGAUCAAAAGCUUUCGCGAAACUUCCCUUUAGUUUACGACAUCAGACGGAUCAACUUCAUAGAAAAUGGGGAGUACAAUCUGUUUAUUGGUAUCCUCGCAUUCCAGGAUUUGCACGAGUUCUUUCAAGCACCAAGUGGAAGAAGCAUAGUUUUGAGAGAAAACUACAAUCGAAAUCCUUGACUCUCGAAUGGCUGACAGGAGCUUGGAAAGGCGGUCGCCUUUUCUGAGGUCUUCGGCAUCAAUGAAGGCGUUGAUUGGUUUCUGACGCAGGGCUUUGUAGAGAUGGCUGACGAAGCCCCUGCGAGUGUCUUCCCCUCUGAAAUUGAUGAACACAUCGUAUUUCCAACCAAGGCCAGAAGAAGAAGAAGAAGCAGCCAUUAAUCGAUCGAGCAGCUAAGUCCUAGAGUAAUGUAAGAACAGAAAUACUCGAUUGAUCAAUAAAUUGAAUCACAGAAAAAACUGGUCUGAUCGAUACGAAGUCAACGAGGACAGAAAAUUAUGCUUUAUGUGUUUUCACAUCUUCUUCCGGGAAAUUUAACGAAAAUAAUUUUCUUGCCGGCAAAAUUGACUUCAAAAUAUAAAAAUAUUCUUCCAGGUAUGGACAUAUGAAGUUUCAGUGUGAAACGAAUCUGCAUACUUUGGUUUGGUUUUGACCCAAGAAAAUGCUAAGAAAGGAUGGUUUAGCAGCUUUGCAUGAGGGGACUGGGUCAAAGUACUCUGUUGAAUCUGCCCUUGCCUACCCAACAACUUCUUUGUAAGUCGGAAAUAAAUCCCGAUCUUCCUAUUCACACGAAAAAUGAGUGGGGUGACAGGAAAUAUUUCUUGUUAAAUGUAAGCAUCUCACACAUGUGGUAUAUUCAAAGGUAUUGAGGCGACAAACGAGCGAUUAAUAGUUUGGCUUUUAAUUUGAUGUCACGGUAGUAACGGUACUUACUAUGAAAUCUUUGAUAUAUUUGCUUUUAGCUACAAAACAACUAAAACUCCACAAAUUGCUUAUGAAAAUAAAAAAUAUUGACAAGAUUUGAACUUGUAUUAUCUACAUCUUCACUACACAUUGUUGCUCCGCUCGUGUUCUGAAGUUGACAAUAGCUAGAAGGUCACAGCAAGAAGCAGAGGAGGCUAACUGUUACAGAAAAUUUGUUUAUUCAAAGCAUUAAUAAAAACACAUUGAAAUUAAUUCACGCAAAAAAUAAAUAAUACAGUGAAGGAUUUACAGUGGUGGCAGCCACACUUCAAAAAUAGGGCGUCUCACCCUGUGGAGAAAGCAUUUUUUGCUAUGAAUAAAAAUUCCACUGCGUAACAAAACAGGAGAUUAAUGAUUGAGUGAUAGCUGAGUUGUUUGCAAUGAGAGAGAUGUUUUUACUUUUAUUGAUAAGGAGUCUACAUAUGCGAUGUUCUCAUAGUAUAAAACUUCGCCGACAACAAUUAUAACUUGUUUGUGUUGAUAAAUUUUGAAUGACAUUAAUAUUGUCUAAUAUCUAAAAGAAUUUGGAUGGCUACAUUUUUUUUUUUUGGAAAACCUUUUAACCUUAUAAAUUGCGGGCUUCUUCCGACAAUUCCUAACUUCGUCACUGCUUCAGUCAACUCGAAGUCCUAGUGGUUCUUGUCCAUGAUAUCAAUAUCCCUACAAUAAACGGUGACUUCAAUAUGAGCUACACUCAGUCUAACAAAAAGUUUGUAUAGAGAAGAUAUGCAUGAAAAAAUGGCAAUGGUUGUGUUUGUGUUGCUGAACGAAUGAUACUGAAAUACCUAAACCCAAGUCAAGCUCCUUUAGUCCACGAAAACAAAAGUUUAGAAUACAAUAAUGUUUGCAUAUAGACUAGAGAAACGACAUACCGCAGGCCAGGAAGGUGCAGUGAAAGAGAGAGGAAGAGAGGAAAAGAGGAAAGAAACAAACAUGAAAUGACAAAGACUAUCAAAUAGAUUAUAACAAUGACUUCUUAGCGAUGGUUACAACUAUUUAACUAUCGAUAAUGCAUUAUUUUAGUUUGAAACGUGGAAGCAUUUGAGAAGUAGCAUGUCAACAACCAUUACACAAUAAUAUUGUCUAAUAUCUAAAAGAAUUUGGAAGUCUACAUUUUUUGGAACCUUUUACCCUUAUAAAUUUUGCGCCUCUCCUGACAAUUUCUAGUUUCGUCGUUGCUUCAGUCAACUCCAAGUUCUAGUGGUUCUUGUCUAUGAUAUCAAUAGCCCCACCGUAAAUGGUGACUUCAGUAUAAGCUACACUUAGUAUAAGUGUAUGGGGGACAUAUAUGUAUGAAAAAAUGGCAGUGGUUGUAUCUGUGUUGACUAACGGAUGGUACUGGAAUACCUAAACCCAAGUCAAGCUCCUUCAGUCCACAAAAAUCAAAAGUUUAUAAUAUAAUAAUGUUUGCAUAUAGACUUGAGAAAAGACAUACCGCCAGCCGGGAAGGUGCAAUGAACAAGAGAGGAAAAGAGGAAAUAAACGAACAAGAAAGGACAAAGACUAUCCAAUAGAUUAUAACAAUGACUUCUUAGUAGUGAAGUGAUUAAGCUAUUCCACUAUUAAUAAUGCAUUAUUCUUAGAUUGAAAUGGUUCAGAAAUUUAAAAGCCAGAAUUGACUUAUAUAAAAUCAAUUUUUAAUUGGGUAGAUGUAAUUUGUAAAACAAAAAUGUUUAUAAAAAAAAAUUUCUCUUGAAAAUGUAUUCUGGUGCCAGGAUUUAAACCUGGAUGAAAACUCUUAACCGUAAGACUUUUUGUAGUGAGCAACACUGGACUAGUUGAUAGACUAUGAUGAAAUAAACCAUUUAAAUGUACUCCUUACGUUAUGCAGUGCGCAUACUGGAUAAACAAUUAGUGCACAUAAUGUGGUUAUCUGAUUUGUGGGGAAUGGUGAUGCUCACCGCUGACUUUUGGUUUACUGACAGGCUCUCAAAGUUAAAUAUAUCAGAUUUUGUUUGACAUUCGUAACAUAUUUUAAUAUUUUCACCACAACAACAACAACAACAACAAAGUCUUUUCCCACUAAGUGGGGUCGGCUAUAUGAAUCCUAGAACGCCAUUGCGCUCGGUUUUGUGUCAUGUCCUCUGUUAGAUCCAAGUACUCUAAGUCUUUUCUUAGAGUCUCUUCUAAAGUUUUCCUAGGUCUUCCUCUACUCCUUCGGCCUUGAACCUCUGUCUCGUAGUCACAUCUUCGAACCGGAGCGUCAAUAGGCCUUCUUUGCACAUGUCCAAAUCACCGGAACCGAUUUUCUCUCAUCUUUCCUUCAAUUUCGGCUACUCCUACUUUACCUCGGAUAUCCUCAUUCCCAAUCUUAUCCUUUCUCGUGUGCCCACACAUCCCACGAAGCAUCCUCAUCUCCACUACACCCAUUUUGUGUACGUGUUGAUGUUUCACCGCCCAACAUUCUGUGCCAUACAACAUCGCUGGCCUUAUUGUCGUCCUAUAAAAUUUUCCCUUGAGCUUCAGUGGCUUACGACGGUCACACAACACGCCGGAUGCACUCUUACACUUCAUCCAUCCAGCUUGUAUUCUAUGGUUGAGAUCUCCAUCUAAUUCUCCGUUCUCUUGCAAGAUAGAUCCUAGGUAGCGAAAACGGUCGCUUUUUGUGAUCUUCGCUAGAUUACUCCGGUCAUUAGCGUGGAUAAGUAUAUAAAUGGAUAGAGAUAGGAAAGCAAACACAAGAUGUACGUGGUUCACCCAGAUUGGCUACAUCCACGGAAUAGAGGAGUUCUCAUUAAUUGUGAAGGGUUUACACAAGUACAUAGGUUCAAGCUCUCCUUUAGUGAGUACAAGUGAAUGAUUUAGUACAAAUGACAUUAUGAAAUAUUGUGGGAGAAUGAUCUCGUAAUCAUGAAACUUCUAAGUAUCGGAGUGUGGUAUCGUCUUGACUUGCCUUAUCUGUCUCAUAGGUAGAUGUGGCAUCUUCUCUGGAAGUACUCUUCCUCCAUCCAUGGGUGGUAUCUUUAACUGGUGGAGAUGCAUAAGGUAAUGUAUCAAUUUCACUUGAAGCUUACUUGUAGUUUCAGGCUUGGUCAAGCGCGAUACAAACCAUGUAGUAGGAGUCCCCCAAGUCGCCGAGCUAGGGGAUUUGCUGAAAGAGGUGACAGACAAGGUAAGCAAUCAGAGCUCCGGCUGAUUGUUCACAUUCUCCCUAUCUUGCAGGCAGCAUGAAGGAUAAAGAGAAGAAAAAAUGAGAAGAGAUGAUAUGGGAUACUUUUGCUUUUGAAGAAGUAACUUUCCACAGGCUUAUUCUUGAACUGAAGCUGGAGGGUUUUCUGGUUUCCUCCAGAGUAUAAGGCCGACUGAAGAAUUUGAGGGUCAAAACAAGUCCAUCAAAUCUAGAGUACGUUCGACCCUGCUGAUAUGGGAUACUUUUGCUUUUGACAGAGUAAUGGAUGUAUCGGCACGUGUGCUGUUACGCUUGUCUCUCCACAUGCUUCCUUGUAUCCUUCUCACUUGCCCUAUCUGUUCCUCAAGGCAAGAUGCGGUAUCUUCCCUGGAAGCAUAAGAUGUUGAAGAUGAGUACUCGAGAGCAAUGCCAGGUAAGUAAUCAGGUAAGGGGUUCCAGGCAGUCAGUUCCUAGCUGGAAGCUUGAUUCCAAGUGCUGACUGAUUGCUCUCUUUCUCCUUGUCUUGCAGGUAAAGAACAAGGCCAAAGGAAAAGACAGGGAAAAAGCAUGAUAUGGGAUAUACUCUUGCUUUUUAACCCUGAUGAUAUGAGAUAUUCUUGCUCUAGUAUAGCUUGUUUGUAGAGGUAUUAUCGGGGGGAAAGAAAGCUGAAUAUUUCGAAAGGCUUCGUUGGGAGUGCCCUCUCAGAUAUGAGAAAGGGUUGAGCAUUUUUGCAGGUCUGCCUGUCCGUUGGGGAUGGAGGUCGACAUAUAUAGGAGUCUCCCUAAUAACAAGUAGUAAUGUUAUUCCUUUACCCUGCUUGGUCAUAGCACGAUAGUUGGAGCUGCCAGCUUCACAUGUUUUAACUCUGUCAGAGCACUUUGAAAAAGUGGUCUGUGGUAUCUGGAAAGCUGAUGUUGCGUGUGAAGAUUACAGACAAGCUUUACCCAAGGAGAUUUGGUUCUUGAAGUUGGGAAAAUGGUGCCUUUUCGGUUUUCGAACAAGCAAUCCUAUCGGGGAUCUGGCUCUCGAGAUUUGGAGAACGAUGCCUCUUCGAUUUUUGAGAAAGCAAUCAUGCUGGGGGUCUAGCUCUCGAGAUUCGGAGAGCGGUGUCUCUUCGAUUUUUGAGAAAGUAAUCAUGUUGGGAGUCUGGCUCUCGAGAUUCGGAGGACGGUGCCUCUUCGAUUUUGGAGCAAGCAAUCUUGUUGAGAAUGUUUUCUCGAAUGUGAGUAAAGGUUGGGCAUGUUUGCUAGUCUACCUUGCCACGAAGCACAGAGGUUGACACACAGGGACUUUCCAAUUAUCCAGCAAUGGUACUGUUCCUUUACCCUCUUUUCGAUUUUUGAGAAAGUAGGCAUGUUGGGAGUCUGGCUCUCGAGAUUCGGAGGACGGUGCCUCUUCGAUUUUGGAGCAAGCAAUCUUGUAAUCUUGUUGGGAGUGUUUUCUCGAAUGUGAGUAAAGGUUGGGCAUGUUUGCUAGUCUACCUUGCCACGAAGCACAGAGGUUGACACACAGGGACUUUCCAAUUAUCCAGCAGUGGUACUGUUCCUUUACCCUCGUGGGUAAUAAUAUGGUAGCUAGACCUUCAAAAUUUAUGUGUCUAAACUUUGUUAGUGUUGUUUCUUUGCUAUUCUUUUACCCUUCUUGGUCAGAGCGAUGUAGUGGGAGCUGCAAGCUUCACGUGCUCAACUUUGGCAGAGAACUUUGGUAAAGUUAUCUGUGGUACCCAUGAGCUACUGUUGCGUGUGGGAAGUGGGUGAUUGAACAGUAAGAUUCAUGUGCCUUCUACUUCACCAGAAGUCUUCGACAUAAUGCCCAUAAUUUCCGCAAAGCUGAGUGUGCGUGUGACAGGUGCUGACAAGGCUGGAAAAGUAGGUGCCUCUUUGAUUUCUGAGAUCGACCCUCAUGGUCUCUGAGCAGCCCAGCUUUUGAGAAAGCAAGCGCCUCUUCGAUUUCUGAGAUCGGCCUUCGUGGUCUUUGAGCAACCCAGCUUUUGAGAAAGCAAACGCCUCUUCGGUUUCUGAGAUCAACCCUCGUGGUCUCUGAGAGUAAAGGUUGGGCAUGUUUGCUAGUCUACCUUGCCAUGAAGCACAUAGGUUGACACAUUCGGAGAGCGGUGUCUCUUCGAUUUUUGAGAAAGUAGUCAUGUUGGGAGUCUGGCUCUCGAGAUUCGGAGGACGGUGCCUCUUCGAUUUUGGAGCAAGCAAUCUUAUUGGGAGUGUUUUCUCAAAUGUGAGUAAAGGUUGGGCAUGUUUGCUAGUCUACCUUGCCACGAAGCACAGAGGUUGACACACAGGGACUUUCCAAUUAUCCAGCAGUGGUACUGUUCCUUUACCCUUAUGGGUAAUAAUAUGGUAGCUAGACCUUCAAAAUUUAUGUGUCUAAACUUUGUUAGUACUAUUUCUUUGCUAUUCUUUUACCCUUCUUGGUCAGAGCGAUGUAGUGGGAGCUGCAAGCUUCACGUGCUCAACUUUGGCAGAGAACUUUGGCAAAGUUAUCUGUGGUACCCAUGAGCUACUGUUGCGUGUGGGAAAUGGGUGAUUGAACAGUAAGAUUCAUGUGCUUUCUACUUCACCAGAAGUCUUCGACAGAAUGCCCAUAAUUUUCGCAAAGCUGAGUGUGCAUGUGACAGGUGCUGACAAGGUUGGAAAGGUAGGUGCCUCUUCGAUUUCUGAGAUCGGCCCUCGUGGUCUCUGAGCAGCCCAGCUUUUGAGAAAGCAAGCGCCUCUUCGAUUUCUGAGAUCAGCCUUCGUGGUCUUUGAGCAGCCCAGCUUUUGAAAAAGCAAACGCCUCUUCGAUUUCUGAGAUCAACCCUCGUGGUCUCUGAGCAGCCCAGCUUUUGAGAAAGCAAACGCCUCUUCGAUUUUUGAAGCUCCGUCGAGUGUAUAUUUUUAUAGGGGCUGGCAUUAAGUUCCAAAGCACACUUGAAUCUCCACCAGUAGAAGCUCCAUUCUUGUACUUCUAAGAUCUUGAUUUGUCCGACUUCUUCUCUCUUCAACACCUUUGAAAAUGUCUGGCCCCUCCGACCGUCGUUUUGACUUGAACCUUGUUGAAGAUGCAGCCCCGCCUUCUCAAGACAACAUAUGGCGCCCAUCCUUCGUCUCCCCUACUGGUCCUCUUACCGUUGGGGAUUCCGUGAUGAAGAAUGAUAUGACCGUUGCGGUGGUGGCCAGGAACCUUCUCACUCCCAAAGAUAACAGACUACUUUCCAAACGGUCUGAUGAGUUAGCUGUUAAGGAUUCUCUGGCUCUCAGUGUUCAGUAUGCAAGUUCUGUGUCUAAUAUGGCCCAACACCUAUUUGCUCGAACCCGUCAAGUUGAAUCAUUGGCGGCUGAAGUGAUGAGUCUCAAACAGGAGAUUAGAGGGCUCAAGCAUGAGAAUAAACAGUUGCACCGGCUCGCACAUGACUAUGCUACAAACAUGAAGAUGAAGCUUGACCAGAUGAAGGAAUCUGAUGGUCAGGUUUUACUUGAUCAUCAGAGAUUUGUGGGUUUGUUCCAAAGGCAUUUAUUGCCUUCGUCUUCUGGGGCUGUAUCGCGUAAUGAAGCUCUAAAUGAUCAACCUCUGAUGCCUCCUCCUUCUAGGGUUCUGUCCAGUACUGAGGCUCCGAAUGAUCCCCCUCCGGUGCCUUCUCUUUCUGGGGCUCUACCGACUGCUGAGACUUCUCCUAAGCAACCUUUGUGAAGGCUCCCUCUUGUUUGUUUAUUUUGACUCAUGUAUAUGUAUGUGUAGCUUAUCGGGGAUAUCAAUAAAUAAGCUUUCCUUCAUUUCAACAUAUUGUGUUAAAUACACCAAAGCCUUCUUCGCUAAGUUCUUUGAAUUUUCUUUUGUUGAAGCUUGUAUGUUGAAACUUUGUGAGUGGAUCAUGUAGGUUAAGGUAGUGUUCCCUUAUUUUCAUCAAUAUUGAUAUUUUAAACAAUGACAAUUCUUAGAAUACUGGAAUUCAUGUCAUUUUCAUAAACAAAUAAAUGGUUAAGAAAUGUAUAUAUUAGAAAAUUAAGAGCCAGAUUUAACUAAUAUUAAAUCGAUUUUAAAUCGGGUAGUAAAACAAAAUUAGGAAUCUGUGUCCUUUUCAUAAAUAAAUAAAUGGUUACAAAAUUUAUAUAUCAUAAAUUUAAAAGCCAGAAUUGACUUAUAUAAAAUCGAUUUUUAAUUGGGUAGAUGUAAUUUGUAAAACAAAAAUGUUUAAAAAACAAUUCUCUUAAAAAUGGUAUUCUGGUGCCAGGAUUCGAACCUGGAUGAAAACUCUUAACCGUAAGACUUUUUGUAGUGAGCAACAUCAGAUGAGUUGAUAGAUUAUGUAACGCCCCGCGCCCGAAAUAUUUAUUUUCAUAAAAUAAUUCCAAUGAUAAGCCUAAAUUAAAUUUUUUAUUUACAUUACAACCAAUAAUCACGAUUCCUUAUUUAAUUUUCUUAAUCCCUCACAAAAACUAUAACCCAUAAUUAACUUACCAAAACAUACGAUUAAAUUUUCAUAAUUUGUCACCAACUUCUACUCUUAAAACAACUUCCCAACUAAAGAUUAAAUCUCAAUUAUUAAGGCUACAUCUAACUCUUGUUAGACUGCCUACAUACCCUUUAGCGGGAUCAAGGCUUUCGUAGUUCAUAAAUCCGUUUAAAUCCAUUCUUAUAGCCGUUUCUGAAAAUAUUCUAGAAUUGGAAAUAUUCAACAUUAGCUUUCACAAUCGAAUCACAUCAAAUGAUUACCAAUUAUGGAUUUAAAUUGUCUAAAUUAGUAUUAAAAGGCAGCGUCGGCCCACUGGCCACGCGCCACCACGGGUGGCGAUCUCCAGUGAUCGGAAACCCCAAUUUCCGACAAACUCUACAAAUUACCAAAUUUUAUAGGGUUGUAGAGUUCAAUUAUAGGAACAACUUUCAUACUUGGGACGAAGUCCAAUUCGGCCAAGAAAAGCCCCAAUUUCACUCAAUUCCGUCUGAACCCUAGAAUUUGGGUGUCCUCAAUUAGUCAUCUCCCGUGCCCCGCCGCCCCAAACAAGGCUUGGUAGAUGUUCCUGGGUUCACAAGGAGUCUAACCAUGGUGGUAGUCAAUGGUGGUGGCUUCACAAACGGGAGAUCGCAGAAACGGACCCAUCGCACCCACCAAUGUAGGUUUCACUAAAUUAAAGCAUAUUUCCAUCGAAAUUGGGAUGGAAUUGGUGAAGGUAUCAAUUGGUAUCGAAGGGAGGGUUAUUUUUGGCACCGUUCCCAUCAUCAACGAUGGUCGGAAUAAAAAACAAUGGUCAGGUCGGGUCGGCGGGUUGAAGGAAGGUCUGGUUCCCUUCUCUCCUUUCCCUCCCUACCUCCCCCUCUGGUUGGUCCGUGUCUCUCGCCUUCUCUCCUUCCCUUUCCAUCACAGCCACACACGUGGCUUCUCAGAUCCUUGCUCCAGCAAAUCUGGAGCCUUUUAGAUAUUGGUCAAAUGACCAUUUUACUCCUAACUUCAAUUGUUAAUAACUUCUUCGUUAUAACUCCGUUUCAUGAACGGUUUUCGUCUACAUGUUCGUAGGGCCAUCCUUUAUCCAAAUAUAUCAAGAAAUCCGAUAAAAUAUAUGAGGAUAAAAUACAUCCUUGUAUAAUUACGUCAAACUAGUUAGGGCAUUUUCUUCUUUUCUACUUAACGAUAAAUUUUACUACGUAAAUUAUAAAAUUUCCGGAAACAAAACUUUAAAAGUUCACAAUUUUUUUUUCUUUCAUAACCAUAAAUUGAUUUAUUGUCGAUUUUUCUUCACAUAUUCAUAUAUUUAAAUUUUCAGGGUAUUACAGAUUAUGACAAAAUAAACCAUUUAAAUGUUCUCCUUACGUUAUGCAUUGCGCAUAUUGGAUAAACAAUUAGUGCACAUAAUGUGGUUAUCUGAUUUGUGGGGAAAGGUGAUGCUCACCGCUGACUUUUGGUUUAGAGACAGGCUCUCAAACUUAAAUAUAUCAGAUUUUGUUUGACAUUCGUAACAUAUUUUAAUAUUUUCACCGUUAUUGAUAUUUUAAACAAUGACAAUUCUUAGAAUACUGGAAUUCAUGUCCUUUUCAAUUUUCAUAAACAAAUAAAUGGUUAAGAAAUGUAUAUAUUAGAAAAUUAAGAGCUAGAAUUGACUAAUAUUAAAUCGAUUUUAAAUCGGGUAGUAAAACAAAAUUAGGAAUCCAUGUCCUUUUCAUAAAUAAAUAAAUGGUUAAGAAAUUUAUAUAUCAGAAAUUUAAAAACCAAAAUUGACUUAUAUAAAAUCGAUUUUUAAAUGGGUAGAUGUAAUUUGUAAAACAAUUUUUUUUUUAAAUAAUUCUCUUAUAAAUGGUAUUCCGGUGCCACGAUUCAAACCUGGAUGAAAACUCUUAACCGUAAAACUUUUUGUAUUGAGCAACACCGAACGAGUUGAUAGAUUAUGACGAAAUAAAAACAUAAUAAUUUCUUUCAAACUUAGUGAAUAACCUUCAGAAAAUAAAAACACCGAACGAGUUCAUAGAUUAUGACAAAUUAGUGGAUAAACACCUUCAGAAAAUAAAAACACCGAACGAGUUCAGCGGUGAGCAUCACCAUUCCCCACAAAUCAGAUAACCACAUUAUGCGCACAAAGAAUCAAUCAAAACAUAAUAAUUGAAUGAACGAGGAUUUCUUUCAUUUUUUCCAAAUUUUCUGAAGGUUUUUUCUAUAAGAACUUUUCUCUGACCAAUGCUUUCUAACAUUUCAUCAUUUUUUUUUAAAUUACACAAAUUCUUUGCAUACAUUGUUGUUAAAAAGAAAAUUUCUAUUAUUAAGGAGAGAGUUCGAAACUAUUGAAUUAUGGAAGAUGGACUUUUGAACUCGAGACACGGGUAGAAACCUAACACCUAUCCACUAGGACAUUAGAUCACCAGAGGUGGUCCUGGUUUUUUGGUGCCGACUGCCCAUGAACACUCAAAAUGUGCUUUUUUCCAGUACAACAUAAAUUAAACUGAAAGAUUUAAAAAGGGCUGGAGCCAGUCGAAGCUGUUGGGACAUUCUUCCAAAGAGGGAGAUGAAAUCGUUGAGGCUCUUACAGAUCCCACGUCACUGUCUUCAUUCAGCAGUUUUCCUCCAUCUACAUCAACAACUGCACGUUGCUCAAGAAGGUACUUCUAAAAAUUGAAAGUCAAACGAUAAAUUAUUAAGAAACAUUGAAUAUAAGCAUGAAACAAAGAAAAUGUUACGGAAUGGUGAUCCUCAUCCUCAAAGAUGAUUAAAAGCAAUUUGAUUCAAAAAUGACAUAUCAACUCUGGAGAAAUGGAAGACAAACAUGUGGUACCAUAUUCGCAACAGAGGUUAUGAAAGCUGAAAUCGAUUGUUCCUGUGUGCAUUGAUAAGUAAGACUACCGUAGAGAUUCACAACUAAGUAAAGACAGGUAUUCCACAGAACAACCCUGACCUCUUUGGAAACACAGAUCUAACAAAAACUAAAACAUUUUGGAUUAAUAUUGACUAAUCAAGAAUAAUGCAAGGGAGCAAAAGAGAUACUCUUCCUUCUAAUAACAAGAAGGCAUAAAAAGUAUACAGAGUUCCAACAAUUAGAGAACUUAAAUCAAACUAAAAAAAUCACCAAAGUAGACAGAAUUUCACUUCGCCAAAAAUUUGAAAAUAUAUCCUUUUUAUCCACUGAGAAUCAUAAACUACUACUACUACAUCAUGCCAAUAAGCAAUGCGUAAGAGGUGCUACAAUUUACCAAUAUAUUUACCCUGAGAACAAGUUUUGAAAUCAUCUCUAGUGUUAACAGCACCUUGCGUCCUUGGGUAAGCUGAGUCCUAGUAUCAAGUAAAGAGACCAAUCAGUACAUAUCCAAAAGAUCUUAAAUGCUUGUAAUACCAAAUAAGAAAGAAACAUGAGUAUAUCUUGAGUUAACCAUGCAAAAAUGUAAUGUUAAGGCAUCUUGUCAUACAGACCUCUUCAAGGUACCAGAAAUUUUUGCACUAAAGAUGUCACAAGCGGCUGAUAUGAAGCUGCAUUUUCUGUGAGUUGAGAUUUUGUCAAUAUAAUCGAUCACCUGAAGAGAGAGAGAGAGAGAGAGAGAGAGAGAGAGAGAAAGACAGUGAUAUCCAGAGAUGUGAGCCUAAAGGCUGAGUGUGUAAAAAAUAAGAUUAAAUGGAUAGCAAGAAUAUACAACUUUAAUGCCGAAAAGAACAUUAUAUGAUGCUCAUUCAUCAUUGCCAUUGAACGUGUACCUUCUUCUUUUCCUCUUUCUCAAAAGGAAGUAGACCCUUGAAGACUUGCCUAUAUGAUCCAUCAUCACAACCAGGCAAAGUCAUUUUAAUCAUAGCAACAAUGGCUCUAACUACCUGCCAUAAGAAACAUGCUACAUCAACAAGAUCACAGAGUGUACCAGAAACCGUAAUGUAGCAAAAUCUUAGAUAGAAUAGCUGGCCAAAAGGGAAUGGAAAAGCAAGCACAAAAAACAAUGAAAAGGACCAGUGAUGCCAAAAUUCAGGUGUUUAUAACUUUAAGUUCUACGUAGCAAAAACCACCUUAUGCACAACAAUAUUGGAAAAAUUAGAUACAUACAACUGAGAAGAUAGGUUUUCAUAAUCUGGACAAGUGCUAACUACCUUCUUCCUAUAAACUGCCACUCCAUGAACAUUAAAUGGUAUUUUCGUUUCACGCAAGGCUGUCUGGAAGACUUUUCCUGAUACCUGUAGUAUAAAAUACAAAAGAAAAUGUGACCAAAAUGUCUUAUAUGAUUCACCUCAUUCACAUUAGCACUAGGGCAAGCAAGCUUGACCUGCCUCCGGUAAAGGAUUGCUAUAUUUCCAUAGGAGCACCCUGCUUCUGACAGUUAGAUGCAGUCUCCAGGAUCUUGUCGACAACAAAGGCGCAUUAUGCAUCCUCAUUGUGACUUUCCUUGAUAAUUACCUACAUUUUGCCAGUAAAACCAGUGUCACUAACUAAAAAGACUGAAAAAUGACAUCAAAUUGUACUUGUUGGAGCAAGGAAAGAUUAGGUACAUUAGACCCAGAAGAAUUGUCGGUGUCAACAUUCUUUAGUUGGCAUCACUUCUUAUUGUUUUUUAUAACAGAAGAUGCAGCUUCCACAAUAUAGCGUGUGGACCGAUAGUUUUUAUUAAGCCUAAUCUGAACCAUAAAGUUAUGUCAAAUCCCACAGAACCCCAUAAAAUAAAACUUACUUUCCUGUAAUUAUACAAUAUAUUUGUUCUAUACUAUAUAUAAUGAAAAAAGACACUGAAUGACAUAAGAUAAACAUAGCAGUUAAGUGCGAAGGAACCUCUUUGUAAUUUGAAAAAUCUUUACAAAAAGAAUCAAAUCCAGAACUGUCCGCCCCGUUGAAACUGAAAAUGGACUGCAGCAGGAUAUAUGUUAUUUGAUUUAGAACAGAUAAGGGCUGGAUUAGAAUGAGCUGAGAGAGAGAGAGAGGGAGAGAGGGAGCAAUAAGAUUGGAUUUCCAUAAUAAAUCAACAACAUGCCUGAUCAUCAUCACCAACAAUGGUUAUGUGGUUAUGAGAGGCGAGAAUCCGCAAAAGACUAUACUGCAUAGCACUUGUGUCUUGAAACUCGUCUAUUACAAUAGCUUUCCAUGACUCCUGGCACUCCUCCGACACUAAUUAAGAGAACACCAUGUAUCAACAUUUAGCAUUACUUGUAAAACUAGAUAAAUCAAUUUAAUAUACUUAGAUGAUAGAGACCUUCAGGAAAAUCACUUAGCAGCUAAUUAAGUCAUGGUAGUCCAAAGCGUUGCACGAUUCCUAAGAAUUUCACCCUGAUUCAGAUUGAGAUCUAAAACUCAUAAGCAAUAGUUUCAGAGAACUGAAAUGAUAACUGAAAUUCUAGAACUGAAAUGAUAACUGAACAACAACAAAAACAACAACAAAGCCUUUUCCCACUAAGUGGGGUCGGCUAUAUGAAUCCUAGAACGCCAUUGCGCUCGGUUUUGUGUCAUGUCCUCCGUUAGAUCCAAGUACUCUAAGUCUUUUCUUAGAGUCUCUUCCAAAGUUUUCCUAGGUCUUCCUCUACCCCUUCGGCCUUGAACCUCUGUCCCGUAGUCACAUCUUCGAACCGGAGCGUCAGUAGGCCUUCUUUGCACAUGUCCAAAUCACCGGAACCGAUUUUCUCUCAUCUUUCCUUCAAUUUCGGCUACUACUACUUUACCUCGGAUAUCCUCAUUCCCAAUCUUAUCCUUUCUCGUGUGCCCACACAUCCCACGAAGCAUCCUCAUCUCCGCUACACCCAUUUUGUGUACGUGUUGAUGCUUCACCGCCCAACAUUCUGUGCCAUACAACAUCGCUGGCCUUAUUGCCGUCCUAUAAAAUUUUCCCUUGAGCUUCAGUGGCCUACGACGGUCACACAACACGCCGGAUGCACUCUUACACUUCAUCCAUCCAGCUUGUACUCUAUGGUUGAGAUCUCCAUUUAAUUCUCCGUUCUCUUGCAAGAUAGAUCCUAGGUAGCGGAAACGGUCGCUUUUUGUGAUCUUCGCUAGAUUGCUCCGGUCAUUAGUGUGGAAUGGAUAGUGAUAGGAAAGCAAACACAAGAUGUACGUGGUUCACCCAGAUUGGCUACGUCCACGGAAUAGAGUUCUCAUUAAUUGUGGAGGGUUUACACAAGUACAUAGGUUCAAGCUCUCCUUUAGUGAGUACAAGUGAAUAAUUUAGUACAAAUGACAUUAGGAAAUAUUGUGGGAGAAUGAUCUCGUAAUCACGAAACUUCUAAGUAUCGGAGUGUGGUAUCGUCUUGACUCGCCUUAUCUGUCUCAUAGGUAGAUGUGGCAUCUUCUCUGGAAGUACUCUUCCUCCAUCCAGAGGUGGUAUCUUUAACUGGUGGAGAUGCAGAAGGUAAUGUAUCAAUUUCACUUGAAGCUUACUUGUAGUUUCAGGCUUGGUCAAGCGCGAUACAAACCAUGUAGUAGGAGUCCCCCAAGUCGCCGAGCUAGGGGAUCUGCUGAAAGAGGUGACAGACAAGGUAAGCAAUCAGAGCUCCGGCUGAUUGUUCACAUUCUCCCUAUCUUGCAGGCAGCAUGAAGGAUAAAGAGAAGAAAAAUGAGAAAAGAUGAUAUGGGAUACUUUUGCUUUUGAAGAAGUAACUUUCCACAGGCUUAUUCUUGAACUGAGCUGGAGGGUUUUCUGGUUUCCUCCAGAGUAUAAGGCCGACUGAAGAAUUUGAGGGUCAAAACAAGUCCAUCAAAUCUAGAGUACGUUCGACCCUGCUGAUAUAGGAUACUUUUGCUUUUGACAGAGUAAUGGAUGUAUCGGCACGUGUGCUGUUACGCUUGUCUCCACAUGCUUCCUUGUAUCCUUCUCACUUGCCCUAUCUGUUCCUCAGGCAGAUGCGAUAUCUUCCCUGGAAGCAUAAGAUGUUGAAGAUGAGUACUCGAGAGCAAUGCCAGGUAAGUAAUCAGGUAAGGGGUUCCAGGCAAUCAGUUCCUAGCUGGAAGCUUGAUUCCAAGUGCUGAUUGAUUGCUCUCUUUCUCCUUGUCUUGCAGGUAAGAACAAGGUCAAAGGAAAAGACAGGGAAAAAGCAUGAUAUGGGAUACUCUUGCUUUUUAACCCUGAUGAUAUGAGAUAUUCUUGCUCUAGUAUAGCUUGUUUGCAGAGGUAUUAUCGGGGGGAAAGAAAGCUGAAUAUUUCGAAAGGCUUCGUUGGGAAUGCCCUCUCAGAUAUGAGGAAGGGUUGAGCAUUUUUGCAGGUCUGCCUGUCCGUUGGGGAUGGAGGUCGACAUAUAUAGGAGUCUCCCUAACAACAAGUAGUAAUGCUAUUCCUUUAACCUGCUUGGUCAUAGCACGGUAGUUGGAGCUGCCAGCUUCACAUGUUUUAACUUUGUCAGAGCACUUUGAAAAAGUUGUCUGUGGUAUCUGGAAAGCUGAUGUUGCAUGUGAAGAUUACAGACAAGCUUUAUCCAAGGAGAUCCGGCUCUUGAAGUUGGGAAAAUUGUGCCUCUUCGGUUUUCGAACAAGCAAUCCUAUCGGGGAUCUGGCUCUCGAGAUUCGGAGAACGAUGUCACUUCGAUUUUUGAGAAAGCAAUCAUGCUGGGGGUCUGGCUCUCGAGAUUCGAAGAGCGGUCUCUUCGAUUUUUGAGAAAGUAAUCAUGUUGGGAGUCUGGCUCUCGAGAUUCGGAGGACGGUGCCUCUUCGAUUUUGGAGCAAGCAAUCUUGUUGGGAGUGUUUUCUCGAAUGUGAGUAAAGGUUGGGCAUGUUUGUUAGUCUACCUUGCCACGAAGCAUAGAGGUUGACACACAGGGACUUUCCAAUUAUCCAGCAAUGGUACUGUUCCUUUACCCUCUCUUCGAUUUUUGAGAAAGUAGUCAUGUUGGGAGUCUGGCUCUCGAGAUUCGGAAGACGGUGCCUGUUCGAUUUUGGAGCAAGCAAUCUUGUAAUCUUGUUGGGAGUGUUUUCUCGAAUGUGAGUAAAGGUUGGGCAUGUUUGCUAGUCUACCUUGCCACGAAGCACAGAGGUUGACACACAGGGACUUUCCAAUUAUCCAGCAGUGGUACUAUUCCUUUACCCUUGUGGGUAAUAAUAUGGUAGCUAGACCUUCAAAAUUUAUGCGUCUAAACUUUUAGUUGUGUUUUCUUUGCUAUUCUUUUACCCUUCUUGGUCAAAGCGAUGUAGUGGGAGCUGCAAGCUUCACGUGCUCAACUUUGGCAGAGAACUUUGGCAAAGUUAUCUGUGGUACCCAUGAGCUACUGUUGCGUGUGGGAAGUGGGUGAUUGAACAGUAAGAUUCAUGUGCUUUCUACUUCACCAGAAUGCCCAUAAUUUCCGCAAAGCUGAGUGUGCGUGUGACAGGUGCUGACAAGGCUGGAAAAGUAGGUGCCUCUUCGAUUUCUGAGAUCGGCCCUCAUGGUCUCUGAGCAGCCCAGCUUUUGAGAAAGCAAGUGCCUCUUCGAUUUCUGAGAUCGGCCUUCGUGGUCUUUGAGCAUCCCAACUUUUGAGAAAGAAAACGCCUCUUCGAUUUCUGAGAUCAACCCUCGUGGUCUCUGAGAGUAAAGGUUGGACAAGUUUGCUAGUCUACCUUGCCAUGAAGCACAGAGGUUGACACACAGGGAAUUUCCAAUUAUCCAGCAAUGGUACUGUUCCUUUACCCUUAUGGGUAAUAAUAUGGUAGCUAGACCUUCAAAAUUUAUGUGUCUAAACUUUGUUAGUGCUGUUUCUUUGCUAUUCUUUUACCCUUCUUGGUCAGAACGAUGUAGUGGGAGCUGCAAGCUUCACGUGCUCAACUUUGGCAGAGAACUUUGGCAAAGUUAUCUGUGGUACCCAUGCGCUACUGUUGCGUGUGGGAAGUGGGUGAUUGAACAGUAAGAUUCAUGUGCUUUCUACUUCACCAGAAGUCUUCGACAAAAUGCCCAUAAUUUCCACAAAGCUGAGUGUGCGUGUAAUAGGUGCUGACAAGGCUGGAAAAGUAGGUGCCUCUUCGAUUUCUGAGAUCGGCCCUCGUGGUCUCUGAGCAGCCCAUCUUUUGAGAAAGCAAGCGUCUCUUUGAUUUCUGAGAUCGGCCUUCGUGGUCUUUGAACAGCCCAGCUUUUGAGAAAGCAAACUUCUCUUCGAUUUCUGAGAUCAACCCUCGUGGUCUCUGAGCAGCUCAGCUUUUGAGAAAGCAAACGCCUCUUCGAUUUUUGAGCAGACGCCUCUUCGAUUUCUGAAGCUCCGUCGAGUGCAGAUUUUUAUAGGGGCUGACAUUAAGUUCCAAAGCACACUUGAAUCUCCACCAGUAGAAGCUCCAUUCUUGCACUUCUAAGAUCUUGAUUUGUCCGACCUCUUCUCUCUUCAACACCUUUGAAAAUGUCUAGCCCCUCCGACCGUCGUUUUGACUUGAACCUUGUUGAAGAGGCAGCCCCGCCUUCUCCAGACAACAUAUGGCGCCCAUCCUUCGUCUCCCCUACUGGUCCUCUUACCGUUGGGGAUUCCGUGAUAAAGAAUAAUAUGACCGCUGCGGUGGUGGCCAGGAACCUUCUCACUCCCAAAGAUAACAGACUACUUUCCAAACGAUCUGAUGAGUUAGCUGUUAAGGAUUCUCUGGCUCUCAGUGUUCAGUGUGCAGGUUCUGUGUCUAAUAUGGCCCAACGCCUAUUUGCUCGAACCCGUUAAGUUGAAUCAUUGGCGGCUGAAGUGAUGAGUCUCAAACAGGAGAUUAGAGGGCUCAAGCAUGAGAAUAAACAGUUGCACCGGCUCGCACAUGACUAUGCUACAAACAUGAAGAGGAAGCUUGACCAGAUGAAGGAAUCUGAUGGUCAGGUUUUACUUGAUCAUCAAAGAUUUGUGGGUUUGUUCCAAAGGCAUUUAUUGCCUUCGUCUUCUGGGGCGGUACCGCGUAAUGAAGCUCCAAAUGAUCAACCUCUGAUGCCUCCUCCUUCUAGGGUUCUAUCCAGUACUGAGGCUCCGAAUGAUCCCCCUCCGGUGCCUUCUCUUUCUGGGGCUCUACCGACUGCGAGACUUGUCCUAAGCAACCUUUGUGAAGGCUCCCUCUAGUUUGUUUAUUUUGACUCAUGUAUAUGUACAUAUUUGUAGCCUAUCAGGGAUAUCAAUAAAUAAGUUUUCCUUCAUUUCAACAUAUUGUGUUAAAUACACCAAAGCCUUCUUCGCUAAGUUCUUUGAAUUUUCUUUUGUUGAAGCUUGUAUGUUGAAGCUUUGUGAGUGGAGCAUGUAGGUUGAGGUAGUGUUCCUUUAAUUUCCCGAGUGAGGAAAACUUCUCGGUUGGAGACUUGAAAAAUCCAAGUCACUGAGUGGGAUCGGCUAUAUGAAUCUUAGAACGCCAUUGUGCUCGGUCCCGUGUCAUGUCCUUCGUUAGAUCCAAGUACUCUUAAGUCUUUUCUUAGAGUCUCUUCCAAAGUUUUCCUAGGUCUUCCUCUACCACUUCGGCCCUGAACCUCUGUCCCAUAGUCGCAUCUUCUAAUCGGAGCGUCAGUAGGCCUUCUUUGCACAUGUCCAAACCACCAUAACCGAUUUUCUCUCAUCUUUCCUUCAAUUUCGGCUACUCCUACUUUACCCCGGAUAUCCUCAUUCCUAAUCUUAUCCUUUCUCGUGUGCUCACACAUCCAACGAAGCAUCCUCAUCUCCGCUACACCCAUUUUGUGUACGUGUUGAUGUUUCACCGCCCAACAUUCUGUGCCAUACAGCAUCGCCGGCCUUAUUGCAGUCCUAUAAAAUUUUCCCUUGAGCUUCAGUGGCAUACGGCGGUCACAUAACACGCCGAAUGCACUCUUCCACUUCAUCCAUCCAGCUUGUAUUCUAUGGUUGAUAUCUCCAUCUAAUUCUCCGUUCUUUUGCAAGAUAGAUCCUAGGUAACGAAAACGAUCGCUCUUUGGUAUUUCUUGAUCUCCGAUCCUCACCCCUAACUCGUUUUGGCCUCCAUUUGCACUGAACUUGCACUCCAUAUAUUCUGUCUUUGAUCGGCUUAGGCGAAGACCUUUAGAUUCCAACGCUUCUCUCCAAAGGUUAAGCUUUGCAUUUACCCCUUCCUGAGUUUCAUCUAUCAACACUAUAUCGUCUGCGAAAAGCAUACACCAAAGAAUAUCAUCUUGAAUAUGUCCUGUUAACUCAUCCAUUACCAACGCAAAAAGGUAAGGACUUAAGGAUGAGCCUUGAUGUAAUCCUACAGUUAUGGGAAAGCUUUCGGUUUGUCUUUCAUGAGUUCUUACAGCAGUCUUUGCUCCUUCAUACAUAUCUUUUAUAGCUUGGAUAUAUGCUACUCGUACUCCUUUCUUCUCUAAAAUCCUCCAAAGAAUGUCUCUUGGGACCCUAUCAUACGCUUUUUCCAAAUCUAUAAAGACCAUGUGUAAAUCCUUUUUCCCAUCUCUAUAUCUUUCCAUCAAUCUUCGUAAGAGAUAGAUUGCCUCCAUGGUUGAGCGCCCUGGCAUGAACCCGAAUUGGUUGUCCGAAACCCGUGUCUCUUGCCUCAAUCUAUGCUCAAUGACUCUCUCUCAGAGCUUCAUUGUAUGACUCAUUAACUUAAUACCCCUAUAGUUCAUGUAAUUUUGUACGUCGCCCUUAUUCUUGUAGAUAGGCACCAAAAUGCUCGUUCGCCACUCAUUUGGCAUCUUCUUCGUUUUCAAAAUCCUAUUGAAAAGGUCAGUGAGCCAUGUUAUACCUGUCUCUUCCAAAACUUUCCACACUUCGAUUGGUAUAUCGUUUGGGCCUAUUGCUUUUCUAUGUUUCAUCUUCUUCAAAGCUACAACUACUUGGAAAAAGCGUAUCAUACGCUCCCAAACAACUUUGAGUGGAAUCGUUCGAAAAGAAGUUUCUAUGGCCCCCUUGCUCAUUUAACACUGCAUCCGGAUGCUGAUGGAGAUACAGCGACCCUUGCUCACUUAUCACUGUGCUCGGGCCACACAGCGCGCCACUUACGGGUGACGCCCUAGAUUUAGCGCGAUUUCGUUCUGGAUUCAUUUUCAUAAGGAUUCGACGUGAUCAUGGAGUGCCGGCUGUCGACUACCUGACGCCCUCCCCCUCCUCCUUUAUCCGGGCUUGGGACCGGCAAUGUAAGAACAUAGGCGGAGUUAACUGAAAUGAUAACUGAAACAUAAAUAAAUUUAGAAUUCAAGACUAACCUGUGUAGCUAAUAUAUUCUAGCUUGAUUGUAGCUAAUAUUUUUUAAAUCGAAUGAAUGUUGUUCUUAAUCCACUAUAAUCUGAACAUUAAAUUUGGUAUUCAUGACUAACCUGUGUCACGAACUUUAGCCAUUUCUUUGAUGGAUCCUUAAAAUGAUGUGGAGAUGUUACGCCAUUACUCUUCCCCAUCUAUAGCAACAUUAAGAUUCGUUUUACUCUUUUCAUCUUCUGAUAACCGCACAGCUUCAAUGACUGCUCUUCUCUGUUGCCCAUGUCCAUAUAUAAAAAAUUCUGGUGUGCGCUCAAGUCUAAAACACAAGCCAACAUAACAGACUCAGCUAUACCACCAUAGGUAUGGUGUUCAAAAUCAAGGGAGGUGAAUCAAUAGCUUACUUCUCAGCAUGUGAUCGGCAAAGUUGCAAUGAAAAUGAAUGAAAUGUACUGAUUGUUAGUAGUUUUGCCGUUCCUUUCCCAGUCACAGAUCCAAUUCGAUCUCUCAUCUCGGAAGCUGCUGCUGUAGUGAAAGUCAUUGCUAGAAUGUUAGACGCGCUCAUGCCCUAAGAACACAAAAAAAAAAGGAAUAAGAUUUCGAUCAUAAACAAGAAAUGUAGAGAAACAGACAAUUAAGAAAGAAAAAGUUAGAGGGAAAGUGGCAACACCUCAUUGAGCAGCAUUAGAACCCGCCCAACCAUCGUUGAAGUCUUUCCACUUCCAGGGCCGGCAACAAUCAUCAAAGGUACUGAAAUAUCGCUGCAAGCUGCCUCCCGCUGCCUUUCGUUGAGAGAAAGCAAAUACUUCGAAUACUCAUCCGGCAUGUUAGGCAAUCCAUGGUUAACAGAAUCUGUUUGGUUUUCACUACUCAGAGGUGGCGCUGAUGCGGCAUUAACAUCGCUACCACAACUCCCAAUAUCAUCACGCUGAAUGUCCCCACUCGGUUUCUGCUCAAUUAAAGCGUCAAUUUCCUGCAAAAUACUCUCAUCGAAAUCAUCAUCCUCGAGAAUUCCAGACGCAGAGAAAGAAUCGAAUGAAGUCGGAAACUGCGGUUGUUUGAUUGGAAUUGUGAAAGAAUCCGAUUUUGACACGCUUGAUUCAGUCCGGCUAGCGCUUAAGCUCCCGGAACACGACGCACUGCCAUAUUCAGUCCGGCUUGUAGAAAUCGGAGGCGGUGUGUUCAUCGGUAGCUCGGCAAGAGGAGUUCUGUGAACUCUAUUGAGCUGAGCUGGCGUUUGGAUUCCAUUUCCGCCACAAAUUCUGGAAUUUGAAAAACACAAUUGAAUUGAUUUAAAUUGAAUCAAGAAAACAGCCGAGUACCAAAAAAGUAGUAAGAAGAUGAAAUCUUUGAUUCCUGAACGACUUACUUGGUAUGAGGGAGGUGAUGAUCAGUCAAAACGGCGUCGUUGCGGGGGCGUUUGCGAUCAAUGAGGGCCUUGGCGGCUCUGAAAUUCCCAGAGAUGCGGUUUCUUUUGAUAGGAUCACAGAUCUCAGGACCCUAUUCAACCUACAAGCAGCAAUAGAAAUGACAAAUGGAGAAGACGAAGUAGAAGGGAGCAGGGCUCCAAUAUAUUUUUUUGGUUUUGUAUUUCUGUUUGUAAAAUCUGAUCUGCUACAUUUGAGGGAGCUGGACUCCUUUUAUACAAACUCUACUUCUUAAAAUGCCAGCUGGCAUAUUUAACAAUUCUUAACAAAUCAAUUAAAGCAUAAAACCUCAGUAAUAAUUUGGGUCAUAACAAUACUUCCCCCUUGAAGAACAACCUUGUCCUCAAGGUUGAAAGUUGAAAAACUUAUUUGAACGAGUAGAAACUAGGAGUCUUGCAACAGAAGGGAAGCUGCAGGGACUGCAAAUACAAUCUGCAUGUAGCUCUCAACUUUUGGAGAUGAGCCUGACAGCACCCCUGUACUUGUUAUGGCAGCUCCCCACAACUUGGUAAGUGAGCACUUGUUACCCGUAGCCUCUUCAUAAAUUUCAACCCACGAUAUCAUUUCAACUUCCAUGCUAGUUGCCAAAAAGCAUGCAGCAUCAAAUGGAGAAAAUGGGCCAACUCCCAGGGAACCUGCCAGAGGAUCAUUCUCAACGAAUGCAGCUACUAAAGCAAUUGGACCCUUGCCAAGAAUUAUAACCUUAGAGAUGGUUAUGAGCCUGAUAUCCUCAAAAGCAAGACGAGCGGUCUGAUUGAUAAGAGACUGCCUAAGAUUAACUAUCCUCUUCUUAGGUCCAACACACCAUUCCUUGCUCCGAAUGUAGCCAUCCUUCAUCACACCAAACCGAGGGAAGCCACCCAUGGGAGUGAUGUCUUUCUCAGUCAUCUUCCCCUCAUGGAGGCACAUUUCAUAGUUUUUUUCAGUGAAACUAGGACCACCUAAUGUCGGAUUGUCAAAAAACUCCUGAAAUAAGCUGAUGGAUGGGAGCAGUCUAUAUUGGAUAUUGAAACUUGCAAUUCUUUCUGAAUCAUUGAAAUCACUGUACUUUAAACUGUCAUUAGCAACACCGAUAUUAUGCAUGGAAGAUUUAAAGGACCUGAGCAAACCCAAAGCUUCAACCAUGUCCUUCAUCACCUCUGUUAAGGUGUACAAUUGGCAUUUGAAUUCAUAUGAUGGCUCAAUAGUAUCAAGUUCCAAAAAUUUAAACAACUCAUUUUGCCAACUUACACUCACGGUAAGACAAACAUGCAAAAACCAUGCAAAGACAAAUAUGUUGGACAUCCUUUCUGAAGAACAGGCAAAGAAAUAACACCAACAGCAACCAAAUGAAAUAACACCAGCAGCAACCAAUACAUUGAUGUGUACCAUAUUGUCUAACAAAAUUACUUUAAGCUGAUGACUGACUUUGCAGAUACGUCCAUAAUCGUACAACCAUGCAUAAACACUAGCACCAUCAAAUCUUAGAUUUGGCCUGAAUACUAUUACCUCUUCACUACCAAAAGUGAGCAUCUGAAUACGUCUGCCGGUUUUCUUAUGAUGCAACUCCAGCUCUACCAACAUCCAUCUUUUACCAAUCACAUAAGAGAAAACAUAAUGACUUACACAAUGUUGCUCAGGUACAGUCAUAUAUGGUGUUGUCCGAGAUUUCCAUUGCUCCUUGAAAUGCAUUCCAUAAACCAAGAAAAAUAAGAUUGAAGUAGUAGUUGUUCCAUCCUCCUUGAAAGAGAUGAGAAUGCAGGGCCUCUCCAUCAACCAUAUUGUAUAAUUCCUCUGAUUGAAGACAACCCUUUGAGAAGAUAUAUUGUCACAAGGAUUAGUGAGAGUGUGACACCAACCCGGUUGCUGGAAAAUCUGGUCAUUCGCUACGCAAUUAGGAAAGAAAACAGUAUCGAGGUGUACAUCAACACUAUUACAUAAUUCCGGAUUCAAUUUCGAUAACAAGCUGGUGAGAAUAGAAUAGUCAAGCUGGGAAAUGGCCAUGACUGUUAAUGCACAUCUGUGUAACAGUGAUAAGCAGAGGAACUGCUUGAUAGCAUUGAUAUAACCCAAAGUCCCAUUCUCCUCAGUCAAACUAGCUGCAAGAUCUUUAGGCAAAGAACGACAAACAAGUACAACAAUAUCCAAAGCUUCCAGGUUGCUACUCAAUGACAUAUUCUCCAUAUUAUGCCUCUUAGACAUUUCAUCAAAUAGAUGCAAUGCAUAGAAAUUCUUCUUCACAAAUUUACCCACAAGGUACCAAUUAACCCAGCCAUACUUAGCAUUCAAAAAAACAUGAUAUACAAUCGCAUUAUGACCAGUAUAGCAUGCAAUUACACCAUACAAAAGCAAUACCUCAUGUCCACGUACCAUUCCUAACUCCCAUAGCCCACUAGGUAGCUGAUACCAAACAUGAAGUUUCUUCUUGAUGAAAUAUCCAAUGUUGUCAUCGUAAACCGACUGUGUAAUCUUCUCUCCCAGUCUCAUUCGACAAUCUUCCAGUGGCCUAAUUUUGGAGCCUCCACCCUUAUCCCGAAUGCCAUUGCAGUAGCACAUGUCACGAUUGAGAACAACAUAGCCACUUGAGUCUGGAAUUUCAUCAAACAGGUUCCAUGCACAAAAAUCCUCAGGUCCAUUUUUCGUAGUAUCAGAGAACGAGUGCUUAUGGAGUAGCCGCGGAGCAGAGGUCAUCGUCUUCGAUCCCGGAAGCAAAAUUGUAGCUGCAUCAGAGUUGUUCGAGUGUGGCUUCACGGGCGGAGUUGCCAGUGCUUGCAACAACGGUGAAGAUGAGAGUAACGGCGGAACGGAAUGGACUUCAAUUGGCGAUGGAAUUCUCGGUGGAUUGUCGUCUCCUUGAAGUCCGGGAUGAUCGAGAUUGAUUGAUUGAAUCGUUGGGGUAGGAUCGGAAACUUCCCCGACACCAAGAGUCAAGUGAUGGCGGAACAGAGCAAGGUCACGGCGGACUGCGGCGGCUAUUGAAUCUAUAGCCUUGUGGAAAGCCUCCUCCGUACGCCUGAAUGUUUUCCUUGGACAUUGCUUCGAAGAUUCCGACGGAAGAUUUGGCCUGACAGCCUGACCAGGCAACCCUAGAAAGAAGAAGGAGCGAAGAAGACCAAAUGUGUCCGUUUUUCCUUUGGUUUUUUUCCCUCCUAAUCGAGUUGUUCGAAAUAAUUGGGCCUGGGCCUAGUGGGCCCAAUUGUCAGGCCCAUUAUCUCCUGUCUUCUAGUUCUACUUCCAAUUUCCCAAGUUAACAACGUACUGGUUCGCUUUUAGCGCGAGAGAGAAAUGGAGGCCCUGAUUGCCUCGUACGGAGACUCGUCGUCGGACUCAGACUCCGAGUCGCCGGCUCCACCUCCACCGCCACCUCCGGAGCUCAAAAACUCUCAAGAAUCGACCACUGCGCUGCCUCCACCUCCUCUGUCACUUCUCGACAGCCCAAUUCCUUCGGUAACCUCUGAUUCCCAUAAAUAUUCUAUCUUUUAACUUUCUGUUGUGAUGGCUUUUUCCGAGUUGCCCACCAAGUGUUUGAUGUUUUGCCUCUAAAGGAUUUCUGGACUUCUCCCCAAGCGCCCAGCCGAGCAGAGUUCGGAACUUUCCUCACGUCGAAGGGAACUACGCAGUACAUGUAUACAUCCCAGGUAAUCAAAAUUCUCGAAAUUUUCAGCUCCAUUAGCAAAUGCGAUCCCUUUGCACUUAGAUUUUGCUUGUUUAAUUGUGUGGUUCCAGUUUAUAUACCACCAGCACCAAGGAAAGAGAUGGCCUUGUUUUUGAACAAGCUUGCUUCUCUGGUGCCUGGUCUCCACGCCGUUGACGUUGACGUCCCGCUUGACAUUCUGCGUAAGGACGAGCAUAAGCUUGAACAAGUUGCUUUAGGCAGAGAGUUCCAUAUAAGUCUCGGAAGAACUGUUCCGAUUCGGGUGCACCAGAUUAAUUCCUUGGUGACAAUGCUGCGGCAGAAGCUUCAGAUUCAGAGGCGGUAUGGUUGCAUUUACCUUCUCUUGUGUGCAUUGCGUGAAUUUAGUUCUGUUAUUUAACAUAAUUGUUUAAGCCUGCAGAUAUUUUGUCCAUUUUUGGUUUUUAACACAUUUGGUUAUUGUGGAACAGGUAUUGGAUUGAUUUUUGCAAGUAGGAGGUUUUUGUUAACGAUGAUCAGACCCGGACCUUUGUGUCGAUCGAAGUCAUUGCUGCUGGGUUAGCUGAGGUAUGAUUGCUAGCUUUCUCUCUUGGUGCAAUUCAAAAUGUUUUGAGUUGUUUAUGGACUUAAGAUUUAGCAAGUACUUGCCGAAGGUCAUGGGAUUUUGAAAUAUCGAUAUCUUGCUUAUAGAUUGUUUGGUCUUCGAUGCACUUGUUACCUGAAAAGUAAAAAUGUAAAAGAUCAUGAAAAGUCCAAACGAAACAUAAUGGAUGUAUGAUAUGCUCAUGCUUCUAACAUGUGUUGUCCUGGCAUAAAUUAUGUUCCAAAUACCGUCAUUUGCGUGUAAGCCUAUGAACUUAGAGCACGUUUGGUAUGCCGGGUAAGAUUGGAUUUGGUAUUUCAGACUGCUUAGGUUAGGAUUGGAUUGGGUAGGUUAGGUUUUUUGUCUAAUGUUUGGUGUAGACUGUCGCAACAACGCUCGUGAGCCUCCACAUCCAUUGCAAUCUUGCACCACUCUGAUGUCCUGGAGGAGCGAAACAUGGUUACUUGAAGCAUACCUGUUUUCGUAUUAAUACAUGGUUGAAUCAGCUUUCAUUGUCAAUCAGUCUGUAAUAUUUCAACUUCCAUUGAUUUCAGAUAACAAAGCAGAUUCAAGCUGUCAAUGAGGUGUAUAUGCUUCACAAUCUUCCUGAAUUUUACAAGGUUAGCAUUUCGUGUUUUUCAAACUUGAAUCACUUCCUGAACAUAUGACAAUAUAUUGGAGCAAAUGGUUGUGCAUGAAUACUACUCAUUGCUCAGAGGGUGUUGCUGAUCACAGGAUCCGCGUCCUCAUAUUUCGGUAGCUUAGGCAUUGGGUGACAUCAGCAAUUCCCUGAAGAAAGUGGUUGAAGAAGAAAGACGAAGAUCUACCAUCGGAGGAUCGUUACAGAAAUGUAUUUUUACCAGUAAAUUCAAUGGUAUCGAAUGUAGGAUUGGUAAUAAAACACACAAAAUAUGUAAAUUUUCUGAAGAAUAAUGUAGCCAUUUAACUAUAUUGUGAAAUUCCGAGAAUAUAUCGCUGAGCAUUGGAUGAGAAGACAUUUCUUCGUUGGUGUCGAACUUCAUGUUGAAGGUAUUGACACCAGUGUAAACGCCAUCAUCCAUGUUGAUGGUAAUUACUUCCCAGCUACUAAGGGUGUCGGAACAACCUUGCACGCAGCCUCCUGUGCAUUACUUAGUAUUGUCUCAGUUUCUCCAAACUUGAAUGCUCCUGUAAACCCACUUUUGACCUUUCCGUCAUCUGUGAUUACCGGAAUGCUGGCUAGGAUGUUGCCGUUGACCUCCCAAACUUAAAAUACCGGAAAGCCGGCUCCAAUGUAUGCGAGAGCUCCACCUCUAUUGUUGUAACAGCAUCUGAUGCGUACUAGUCCUUUAUUCCCGUUACUCUUUGCCAUCUCCACUUGGAACUUGGCGUAAUGGCUCCCGGCCUCCUCUCCGGUGAAAUUGAGCAACCCCGGAGCUGGCGUGCCAUCAAGAUUUCCGUCAUGUCUGUAGCGAAAGUAUUCGCUGUUGUGGUUUGGUUUCACCACUAUAAAUCUUGGCAGAGUUGGCAUUUUCAUUUCUGUUGUCUGUAUAUCUUGAUAUUACAAGUAUUUGUUGUGCAAUAUGCAUGCUAUGUUCAUGUUAUGCGUAUAUACAUAUAUAAGUGUUUUAACACUUUGCAAACGUUUUCUCCAAAAUUUUGAUUUUGGUGGUGUUCUAACUUUUGUGAAUGCUAAUAACAAUUCCCUCAUUAACUGUUAGGACGAGCAACAAAACAGUUUUGAUUCUGUGCACAAAGGCGAUCCCUCGUAAGAAAUUGAUUCUUCAACAGAAAGAUGUUUUAAAACAAAUUUGAAGGGAAGGAAAUAUUUGAAUCGCAUUCAGAUGUCUGGUCAAAUUCUUGAACAGUUGAUAUACACAGAAGUUCCUUGUUUAUGUCACUACUUAUGAGAGGAUGUACGCAUUGCAUUCGCAUCAAAAGAGAGAGAGAGAGAGAGAGAGAGAGAGAGAGAGAGAGAGAGAGAGAGAGAGAGAGAGAGAGAGAGAGAAGGUUGUCAGUGGUAAGGGAACGAAUAACGAUGGCGUUGCGCUUCUAAUCAAAGGGGUCGAUCCGAGGGUCGUGUUCACUUGCCAUCGCCAUUCCAGUGCAAAGGCAUGUAGGGCACAUUACCUGCCACAUUAAAAACGCGAUGUUAGAUAUACUCGCCAUUUGGAAGUCAACCCUCAAAAUUUGCUACUAAAUUAUCUUAAACUCCAUUUCCAGUCAAUUUUUUUUCUUCCGAAAUGUCUUUCACGUGCUUAGGGAUAGGCAAAUACCCAUUGGUUAUAGGUAAUCGCGGUUACUCGCCCAUUUAAAUUAAACAGUUACGGUUAUGGCUAACUGUUUAGAUAAAUAAACGGUUAUGGGUAUAACCGUUUACCCGUAAAAUUUAAAUGGAUGGUUAUGAGUAUUAACCAUGGUUAUAAACGAGUAACCGUUUACCCAUUUAUUUUAUAUAUGUAAAGCUAACACAAAUCAUGUUCUCCAUCCAAUAAUACUUAGCACCCAAUAAAUUAGCAAGGAAUUCAUCGAUCAUUCUCUCAAUAACACUACUACAUGAAUGAUGAUUCCCAUCAUCAAGGAAUUUGCCAAAUUAAUUUAAAUUCCUUGUGGGUAACCGUGAAAUUGACAGAAAUACUUUAACAAAAAUGUCUUCUAAACAAUUUUUGUAACCCAAUAAUACUUAGCAAAUAUUAUAUUUACCUUCAUUGGUAACAGUUAAAAAUAUCGUCCGUAAACUAUUAUUUCAAUUAUUGGAAUGGUAUAAAGACUUAAAAAAUUAAAAUAUAAAAAUGUAUGACGAAUGUACCUAUAACGGUGUUUAAUUGUCAAAAAAAAAAUUAUGACAAUUUUUUUUAAUUUUCAAGUUGUUAAAAAACAUGUAGACUGGUGAAAAAAAGGUAAUGGUAAAAAGAAAAGAUAAACGGAUUAAAAAUGAUAAAUGGUAUACGGGUAUUAAAUUGUUACGGUUAAAUGGCUAUGCGGUUAUGGGUAUGGUUAACCGUUUAUAAAUGGUUAUGAGUAUGAGUAUAACCAUUUAGGCAAUUACCCAACGGGUAAACGGUUAUGUAGGUAUGAGCAUAAACGGUUAUGGGUAAAUUAACCGCGGUUACCCGCCCGCAUAACCAUCCCUACACGUGCUCGACAAACACAACAGUCACCAAUCAUGUGAAUCAGCUAUUCCUCAAUGUAUAUGAUGAAACAAGUGCAUCCCAGAGGCAGGCACGAAGAGGAAUUUACUAUGCAAUAAACAUUCAAUGGGUACAAUUUUAUGUCUAACCUUUCCCGCUCCUGAGCAAUUUGAACAUCUUUCAGUUUUUGGCAGUGAAAGGGGCUGGUUUCCGCCAUCAACUGUUGAAAUUGGUUCGGUAAGAACAAGGGUUCCAGUGCUGGAGCAACGAGCACAAGCAAGAUAUCCUGCAUAAGUAUCAAAUACACCGGUUAGUUGACAUAUGAAGGAUUGGUUUGGUAUUGCUGUGCUUUGAAAAAAAAACUGCUGUGAGAAUAAGCGGCUGUGCUGUGAAAAUAAGCGGCUGUGAAAUAAAUCAGCAGAGUGUUUGGUAAACUUUUUUGUAAAAGUGUUUUUGGAAAAAAAAAAGUCUAAUAGUGGGUCUUUUCAUUAAAGAAACACUGUAGCUCCAUGUGCUUUGAAAAAAACCAGUUUUCCAAAGCUACAAAUAGCAGCUUCAGCUUUUUCCUUUGAUUUCAGCUUAUUCUCACAGCAGCUUCCAAAAUAAGCCUUUUUUUUUUCAGUUUACCAAACACCUAAAACCCUCACAGCUUUUUUUCAUGGGUGCUUUUUUUUUAAGCACCUCACUCCCAAACUUGGUUUGGUAUUGCUGUGCUUUGAAAAAAAGCUGCUGUGAGAAUAAGCGGCUGUGAAAUAAAUCAGCUAAGUGUUUGGUAAAUUUUUUUGUAAAAGUGUUUUUGGAAAAAAACAGUCUGAUAGUGGGUCUUUUCAUUAAAGAAGCACUGUAACUCCGUGUGCUUUGAAAAAAAACCAAUUUUCCAAAGCUACAAAUAGCAGCAUCAGCUUUUUCCUUUGAUUUCAGCUUAUUCUCACAGCAGCUUCUAAAAUAAGCCUUUUUUUUUUCAGUUUACCAAACACCUAAAACUCUCAUAGUUUUUUUUCAUGAGUGCUUUUUUUUUAAGCACCUCACUCCCAAACUAGGUCAACCAAUCCAAACAUCUCCAUCGUAUAUAUUUAAAGCUACGGUACAUAUGACUAAAAGUGAGAAACAUAGGACAUUAUCACACCAGUUCCAAGACAAUAUUUGCAUCGCUUAUGCUCCUGCUGUUUCACAUUGCUUAUUUCAACUACCAUCAAUGCUGAGAUCACUCCGACUGCUCCUCCAGAGAACGAUGCCACUAUGGGAUCAACUUGACUGCAGAUUGAAAGUAUAUGAGAUCAAUAAACGAAACUGAUAACAAUGUAGUAUUAACAUUAUUUAGCUCCAUGUCAAGAUAGACAACACAUCCUAGAUUUUUCUAAUGUGUAAAAUUUGAGGACCCUCGUAAAAUUUGACCACAUCGGUUCCCAAAGUAAAAUUUAGUACCUUUGGUUCCUACAUUACAGACCGAAAAUAGUAACUACCGAAUUUAAAGUUCAUAUCAAGAUAGAGGAUACAAAAUUUCGAAACGAUAAUUGCUAGAGAACAGGAGGGUUAAUAGCCCGAGAUAUGAGCCAUACCUCAACUGCAACGGCAGAUGCAUAUUUACUAUAAAAUCUUUAUACGAUGUGCCUCCUAUUCCCAGCUUCAACUCCAACUGAAAGAUGUAAACGUAAUUGUCGGCAGAGAGUUAGAAACAUAACCGAAUCCAUGUUUUAUAAGCAGAAAGUACACUUAUUUGACAUGCUUCCUCAUUUUUUUACUUGCAAAUUCAAAACCGUAUUGUCAGACCAGUAAAAUAAAAUAAUGUUUACUAAUAACUGUUAAAACUAAUCACAACAAGUUAAUGCAUAAAGAACUUACGGAGGGUGCUAUGAGGCCACCGAAAAGGAUAAACCCCGCAAUAAUUGAAUAACAUACAGCAUAAUACUGCUUAAGGUUGUCUGAACUCUGCAAGCAAUGCAUUCACCUUGUGAUUAAUACUUUUGCACAAACACUAGUUUUCGCAAUUUUUUAUGAACCGACAAAAGGCUACAACAAAAUAUGGCUAAAACAUGUCGGGGAUAUGAAAAUACAUGUCUUCACAGGGGCAGCAGCUUACCAGGGGAGGCAAAAAUGGAAUGAAUGAUGGAAAACUUGAUCUUCAUUUACCGCUCCAAGCUCUGCGCGUUUAAUCCGUUUAAUCCGCUGUUGUAUCCUCAGCCUGCGAACCUACGCAUAUCGAAGCUCAUUCUUAAAGAACACAUUUCUAAGGGCAAUUGGAGAGUAAUUUGAAACAUGCUAAACUGAGAAAGUGGCAGCAACUAGCAAUUGCUCUCACCUCCUCCGUAUGCAAGAAAAUUUUGUUGCGCCGACUCCGAAUAUUAUCUUGAAUUUCCUGCAGCUCCAUUGUCGCAAAGUCCUGCACUGUUUCAGGCCCCUCUAUGAUACAAAAUCUGCACAAUUAAGCAUGUAACAACUAAAACUUACAGGCUACAAAGCAAUUUCCGUAUCAUUUUUGGGUUAAUUAACAUCAACAGCAGAUAAAUCACAUGAGUUUUUCACAUGAAGUUACAAACCUUCAGAGACCAGUAAGCUCUCUGCAAUCUCAUAAAUUUCACUGUGCAAAGUAACAAUCCAAAGCUUGGAACUUUAAAUUUCCAUUUUCUGUUAUUUUCCUAGAGAGAGAGGGGGGAGUACCCGGCGGGGUUUGUAUCGGCGGCGGGUUUAGGAUCAGAAUCGACAGACGGAGCGAACGAGGAGGAGUCGGGCUCCGAAGCCAUGGCCAGGGAUCGCCAUCUGGAGCUGCUUGUUGAUAUGGGGCUUCUUGCGUAGCUGAAUUUGGAGCAGCGGAAGCUAUGCAGUUUGUACGGACCGCACCGAUUUACGGGGAAAGAAACGGCCAAAAGUCUGCCGGAGCAGAGCAUCUCUCUCUCUCUCUCUCUCAAACCAGAAGGCAGAGCUUUCUGUUUCUCUUGAGGUUUCUUUCACUGGUAAAUUCCAGACAAGCAGAGAAGGCGGCUCUCUGAGAAAUGGCGAUGGUGCAAGUGGAGACAAAACAAAUGUAAAUCUUGAAGCACCGAACAUGUGCAGAACACUUGUCAACUACCGAACUCUAGGAUUAGGAGAGAGAGAGAGAGAGCGAGUGACCGGCCAAAAAAAAAUGGAGGGAAGUGGCUGAUUCUUCUUUUUAGUGGACCUGGUGUCCUUCGAUUCGAGUACUAUGUCAUAUUUAAAAUUUAGGGUUAAUUUUGUUUAAGUUUCUUAGUUUUCAACAUUUAGUACAUAAAGUUUUUUUCAUCUCAGAGUGGUACAUAAAGUCAUAAUUUUGAGACAGUCUAAUACAUCCGUUAAGGUUGCUGUUAAAUCAACCGUUAAAUAGUGACGUGGCGUCUAGGUGGAUAUUGACUGGACGACACGUAUCAUUAUGGGUCCAUGUGGAUAUUAAAAAAUUAAAAAAAAAAAAUUAAUGGGCCGUUCAACCCCUCCUCCCUCGACCCCCUCCCUUCUCUCCUCUGCACCCACCCUCCCCACGUCUGCAACCCAUCCCCACGUCGUCAUCUUCUUCUUUGCCCAGAUCCCGCAAGAAUCUUCUUCGUCGCCGACAACUCAGCCACCAUCUCCAUCUCCGCCUUCCCCUCCUCCGAACCCGACUCCUACCCACUUCCAGUUCCAAUUCACCCUCUCCCAAUUUGCCCACUUCUUGUCCGAUUUUCGCGCCACUAUUGAACCCGAGCCCGACCCACAAAGAUGCUUAGAUUCUGAAAAAGAGAUGACACAAAUGCAAGAAAUGGAAAGCAGUGUGGUUUAGAGGUUAGAAACUGAGCAAUUUUUGGAUUGCUUUUUGGUUUGAUCAAUUUAAAGAAAUGAAAUUCUGAGUCGAAUUUCUUGUUCGUUAUAUUCGAUCUCCGCUUGAGAAUUUUAAACUUAAUAAUUGCAAAUCAAGAUACAAAAUUGACAUGAAUUUCGAAUUGGGGUUUUGGGAAAUUUGAGAAGUUCUUGGCGAUUCAUAAGAAACUUCAACUCCCAAUCGUUUCUUCUCGCUCACAACCCGAGAUUAAUAAUUUUAAAGUUUGAGCUUGAAUGUUCUUUGUAAUUAAAGAACAGAUGUGCAUCCCUCUGAAUGGCAAGAGGGUGAAUAGGAAGCGAAAAUCGGUGUGUGGCAAAUCGGAGAGGGUUAGGGAAAAAGUUUAGAGUCGGGUUCGGAUGAGGGGAGGGCGGGGUUAUAUUUUUUGUCGAGGCGAAGAAGAUUCUGCGGGAUCUGGGCGAAGGAAGAUUGACAUGGAGGGUGGGUGCACAGGAGAUAAGGGAGGGGGUCAAGGGAGGAGGGUGAACGGCCCAAUUUUUUUUUUUUUUUGGGUCAUUUGGACCAUCUCACUCAUCACCUAAGACGCCACGAUCUAAUAUUAAUUCCGGUUGACUUUGUAAAUUGGAUGUAUUAAUUAACAAACAUAGAUUAGGACAUUGAUGAUUUAAAAUUUGGGGUUUUGUUCUUCAGAAAUUUGGUCGAAAUAAGAAAUUCCCUAAAAGUUCAAUUCAGAAGAGUUACUUGCCUUACAAACAUUUUUUAAAUACUUACUAAGAAAAAGAUUUUUGUGGGUGGGUACAGUAUGGGGUUUAACUCAUUGUGUUUUAGUUUAAAUCUUUUUCUCUCUUCUUUAAUAAUAUUUAGUAUAUUAUCAAUUCGUAAUAAAAAAAUUUUGAUUAAAAACUCUCAUCUAUAUUCUAGCCAAUGGAAAAAAAUGAAUAGUGAUUUUGAUGUUGCUUUAACAAAAUAUUUUUUAAAAACAAUGGACGGCUUUCAACAAAAAAUUUGAGUAAGAGGGGUUUUGCCUUAAGUAAUUUUUGAAAUUGAAUUCAUGGUGGUUUUUUGAUUUUAUUAAAUUAGUCCCUCCCAGCAAAAAUGUGAUCAAUUUCUCUAUAAAAGAAAUAUAAGAUAUAAAUGAGAUAAUAAAGGGGUCAUUAAUAAAGAGUUGAUGAUUGUUUUUUUUUUUUUACAAUUCACACUAAGGGGGAAUAAUUGAUUUCUUUGUUGGUGUUCAAAAGCUUUUAAAUUUAUCUCUUUAAAAUAGUUUUAAUAAUCUUUUAAUGUGUUUAGUUGCCAAAAUUUUAUUUUUUUAGCAAUGAUAUUAUCUCAAUUUGAUUGGGCUUAAAUUUCUCUUAUUUUUCAUUAAUUUUCAUAUUCAAAACAUCUUAAAUGUCGUAAAUGCCGAUCAAAUAACUCUUUUCUUUUUAAUUAAUUAAUCUAAAAUUAAGUAAAAAUGAAAUUAUUACAGAGAUUUUCGAAAACCAAAUUUACAUUAUUGAUUUUUUUAACCUUUUUACAAACAAUAUAUCUAGUCUUUUUGUUUUACAAAGUAAUAUUGAAUUUUUUCACAAGAAGGCUAACAUAUCACAUUCAUUGAUUCAUGAUCAAUAUUUAAAAGUCAAAAAAAUAUUAGUAACCAUUCUCUAUUUUAACACAAUGUUCCAAGAAACAAUCUAGGGAUUAUCGGAUUUAAUGACCAAGAGGUUGGAAUUUUCCCCGUAAAUAAAUGAAUUGUUAACAACAAACAUAAAAAACAAAGCAAUAAAGAAUUCAGAUAGUGAAUACCUACUAAACCAUGUGAACACAAGCAAAAUACUUCAGAAUCACAUGUUGUCGAAAAAAUACGACUAUUUCUAAUCAGAAUUACAAUAUACCACGUUUUGCCCAUCACAUAAAAUCCAAAAACUAGUUAGGGAGCUCAAAAAGGGAGCGGGUUUGGAAACCACUGAUACACGAAGUAAAGAGGUGGUACUGUUUUGGUAAAACACAAAAGGUGCGAAACAAAGUAAACAAAACGGAAGGAAGAUGUUAUAGUCAUUCUCAGCAACAAAAUUCGAGCUUGUUGUCGAAAUCACAACAGGAGACAAUUUCGAUUAACAGCCUUUCCUGCCAAACUCAAUUUCCAAAAUCCUACAUCACAUCAUAAAUCCAUUGUUUCAUUCCCACGCACAAUCCCUACCCACUGCACAGGAGAACAAUUGUUUCUGCAAAGAAAAAACAGUUAACAAAAAACGGCAUGCAUAUCGCAAAAUCGGGAUAGGAAGCAGAAGCUUUCCUUGUUUUCCUUAAACACCAAGCUCUACAUUCCAAAAAGAACAUGAAAAAAUAAAAUUAAAUAAAGAGCCUUUCCUGCUUAUUUUGAAUUAAGGCGGGGAGGUCGAGACACGGCUGGUGUAUUUUUGUUUUUUUAAUUGUCAAACUGCCCAGGACACGCUGGGCAUUUUUUUUUUUGUUUAAACCUGGGCCCAAAACGACGCGUUUGCCAUUUAAAAAAAAAUUCCUUGGGUCAUUUACCAAUUCCUUUUUUCAAAAAAAAAUAACUGGCCCAGCGCCUUCGUCUUCUACAAAGGCACAAAAGCCCAAAAACCCCGACGAACCUUCCGUUUCACAGUUGGUGUGAGCGAACGGUGGUCGCACCAGGGGUCGCACCACCAGUCCAAGGGUCUUAAAGUUGCUUCAUGCUCUCCAAGGUCCGCGACGUGGUUGCGCACCCCAAUUGAACCGCACAGGAUCCGAAUGGCUUCUUCCCAUACAUGCCAUCGAAAUUCAGCAAAAGCAAUAACCAGCGAUUUCUUCUGGAGAAUUUAAGCCACCCCAUUGGACCAACAAUUCAAUCAAAAGAAACCAGUAACCAAGUUCAAUUGAGUUUAGAAGCAUUUACAAUGUUCCCACGGAUGUUCAUCACUUUACCCAAUAGUUCGUUUCAAGAAGGAAAUUCCAGCAGAACUGAAACUUCAAAACUUCAGAAGGCACCAAAUUUUUGAAGUAAAUUCAUUUCAAGUUGAAAUAAUCAACUUAGGUGAGGACCCAUAAAAUUAGGAGGAACAUGAAAGAAAGCUUUAUCUUUUUCCUCUAAACUCAGGCGUUACUAAACAAACGGACAUUCACAUCCCCACCAGAUGCAUUUCCUUUCACAUCUUCCCAAGUAAAUCAGUACCUUCUUUCGUCUGAAUCUUAAGUCUGAAUUCUGGAAGUGAAAAUACUGGAAAAAAGUGGGCCUUUAUAAAAGAAUACCUCACGUUUUAGUCAAUGUAUCAGCGCACUAAGAGGACCAGAGGCAGGAGUGAACGACAGCAAACAAUUCAUGUAAUAUUCAGUCGAGUUUUGGGUGAUUUCUGCAGCGAUUUCGGAGGCCAAGAGCCUGAUAAGAAAGCUGGGACGGAAGGGCAGUGGUCUGGAAGAAAAGGCUCGGGUCACACUGUCGCGAUUCGCGAAGGAGAAGUGGCCCAAUACAAUUUCGGCCUGUUUGCACUGGACUGUUUUGCACAGGGCCAAGGCCGACCCUGAACCAGAUAAAGCUUCUCCAAACAGUAUAUAUCAGGUGCUAGAAAUUCUAUAGAACCAUUCAAUCUUAGAGCAACAGCUUAGCAUUAGUUGGUACAAAAAGAUUUCCGAUUAUCGCUUUUAUUUAUUCCUCCUCUGAUGUGUCCUUUUAGACUGCAACAGACGAUUUAAAGAAAUGAAAGUUAGCAGAAUAAAUGGCGCACAAAGGGAUUUAAAAUCCUGACAUGUGUAUUUUUGGCAGAUUUAUGUGAGCAUGCAACUAAAACUGGCAUCACUAUCAAUGGUGCACGAAGAUUGGCGGAAAAACGUAAAGGGAAGCAAUCACAACACAAAAUGUACGACGUAAUCUGUCCACAUGUUGGAAGGAGCUAUGAAAGUAUGGCUUUUCACUAAUCAGGCGUCCAGAGAAUCAAUAUUUUACUCACGGAUCAGUUACGGAGAACAAUCCCCACCAAAGCAAUCUCAAUAGUCCUCCACAUCUCAAACCAAACAGAAAUCGCACUAACAAACACGACUUCUAUACUAUUAGUCCUUCCCAUCUCAAAUCUAGUAAGUAACCCAUCUUUCGUCUGAAUCUGGAAAACAAGCAGCAGUGGAUUUAAAAAUCUGGGUAUCUCAAAGUUACUCACUUUAAUCACAAAUUUAACAAUUAAACAUAUAAAUGGGCAUUUUUAGUGAAAUAUUAGUGUAGUACUCACUGUGUGCUAGGAGCAAGAGUACCCAGAAAGCUCAAUGAGCUGCGCACAGAGGACUGCAGCGGUGAACGAUAGCGACCAAUUCUGUAAAAUUCAGUCGAGUUUUGGGCAAUUUCUGCAGCAAUUUCGGAGGUCAAGAGGCUGAUAAGGAAAGCUGCGACCAAAGGGCACUGGUCUGGAAGAAAGGCUCUGGUCACCGCUGUCGCGAUUCGCAAAGGAAGAAGUGCCCCAAAACAAUUUUGGCCCUGGGCAGGUGCACUGUUUGCACUGGGACAGGGCCGGCCCUGAAUCGCGAUAACGUCCUUCUCCAAACAGUAUAUAUACAGAUGCUAGAAAUAUCUACCAGAACCAUUCAAUUCUAGCGUCUACAGCUUUAGCAUCAGCUGGUACAAGGGACAUUCUUCCAUAGAGGGAGAUGAAAUCGUUGAGGCUCUUAUUUAUUCCUCCUCUUGAUGUGCCCUUUUAGACUGCUAAUUCCAGACGAUACAAUCUCAUGCAUCUUCCCUGAAAAAGGGUUGCCACACAUCGAGAUCAAAUUUUUCCAAUAAAAUUAACUUAAAAAUCAAACUCGUUAGCAGAAUAAAUGGUGCACAAAGGGAUUUAAAAUCUAGACAUAUGUGUAUUUUUGGCAGAUUUUAAGUGAGCAUGCAACUAAAACUGGCAUCACUAUAAAUGGUGGACAAAGAUUGGCGGAAAAACAUAAAGGGAAGCAAUCACAAAGCAAAAUGUACUAAGUAAUCUGUCCACAUAUUGGGAAAAAUUUUUAACAGUUUGAUUUGUAACUUCUCCAUUGUAUUAGUUAAAGACAAGACGGUGUCAACCAUGCAAUUUGCUGAUGAUUUUACUGAUGAAUGCAGAGUUAGCUGAUGAUACGACAAGCAAUUGAAAAUCCCAUCAUUAUACCCCACAUAUACCAAAAAAGCAAGUCAUUUGCACAAAUUCAGAAGGUUCAUCCACUGCAAUUUGCAGAUAUAGAAAUGUUAAGAUAAAUGGAAAUACAAAGUACCUUUCACCCAAAUUGGAGGAACACCGGUGGCAUUAGCAAGUUAGCAUCGGGAAUUGACAUUACCAGUAUCUUCACAGUUUCUGCGGUGGAGUUAUGUACCUCUCCUUGGAAAAUGCCACCAAAGCCGCCGCAACGCGGUGUAGUGUCCGAUUGAUUGCUUCAAAACAAAGCUUCGUAUCCAUGUGUUUAAUCAGCACAGAGUACCCAAAACCCCUGAAAAUUAUUUCUUUAUUCAGACAAUAAAAUUUCCCAAAUUUCGAAUUUUAAUUCCAAAUCAAAAAUAGGGUUUGAAUUUUGAUUACCUAGAAAUUGGGGGGUUGGGGUGGAGAGGGACCCGGGCCAGGACGGAGCUAUGUGUAUAUGCUAAGGCGUGCCAAAUUACAUAGAGUGUCAGGAAUGUGUACAAGUCUUUUGCAAUUUAUCAGACUUAAAACCUGAAGCCCCGUAAGGCGUUCAAUCCAGGGGGAAAGCUCUUUGAUAGAUGUUCCACCCAAGAAAAGCAUUCUUAAUCCUUCCAUAUUUUCUUCAAUGCUUGGAAACACCUCAAAUUUUGUACAAUUGUAAAGAGAGAGACGGUAAAAGGAUUUGAGUUGACAAAUGCUGCUUGGAAGACUCUCAAGUUCCUUGCAAUUCAUCAUAAGCAAACACCUCAAUCCCGUGAGAUUAUUAAUUGACAGGGGUAGUUCUUUAAUUUUUGACCCAGAUAAAUCAAGCUCUUCUAACCCCUCAAUAACUUCUGAAAUCUCUGGAAACAUCACAAGACUCGAGCAACCAGAAAGAUCAAGGGUUUUGAGAGAUUUCAUACGAAUGCUGCUUGGAAGACUCUCAAGUUCCUUGCAAUUGUUUAGGUCCAAAUAACUCAACCUCGUGAGAUUAUUAAUUGACAGGGGUAGUUCUUUAAUUUUUGACCUGGAUAAAUCAAGCGCUUCUAACCCCUCAAUCACUUCUGAAAUCUCUGGAAACAUCUCAAGACUGGAGCAGCCAGAAAGAUCAAAGGUUUUGAGAGAUCUCAUACAAACUUUGCUGGGUAGAAUCUUAAGUUCCAUGCAUUUUGAUAGGUUCAAAUGACUCAACCCCGUGAGAUUAUUAAUUGACAGGGGCAGUUCUUUAAUUCUUGACCCGGAUAAAUCAAGCUUUUCUAACCCCUCAAUCACUUCUGAAAUCUCCGGAAACAUCUCAAGACUCCGGCAGCCAAAAAGACCAAAGGUUUUGAGAGAUCUCAUACAAACUUUGCUGGGUAGAAUCUUAAGUUGCCCGCACAAACUCAGAUCCAAUAAAACAAUUUUUGUAAGAGCCAAAAUCGACCCGUGAACCUCAACUAAGCGUGUACAACCUUGAACAAUUAGCCUCUCAAGAUUUGGCACAUUUGUGAAGUCAGGGGUUAUCUCAAGGUUAUGACAAUGACUUAAAUUGAUGAAUUUCAACUUUUCCUGCGUCUGUUAAAACAUUCAGGAAAACAUGCAUUACUUAAUAAGACAUCUCACUCAAAGCCCAAACAUUUAAAAGAAACAAAUACAUGUAAAUGAUUGUACAUACCUGGGUUCCUUCCCAAAGUCGGUCAAUGAGGCUAUAUUGCAUGUCAAGUCCAACAAGAUUUUCGAAUUGAAAGUUGGAUGGCAAAGACUUGAGAGGGUAUCCAGACCAGGAAAGACACCUCAACUCACUAGAAACAAACUUUAAGGGCCCAGUCAGGUGUUGUAUGCCGUGAGCACUGAUCUUGAGAAGUCUUAGUUUAGUCAUCCUAUCAAAAGCUUCAACCAUUAAGCAUCCCUCAUCUGAGUUCCACGAAUCGAGGAUUAUGCUUUCGACUGUUUCUGUACCCUGUGCAAAUCAAAGGGAAGGAAAAAGCAGAGAACCUUAGUUUAGAUUAUGAAGUUAAUGCUUGUUUCUUAAGGAGUUGUUUGAUAAUAAUUUUGUUUUCACUUUUCACUUUUGUUUUGAUUAUUUAUUUAGAAAUCUGAAAAUUGAAAACAUAUAACUUGUUUGUAAUUGUUUUCAAUUUUCAAUUUUCAAUUAUUAAAAAAAUGAAAAUUAAAAAUUAAAAAUGGAAACAAAAGUGGUUAUCAAACGAGCUUAAGAAAUUGAUUUUGGUCAAAAGUUGAAGCUUUCUACUAAACAUUGCAUAAGAAAAGAAAUUAUCACCGUAUUUUUAGUUAUCACAUGAAAAACAUCUUCAUAACUCCACAACCUACUUCGUCUCCCAGGCUCUUUGAUAGAUUCUUGGUAGACGAUUUUCUGACCCAUUUCCUCUAGUAAAUCAUGCAUCUCCAGUUCCCCCUUCGUUGAGACAGUUACUAGAGCUCGAUCGAUUAGAACUUUUAUUCCAAUAUCAGGAUAGAAACCACAGCUGUGCAGAACUUCGGUUGCACAGUCUUCUCUCAUUCCUUUAAAGUAACAUGCAAUAUCUAGAAAGAUAUCCUUCUCCAUGUCAUCUAGUCCAUCGAAGCUUGUUUUAAGCACAUCAUGAAUUCCCUUUUGCGGGAUUUUCUUUAUUUUUUCUAACUCAUUUUCCCACUGGCGUACAUUUUUGUUAUAAAGAAAAGCUCCCAAGACUUUGAGUGCUAAAGGCAGACCUCGAGCAUAUUUUACGGCACGACGGGAGAGAUCAUCAUAAUCUCUGGUGGGUUGGUUUUUUCUGAAGGCGUACCGCCUAAAGAGUUCCAGAGCUCCAGAAUCACUCAAAAUCUGGGGAUUAUAUAUCUCACCAGCUAUGCUUAGUAAUUGCGAAUCUCUGGUUGUUAUAAUAAUUCUGCUUCCACCACCAAAGGAAUGUGGCUCUCCAAGUAAAGCUUCAAUAUGUUCUAAUUCUUCCACAUCAUCAACAACAAUAAGAACUUUUCUCCGACCUAGACUAUUUAACAUCACCUGGAAACCUUUAUUCGAAACGUCGGAACUCCCCACCCUGUUGUUCGAGAUACUCGAUAGAAGUUCUGCCUGCAUAUGUAGUUUGCCAUGCUUCAUGAAACCUUCCUUGAAAUUUUCAAGAAAGCAACAAGCUUUAAAUCCACCAGAGAUUUCAUUAUAAACAGCUCUCUAGCGAUGGAUGUGUUUUUUGCCUAAACCCACACCCAUACCCCCAUAUUCCAACAAUGCGAACAUCAUAUUAGUUUCAACUCCAGGAGGAUGCAGUAAUGAAUGCAUGUUAUGCAUAUGAGAGUCCAUUUCAACCAAGCCAUUAUAUUUGCUUGAUGAUGAUGAGAUGUAUCGCCGACCCCACUUAGUGGGAAAAGGCUUUGUUGUUGUUGUUGUUGUUGAUGAUGAUGAGAUGUGGAUCAAUUUCUUAAAAACAUCUUCUACAAUUUUCUCAAUAAGCUCUGCAUCAUCCCUGUCAAAUUUAAAACACAAUAUAAUUACAACACCAAAUGAUACUUAAUGGGUCGUUUUGAUUACAAUUUCGUUUGCAAUUUUUUUUAAAUCUAGAUUUUAAGUUUGCAGAUUUUGUUUUCAGUUUUUAGUUUCAAUGAAAGUAGUUAUUAAACAAGUUUUCCAAUUUUUCUUUCAUGGUAUACAGUACGUAGUCCCAAAUAUCAGUAGUUAGAUCUUGCAUUUAGAUCUAAUGGGUAUUUACAACCUUUUUUCCUGAGAAUUUUGUACCAUUGUAGCCAGAUCACAUGUUUUCAUCCGUUAGUUUUAUAAAAAUGGAAACUACAAAAAAAAAAAAAAAAAAAUAUAUAUAUAUAUAUAUAUAUAUCAAAUGGCCCCUAAAUGCUAUUAAAAAUCUCAAAAAUUAACAGGAAACUAAAACAAAUUAGAAUUUAUUCAUGGUUUCGCAAAUCCCAGCCGGAUAAACUGGUGGCCGUUGUAAGAGAGAGGACCUCCAGCCGGAUAAACAUUUUCGAGUUAUUUGAUAUUUGUAUAGUAAAAAUACUUUAAUAGCAAGUGCGCGUGAGUGAAGAAAUUGAACUUACUUAUAUAUUCUUCGAAUCCCAACCGGAAAAAUUGCAGGCUCUGGGAAGAGCGGACCUCCAGCUCUGCACCUCCUUCACGUCACGUUACGAAGAACGACUUCAUGUUUAGCAAAAGCUUCUGCAAAACUUCCCUCGAGUUUACGUUUUACGAAUAUUGGACGGAUCGACUUGGUAGAAAAUGGGGAAUACAAUCUGGUUCUUGGAAUGGUUGCAUUCCAAGAUUUCCACGAGAGUUCUUUCAAGCACCAUGUGGAUGAAGCAUAGUUUUGAGAGAAACUACACUACAAUCGAAAUCCUUGACUCUCUCGAAUCGCUGUCAGGAGCUCGAAAAGGCGGUCGCCUUUUUCUGAGGUCUUCAAUGAUGGCAUCAAUGAAGGUGUUUCUGAUUGUUUCUAGAUUUGUAGAGAUGCUCUUUGUAGAGAUGGCCUGACGAGAACCGCGAGUGUCUUUCCCCUCUAAAAAAACUGAUGAACACAUCUCGUCCCAACCAAGGCAAGAAGAAGAAGAAGAAGCAAGCCAUUAAUCGAUCUCACCUGGGCAGCGAUGAUCUCAGAGCAGCUAAGACUAAGCAAGAAUUGUAAGUACAGAACACUCAAUAGAUCUACAAAUUGGAUCCAGAAAUUAGUCAAUGAGUCAAUGCAAAAGGGAAAAGGGCAAUUAUGCUUUUUGCGUUUUCACAUCUUUCUUCAGGAAAUUUCGGUGUGAAAGGAAUCCGCAUACUUUUGAUUUUUCAACCCAAGAAAAUGCGAAGAAGAAGGGUACAAAGUAGUAAAUUUAAUCUACAGUUGCCUACCCAACACAACUCUCUUGAUUAAUAAUAUAUAUUUAAUUGGGAAAAGUAGUUUAGAGGAAGGAUGUUUUAUCUCCUUUUUCUUCUCUCUCGAACAGUCAAUCUUCCGUUCCCGUGCGAUUUAAUCAUGAUUAAAGCUAAGCUUAAUCUUAGGUCGUAUUAUUUAGGUCUAAUUGGAUUCUUAAUUCUUGUUGUGAUAUAGUAGUUCGAAGAUUAAAAAAAAUUAUGAUUUAAACGUUUGUGGUGAAAUCUGUUACGAUUUAGAUUCAAAAUUGAAAAUUUCGUUAACUCCAUUAAUUGUUAGCACAUGAAGAAACACUCACAAAUGAAACUAAAAAUAAUAAAGUUAGCCCUCACAUGUAAUCUUCACGUGCUAACAAUGAAAAGAAAGUUCCGUUUUAGCUUAAUAUAUGUGACUCACGUGUUAAUAAUUAACGGAAUAUUAACAAAAAAAUUUAUUUUAAGCAUAAAUUCAAAUAAACUUCACCACAUAAGCUUAAAUUCUAAUUUAGAUAUCUUCUAACUAUCUUAUCACCAUAAAAAUUAUAAUCAAAUUAAACUUAUUAUUUAUUUAUAAAUGCGUAACUAAAUCACAAAGUGUUGAAUGAAAGGGAGCACUCCAAAUGAUGAAAGGGGUAUGAUAUCCACACAUCUUUUUUUUUACUUCUUACACAUCGUUUUAAUUUUCGACCGUCGGAUCAAAUUAAUUGAAGAAUAUCAAAGGAUAAAAAUCAACAAAGGGUGUGUAAGAAGUAAAAAUGAGUGUGUGGAUAGCCAUCCAUGAUGCCAAAAUGAAGCAAAAAGCGGGAGCAUCGAAAGCUAUCUCCGUUUUGUUGUUCUAGCUUUGUCUUCUUUUGGCAGAUAGCUCCUAGGGACCGGCCUAUUUUCCACAGCUGGUUAUAGACUCAGUUGUGCUAUAUAGAAGGGAGUGUUUUGUUGUAAUUCCAAUAUCGAUGGAAAUCCAACAGCCAAAAUCUUUUCAAAUUUUUGUGAGGAUUUUGGGGUGUACGUAAAUUGAUUAUGUUUAUCGUAUAUUGUGUGAUCAUUUUUUAUCAAAUAUUAUUUGUGUUUCAUUUUAAAUAAAAUAAUUUAAAAUAAUUUUUAACUACAAGAUGUACGAUGAACAGAUAUAAUUCACAAAUCUCCAAAAUCCUUACAAAAAAAUCCGAAAAAGAUCCAAAUUCAAUGGAAAUAAGCUAAUUUUGAAUCAAAUUACAUUACUUUAUUUUGUAAAUAAAUUUAAUUUUGAAUUGAACAACACAUUCAUUUAUUAUGUAAGUAAUUCAUUUUGUAUGUAUCAUCAUAUAUAUUAGGCACAUUUUAUCAUAGGUGAUUUUGUGAAAAAUUAAUAAAAAGUUACAAUAUUAACAAUAGAUCAAUAAUAUUUAUGUUAAUUAUAAAUAGGUUAACCAUGUAUUGUGAUACUUAAAUACAUUUAAAAUAAAUAAAAAUUACAAAAUCUACUACUACAGCUAGCAUUCACUUCAACUAAAACUCUCUUCCACGUAGUUUUUAUAUUUGGAAUAAGUCAUACGAAUCAGAGACAUGAAGAGGUGUAAGAACUGUGAAUGUCCAACAACAAAGACUUCGGAGUUUGUUGUCGAAUAUCUGCAGCGCAUCAUUUCUGAUAGAUCAAAUCGAGCCAAUUCCCGCAAACUCCAAUCCCACCACCACCUUUCAAGCCGGCCUCAGCCCUCCGGGCGGCAUUUGGCAGGACAGCACUGGAUCAAACAAGAAUGGGACUGGCAGUGGGAGCAAUGAACGAGUACACUCAGCAGGGAAGUCCAUCAUGCGUUAAGGCAAAUGGUUCUCAAACACAAAGCAAUAGUUCGCUACCGAAAACAACCAAAGUCUGACAAAGGGAACCGUCUUACACCUAACCUGUUUUUCCCUCAUCAAAUGAGCGCGUUGAUCUGCAGAUAUUUUCUGCCAUCUCAAAACCUGUUACAAAGAAAUAUAACGUUGAUGUCGAGCUGGAUAGCAUAUUAUACCAAUUAUGUGUACAAACCUAUUGAAAUAAAGUAGCUGUAGUUGCAUAUUACGACAGAUAUUAACGAAAACAAAAGAAGGCUCGCCUAUUCAAGAUCCUAAAUCCCAUGAUUCUUUUGUUUUUAGUUUCAGAAAUUUUCAGAGCACAAACUGGAAAGUACCAAGAUACUUACAUAUUGGGCAUAAUGAAAUGCAUCUUCAUCUUUCAAGCAAGAUUUGAGUGAGCGCAAACCGUCCUGAGAGUUACAUAGAGUCAAUCGGUAAUAUAAAAACGUAGAUGCAUCACACCCAAACACAAGUAUUCAAACACCGACAACUUCUUCAUGCGGUGAGGCAUGUUAAAAAAUAGGGAAGAACAGUUAUUGAAUAGGAAGUUAAAGGACUAAAUUUAUGACCUUGUGUUUGUAGUUCUUGGCUCGUAUGCGUUCAUCUAUUACAAAACCAAUCUGUAACAGGUACAACAGAAAAUAUAAGCAGUAGUCAGAACAUUAAGCAUCGGCAUUCACAUUGCCGCCAAUCCAAAGUUAAAAGUCUAAAGGCAAAACAGUAUGAUUCUUAUCUCUCAAACAAAAAUGAAACUAUACCCCAGACAUAAAUGAAAUAAGUUCUACUGCCUCAACUGAGUACUGUGAUUAUAUAUAAAUCCAAUUCACCUUGUCAAGUAAUCUCUUAGGAUCUUGAAAUGCUUGCUUCUUAGCCCAGUCAUUAAAUACAUGCGAGAUAAUCGAUCUCUCAUCCACACUGAAUCUAUUGUACAGUGACAGAAUAAUAAAGUUAAACAUGAACAUAACCAACCAAAAAUGCUAGUUAUAAUAGUACACCCAUAAUUGCAAGCAAAACCUUUUUAAGAAGCCAUUUCCAUGGUUUUCCUCCCCAAAUUCCAUCAAUUCUGCAGAGGCAACGUCAAAUUUACUAUGAUGGAGAUCAUUUUGAACCAUAACAACUUCAGAAGGUAGGAGAUUUGGUUUGAGAUCAUCUGUUGACGGAGUAGUUUCUUUUGAAGGGUCAUGAUGCUUUGAUUGCAAGCCUUCUGUACUUACGUCAGCCUACAAAACAAAAAUUGCAUUCAACCCACACUAGACUUAAUAAGAUUAGAAACACUUCAGAUUCUUCAUUAUUUGUAAGUUUGACUAAACAGCAGAACAACUGAGGAUAAUGAACAGUAAUACACACCUGGACUUCUCGUAGAGAUUUGGAAUUUCUUUCAGAAAUCGCGAAGGUUGAAGCAUCUGAAGGAGUCACCUUCUCAGUCAGAGCAACAACAACAAAUAAGGAGGACAGGAAUUCAAGCUAAAACGUACCUGCCAACUGGAAUCCAUCGUAACAUAAAGAAUGAAAAGCUUUUUUCGAGCACGAGUCAUUGCAACAUAUAAUAGGCGUCUUUCCUCCUAUGAUUAGAGUGGGAUUAUUGAGUUAUUGACCAAAAGAAAAAAGAGUGGGAUUAUUGUGAAAAACACUUCAAAGCUCUGCAUAUAACUGAAAAAUGUUGAACAAUUUACCCCACACCUCAAUGGAGGUCCCAUUUUCUUUUGCAACGCCAUUGAAUUCAUGCAACAACGGGAUCUCAGAUUCAUUUACCUGUGUUAUUGGCAUGAGCAUUAAAGCAAGCUAAGAUGAUUUGAAGAGGUUGAUAUCGUCAUGAUUAUAGUAGAACAGAAUACCAAUUUCAAGUCAUCAAUUAGGUAUAGCAUUGGCAUGUUUAAUCAGUAAAUCUAAUGACAGAACACCUCAACUCUACACAUAAAUAAAUAAACGGUCGUACCCAGUGCACAAGGCUCCCGCUUUACGCAGGGUCUGGGAGAGGUGAAUGUCGGCUAGCCUUACCCCCAUUUAUGGAGAGGCUGCUCCCAAGUCUCGAACCCGAGACCUACCGCUCAUGGGCGAAGGCACUUGCCAUCGCACCAAGUGCGACCUCUACACAUAAAUAAAUAAACAACCUGAAAAAUAUUACAGCCACUUGUUAAGGCAAAUACCUUAAUUAUGAAAACUAUAUCCCACUCUAAACCUUUUGACUGCAAGAGAAUGAAAAAGAAAGACAGUAAGCCAAGAAUGUUUUGUAGAACUCCAAAGGAAGUCCAAUAGGGAAAUCAUCGCAAGUACAAGAGUUAGCGAGGUUCGCAUAAGAGGAUAUCAAAAAGAUCUAUAACCUGAUGAAUAGUAGUCAAAGUGACAGAACUUUGGUUGUCAUGUCUUCGGGAGUGAAAAUUUUCACUCUCCCGCUCAGAUAUGUAGUCGAUGAAUGCUUUGAGUAAAUUAACGCAGCCUUUUUCUUCUGCUACGACUUCUCUCUCCCCUUUUCCCGCAACAAAAUGAGUUGAUAAGAAAUCAGAUACGUCGUCUAGUAGGUACUGAAGAACCUGCAAUGAGAAUAAUCGCAUCACAACAACAGAGUUGGACCAAGAUUUAAGUGACAACAAUGAUUAACUAACUAAAACAGAGAAAUUAUUCAUUUAAGACCUUGUUGACUGAAAAAAGGGUUUUCCAAGCAGCGGGUCAUUUAAGCUUAUUGUAUAAAUGACAAUCAUCACAAACGGCAAACUUACAGAUCUCACGUCAUUGUCUUCAUUCAGCAGUUUUCCUCCCUCUAUAUCAACGACUGCACGUUGCUCAAGACGGUACUUCUAAAAAUUGAAAGUCAAACGAUAAAUGAUUAAGAAGUAUUGAAUAUAAGCAUGAAACGAAGAAAAUGUUAUGGAAUGGUGAUCCUCAUCCUCAAAGAUGAUUAAAAGCAAUUUGAUUCAAAAAUGACAUAUCAACUCUGGAGAAAUGGAAGACAAACCUGUGGUACCAUAUUCGCAACUGAGGUUAUGACAGCUGAAAUCGAUUGUUCCUGUGUGCAUUAAUAAGUGAGACUACCAUAGAGAUUCACAACUAAAUAAAGACAGGUAUUCCACAGAACAACCUUUACCUCUUUGGAAACACAGAUCUAACAAAAACUAUAACAUUUUGGAUUAAUAUUGACGAAUCAAGAAUAAUGCAAGGGAGCAAGAGAUACUCUUCCUUCUAAUAACAAGGAGGUGUGAAAAGUAUACAGAGUUCCAACAAUUAGAGAACUAAAAUCAAACUAAAAAAAUCACCAAAGUAGACAGAAUCUCACUUCGCCAAAAAUUUGAAAAUAUAUCCUUUUUAUCCAUUGAGAUUCAUGAACUACUACUACUACAUCAUGCCAAUAAGCAAUGCGUAAGAGGUGCUACAAUUUACCGAAUAUAUUUACCCUGAGAACAAGUUUUGAAAUCAUCUCUAGUGUUAACAGCACCUUGCGUCCUUGGGUAAGCUGAGUCCUAUUAUCAAGUAAAGAGACCAAUCAGUACAUAUCCAAAAAGAUCUUAAAUGCUUGUAAUACCAAAUAAGAAAGAAACAUGAGUAUAUCUUGAAUUAACCAUGCAAAAAUGUAAUGUUAAAGCAUCUUGUCAUACAGACCUCUUCAAGGUACCAGAAAUUUUUGCACUAAAGAUGUCACAAGCAGCUGAUAUGAAGCUGCAUUUUCUGUGAGUUGAAAUUUUGUCAAUAUAAUCGAUCACCUGAAGAGAGAGAGAGAGAAAAAGACAGUGAUAUCCAGAGAUGUGAGCCUAAAUGCUGAGUGUGUGUAAAAAAAAGAAGAUUAAAUGGAUAGCAAGAAUAUACAACUUUAAUGCUGAAAAGAACAUUGAAUAUGAUGUUCAUUCAUCAUUCCCAUUGAACGUGUACCUUCUUCUUUUCCUCUUUCUCAAAAGCAAGUAGAGCCUUGAAGACUUGCCUAUAUGAUCCAUCAUCACAACCAGGCAAAGUUGUUUUAAUCAUAGCAACAAUGGCUCUAACUACCUGCCAUAAGAAACAUGCUACAUCAACAAGAUCACAGAGUGUACCAGAAACCGUAAUGUAGCAAAAUCUUGGAUAAAAUAGCUGGCCAAAAGGGAAUGGAAAAGCAAGCACGAAAAACAAUGAAAAGGACCAGUGAUGCCAAAAUUCUGGUGGAAAAGGUGAAAAGCUUAUGUCUAUUACAGUUCUUGUAUGCAUUCUUUAUAACUUAAGUUCUACGUAGCAAAAACCACCUUAUGCACAACAAUAUUGGAAAAAUUAGAUACAUACAACUGAGAAGAUAGGUUUUCAUAAUCUGGACAAGUGCUAACUACCUUCUUCCUAUAAACUGCCACUCCAUGAACAUUAAAUGGUAUUUUCCUUUCACGCAAGGCUGUCUGGAAGACUUUUCCUGAUACCUGUAGCAUAAAAUACAAAAGAAAAUGUGACCAAAAUGUCUUAUAUGAUUCACCUCAUUCACAUUAGCACUAAGGCAAGUAAGCUUGACCUGCCUCCGGUAAAGGAUUGCUAUAUUUCCAUAGAAGCACCCUGCUUCUGACCGUUUAGAUGCAGUCUCCAGGAUCUUGUCGACAACAAAGGCACAUUGUGCAUCCUCAUUGUGACUUUCCUUGAUAAUUACCUACAUUUUGCCAGUAAAACCAGUGUCACUAACUAAAAGGACUGAAAAAUGACAUCAAAUUGUACUUGUUGGAGCAAGGAAAGAUUAAGUACCUUAGACCCAGAAGAAUUGUCCGUGUCAACAUUCUUUAGUUGGCAUCGCUUCUUAUUGUUUUUUAUAACAGAAGAUGCAGCUUCCACAAUAUAGCGUGUGGACCGAAAGUUUUUAUUAAGCCUAAUCUGAACCAUAAAGUUAUGUCAAAUCCCACAGAACCCCAUAAAAUAAAACUUACUUUCCUGUAAUUGUACAAUAUAUUUGUUCUAUACUAUAUAUAAUGAAAAAAGACACUGUGAAUGACAUAAGAUAACAUAGCAGUCAAGUGCGAAGCGAACCUCUUUGUAAUUUGAAAAAUCUUUACGAAAAGAAUCAAAUCCAGAAAUGUCCGCCCCAUUGAAACUGAAAAUGGACUGCAGCAGGAUAUAUGUUAUUUGAUUUAGAACAGAUAAGGGCUGGAUUAGAAUGAGCUGAGAGAGAGAGAGAGAGAGAGAGAGGGAGAGAGGGAGAGAGGGAGCAAUAACAUUGGAUUUCCAUAAUAAAUCAACAACAUGCCUGAUCAUCAUCACCAACAAUGGUUAUGUGGUUAUGAGAGGCGAGAAUCCGCAAAAGACUAUAUUGCAUAGCACUUGUGUCUUGAAACUCGUCUAUUACAAUAGCUUUCCAUGACUCCUGGCACUCCUUCAACACUAAUUAAGAGAACACCAUGUAUCAACAUUUAGCAUUACUUGUAAAACUAGAUAAAUCAAUGAAAUAUACUUAGAUGAUAGAGACCUUCAGGAAAAUCACUUAGCUUAGCAGCUUCACAGAGCAGCUAAUUAAGUCGUGGUAGUCCAAAGCGUUGCACGAUUUCAAGAUAUCAUUGUAAUUCCUAAGAAUUUCACCCUGAUUCAGAUUGAGAGCUAAAACUCAUAAGCAAUAGUUUCAAAGAACUGAAAUGAUAUCUGAAAUUCUAGUUCUGAGCGUACUCCUGUCACAUCACCCAUUCUUCGGCAUUCAGCGGGAGUCUUUCCAGAAGCUUUUGCCUGAAACAUAAAUAAAUUUAUUGCCUAAUGCCACAUAUUGUAAGACACACCAUUGUAUUGGUCAUUCUAGCUUGAUUGUAGCUAAUAUUUUUUAAAUCGAAUGAUUAGAGUUCUUAAUCCACAAUAAUCUGAACAUUAAAUUUCGUAUUCAAGACUAACCUGUGUCACAAACUUCAGCCAUUUCUUUGAUGCAUCCUUAAAAUGAUGUGGAGAUGUUACGCCGUUAGACUCUUCCCCAUCUAUAGCAACAUUAAGAUUCGUUUUACUCUUUUCAUCUUCUGAUAACCGCACAGCUUCAAUGAUUGCUCUUCUCUGUUGCCCAUGUCCAUAUAUCAAAAAUUCUGGUCUGCGCUCGAGUCUAAAACACAAGCCAACAUAACAGACUCAGCUGUACCACCAUAUGUAUGGUGUUCAAAAUCAAGGGAGGUGAAUCAAUAGCUUACUUCUCAGCAUGUGAUCGGCAAAGUUGCAAUGAAAAUGAAUGCAAUGUACUGAUUGUUAGUAGUUUUGCCGUUGCUUUCCCAGUCACAGAUCCAAUUCGAUCUCUCAUCUCGGAAGCUGCUGCUGUAGUGAAAGUCAUUGCUAGAAUGUUCGACGUGCUGAUGCCCUAAGAACACAAAAAAAAAAAAAACGAAUAAGAUUUCGAUCAUAAACAAGAAAUGUAGAGAAACACACAAUUAUGAAAGAAAAAGUUAGGGGGAAGUAGCAACACCUCAUUGAGCAGCAUUAGAACGCGCCCAACAAUCAUCAAAGGUACUGAAAUAUCGCUGCAAGCUGCCUCGCGCUGCCUUUCGUUGAGAGAAAGCUAAUACUUCAAAUACUCAUCCGGCAUGUUAGGCAAUCCAUGGUUAACGGAAUCCGUUUGGUUUUCACUACUCAAAGGCGGCGCUGAUGCGGCACGAACGUCACUACCACAACUCCCAAUAUCAUCACGCUGAAUGUCCACACUUGGUUUCUGCUCAAUUAAAGCGUCAAUUUCCUGCAAAAUACUCUCAUCGAAAUCAUCAUCGUUAAGAAUUCCAGAUGCAGAGAAAGAAUCAAAUGAAGUCAGAAACUGAUGUCUGAUUGGAGUUGUGAAAGAAUCCGAUUUUGACACGCUUGAUUCUGUCCGGCUAACGCUUAAGCUCCCGGAACACGAAGCACUGCCAUAUUCACCACGCGCUGAAUUGUACCGGCUUGCGGAAAUCGGAGGCGGUGUUCUUUGAACUCUAUUGAGCUGAGUUGGCGUUUGGAUUCCAUUUCCGCCACAGAUUCUGGAAUUUGAAAAACACAAUUGAAUUGAUUUAAAUUGAAGCAAGAAAACAGCCGAGUAGCCAAAAAAUAGUAAGAAGAUGAAACCUUUGAUUCCUGAACGACUUACUUGGUAUGAGGGAGGUGAUGAUCAGGUGAAACGGCGUCGUUGCGGGGGCGUUUGCGAUCAAUGAGGGCCUUGGCGGCUCUGAAAUUCCGAGAGAUGCGGUUUCUUUGUUCCGCCGUGAGCCCUCCGCCGUACGCCUGAACGUUUUCCUUGGACAUUGCUUCGAAGAUUCCAACGGAGGAUUUGGCCUGACGGCCUGACCAGGCUGAUAACAGUGUAAAACCUUAGGAGCUAAGGAAAAACUAAGAGAGAGAUCGUAGAGAGGGAAAGUUUUUUCUUUUUGGAAACCAGUAGAGAGGAAAAGUUUGUUAAACCUGAAUAAUAUUCUUUUGGCCUAAUCGGAUAAAUGGUCCCGUGGUCAUAAGGUAUUCGGAUGAUAGGCCUGUGGUAAAAAAAUUCAGAUUUAAACCCCUGUGGUCUAAAUCUGUUAGGAUUUAUGCCCUUUUGUUAAAUAAUGCUGACGUGGCUGCCACAUAUAUGCCACGUGGCUGCCAAAUGUCUGCCAUGUGGCAAAAAUAAUAAUUUUUAAUUUUUUUUUUUAAAACCUGAAUUUUUACAAAAAAAUAAAAAAUAAAAAACCCAGUCCGGCGAGGGGGGGAGCUGGUCUCUGGCGGGAGGAAGAAGAAGAAGAAGAAGAAGAAGAAGAAGAAGAAGAAGAAGAAGAAGAAGAAGAAGAAGAAGAAGAAGAAGAAGAAGAAGAAGAAGAAGAAGAAGAAGAAGAAGAAAGAAGAAGAAGAAGAAAAGAAGAAGAAGAAGAAGAAGAAGAAGAAGAAGAAGAAGAAGAAGAAGAAGUCGCGCGGGGAGACCGGCGGGAAGAAGAAGAAGGAAGAAGGAGAGGGAGGAGGGUCGCGCGGGGAGAGGGCUCCGGCGGGGGGGGGGGGGGAGCUGGUCUCCGGCAAGAAGAAGAAGAAGAAGAAGUCCAGCGGGGGGGGAAGGGCGAAGGGCGGGGGGAGCUUCUGGGUUUUUUUUUUUUUUUAAAUUCAGGUUUUUUAAAAAAAAAAUUAAAAAUUAUUAUUUUUGCCACGUGGCAUAUAUGUGGCAGGCACGUCAACAUUAUUUAACAGAAGGGCAUAAAUCCUAACAGACUUAGACCACAGGGGUUUAAAUCCGAAAUUUUUUACCACAGGGGCUAUCAUCCGAAUACCUUAUGACCACGAAAACCAUUUAUCCGAUUAGGCCUAUUCUUUUCAUUCAACUUGUCUACAAUAAUUACUAUUGGAUAAGUAUAUAGGCUGUGUCAUUACUACUACACGUGCAAAACAUGUGCACAUAUGGCUUACUAGAUAGAAUAGUAUAAAUACCUUUUCCUUUCCUUUAUUUUGUAAGAGGUUGUAAUACCUAAAACAGUUAGAGAAAUAUAUUGUAAUUCUUUCUGACUUCUCCUCUAAGCUUCCUUCUUCAGUGUAUUUCUUAAUUUCUAUGGAAUUCAUCUCUACUGUUAAGAUGGUAUCCAGAGUCGUUCUUGCUUGCGCAAUGGUACUGGUUCAUCGUUUCCAUUGCUUCGACUGGUAAGAAGGUGAUAUUGCUUAUGGGCUUUGUCUCUGGAUAUUUGUUCUUUGCGUUGGAAACCCUAAAAGAGUUUAGUGUUCUUCUUCUGAAAUUUCGUUUGAAUUGAAGUGUAAUUGAAGGCCGAUGCCAUAGUUUUUUGGUUAAUUGAAGAGUUAUAUGUUGAUUUGAUGAAAGGCCGAUGCCAAAAUUUGUUGAGAAUUUUCAAUUUCUUGAAGUGAUUUGAGUUGAUUGAAGGCCGAUGCCAUAGUUUUUUGGUUAAUUGAAGAGUUAUAUGUUGAUUUGAUGAAAGGCCGAUGCCAAAAUUUGUUGAGAAUUUAGUUUCUUGAAGUAAUUGAAUAGAUUCAAGGACGAUUGCCAUUGUUGGAGUAUAUAUGUGAUUCUUGCUUCUCUGCGAUCGUAGAGUGAUUGUCUUCGUAGUUGGAAAUCAGAUUUGCAAUUCUUGUUCAUCUGGAGUUAUCCACCGAUAUCAUUAACAUAUAAUAAGAGAACAAUAAUUGAUGAACCAUCACACUUGACAAAUAAAGAAGGAUCUGCAUAUGAUGACUUGAACCCAAGCUUAGGCAAAUAACCUGAAAACAUGUCAUGCUAGGCUCUGGGAGCUUGCUUGAGACCAUAUAAAGACCUCUCCAGUUUGCACACAUAAUCUGGAUAGGUAGAAUCCACAAACCCUUAGGGCUGAGACAUAAAAACUUAUUCCUCAAGAAAGCCAUGCAAAAAAGCGUUAUUGACAUCUAACUGUAUGAGUUUCCAAUUAUGAGAUGCAGCCAACGAUAGAACCAAUCGAACUAUGGUUGGUUUGAUCACAUGGCUAAAGGUUUCAUAAUAGUUAAUACCAACUUCUUGAGAAUACCCCUUAGCUACAAGUCUAGCCUUGUACCUAGCCACUGAACCAUCUGGAUUUCUUUUAAUCUUGUAGAUCCAUUUACAACCAACAAGAUUUUUGUCAGAUGGUAAGGGCACAAGCUUCCAAGUACGUUGUUGAAUCAAAGCAUCCAUCUCUUAUUUCAUGGCAUUUUGCCAUUGAACACACUUGAUUGCACUAGAAAAAGACUUAGGUUCCUUGAUUUCAGAAGCCUGAUCCACCUUAGCAGAAAACACCUUCUUUUUCAUAAUCCUAGACUUAGACUGGGUUUGCAUGGGAUGACAAUUUUGAGCAUUGAUACACACUAGUUGGAGAUCAUCCACUUGAGACAUUGUAGUAUUUGGAUGAUCUUUUGAAUACACAGUAGGCAAAACCUCUGAAGAAGGCACACCACUUGUGGAAUAAGAGACAAGAUCACCAGAACUAGUGGGUUGAGAGGAUGAUGACUGAGUAACAUGCCGUGAUUUAGAGGUAAGAGAAGUGGGACCAAUAAAUGGAAAUGUGGAAGAAACACUAGGUGGAUGAAUGAAUGUGUUUGAAUGCACAACAGACACUGGUGAGGAAGAAUGACCAGAAGUAACUUGAGGAUUGAAACCCAAAGCAUUAGAGUCUGUAGGAAACUUGGAUUCAUAAAAAAUAACAUGUCUAGAUACUAACAGUUUCUGAUCUUUGAGAGAGAAGCAAAUAUACCCUUUGUAUUGUGUAGCAUACCCCAGAAAAAUACACUUAGUAGUUUUAGGUUCAAGUUUAGUGCUUCUAUAGGGUUUCAAUGAAGCAUAACAUAAACACCCAAAAAUUCUCAAAUGAUCAAGCUUAGGUGGAGAUUUAUAUAGCAUUUCAAAAGGAGACUGCAUAUGUAGGGUAGGUGUGGGCAUUCUGUUUAUAAGAAAAGUAGCAGUGGCACAGGCAUGGAACUAGAAUUUUGAAGGUAAUGAAACUUGUUGUAAAAAGGUAAUAGCUGUUUCAACAAUAUGUUGAUUUUUUCUCUCAGCUAACCCAUUAUGGUAUAGGGUAUAAAGACAAUAUUUUUGAUGAACAAUGCCUUUGGUAAGAAGAAAUUGCUUAAACUGAGUACUAACAUAUUCCCCACCCCUAUCACUUUGCAAAAUUUUUACAUGAGCAUCAAAAUAAAUCGAGACAAAAGUAAGAAAGUUGACAAAAACAGUGAACACUGCAAUUUUAUUAUUUAAUGGAAAAAUCCAAGUAUAUCUUGUACAUUCAUCAAUGAAGGAAACAUAAUACUUGUAACCUUCUAUAGACAGACUAGGUGAGGGACCCAAACAUCUAUGUGAAUUACUUUAAAUGGAGUAAGUAACUUCGAAGCAAUUACAGGAAAAGGGAACUUGGUAAACUUGCCUUGCAAACAAGCUUUACAAGUAUGAGAUUGAGAGUUACAAGGAAAAGAUAUACAAGACUUAUCAAGUGUUGCAGUGACAAUGGAAUGUGCAGGAUGACCUAAUCGACAAUGUCACAAUGUAGAAGAAAUCUUUUAUCCCACAAAUGCAACUGGAUUAAAAACAGGAGAAAUAGACCUCUGUGGUUUGAUUAUGGGAAGUGGAUAGACAACAUUAUUACUCAGCCCUUGGAAUAGCACUCUCCCGGUGACCUUGUCCUGUAGAUAGAGAGAAACAUCAUUAAUGAUACAACGACACUGAUUAUCUUUGCACAACUGAUUCAUAGAUAAUAAGUGUUGUGACAGUUUUGGAACAUGUAACAUAGAGUUUAACUUGAAAUUAUGUGACUUAGUGAGAAGAGAAGAGGAACCAAUAUGUUUGAUAGCUAAACCUUCACCACUAGCACUGGUCACAAUAUCAUUUGAUGGAUAAAUUUGUUGCCAUGUGCAAGUUUGACAAAUCUGAGGUCAUAUGGUCCAAGUCAAGAAACCAGAAAUCUUGUUGAAGAGUUGAGGAUGAUGCACCAGCUCGUGCUUGCAUAGCAAGAUGAAGAUUUUGUGAGGAUGUAGUUGAGAGAUAUGGUAUGACAAGAUACUAAAACUGGGAGCUAUUAGACUGUGGAAUCAUGCCUUGUGAAGGACCACAUGGAUUCUAGCUAGGUGCUUCACCAUAUAACCCAGUAGGCAUUGGAGUUGGCAUAGAUGAGGAUAAACCCUGAGAGAAAUGCUCUGAUGUGCCUGUAAAAUUCUUAUUCCAAUCAAAGCAAGUAGCAGCAACAUGGUGACAAAUUUGACAUCCAUGUUGAAAACAAUUCAAUGCAGAAUGACCUUUGCGAUCACAUAUUUGCAGAAUGACCUUUGCAACCCUAGAAAGAAGAAGGAGUGAAGAAGACCAAAUGUGUACGUUUCUCUUUGAUUGUUUUUCCCUCCUAAUCGCGCAGUUCGAAAUCACGGACCUCGGGCCUCGGCCUAGUGGGCCCAAUUAUGAGGCCCAUUAUCUCCGGUCUUCUCGUUCUACUUCUAGUUACCCAAAUUAAGAACGUACUGGUUCGCUUUUAGCGCGAGAGAGAAAUGGAGGCCCUGAUUGCCUCGUACGGAGACUCGUCGUCGGGCUCAGACUCCGAGUCGCCGGCUCCACCUUCACCACCACCUCCGGAGCUCAACAACCCUCAAGAACCGACCCCUGCGCUGCCUCCACCUCCUCUUUCACUUCUCGACAGCCCCAAUUCCUUCGGUAACCUCUGAUUCCCAUCAAUUUCAUCUUUUAGCUUUCUGCUGUGAUGGCUUUUUCCGAGUUGCCCACCAAGUGUUUGAUGUUUUGCCUCUGAAGGAUUUCUGGACUUAUCGGCAAGCGCCCAGCCGAGCAGAGUUCGGAACUUUCCUCACGUCGAAGGGAACUACGCAGUACAUGUAUACAUCCCAGGUUAUCAAAAUUCUCGAAAUUUUCAGCUCCAUUAGCAAAUGCGAUCGCUUUGCACUUAGUUUUUGCUUGUUUAAUUGUGUGGUUCCAGUUUAUAUACCACCAGCACCAAGGAAAGAGAUGGCCUUGUUUUUGAACAAGCUAGCUUCUCUGGUGCCUGGUCUCCAUGCGGUUGACGUUGACUUCCCGCUUGACAUUCUGCGUAAGGACGAGCACAAGCUUGAACAAGUUGCUUUAGGCAGAGAGUUCCAUAUAAGUCUCGGAAGAACUGUUCCGAUUCGGGUGCACCAGAUUGAUUCCUUGGUGACAAUGCUGCGGCAGAAGCUUCAGAUUCAGAGGCGGUAUGGUUACAUUUACAUUCUCUUGUCCGCAUUGCGUGAAGUUAGUUCUGUUAUUUAACAUAAUUCUGUAAGCCUGCAAAUUUUUUGUCCAUUUUCGGUUUAACACAUUUUGUUAUUGUGAAACAGGUAUUGGAUUGAUUUUAGCAAGUGGGAGGUUUUUGUUAAUGAUGAUCAGACCCGGACCUUUGUGUCUAUCGAAAUCAUUGCUGCUGGGUUAGCUGAGGUAUGAUUGCUAGCUUUCUCUCUUGGUGCAAUUCUAAAUGUUUUCAGUUGUUAUAUGGGCUUAAGAUUUAGUAAGUACUUGCCGAAGGUCAUGGGAUUUUGAAAUAUUGAUAUCUUGCUUGCUUAUUAGCUUAGAUUUGGUCUUCGAUGCACUUGUAACAUGAAAAACACAAACGAAAACUAAUGCAUGAUAUGCUCAUGGUUUUAACAUGUGUUGUCCUGGCGUAAAUCAUGUUCCUAAUCCUGUCAUGUGAGUAUAAGCCUAUGAUACUUAGGGCAUGUUUGGCGGGCCGGACAAGAUUGGAAUUGGUAUUUCAGACUAGUUAGGUUAGGAUUGAACUGGAUAGGAUAGGUUUUUGGUCUAAAGAUUGGUGUAGACUGUCUUAACGAUGGGAUUUAAAACGUGAAACAGAUCUGCGACAUCCCAACGAUGACCCGCCCACCCAACAACUCUGCUCGUGACUUGCAACACCUCUCGUACCCUCCACGCCCCUUGAGGCCCGUCAGACCACUCUGAUAUCCUGGAGAGGUGAAACGUGGUUACUAGAAGCAUACCUGUUUUCGUAUUAAUGCACGGUUGAAGCAGCUUUCAUUGUCUACAAGUCUGAAAUAUUUCAACUUCCAUUGAUUUCAGAUAACAAAGCAGAUUCAAGCUGUGAAUGAGGUGUAUAAGCUUUUUCGUGUUUUUCAAACUCGAAAAACAAGAUUGUGCCUGAAUACUACUCAUUGCUCAAAAAACUAAAUCACUUCAUGGGGUGUUGGUGAUCACAGGAUCCGCGCCCUCACAUCUCGGUAGCUUGGGCAUUGGGUGACAUCAGCAAUUCCCUGAAGAAAGUGGUUGAAGAAGAAAGACGAAGAUCUACCAUCGGAGGAUCGUUACAGAAAUGUAUUUUUACCAGUAAAUUCAAUGGUAUCGAAUGUAGGAUUGGUAAUAAGACACAAAAUAUGUAAAUUUUCUGAACAAUAAUGUAGCCAUUUAACUGUAUCGUGAAAUUCCGAGAAUAUAUCGCUGAGCAUUGGAUGAGAAGACAUUUCUUUGUUGGUGUCGAACUUCUUGUCGAAGGUAUUGGCACCAGUGUAAACGUCAUCAUCCAUGUUGAUGGUAAUUACUUCCCAGCUACCAAGGGUGUCGGAACAACCUUGCACGCAGCCUCCUGUGCAUUACUUAAUAUUGUCUCAGUUUCUCCAAACUUGAAUGCUCCUGUAAACCCACUCUUGACCUUUCCGUCAUCUGCAAUUACAGGAAAGCUGGCUAGGAUGUUGCCGUUAACCUACCUAACUGGCUAGGAUGUAGCCGUCAUCUCCAAACUUAAAAGACCGGAAAGCCGGCUCCAAACCUCAAUGUGCUACUAGUUUUUGUAUGCGAGAGCUCCACCUCCAUUGUUGUAACAGCAUCUGAUGCGGACUAGUCCUUCAUUCCCGUUACUCUUUGCUAUCUCCACUUCAAACUUGGCGUAAUGGCUCCCGGCCGCCUCUCCGGUGAAAUUGAGAAACCCUGGGAAACCCUGGAGCUAGGCGUUUUCAUUCUGUUGUCCGUAUAUCUUGAUAUUACAAGUAUUUGUUGUGCAAAAUGCAAGCUAAGUUCAAGUUAUGUUUAUGUAUGUGUGUGUGUGUGUUGUCACUUCGCCACUUUUCCAACGUUUUCUCCAAAAUUGUGAUUUUGGUGUUGUUCUAACUUUGGUGAAUGCUAAUAACAAUUCCCUCGUUAACCAUUGGGACGAGCAACAAGGCAGUUUUGAUUCCGUGCACAACGGCGAUACCUCGAAAGAAAUUGAUUCUUCACCAGAAAGAUGUUUUAAAACAAAGUUGAACAGUUGAUGUAUACAGACGUUCCUUGCUUAUGACACGACUUAUGAGAGGAUGUAUGUAUUGCAUUUGCAUCAAAAGAAAGAAAGAAGGUUGUAAGUGGUAAGGGAACGACUACCGAUGCCGCUCCACUUCUAAUCAAAGGGAUCGAUCCGAGGGUCGUGUUCACUUGCCAUCGCUAUUCCAGUGCAAAGGCAUGUCGGGCACAUUACCUGCCACAUUUACGGACGCAAUGUUAGAUAUAGCUGCCAUUUGGAAGUCAUCUCUCAAAAUUUUGCUACUAAAUUAAUCUUAAACGUCAUUUCCAGUGCAAUUUUUUUCUUCUGAAUUGUCUUUCACAUGCCCGACAAAUAAAAGUAUCACCAAACAUGUGAAUAUAGUGCAUCUAAGCGGCAGGCACUAAAAGGAAUUUAGUAUGCAAUAAACAUUCAACGGACAUAAUUAUAUGUCUAACCUUUCCCGCUCCUGAGCAAUUUGAACAUCGUUCAGUUUUUGGCAGAGAUAGGGGUUGGUUUCCGCCAUCAGCUGUCGAUAAUGGUUCAGUAAGAACAAGGGUUCCAGUGCUGGAGCAACGAGCACAAGCAAGAUAUCCUGCGUAAGUAUCAAAUACACAGGUAAGUUGACAUAUGAAACCAAUCCGAACAUCUCCAUCGUAUAUAUUUAAAGCUACAGUACAUAAAACUAAAAGUCAGAAAUAGAGGACAUUAUCACACCAGUUCCAAGACAAUAUUUGCAUCGUUUAUGCUCCUGCUGUUUCGCAUUGUUUAUUUCAACUACCAUCAAUGCUGAGAUCACUCCAACUGCUCCUCCAGAAAACGACGCCACUAUGGGAUCAACUUGACUGCAGUUUGAAAGUAUAGGAGAUCAAUAAACGAAACUGGUAACAACAUGGUAUCAACAUUAUUUAGCUUCGUUUCAAGAUAGCUGACAUCCUGGGUUUUUCUAAUGUGUAAAAAUUGAGGAUCCUUGUAAAAUUUGACUAUAUCAGUUCCCAAAGUAUUUGAUUCCUAUGUUACAGACCGAAAACAGUAACAAUUGAAUUUUUAGAUUCAUAACACGAUAGAUGGUACAAAAUUUCAAAACGAUAAUUACUAGAGAACAGGAGGGCUAAUAGCCUGAGAUAUGAGCCAUACCUCAACUGCAACGGCAGAUGCAUAUUUACUAUAAAAUCUUUAUACGAUGUGCCUCCUAUUCCAAGCUUCAACUCCAACUGAAAGAUGUAAACGUAAUUGUCGGCAGAGAGUUAGAAACAUAACCGAAUCCAUGUUUUAUAAGCAGAAACUACACUUAUUUGACAUGUUUCCUCGUUUUUUUACUUGCAAAUUCAAAACCGUAUUGUCGGACCAGUAAAAUAAAAUAAUGUUUACUAAUAACUGUUAAAACUAAUCACAACAAGUUAAUGCAUAAAGAACUUACGGAGGGUGCUAUGAGGCCACCGAAAAGGAUAAACCCCGCAAUAAUUGAAUAACAUACAGCAUAAUACUGCUUAAGGUUGUCUGAACUCUGCAACCAAUGCAUUCACCUUGUGAUUAAUACUUUGCACAAACACUAGUUUUCGCAGUUUUUUAUGAACCGACAAAAGGCUACAACAAAAUAUGGCUAAAACAAGUCCGGGAUAUGAAAAUACAUGUCUUCACAGGGUCAGCAGCUUACCAGGGGAGGCAAAAAUGGAAUGAAUGAUGGAAAACUAGGAAGUUCGUUUUCUUGAUCUUCAUUUACCGCUCCAAGCUCUGCGCGUUUAAUCCGCUGUUGUAUCCUCAGCCUGCGAACCUUCGCAUAUCGAAGCUCAUUCUUAAAGAACACAUUUCUAAUGGCAAUUGGAGAGUAAUUUAAAACAUGCUAAACUGAGAAAGUGGCAGCAACUAGCAAUUGCUCUCACCUCCUCCAUAUGCAAGAAAAUUUUGUUGCGCCGACUCCGAAUAUUAUCUUGAAUUUCUUGCAGCUCCAUUGUGGCAAAGUCCUGCACUGUUUCAGGCCCCUCUAUGAUACAAAAUCUGCACAAUUAAGCAUGUAAAAACUAAAAAUUACAGGCUAAAAAAGCAAUUUCCGUAUCAUUGCUCGGUUAAUUAACAUCAACAGCAGAUAAAUCACAUGGGUUUUUCAAAUGAAGUUACAAACUUUCAAAGACCAGUAAGCUGUCUGCAAUCUCAUAAAUUUCACAGUGCAAAGUAAAAAUCCAAAGCUUGGAACUUUAAAUUUCCAUUUUCUGUUAAUUUCCUAGAGAGAGGGGGGGUGGUACCCGGCGGGGUUUGUAUCGGCGGCGGGAUUGGGAUCAGAAUCGACAGACGGAGCGAAAGAGGAGGAGUCGGGCUCCGAAGCCAUGGCCAGGGAUCGCCAUCUGGAGCUGCUUGUUGAUAUGGGGCUUCUUGGGUAGCUGAAUUUGGAGCAGCCGGCGCUAUGCAGUUUGUACGGACUGCACCGAUUUACGGGGAAAGACACGGCCAAAAGUCUGCCGCAGCAGAGCAUCUCUCUCUCUCUCUCAAACCAGAAGGCAGAGCUUUCUGUUUCUCUUGAGGUUUCUUUCACUGGUAAAUUCCAGAGAAGCAGAGAAGAAGGCUCUCUGAGAAAUGGAGGCAAAACAAAUGUAAAUCUUGAAGCACCGACCAUGUGCAGAACACUUAUCAACUACCGAACUCUAGGAUUUUUAUUUUUUGGUAAACUACCGAACUCUACGAUUAGGAGAGAAACAAGGGGAGAGAGAGUGAGUGACCGGAAAAAAAUAAAAAAUAAAAAAAAUAUGGAGGGAAGUGGCUGAUUCUUCUCUCAUUUUUUCCUAUUGUUUUUCAGAAAAAAAAAAAUAAUAAUAGUAAUUAGUCGUUAGAUUCGAGUAGUCGUUCGGUAUGUCACAUUUAAAAUUUUAUUAUAGGAAGCAUAAGGUUAGGCCAUCUCCAAUCGAAUUAGGUCUGAAAGAUCAUGUUUAUCCUUAUAGUUUUGCAAGAAAUUAUAUUUUAAUAAACAAUGCAUGUCAUAUUUUAUACCAUCUCUAACCGGGGGGCCAAAGAAUCAUGGGCCAAACAUAGCCCUUUGACAAUAAACGCAUCUCCAACCGAGAGGGCCAAAAUGUCAUAGACCAAAAAUAAUCCCCUAAAGAAUUUAUUAUUUUAAUUGAAUUAAUAUAGUUAAUUAAAUUAAACUACCGUAUUAAAAUAAGGUUUUCUGACAUAUUUUGAGUGCCACUUGCCACAAUAACGAAGAAAGCGUGGUAUUGUUGCACUUGCUAUAAAGUCAAGCUUGACAUUCUGCCGCUGGAGAACUGGUUGGCUGACUGGAAAUGGCCAACCCGUUGGCUUGAUUUGGGGGUUUUGGCCAGAUGGGGCCCAACAAGCCAUUUGGCCUAGCCUUGCUUGAAGACGGUUUUCUUGUCAUUCCAAGCUAUUUUUAGCCCUAUGACCAUUUGAUUUGAUCGGUUGGAGAUGACUUUAGGUGCGGUGAUUGUCCUUGAGAUAUCGAAGGUUCUGUGUGAUCGAAUACUUCGUCCUCCUCCAAAGCCGCCACUGUUGAGAAGGUUACUUGCCUUAUGCAAACAUUAUGAAUUGCAAGUGAUGAAUUGUUCUGAUGAUAAGGUUUAUUUUUUAACUCAUUAUGUUUCGAGUUUAAACAUUUUUCCCUCUCUUUAAUGUAUAUAUUAAUGAAAUAUUGUUCGUAAUAAAAAAAUAAAAAAAUGAUACAUUCUCAUUCAUAUAUAAGAUGAUCAAGUCUGAAAUUAUUACUUUUAAUGAGUGACUUAGUUAACCAUUUUCAUUUCUUAUGCGUUCAAAAUUAGACAAAUUCUUUGCAAACAUUAAAAAAAAAAAAAGAUAUUAAGGAGACUUUGAAACUAUUACAUUAUGGGAGGGGGAAUUUCGAACUCGGGACUUCUGAGUAGAACCCAAAUGCUUCUCCACUAGGAUAUUAGACUAGUGCCGGUCCUGAAUUUUUUGGUGCCUGGAGCGAAUAAUGUGCCCUUUUCCAGUACAACAACAUAAAUUAAAAAGAAAUAUUUAAAGAGGGCUGGAACCCAGUCGAAGCUGGGGGGCUAGGCCCUCACGCCCAUAUUAUAUUACUUUUAAGAAUAAACAUACAACUGGGGGAACAUAGUAUCGAAAUCCCGACGAUCAAAAGCAAAAUAUAUACAACCACUCCAAGCAGUCAACAUGGCCAUCACAUAUUGAAUCCAAAAUGUCAACGCCCCAUUGGCUGCAUAUAAAGUACAAACGAGCGGCAACUUCAGCCAGUUCUGCGAUAUCCGGCUGGAUGAGAGCAGCUAAAGACAUGAUUGUUCCCUAAUAACAUGAAUAAAUUGAGUAAACACCAAAAGUAGCAGCAAGGGAAGGAGAUGUGAAGUAGAUGAAGAGAUGUAAGAACUGUGAAUGUCCAGCAACAAAGACUUCGGAGCUUGUUGUCGAAUACCUGCAGCGCAUCAUUUCUGGUAGAUCAAAUACAACCAAGUCCUGCCAACUCCAAUUCCAAAAAUCCUACAGUAUAGCAUAAAUCUUAUUCUCUUCUGAUAAAGAUGUGUGUCCCUACCCAUAAAUCGAAACCUUCAUCUGCAAGGACGAAUCCCAUUUAUUCUUCUGAAGAAUUUAAGAACCAUGAACCACCUGGUCAAGAUCAAGAAAAGCCAGUAACCAAUUACAAUUGAGUUUGAAGCAAAUUAGAGCCAAAUUUAAAAUGUAUCCGAUGGAUGUUCAUCAAUUUACACAAUAGUUAGUUUCAAGAAAGGAAAUUUCAACAGAACCUGAAAACUUCAGAUCAGGGGGCACCAAAUAGUGAGCUACACAUUCAGAAUUUGAAAUAUUUCAAAUCAACUUGGUGGGGCCAAUAUGUUGAAAAAAUUGGAAGGAGCUAUGAAAGUAAGGCUUUUCGCUAAUCAGGCGUCUAGAGAAUCAAUAUUUUACUCACGUAUCAGUUACGGGGAACACUCCCCACCAGAGCAAUCUCAUUAGUCCUUCACAUCUCAAACGGCACAGAAAUUGCACUAACAAACACGACUCCUAUUAGUCCUUCACAUCUAAAAUCCAGGAAGUACCCAUCUUUCGUCUGAAUCUGGAAAAUAAGCAGAGCACUCAAUUUAACAAUCUGGGUAUCUCAAAGUUACUCACUUUAAUCACAAAUUUAACAAUUAAACAUAUAAAUGGGCAUUUUUUUAGUGAAAUAUUAGUAUCUUACUCACUGUGUGCUCGGAGCAAGAGUACCCGGAAAGCUCAAUGAGCUGUGCACAGAGGACUGCAGCGGUGAACGACAGCGACCGAUUCUGUAAAAUUCAGUCAAGUUUUCGGCAAUUUCUGCAGCGAUUUCGGAGUUCAAGAGGCUGAUAAGGAAAGCUGCGACUGAAGGACACUGGUCUGGAAGAAAGGCUCUGGUCACCGCUGUCGCAAUUUGUGAAGGAAGAAGUGCCCCAAAACAAUUUCGGCCCUGAACAGAUGCACUGUUUGCACUGGACCAGGGCCGGCACUGGCGAUAACGUCCCCCAAACAGUACAUAUACAGAUGCUAGAAAUAAUAAAUGUCACCUGAAACUACUAGAACCAUUCAAUUCUAGCGUCUACAGCUUUAGCAUUAGUUGGUACAAGGGACAUUCUUCUAAAGAGGGAGAUGAACUCGUUGAGGCUCUUAUUUAUUCCUCCUCUUGAGGUGUCCUUUUAGGCUGCUAAUUCCAGACGAUCCAAUCUCAUACAUCUUCCCUGCAAAAGCAUGUGUGCCAGACUUCAAGAUCAAAAUUUUCCAACAAAAGAAACUUAAAGAUCAAACUCGCCUGCGGAAUAAAUGGUGCACAAGGGUGUUAAAAAUGGUGCACAAGGGUGUUAAAAUCUUGACAUAUGUAUAUUUUUGGCAGAUUUUAUGUGAGCAUGCAACUAAAACUGGCAUAACAGUUUGAGUUGUAACUUCUCCAUUGUAUUUGUUAAGGCAAGACGGAUGUCAUCUAUGCAUUUUUCUGUAAAACUUAGAAGGCUGCAUAGCAGCUCUUGUUCGUUGUAUUGAAUACCGUGGUUUAACCGAUGAAUGCAGAGUUUGCUGAUGAUUCAUACGACAAGCAAUUGAAAAUCCCCAUCAUUUACACAAAUUCAGAGCAUUCAUCCACUGUAAUUUGCAGAUAUAGAAACGUCAAGAUAAAAGGAAAUGCAAAGUACCUUUCACCCAAAUUGGAAGAGCACCGGUGGCAUUAGCAAGUUAGCAACGGGAAUUGACAUACCAAUAUCUUCACAGUUUCUGCACAAGCACAAAUCAAAAGAAUUGUGGAUUUCAAAAUAUGCGGCCGUGGCUAGCCGUCUGACCACGCCAAUUCCACCAAAGCCGCCGCAACGCGGCGUAGUGUCCGAUUGAUUGCUUCAAAACAGAGCUUCGUAUCCAUGUGUUUAUCAGCAGAGAGUACCCAAAACCCCUGAAAAUUAUUUCUUUAUUCAGAUAAUAAAAUUUCCCAAAUUUCAAAUUUUAAUUCCGAACCAAAAAUAGGAUUUGAAUUUUGAUUACCUAGAAAUGGGGGGGGGGGGGGUUGGGGUGGAGAGGGACUCAGGCCAAGACAGAGCUAUGUGUCUGUGAUAAGGUGUGCCAAAUUACAGAGUGUGUCGGGAAGAUGUACAAGGCUUUUGCAGUUUCUCAGAUUUAAAUACCGAAGCCCCGUAAGCUGUUCAAUCCAGGGGGAAAGCUCUUUGAUAGAUGUUCCAUCCAAGAAAAGAUAUCUUAAUCCUUCCAUAUUUUCUUCAAUGCUUGGAAACACCUCAAAUUUUGUAGAACCGGAAAGAGAGAGAGAGACAAGGGACUUGAGCUGAGAAAUGCUGCUCGGAAGACUCUUAAGUUCCACGCAAUAUUUCAGGCUUAAAUAACUCAACCCCGUGAGAUUAUUAAUUGACAGCGGUAGUUCUUUAAUUUUUGACCCGGAUAAAUCAAGCUCUUCUAACUCCUCAAUACCUUCUAAAAUCUCUGGAAACAUCUCAAGAUUGGAGCAGUCAUAAAGAUUAAGGGUUUUGAGAGAUUUCAUACGAAUGCUGCUUGGAAGACUCUUAAGUUCCACGCAAUGUUUUAGGUUCAAAUGACUCAACCCCGUGAGAUUAUUAAUUGACAGGGGCAGUUCUUUAAUUUUGGACCCGGAUAAAUUAAGCUCUUUUAAUCCCUCAAUAACUUCUGAAAUCUCUGGAAACAUCUCAAGAUUGGUGCAGCCAUAAAGCUUAAAGGUUUUGAGAGAUUUCAUACGAAUGCUGCUUGGAAGACUCUUAAGUUCCACGCAAUGUUCUAGGUUCAAAUGACUCAAUCCCGUGAGAUUAUUAAUUGACAGGGGCAAUUCUUUAAUUUUGGACCCAGAUAAAUUAAGCUCUUCUAACUCCUCCAUACCUUUUGAAAUCUCUGGAAACAUCUCAAGACUGGAGCAACCAAAAAGAUUAAAGGUUUUGAGAGAUCUCAUACGAAUCUUGCUGGGUAGACUCUUAAGUUGCUUGCAAUGUUUUAGGUUGAAAUGACUCAACCCCGUGAGAUUAUUAAUUGACGGGGGUAGUUCUUCAAUUUUUGCCCCGGAUAAAUCAAGCUUUUCUAACCCCUCAAUACCUUCUGAAAUCGAUGGAAACAUCUCAAGACUAGAGCAGCCAUAAAGAUUAAAGGUUUUUAGACAUUUCACAUGAAUGCAGCUUGGAAGACUCUUAAGUUCCUCGCAAUGUUUUAGUUUGAAAUGACUCAACCCCGUGAGAUUAUUAAUUGACAGGGGCAGUUCUUUAAUUUUGGACCCGGAUAAAUUAAGCUCCUCUAACUCCUCCAUACCUUCUGAAAUCUCUGGAAACAUCUCAAGACUCGUGCAACCAUAAAGGUUAAAGGUUUUGAGAGAUUUCAUACGAAUGCUGCUUGGAAGACUCUUAAGUUCCUUGCAAAGUAUUAGGUUCAAACGAAUCAACCCCGUGAGAUUAUUAAUUGACGAAGGGAGUUCUUUAAUUUUUGACCCGGAUAAAUCAAGCUCUUCUAACUUCUCCAUACCUUCUAAAAUCUCUGGAAACAUCUCAAGAUUGGAGCAGCCAUAAAGAUUAAAGGUUUUAAGAGAUUUCAUACGAAUGCUGCUUGGAAGACUCUUAAGUUCCUCGCAAUGUUCUAGGUUCAAAUGACUCAAUCCCGUGAGAUUAUUAAUUGACGAGGGCAGUUCUUUAAUUUUUGACCAGGUUAAAUUAAGCUCUUCCAACUUCUCCAUACCUUCUAAAAUCUCUGGAAACAUCUCAAGACUAGAGCAGCCAGAAAGAUUAAAGAUUUUGAGAGAUCUCAUACGAAUUUUGCUGGGUAGACUCUUAAGUUCCUUGCAAUCUUUUAGGUUGAAAUGACUCAACCCCGUGAGAUUAUUAAUUGACGGGGGCAAUUCUUUAAUUCUUGACCUGGAUAAAUCAAGCUCUUCUAACCCCUUAAUCACUUCUGAAAUCUCUGGAAACAUCUCAAGGCUCAAGCAGCCAAAAAGAUUAAAGGUUUUGAGAUAUUUCAUACGAAUGUUGCUGGGUAGAAUCUUAAGGUCAUGGCACGAAUUCAGAUUCAAUAAAACCAGGUUUGUAAGAGUCGAAGUAGACGGGUGAACCUUAACUAACCUUGUACAACAUUGAAGAAUUAGCCUCUCAAGAUUCGGCACAUUUGUGAAGUCAGGGGUUUCCUUAAGGUAUUCACAAUAACUUAAAUUGAUGAAUUUCAACGUUUUCAGCGUCUGUUAAAACAUUCAAGAAAACAUGCAUUACUUAGUAAAACAGCUCACUCAAAACCCAAACAUUUAAAAGAAAUAAAAACAUGUAAUGAUUGUACGUACCUGGGUUCCUUCCCAAAGUCGGUCAAUGAGACUAAAUUGCAUGUCAAGUUCAACAAGAUUUUUCAAUUGAAAGUUGGACGGCAAAGACUUGAGAGGGAAUUCAAACAAGGAGAGAUACCUCAAGUUAAGUAACUUAAGGGGCCCAAUCAGGUGGUGUUUGUAGUAAUCUUCAAAAAUUGAGCCCUUAUGACCGAUCUUGAGAAGUCUUAGUUGAGUCAUACUAACAAAAGCUUCAGCAUUUAAGCAUACCCAGUCUGAGUACGAGAAAUCCACGAAUAUGCUUUCAAUUGAUUCCGUAGCCUGUGCAAAUCAAAGUAUUAGAAAAUACAGAGAACCUUAGUUUAGAUAAUGAAAUUAAUGCUUGUUUCUUAAAGAAGCCGUUUGAUAAUUAUUUCGUCUUCAGUUUAAUAUUGUUUUCAAUUUUCAAUUAUUAAAACAAUGAAACCUAAAAAUUAAAAAUUAAAAACAAAAAUGGUUAUCAAACGGGCCUAAGUAAUUGAUUUUGGUCAAAAGUUGAAGCUUUCUACUAACAACCACAUAAGAAAGACUUCUCACCGUAUUUUGAGUUAGCACGUGAUGAACAUCUUCAUAACUCCACAACCUACUUCGUCUCCCAGGCUCUCUGAUAGAUUCUUGGCGAACGAUUUCCCGACCCAUUUCCUCUAAUGAAUCAUGCAUCUCUAGUUCCCCCUUCUCUGAGACAGUUAUGAGAGCUCGAUCGAUUAGAACUCUUAUUCCUAUAUGAGGAUGGAAACCACAACCGUCUAGAAUUCGGGUUGCAUGGUCUUUCUCCAUCCCUUUAAAGAAACAUGCAAUAUCUAGAAAGAUGUCCCUCUCUGUGUCAUCUAGUCCAUCGAAGCUUGAUUUAAGCACAUCAUGAAUUCCCCUUCGUGGAAUUUUCCUUAUUUUUUCUAACUCAUCUUCCCACUCGCGUAUAGUUUUGUUAUGAAGAAAAGCUCCCAGGACUUUGAGUGCUAAAGGCAGACCUUGAGCAUAUUUUACAGCACAAGUCGAGAGAUUAUCAUAAUCUCUGGUGGGUUGGUUUUUUCUGAAGGCGUGCCGCCUAAAGAGUUCCAGUGCUCCAUAAUCACUCAAGGUCUUGGGAUUAUAUAUCACAUCAGCUAUGCUUAGUAACUGCGAAUCUCUACUUGUGAUAAUAAUCCUACUUCCACCACCAAAGCAUUGUCGCUCUCCAAGUAAAGCUUCAAUUUGUUCUAAUUUUUCCACAUCAUCAACAACAAUAAGAACUUUUCUCUGACCAAGGCUUCUUAACAUCACCUGAAAACCUCUUCUCGAUAUGUCAGAGCUCCCCACCUUGUUGUCCGAGAUACUAGAUAGAAGUUGUGUCUGCAUAUGUAGUUCGCCGUGC
rnacentral:lncRNA from 1 species